UUAGAAAGGCAUACAUUGCAUUGGGGCCAUGUCAACCAAAGAUGAAGAGGGAUGCUUUUCCGCAACAUGAUUGUGGAGGUAUGCGUCGCUUCCAACAUAAGUGGUUUGCUGAAUUUAAGUGGAUUGAGUACAGUGUGGAUAAAGAUGCUGCAUUUUUCUUUGUUUGCUAUUUGUUCAAAGAUAACUGCAAAUUUCCUGGUGGAGAUGCUUUUGUUGUUGAAGGGUUUAGAAAUUGGAAUAUGAAAAAGAGAAUUCAUAGGCAUGUUGGUGCUAUUGAUAGUGCUCAUAGUGAAGCUGAAGAGAAAUAUAGAUUGUUCACGAGACCUAAGGCAUCAAUCUGUGAAUCCGUUGCAUCAAACACUACACAAUUCAAGGCUAAGUAUCUAGCUCGCUUGACAUGGUCACUUAAGUGCAUAAGAUUUCUGUUGCGUCAAGGGUUGGCUUUUAGGGGUCAUGAUGAAACAAAGGAUUCACUCAACAAGGGGAAUUUUCGGGAACUUUUAGCAUGACUAGCAGGAAACUUUGAAGAGGUUAAUCUGGUGGUACUAGAGAAUGCACCACAAAACUGUCAGAUGAUAGAUCACAAGAUCCAGAAACAACUCAUUGAUGCUUGUGCUCAUGAAACAACUAAAUUUAUCAUUGACGAACUUGGUGAUGAGUGUUUUGCAAUUCUUGCUGAUGAGUCAAGUGAUGCAUACCUACUGGAACAAUUGGCUCUUUGUUUGCGUUUUGUCAAUAAAAAAGGAGAACCGGUUGAGCGGUUUCUAGGUCUUGUCCAAGUUGAAGAUACUACAUCAUUGACUCUUAAAGAAGCAAUUCAAUCCUUUCUUAUCAAAUAUCAAUUGCCCCUAUCCAAGGUACGUGGUUAAGGGUAUGAUGGAGCUAGUAAUAUGAAGGGUCAUGUUAAUGGUUUGAAGAAACUAAUUAUGAAUGAGUCCCCUUCUACUUAUUAUGUUCAUUUCUUCGCCCAUCAACUUCAACUAACACUUGUAGCAGUCUCUAAGGAGAAUAUUGAUUGUGAUUGGUUCUUUGGGCAACUUGCUUAUUUGUUGAAUGUUCUAGGGAUGUCUUGUAAAAAGAUCUGCAUGCUUCGUAUGGCUCAAGCUGAAUACAUGAUUGAAGCAUUGAAAUUGGGUGAAAUUGAAACCGGGCAAGGAUUGAAUCAAGAGAUGGGCUUAGCAAGGCCAGGUGAUACAUGAUGGGGAUCUCACUACAGAACUGUAAUGCAUGUUAUGUUCUUGUAUCCUUCAAUCAAGAAAGUUCUCUUUAGGAUUGGGAAUGAAAGUAAAGGGGCUGAGGCUAAUGGAGCUCAAACUAUGUGUGAAGACAGACCCCAAAUCUCUCGAGUUAAUCUUAAUCCAAGUCCCUGAUCCCCUAUCUCAGCUUCCCCCCGAGUUAAGUGCUCAACCUCCAAUCCGGUCCCGACCCCUGAGAUCCGACCCCUCUCUGCUGGUUCCCAGUUCCGACCCUGCCGACCCCAACCCAUACCGCCGGAUCUUCCGAAGUCUCUCCACAGUGUUCCCUUUCCAUCUUAGCAGUGGACCAACCGAGACCGACCGGUGGACCCACAAAAUCUUUCCCCUAGAUCUCCCGAGACAGACGCACUCGAGUGGCAUGCUCGCUUCAGAGUUCCUCCGCCACGUGGCUCAACUUCUCCGACCCCCGCCGCUCCGCCCCGUCGCCGGCCGCGACCGGAUGGAUUCUCGCGCCGUCUUCCCAAAUCGCAGCGGAAGCCCUCUGCAACCCUUUCUGCAGCGCCUCGCGGCUCGCGACCAUCAUCACCUCGCCGGACCCCCAGCUGCGGAGCCCGAUGCCUCCCGGCUUUUCCGCCGCCCCUCCACCAUCGCGCCGCCCCGGUCUGCACUACGCGACGAUUCCUCCUCCGCCAACCCAGACCCCGGCCGCGACAGCUCCUUUCCGCCUUGCCAGAUCUGCGCCCCGAUAGACUAUUGUUUCACGCUCGCCCGCGCGGCAGCAACCCGCCUAUCUUCUCACCUGUGCGACCUCGCUUCCAACGCCGUUUCCCCGGUCACAUCCAUCAGAUCCGCCGCACGACGACGCCCGCCUCCGCCAAGUCUCAACGACCGGCAAAACCGCGCCUGCGCCGCCCUGUCGCUGGUGCCCAAUGGCCGACGGUGUCAUCCCCGAAGUCCUGCUCCGCUGCCCUGCUGCUCAAUCUCCACCCCGGCAGCGCACUCCAUCAUUUCUUCCCGGUCUUCGUGCUGCUCCAGCUCUCUCUCCUCCGCCCAGCUAUAAAAGGGAAUGCUAGAGCCCUGCCGGAGUCCCCUUCGCCAUCACUGCCCUCCCGCCUUGCUCCCUAUUUCGUGCUCGAGCGCUACCGCCUAAGUCCCUAAGGAGCUCUCCUCUCCGCUCCACGCCCGCCCUUCCAAUCCACCCAGCCACUUGCUCCUCCGCGCUGCGCAAAAGCUUGCUUGUUUCCACAAGAAGCACCGCCGUCGCCGUCGGAGCACCGCCGAGCAUCGCCGUUGCCCAAGUCCUUGUGCUUCCAUCCUUCCGCCCAAGUCUGCUUCUUCCUGACCCCAAGCUUCACCUGUGAACCGAAGGUAAGCUGCCGACCUUUUUCCGCCUCGUCCGACCCCUUCUGUUCGUCCGACCCUUUUCCGCCUCGUCCAACCCCUUCUGUUCGUCCGACCCCUUGUCCGCCUCGUCCGACUCUGUCUGUCCGCCCGACCCCUUUCUCCGUCUCGCCCGACCCCGUCUGUUUCGCGACCCUUUCUCCGCCUCGCCCGAUGGCUCGGCUGUAUCCUUUUCCUUGACCUGAGGGUAGAUGUGUAAAGAUUUAGGGACUUCUCUGCGUUAAGUCUGAGGACCCCCAGCACAUCUAUUCCUCUAGUCUAAGGGUCAGAUCAUAAGCUUCUUUCCAUCCGACCCUUUUACCUUGUUCUUCUCCAACUCAAGUGAACUUCCUCACUUUUUCCGUAGCCUUGCUACAAAGUUUCUGGGCUAGAACUUGCAAGUGUUGCUGUUGAAAUAAUCGUCUAAAUGCUAACCCCCUGCAUUGCAUUUCGUGUAGAGUUGCAUCUCGCCGACGGUGUCUACGAGUUGUACCUGGCGCCAGAAGACGAAGCUGCAACAGAGCUCCCGCCUCCAGAAGCCGAAGCCGCCCCCACAGAAGACCCCUUCCCUUCCUGCUCACUUGAAGGCAAACCCCGGAGCAUGAACCCCAGUUUUUCCAAACUUGCGCAUGCCUUCUUCAUCUUGUUUGUGCAUUUACGUAUAGGAGUUGAUUGCAACCGUAGGUGCAUGACUUAGUUCCCUGAUCUGAACACUAGCUGUUGGACCGAGUAGUUGCUAUGCUUAAAUAGGAAGCGGUAAAAGCCGAGUGAUUUCCUGUCACUCGUGAGUUUGUAGGAGUUGGCUGUUCCUCUUCUGUUACAACUAUAAGGACGACAGACGGGGCAGGGUUUUGGUUAACUCUUUGGUGGUCGGCUGAUCGUCCCGUCUGUCUAUGGAACUUGUUAAGGCCCGAUAGUGGUGGUGUUCGUGAUCAAAUGUUUGAAAGUACUAACCUCAUACUUAUUAUGGGAUGAGGAAGCCGAGUACCGGAUUGAACCUAGAUGUGAGCGGUCGCCCCAUUAUCCUUGGAACGGAGUUUCCCCUGCGGCCGCACGUUGUGGCAAGUGUGGUCACAGAACGGCAGAGGCCGGGUCUGUGGAACAUUGCACCAAAGGAAAUGGGCCCGACACGGGUUAGGGAAUUGAUGGGGAAGGCCGACAUAGGAAGCGACCCUCGGUGGUGCGCGGAUGUCGUGAGGUUAGGUUCACCAUGCAUGGUUAAAGAACUCGAAUCGAUUCGUCUGCCUCUCACAGUUUGAGACUACUUGAUCGCUAUGCUACCCUGAGUAAUAAAGGAAUCUGAUGAUGACAUGGUCUUGAUGAUGUUAUAUAUUACCCUUUGGUUGGUUCUAUGUUUGCUUAGAGUAAGUUGCUAACUUAGACCGGAUAAUGAACUUAGAAUCUGAGCUAAAACUUUGAAAAUAAGGAUCUACAUAGUGCUUUUUGGGCAAACAAACCCCUCAGCCAAAGAGCCCGGCAUGUCUAGAAGUGGUGGAGUAGCUUACUCCUGUCGGUUAAGUCUUGUUGAGCUUAGUAGCUCAGCCUUGUUGUGGCUUUUCUUUUUUAGGUGAAGUUGCUGCUCCCGAGCCUUCUUCUGUUGGCACUUGGCCGCCCCAACUCCCUCCGGGUUGGACGGUCGAGUGGGAUCCCUCCUCGGACGGCGAGGAGAGGGAUCACUGACGUCUCGACUGGCCUCACCAGUGACGUCCGACCCCGGCGCUAGCUCCGCUGUUUUAUCUUUCGCUGCUUUUGAACUUGUAAAACUCUGAUGUUUGUUUUAUUGUCGAACUAAAUGGUCAAUUUGUAUAAAUUAGUGGACUUGUUGUAUUCUUUGAAACCGCUCAGCUUCGUGUGAGUUUGCUAACUCGGUCCUGUUCAAGUGGUUAUAUCGGAUGAAAUCCGAUGGCACUUCGUGUUAACUUGACUAAGGCAUGAGUGUCGCGUGUUAGGCGACUUAACCAUGUUUAGUCAAGCUAAUCCGAAGUGGAUCCGCCACACUAUGCUCACAGUAUUUAAGUCCUUUGAGUUUGUUUUCCUGCUACACUUGAUGAAUGAAAUAUUUGGAUACACAAAUGACUUGUGGAAUGCUUUGCAAAAGAGGGAGCAAGAUAUUGUAAAUGCAAUGGAUCUUGUGGAGUUCACAAAGGUAGAACUGGAUGUUUUGAGACAAGAUUCUAGAUGGCAAGAAUUUCUUACCAAGGUCACUUCUUUUUGUGAGAAGCACAAUGUUAAAGUUGUUGACAUGAAUGGGAAGUAUAUUUCUAUGCAAAGAUCAAGGCAGUUCUACAGAGGUGCCAUUAAUUAUCACCGGUUUCAUGCUGAUAUGUUUUUGGGUGUCAUUGAUAGACAAGUUCAAGAGCUCAAUAAUAGGUUUGAUGAGGUAAACAUAGAGCUACUUAGAUGCAUGGCAUCAUUCAGUCCAACCAAUUCCUUUUCUGCUUUUAAUGUUGAAAACUUGGUUAAGCUUGCUAGGUUCUAUCCACAUGACUUUGAAUUUCAAGAAAUACACCAGCUUCAUUUUCAGUUGCACCACUAUAUCAAUGAUGUCAGAAAUGAUGAAAAUUUCAAAAAUUUGAAAAGUCUAGCAGAGUUGUCUAUGAUGCUAGUUAAAUAAGAAAAGGUUUCUCGGUAUGAAAUUGUUUAUAAACUUCUCAAAUUGGUGCUUGUUCUCCCUGUUGCAACUGCUGGUGUUGAGAGAAUCUUUUCUAUAAUGAAUUUGAUAAAGAACAAGAGAAGAAGUAAGAUGUGGCAGAAAUAUUUGAAUGGUUGCUUGGUCACAUUGAUUGAAAGGGAAUUCUUCAUGCAAGCUAAGGAUAAGGACAUCAUCGCUCAUUUUCAAAGCAUGGUAGAACGGAAAGUUGUCCUAUAGCUUGUAAGUAGUAAUCUUUGUUACCAUUUUGCUGUUUUAGCCUCUAUUUAUUUCACAUGUUGCCACUUUGAUAUGUUGAUCAUUAGUAGCUGGACAAUUUCAAUUUGUGAUCAAUUUUAUUAAUCAAUGAUGCUACCACUUAAUUCUAUGUUAUAAAACUAUAAUUUAUUCUGUCAAAUUUUUUUUCUUGCCAUCUCCAAUUUUGAAUAUCCAUAGUCCAGAUCCUGCACCCGCCUCUGUGGCCAACACCUACUUUACAUACUGAACUGAGAGGAUUUCUGGGUCUCGCUAAAUACUAUAGAAAAAUUGUUAAAUACUAUGGUUGGAUUGCAAAGCCCUUGACUCAAUUAUUGAGGAAAAAUCAAUUUGGCUGGAAUACUCAAGCUCAGCAGGCUUUUGACACUCUCAAACAAGCCAUGUCUAGCACACCUGUCCUUGCUUUACCAGAUUUCAACCAACCUUUUAUUGUUGAGACAGAUGCUUGUGAUGGGGGUAUUGAAGCUGUCUUAAUGCAAAAGGAUCAACCUGUAGCAUUUCUCAGUAAAGCAUUGUCCAGUUAGCAUAAACAUUUGUCCAUUUAUGAAAAAGAGUUUUUUGGCACUCAUUAUGGCAGUAGACAAAUGGAGACAGUACCUGCAGAACUAGGAGUUCAUUAUCAAGACUGAUCACAAAAGUCUAGCAUAUUUGACUGAACAUAAUUUGCAUUUUGACAUGCAAAAGAAAGCCAUGGCUAGGUUGAUGGGGAUGCAGUUCAAACUGGAAUAUAGAAAAAAGAAAGAAAAUGUACCAGUGAUGUUUUAUCAAGGAUGCCUCAUUUAUUUGUCCUUCAGGCUGUUUCAUCUGCCCAGCCAGAAUGGAUUCAGGAAUUGCUCAACUCAUAUACCACAGAUCAAAAAGCUCAACAAUAUUUGGCACAGCUUGCUAUCACUAAUCCUGAUGCUCAAGGAUUCAGUCUGGAUAAAGGUCUUAUCAGAUACAAAGGGAAGUUGUGGGUAGCUCAAAAUUCUGCUCUGAGAACAAAACUUAUUCAGGCAUUACAUUCAAGUGCUAUUGGGGGACAUUUAGGCAUCCAGGCUACUUUUCAGAGAAUCAACAAACUCUUUAUUGGAAAGGUCUCAAACAAGAUGUGGAAGAUUUUGUGAGACAGUGCUCCAUUUGUCAACAAGCCAAGCACUCUAAUGCCUUACCUCCUGAUCUGCUUCAGCCACUACCAAUUCCAGAAGGAGCAUGGCAGGACAUCUCCAUGGAUUUCAUAGACGGUUUACCCAAAUCAGAAGGCUUCAAUGUCAUCUUGGUGAUUGUUGAUAGGUUUACGAAAUAUGCCCACUUUAUUCCAAUUAAGCAUCCUUUCACAGCCAAGACCAUUGCUAGAGCAGUUUUUGAUAAUGUGGUUAAAUUACAUGGAAUGCCUAAAUCCAUUGUGUCUGACAUAGAUAAAAUAUUCACAAGUGCAUUCUGGAAGGAGAUGUUUCAAUUGCUGGGUACUCAAUUACUGAUGAGCUCUGUAUACCACUCCCAAACUGAUGGACAGACUGAAAGAGUCAAUCAAUGUUUGGAGAUGUACCUUAGGUGUGCAGUACAUGAGGAUCCAAAAUAAUGGAAGUCAUGACUACAUCAAGCUGAGUUUUGGUAUAAUACAUCCCAUCACACCUCUCUGGGCUGCUCUCCUUUCAAAGUCCUUUAUGGACAUGAUCCUAAUAUUGGAGCUUUUCCUGCUAUCUCUACAAACACAACUUUGUCAGUGACAGAGAUGAUUCAGGAACUGCAAGCACAGGCUACUGUUCUCAAGGAACACUUGCACAGGGCUCAGAACAAAAUGAAAGCCACUGCUGAUCGAAAAACACGUCCCAAGAGUAUCAAAUUGGCGAACAUGUGCUGCUCAAACUGCAACCAUAUGCCCAGACGUCAUUGGUGAACAGACCAUACCCCAAGCUUGCUUUCAAGUAUUUCGAUCCAUACCAGGUCCUAAAUAAAAUUGGGAAAGCUGCCUACAAAUUGGAUUUGCCGGAGGAUUCACAAAUCCAUCCGGUCUUCCAUAUAUCACAACUCAAACCUUUUUUACCUAACUAUACACCAAUUUUUUCUGAUUUGCCUAAGGUUACAGCUCUCGAUGACAAGGAGGUGAUGCCUGAACAAGUGUUGCAGAGGCGCUUGGUCAAGAGAGGCGGCAAGGCCAUCCAUCAGGCUCUGAUCAAAUGGACCAAUCUGCCGGGGGAAGCUACAACAUGGGAGGAUUGGUAUGUCUUGCAGAUUCGCUUCCCUGGCUGCCUUGCUGGAGGACCAGCAAGUUCUGAAGGAGGCGGAAAUGUCAGCGGCGUGGAAAGGGCUCCCGCAGUGUACACGUGCACUGCCUGUCCGGCGUGGAAAGGAUCCGUACCAGGUCCGACGUGGAUUGGUAGGGACUGGGUUUCUCGUCAGCGGCGUGGAAAGGCCUCCCGCAGGCCUGUGCACUGCCUGGGGCACGCGCCAUGGUUGAACUCCGCCCCGUCUUGAGCUCCUCCGCGUGGACCUCCGUCAGCCACCUCGAUUCGCUCGGACCCAUCUCAAUCCACUGCCGCAAGCCUCGAUUCGCCUCGAUGCGAAGCAGGUCGAAUUUUCCGGCACACUCAUCGUCGGGCGGCCGAGCAACCCGUGCGCACAAACGCACGAGGGCGGGUCGCAGUGUGCGGCGCUGAGGCCGUAGCUGAGCUUCUUGAGCCGCGCUGUGAUCUUGUCGAAGUGGACCGACUCCUGCUGCCCGUCGCGCUUCACCAAGUAUAUCGCGUCGCCGCCGCCAAUCCUGCCCGCGUUGGGCUUUCGGGAUGGAGGGGGAUCUUAGGAUUGGCUGGGGAGGGCAGGGGUGACUGGUGAGGGCGGCGCGGAUGGAUGGGGAAGGGGAUGGGAUGGGCGCGGCAGGAAGGAAAGAAACGGGAAAGAGAAGCAUGAUUCGCGGGCGGGAAUGGGAAGGGUGUGGCGAAAAAAGAGGCCAAUUUUCAACGACGAACGGCAUAGUGCACGUUCGACGGGAAUUUUUACAUAGGCCAAUUUUCAACGACAAACGGCAUAGCGCACGUUCAACGGGAAUUUUUACAUCGAACGUUCCGUUGCAAUAUCGAAAUAAAAUAUCUGUAACAUCAAAAAAUUUACAGUUACAACAUUAAAAAAAUAUGCAAAAAAAUGACUACGUCGUUCGACUCCAGGAUAGAAAAGUCUCACCGCAAAAUGAACAUUAUGCUUCAUACAACAUUCAUUAUGAAACAUACAGAACUAAUAGUUGCAACAUUAAUGUUUAACUAUUGAAACAUACGUUGAGGCAAAGAUUCCGAACGUCCGUACUGUAGCAUUACCGCACGAUGAAAUGUCUCACCCCUCGUUGUAAUCUUAUGCAUGGAACACAUUCCACCUGAACUGAGCCCUCUGUGAGAGAGGUUGGAUGGGUUUAGUCUGGAUGGAAAUUGACAUCAAUUCUCACUCUGUUUAGUAUUUUUUAUAGACUCGUUCUUUUUAGUAUUGAUAUAGAUUACCCAAAAAAAUAAGCAUGGGCGAAAAAACGAGUCCCGCUGGGCGAAGUUUUUUUUUUCAUGUGUACUUAUUUUCCACCUUGCCUUUUCAUCUUUUUUUCUCUUAUUUUAUUUAACAUUGCAAAGAAAAUCGGACGGCAUAUGGGUUUUGAUCAAAGCACCAGAUCUUAUUUAACAAUGCAAAACCUUGGGCGUUACAGUGUUGAGACUGCAUGGAAGAACACCAACAUUGCAGCGGGUCCAUACCAUAUCCCAAUAAAUCAGUAAAACAGUCCGAUCAAUCGGGAACACAAUGAAGCAUUUAGGAGUUACAGGUUAUCAUUGUCGAAGACGACAACCCAUCAUACCACCACAGUUAGGAACGCGCUACCCUCUGGAUUAGACCAUUAGAAAAAGUUUCAGUUUCAAUAAUGAACAAAUUGCAAUAUAAUACUAUCCCAAGAUCGAAGGUUUGAAUCUCUUGACAAUACACUUUGAAAAUAUCCCUGCAGGAAGCCAUGAGCUUGUAGAGCCAGACACAGGUUAACUGAUGUCCUGAAACUGAAGUUACCACAAGGCUGUCCCGACUACUACAACUGCUCGCAAUUAUUCUCCGUGGGCUCAAUUUAGAUCGCAGAGUCUGCGAAGUACUUUGUGUAGUUGUCGAGAACAGCUAUCUCGAGGCGUGCAUGGACCACACAUGAGGUAUAUCACGUUACCAAGGGGCCUAAUAUAGAUAUCAUCCUCUCUGCGGAGCUGUUGUACCAAGGAACUUGCAUAGAGUGACGCAUACCUGUACGAGGAAUAGUAUGAAACUUGUCGCAUAAUGGUAACAUCAUUUUAGAUCAGUGUACUAUUUUUGAAAUAAGCCACAGAAUGCUUCGUGUGCAAAGCAAACAAGCAUCAAGAGCACUCAAUGAUAACAGCGCAAUAUGCUAAGUCAUGUGAUCAUAAUGUUCAUCAGUAUUGUGGUGUUUUAGCGCAACCAUGUAUGUGAAUCUGGGGUUGGCCUCUCAAGAAGAUCAGGCUUGACAUCCUUAUCGUUUCAGCUAGUUAGCAUCAGGCGUUUUGUUAGUGUGUUACCAUUGUUAGUUGGAUUGUUAGGGAGUCAGCCAGCUAUAUAUCAUAGCCGUCAUUAUCAUCCAGGCCAAUCAAUAAAGAUCAAUCUACUGCUCACCUCUCUCUACUUAUCUACCUUACCUCAUCACCAUUCCCGAUGACCCAGCCACCCACAACCAGCAGUAAGACAGCCAAGAAGAGGCCAGCAACCUCCCGCAGGUAUCCCAUCAUGUCAUGUCACUUCCAGGAGAAUGUGACAAAAUCACCAUAUAGAGGUAAGAUAUGUAGAUACGAUGUCUUUGCUGGUAAAAGUUGCAUCGUAGAGUAGUUCUCCAAAUUUUCAGGUAUGCAGCACUAAUUGCCUAAAAUUCAACAAUGGUGACAACGGGCAGAGUCACAUACUAGUAUACAUAGUAUGUUUAGCAUCCUAGAUGCUUUGUUAGAAGCACUUUAAUUUUACUAGGUUUGACUACACUUUCUACUUUGGGACCACAACAUUUUCAUUAUAAUCAGAUUCUUUAUAAAUCAGAAAAAUCUUCUCCACAGAAAACUAAACUCCAUAUUGCUUAAAAAAACUAAACUCCAUAUGACCACAACAAAAACUCGACACAGCACAACAAUGCAAUAGCAAUCAUUGGAUGCUAGUUGAGAAGUUGUUUUAUGCAAAUAAAAAUACUGAAGUUCAUCAGUGAAGCAUAAAUGACAUACCCAGCAUCAGAUCCUUCAGCCUUGAGCUCAAUUGCGCAUAGAGUUCCUAAGGAGACUACUCUUUUCACAUUUGGUAGUGAUGAUAAUUGCUUCACAAGUGCACCAUCCCAUAGCUGCAUAUUGAGAGUAAACAUUUGCAUAAUUACAUGCAUGAAUUGGUGAUAAUGCUAAACAGAAGAGACAUUUGUAAGGAACUUUGGCGUAAUACAUCAACCUGCUUUAAUCUAUCUUAAUGUGAAUUAUUCAAAAAAAGACUUAUACCUAUUCAAUCAGCAUAAUUUCAUUACCUCCUUUAGCUUCAUAUGAUCCAAAUCAAGGUUCGAAUUGGUGGAUGGAUCCCGGUACCAUUGGAUGGCUUUUAGUGCUGCCAUACAGCCCAUGGCAUGAGCAGUAUAGGAAUGACCAUGUAAAAGCGCUGUAAGCUGGACCAGAUUAAAAAAAUAUCAGCUCUAAGCUGUAAAUCUGUAAUGCCACAUUCAUUGUAGUACUUUUGACAUAACAUCAACGAUCGUGCUUCAAGAUUGUAAGGCUAAGUAUGCAAAAACUUUCAAGAGGACAACCUUAGAGUCACUUUUGAAGGAUUCAAAAACUUCCUCCGUUGCUAAGGUUGCAGCUAAUGGCACAAUUCCCCCAGUCAUCAAUUUAGCGUAACAGGCAAUAUCUGGUAGACACCCAAGCAGCUCUGAAGCAGACUGAAAGAGAAGUUAUCAAGAUUAAGAAACAUACAAAUAAACAGUCCUGUUUUAUCCUAUGAAAAAUCUUGUCAUAUAUUACCUCCACACCUAGACGCCAGAAUCCGGUAAAUACCUCGUCAAAUAUGACAGGUAUUUUUCGACUUCUACAUUCACGGACAAGUACUCGCUGAAAAAGCGGAUCUAUCAUGAGCAUUCCCCCAGCACCUUGUAUUACUACACAAAGACGAAUUCAUGAGAUUGAAGCAGUAAAUAUGUACCAAAGUUCGUUAGUCUGAAAAGAAUGUGAACGUAUAUGGGGGGAUAAGAAGCUCAAAGGGUGAAAGUUUAUAUACCUGGUUCUAUAAUUAGUGCUGCAAGAUGGUCUGAAUUACUGGAUUGAGAAAAUUCUGAUAAUUGCUGUUUUAUGUAGGACAAAUAUAAAUCUGCAGCAGAUGAUGUGUCCCUGGUCUUGCAAAAAACUUCAGCUAGUGAAGGAAAACCUACAUUUUUAAUGAAAGAAUAAAAUUAAAUAUAAACCCAUAAGGAAUUUCAUCUGACAUGUCAACACACAUCACUGACAUGUAUCACCAGAAGUCCGUGGAUAAUGCUGCAUUGAUUGGGGCAAAGAAACAUUGCAUGUUUCACUUUUAAUACACACGGUUGGAGGAUCUAGAAAAAGUCCCCGACCAGAGUACCUACAAAAAAAACCCCUCAGGUAACUGAUAUCUAUGCAAGACGGAUACGUCACAGUGGCCGCGUAUCUCGUAUCGGAUAUGUAUCCAUAUCGGAUACGUGAGGGAUACUUAUCCAGGCCAUCAGGAAUAAAAUAAAAAAAAGUGAAAUCGGAUACUUGCAUCGAUACGUAUUGCGCCUCCCGCCUGCCAUGCGAUACGGCCCAGCCCACAAUUCCGUGACGUACCUUACCUCCUGGCAGUUCCCAGGGCCAACGAACACACGACAACACAUACGACAUGAAUACAUUGUAGGCCAUCACCGGACAUAGAUUGCACUAGCACUUACAGUACACCUCAAUAAAGCGACCUAUAGGAGCUGCCGAAAGUUUAUGCUAGUUCAACGAAAACUGAUUUAGUGUUCCUGGUCUUCUUGCUUUAUGUUUCCCAAGCAGGAACCAGAGUUAAUUCAUUGUCCUACUAAGUUGCUACUGCAUUUGACAAGUGCCUCGUAUAAUUUACUUUUCCUAAAAAAAUACUAAAACGUAUCCACGUAUCAGGUUUUUUUUGGAGAAAUGACGUAUCCGUGUAUCCGUAUCGGCUCAAUACUGAUACGCAUAUCCGUAUUCGUGAAGCAUAGACUGAUAUGAUAUCCAACAGCAAGACAGGAGGAUGAAAGUACAUAGGGCGUGCUCAAGGCUUAGCAAGUUCUCAAGACAUGUCUAGAAAAAAAAUUAGGCUAUCAAAGAGGAGGCUAGUAUUCAUGUGUGUUUGAAGGCACUCUCCCUAACACCCAGGUGCUCCUUCAGGCUAUACCUAAUGAAAGCACCCUGUGGUGCUUGGCUGGGGCUUCUAAACUCAGAGAGUUGCUUGCUAGGUCACUUGCACCAGCAGCUUAGGCUUGGUGCUUUUUGGUCUUGUUUUCCUGUUUUGUGUGGCGCUCCAGUGGAAAUCUUCCGGGGUGGGGUGUGUGUAGUGUUUUGUGUGUGUUGGGAUGUGUUCGGUACUUAGUCUGGGGGCUCUCCCCCUCUCUUUGUACUUCCUAUUCUCUCUUAAUGAAAUGACACGCAGCUCUCCUGCGUAGUUUGAGAAAAAAAAAGAGGAGGCUAGUACAGAAAAGGCAACAGUUGGCAAAGAGAACCAUUGAAGGAGAGUAUGAACUCCUAAACAUUCAGCAUCGUAAAGAGAUAGAAAAGGGUACAAUUUGAAAAGAAAACUGUAGAAGAGUAAAAAACUCCAAAAAUGUUCAGUACAGUAAACAGUGUUUGUGGGUGUGGAGGCCCCUGCCACUCUUAUUUCUGGCAUAGUAAACUACGAUUCUCAAAUUAAGGCAUACCAUGGCUGCUGAAUAAACGAUGUAUAAGCUGAUGGAGCUUGAGCUUCCAUAGCGCCCAGUGUAUCACCAUGAUAUGAACCGUUUAGAGCAAGGACCUACAAAGACAUUAAAUUAUUAAGUAGACAGAUCAGGAUGAUAAAAUGCAGGAUUACAAUUAUUACUCAACAUUCAUUUGUUAAUUCAUCACCUACGUAUAUCAAAAUAUAUCUGAAAUAUGAUAAAAGAGGUAAACAAAGAGGCAUCACUGUGAUGAAGUGGCUUGGCAGUGAUGAAGAAUAAACGAGGCAAAAGUAUAUUUUCCUUAUCCAAUGGUGAUAUUUUCUUUUCUUGAACAUGCAGGAGAAUUGGAUCUCGUCGUAUUAGAGUGAGAAAAAGUUGUUUGUUUACAACUCAUGUAAUGGUGAUGUAAAUUGCUUCAAAAUGUUAUCUUUUAUAUAAAUGAGAUUUUCUGCAUACAACUGGAGUCCUUUUGUAGUAUUAUCUGCUGAUUUAAUAUCUGUGAUAUAAAAGAGUUUUGCUACACUUACGACAAUCCACAUACGCCUCUGUAUGACCCGGGUUAAUAGCCAAUCGAUACGCUCAUGGUCAUCCAUUCCUUUUAUUCAGGUGGGUCUGGACUCUGGACAACUACAUCUGGUGUCUCGUUGUGCUCACGUCGUAGACAUAGCUUUACCAAUAUAUAUUUCUGCCACCGUAGGCCACAAAAUCCAAAAUGACUCAACAUGGCUGAAGACACGAAGUGGCCCUAGUGCCCCCCUAAACUUCAGGCAUGAUCAACAUGAUCCAUGCACUGCUAGUGCUAACUGCCUAACAUCUUGACUGAAACUCCUGAAGACUAGCACAAAGCUUGGCAAACUUAACUAACAGACUACUAACCAACUAUAAACUAACAGAGAAACAGACAACUUGACUGACUGAAUGGACACACAGGCUUUACACUAACAUGGCAUAGGUGACAGCAGCACAGUGAGACAAACAACAAGAUCAGAGUGACAGUUGCUGCAAGGGCUAAAGAUGGAGUAAACGGCAGAGAACAGUGAGCCCAGUGGAUAGGUACUGCUUGGUAGUGUUGAUGGCCCAUGUGCUCCUAGUAGGGGGGCUUUGUCACAGUGGUAUUGAUGAACUUAGAAAGAGUCCUGAAUGGCUGUGGCAAAGGAAAGGAGGAUGCUGACCAACACAUCCAAUUGGCCUUUCCAAAUCUUCCAUCAUCACAGAAUGGACUUAGCCAACCCAGAUGACCAGAUGAACAAAAUAGGUACAAGGCAGCAUUGGGGAAGAUGUUGAUGUUGGCAAGAGAGGAUCAGGGUCAAUUCCAGUUUGUGCAAAGGGUUCAUAAACUUGCAAGGAUGAUACCAUAGAAUCACAGUUGAUACAGGCCGCCAGAGAAGCAGCAAGGGAGCAGCAACUGUCAGUGUGAAGGAUUGUGCAGGGGGGUGCAGCCCAACAUGUGUGGCUAAGGAAAGACAUUGUCAACAUAGCUGUGUGCAGUGCACAAGCUCCCCUCCUGUUCUCUCAAUCAAAAGUUGCUGUCAACAGCAAAUUAGAUUCACUGUUAAAAAAGAGAUAUGAAUGUAGCAAAAAGAGAGAAACAAGAGGCUUUUUAUGUGAUCACAGAAUACGGGAGUGUACUCUAAGCAUGUGUUUGGUUUGGGGACCAAGUGGAAUGGAUUGGCUCCGUCCCUGUUUUGUGGGCUGGAUUCGACCCAUUUCGUGUUUGGUUGAGAGGGAUAGGUCAGUCCCAAGUUUUUGUUUGGUUGCAAAGGUUGAGAAGGGAUGGGUUGGAUGCCAUUGUGACACCGUUAGCAACAGUAUAGAGCCCACCUGUCAUUCUCUUUUAUUUGUUUUUUUUUCACCUUAUCUUCUUCCCCACCACUCGCGCCGUCCUCCCCACCGCUCUCCUCCCUGCGCCGCCGCCCUCCCCGCUGCACCGGCCGCCAUCGCCCGCAUGCGCCGCCCUCCGUGCCCCGUGCCGGCUGCCCGCCGUCCUCCUUGCCCCGCGGGCGUAGCUCGAGCUCGCCAUGGCCAGUGGCGGAGCCCAAGCUCGCGUCGGCAGGCAGUGGGUAGCGGAGCCCCCUAGGGUGGAGCUCGUCCUCCCUUCGUGCGUGCGCUUGCCCGCGCCUGACGAAGGAAACGUCGAACGGAAAGGGACGAACUGGGUUCGUUCGGUCCGCUCGAUUUGGAGGAAUCAAACCAACCCGCAUCUAGGAGGUAUAUUCCCUUCUGGGUCCAUCCCAACCCACAUGAAUUUCAAACCGAACAAGGGUCCAUCUGGGUCCGACCCAUCACAACCCUCUUCAACCCUCAAACCAAACACAUACUAACUACCCAUGCAAAGGCAUUAUCUGACUUACAGCUGGCAAUAUAAUUUAUACUUUUGGACUAUAUGCAAUGCCCAUGGACCUUAAUCAUAAGGCUAUCCAUGUUCAUAAUGUUAUUGACUGGAUUUCAGCAGAAUUUGAUCUAAUUAAAGUACUAAAGAAUCCACAACAAAGGGGAAGUGUCUAUUUCUCAUUUAUGUUAUUGACUGGAUUUAUGGUAAAAUGAUUUCCCGAAAAUGUGCUGCUAAAUACUAAGUAGCUGGUUAUUGUUGUUAUUAUUUUCAUCUAAUCCAUCAUUCAAGUGAACAUAUUGAAUACUGCAGUUUUUGUGAUAAAUAUAAAACAACAUCAUGUAAAUAAUAAAAUCUGAAGAACAUAGUCCAAGCUGGUGAACCAGAAAUUCAAGCCUUAACUCCAUAUACAUUGUUACUCCAUGAAAAUUAUAAUAAAGUCCCUUGCAUUGGACUCUUUAAUAGUUUGGUUGACAAAAUUAGGCAACAAAGACAAGGAUGUUCAGCGUAAGAGUAACAGACCUUCAACUGAAUGUUUCUUUCAUUUCUUAUGCUCUUUUCACUGUCCGCAAGAAUUCCGUGAUCAAGUGAAAAUUUACGGAAUGCCAUCUUUAGAGCAAUUUCAACUGCAGUGGAUCCAUUGUCAGAAUAAUAGACCCGAGAAGCCCAACCUGACAUAAAAGUGUGAUGUGAGCAAUGAAUGAGAUGCAAUGUGGAUAGAGUUGCACAGAUAAAUGAGAAAACAUAACUAUGACACGCAUUAAGGCACAUAACAUAAAAUAAUGCCUUAUUGCACAAAGUCAAAAGAUUGUCGUGACAUAUAUAUGCAUGUUUUUAUUUGAUGUACACGUCCUUAUAACUGCCUCCUUUAUUGCAGUAAACGCGAAGAGAUCCGCAUCAAUUUUCAAAGUCAUCGUAAGCCCACCAAGGAUGUGCUUUUGCCAUUGAUAAGGUGGCAGAACAUCUUCUGGGGUGGAAGGCAUCUCUGAUGAAUAGGGCUGGGCGCUUGGUAAUGGUCUGAGUGGUGAUGAAGCCACUCCCAUUUACCUUAUGAUCGCCAUUGAUAAGGUGCAAGCAAAGCAUUCACGAACUGCUUGGGACAGUGACUGAUGAGUGUAGUUUCUUUCAUGGCAGGAGCUUCUAACCCCAGGAAUUCCUCGUCAGGUUGCUGAACCUGGCAGCUUAGGCUCUGGUGGUCCUCAGUCAUGUUUCUAGUUUGACUGCAAUGUAGUUCAUGUUCGGUGCGUGGGUGGGUGGGAGUUUUCUACUUGGGUUGGGUCUUAACUCUUAACUGGACUUGCACUCCUUUUUUCUAUCUUUAUUGAAAUGACAUGCAGCUCUCCUGCGUCGUUCGAGGAAAAAAAGUAAUACAUCGUAUUCAUUAUAUAGUAGAAUGCAGAUCAAAAUGAGCAAACAGCUACAAUAAAAAGAAGAGAAGGUAAAAGGACCAACCUUUACCAACUCCUCCAAGCAAAAGUUCCGCAGCACGAAGAGCAGGCUCAUGAACAUUCUCUGGAAACAUCACAUGACCAUACCUUGCAGCAGCAUAACCCAUAUCUCUUGCAAGUUCAAUCUAAUGAGUAAAGAGAAGUUUAGGGCUUUAGGCUACAAAAUUUCCCGUCAAAGUUUAAGUGCACAAGUUUAGGCUACAGAAAUUGCCUGUCAAAAGUUCAAACACACAACUUCAGCAAUAAAAAACUGUAAAAAAAAGCUUUCUUAGCAAAAAAGAAAAGAAGAUAAACAAGAAAAUCAUUGAUUCAGGGAGCUGAGGACUACCUGCAAGUCAGAAUCAGGCCCCUGAGUCCACCAACUUGCGCAUGCAUCAAAUUGAGGGACAAGCAUCAUCGUGUUGUCUUUAAUCUACAUAAAAAAUGUAGAAACAAUGACUUUAAUGUUUCAGCCACCCUUGCAGCACAAUAAGAUUUUCAUUACAAUUUUAUUUUCUGAAAAAUUAGAAUAGAAAACUGACAUACCUUGUAUGCUGAGAAAUUCUCACCACAACGUGAAUCAAUUACUGUAACAGAAUCUUGAGGAACAAGAUUGUGCUGAGUAAAGGGCCACCACAGUAAAUCUUUUGAUUUUUUUUGCAUGCCGUUUAACCUCUCAACUCUUUUUGAAUGAAAUGAUUGCAGGGAAUCCUUAAGCAAAUUAAAAACGGAGGAUGAUUCAGAAAACCAAUCUGUUAGGUCAUCUGAAGGAUCUUCAGGAAUCUGUGGCAAGGCAAGCACAUGUACCCUAAACAACAAAAUCGAUAUAAAGUUGAAAGCUGUCUUAUCUAAGCAAAAGUAGAGCGGUGAACCACUCAGUCAACAAAAUAAUAGAAUUAAAUGAGUGAUCAAGAAUAGGAACCUGUUUCUUAAGUAAGAAAGCAAGAAUGUGUCAUUUGUUAAGUCACGAUCUUCCAAAAUAACUGUGCUCACAUCAUACCCUCUUAGCAACAAAGUUUCAUAUGCAGACAAAGUGGAUGAAAUACCACCCAGACGACCAUCUCCAACUAGAAUAGCAGGUAACCUAAAAGGCCUGCCAUAAGUUGCAAGUAAUUAAUAAUAGCCGCCCAAAAGAUCAACUCAACACAGAGACAUUUAAUAGGAAGUUCAAGCUAACAAUCAGAAGGUGAAUUAAGAACCAAUGUAACAAAAUCAAGGCAUUUUAAAUUUUAUCUGGCAUGUUUGGAAGCAUCAGCCCAACUGCUAAGUUCAGAACAAAUGAGAAUAUGAAAAUGUGGGGAAACAACGAGAAAAGCAUGCAGAUCAUUACAAGCACAAUUACUACAAUUCAGUACCGAUGGCAAAAUAUGUCAGGAGUAACCAGAAACUUGAGUAUGUAAUUGAUUACAGAGCUAUUAUGACAUGGAAUUGCUCCAGUGCAUGAACAGCAGGAAAAGAAACAGAAUCUGUUGAAGCAAGAGAAGGCCAGACAAAGACAAUUCUGAUGGUCCUUCAGAUGAUCUCCCAAAGUGACAAAAUGGGUACAAAAGAAGAGAUGAAUGAGACAGAGGGAUUCCUGACAGAUCCUCUCCUAACAACAAAGGUGGGGUGUUUCUCGAGAUUUAUAAUACUCGAGUGAUUCUCUUGUGCCUUUCCUCAUUUCAGAUUUAGACUCACCAGGGCCAUAUGAGUAUAUGACUAACCAUAAGAGAGAUGAUGGAUCAAAAUGCAUAUUAGCCUAUAAGCACAACUGUUUGAAUUUGGUAACUUUCAGGCUUAUUUUCAUAAGAUUGUAAAAUUUUAACACUCCCCAACAAUAUUCCACAGACAACCUAGUAAACUUCUAGAAUAGCCAUUCACCAUGAUUCUGUCUAUCUGUGGCCAUUAACCUUGACUACUAUUUCCAGUCUGCAUGAUAUCAUCUUACUGAAUAGCACUGGACUGCAAUUUCGAUAAAAGUGCAUACUAAAUUGUACUCCCAUUGAACUACUUUUCACAUCGAAAAUAUGCAACACAGACAUCAGAUAAAUUAUCUUGAUCCUGAGUUAUAAUGUACAACCACACCAGGCAACAAACAAAACCCAAAUGUCAUUUUACAUUCCGUCCAAGAUGCUCCCUGCAUUUCUUUUUAUAAGGUGUAUUAGGAUUUGAAAAAGUCAACAAAGAAUGUUGACCAACAAUUCGUCGAAUUCUAUGCAUCCAUUGUGCACAAAAGUUGUAUCAAUGAAUUCAUAUUUCCUAGAGCUUGUAAAUUGUAAUACCACAUUGAUUUUAUAGCAGUCAGUGAGGUCUUGCAAGAAAAAUUAAUGGUCAAAGUAUGCUUCAAAUGACUUUUCUACAUCCUAAUGCUCUCCUAUACAAGGAAACUGGCUAACUGAGGGAGUUGAUGAUACCCGAAUUCAAUAACGUAAAUCAAAGAAACAAGCAUGUCCGAUAGCUGAACAAGCUGCAAGCAGCCAAAGCACGCACCGGUAGAGGUCGCACUGCAGCGUGCCCGACGCGCUGGGGCUGGCCACGCCGCCAGCCGUCUCCAGCACCUUCCACACCUCCCCACCCUCCCCGACGCCUUCCUCCAUCAGCCACUGGUCCACGCACCCCCUGACCUCAUCGUCCCCCGCCGCCAUCCCCUCCCUCUCCGCCGCCAGGUGCGGCGACACCGGCUCCCGCCAAGCGUACACCGUCCUGCACGCGAGCACCUUCGUCUCCUCCUCCGCCCCAUCCCCUCCGUAUGUCACCACCUUCUCCUGGCUCUGGUGGAGGGGUUCCGCCUCCGGGCCCACGGCAGGGGACGGGAAGAGGGUGCGGCAUGAGGCGACGAGGCGGGUGGCGCGGGGGGAGGAGGACGCGCGGAGCAGCGCGGGGGCCCUGGCGAAGACGAAUCGCGCGUCGGAGUCCGCGGGGUAGCCGGUCUGAAGCGGCUUGAGGUAGCUGACGGCCGAGACGGAGGGAGAGCGGGAGUUGAGGAGGGCGGCGACGAGGCCCGCGGAGACGAGGGUCUUGCCGACGCCUGUGUUGGCGCCGAAGACGGCGAAGGUCGGUGUGGAUAGGGGCACGGUGGCGGCGGCGGAGGAGUAGCGGCGCCGGUGGCGGGAGCGGAGGAGGAGGCGGGGAAGCAUGGCGGCGGGGAUGAGGUGGGUUUUGGACGGGGUUUGGGAAGAGGUUGGUGGCGGUGUGAGCUUUGGAAUAUCCGCUAGCGAUCGGUGUUAAAAAAAAAGUCCAAUUUACCCGAGGAAAGGUCCAAUUUAGGCCACCGAUUUACUUUUGGUGAAUGCAAAACCAAUCAGAUUUAAAACUGCUAACAAAGUUUAUUUAACCCAAAAGGAAUCCUAAGCAUCUACCAGAAAACUAUAGUAAAAAAACAGGUGUGUUUUCCCUCCUUGUUGUAACGCCUCGAUACCAUUAUUUUAUGAAAAAAUUGGUCGCCGGACACAGUUCAAAGCUGGCUUGCCGCAAACCAUUGGAAAUUGGUGUCACUGCUAAAAUACAUUGUACAAGGGUGGUAAUUUGCUGCUGAACACCGGACCUAUUAUAUUGUGAAUUCUAUUUUAACAGAAAAUUGUAGGAAUUUACCUUUCACCCUUGCCUCACUUCAAUCCAGUCGUGGGGAGGAUGGGGCUCGGUAGCGAGUUGCAUGCGUGGGCAAGGGAGGAGCAGGAGGGUGGCUCAGCACGGUGGAGUUGAAGACGAAACGGGCAACCAUGCUCCAUCCGCCAACUUGGUUGAUUGGAGUCAUCAGGCAGGUAAAUGAAAGGCAGAGAUAGAUUAGUGAACUCUAGCAGCUUGAUUUAUCUAGGAGGAUGUCGAUUCGGGUUGGCAGAGCAGUGUGAUUUUGGUGAGGGGGAUGUUCACAAGCAAACAAGAGCUUGAUUUAGUAGGUAGGUCACUGAUUUGGUUUUUUUGGGCGUGUGGGAUAUAUGGAGUUUCUUGGUAGGUUUGUUGUUAUGUUUCCAUCUACAUCUGCACAAUGUUGCGACCAUUGUGCUCGUUCUAUGCUAUAAUGGUAAUCAUUUCUUUAAUGUUUAAUAUGAGAGGUACGUUUCAAUUGGUGAUAUUUGAUGAUGCAAUGGUUGAAAUAGAUAAUUUUGGAAUGUUGCUAUGUUUAGAUUAGCUUUCUUUGAUAUCGCAUCAGGUUUUUUGAUGUUGUGAUGGGUGUUUUGAGAUAUUUCAAUAGCAAGUUUUUUUUAUUUUUAGGUUAAUUGGAUAUAUGCCAUUACAAUUGUCACGGUUUGGAGAUAUGCAUUACAAAUCAUGAAAUUGGAAACUUGCCAUUACAAUUCGAUUGCUCACCGAAACUUGCCAUUAUAUACGCCCCGUGCUACGUUUGGGCCCACUUGCAGGUGUUGUAGACGUACCCGACAUUUUAGAGGACAGUAUUGCUCCUACGCUGGAUGAUACAGGCUGAGUCACACAACCCGAUUAGAUCGUAUCCUUUCAUUCCCCACCAACCCUCUCCUCCUAACAAACCCUAAUCCUAACCUAGUGACUAGAGGUGGCUGGCCCAUCGAUCCACAGGAGCGAUGAGGGAGGCGGCCUAAAGUAGAUGGAAUUCGAGCCUAACUGUCGUGGUGCGGCGGCGAUGAUGGGCAGUGGUGCGGCGAUGGAGGACUGCGAGGCAAGGUACAGGAUCUAAAUCCUUCUCAAUUUGGUUGUGGUUUGGGCCUACCAGUCGCAAUGCAGUAGAUUUUUUUCGGUAGGAUUGAUAGGUUUGUGCCCAUAUGUUUCACUUCUUGUGUUUGCUGGUAGGGUUGAGUUCUUCUCGCUAGAGAUUAAGGUGGAAGGAUUCUGCACAACUGACUCUUUGGGUAGGAAAUCAUACUCAAAAGGGAUAGUGAUUAAGUGGAAUGUGGAGAUAGGCACAUUUACAUUUGAGUUGCUGAUGAAUACUUUGAGGAAUGAAGUGAAAUGGGCACCUAAUCAGGAUGCCACAGUGUGGUUCUUUGACAAGAGAAUUAGUGAGGAUGUCAGGCUAACUAAUGAAAUUCAAAUGCUUGACUUGUAUGAAAUGUACAAGUCUGAGAAAAAAUUUAUGUUUAUUGUCUGUGACAACGCCUAAAUAAGGUUCGGAAGAGAGAUUUAUGUUCCUCAGAGACCUAUUGUCCUCUUACCCAUGAAAAAGAAACUUGUUAAUUUGGCAAUUCCAGCUUAAUAAUAUUUUGGCGCGGUGUGCUAUUUCCUGGUGCCUUCUAUUCCUACGAUCGAUGAUAACUUAUUGCAUAGUACACGAUUGAUGUUUGGCAUGUGGCAAAAACAGAAAUACGCGUACUGACUGCAUUUAUAUUGAAUUCAAUUUUUGACAGCGUUUUUGUACUGCAGAAUAUUAAUUUCACAGCGGUUCUUUGACCAUGUACAUUAGUACUGACCAUGAUAGCCUCCCAUGGAUUGUGAGCCCGUUUCCUUCCUUCCCUCGCAUAUGCACCCGUGCCCCGUGGCACAACCUACUAAGAGUCCACAACCAUUACAGAAUGUCCUCAGUGCUCUGGUCUAUUUUCCUCUCUGUAUUAAAUUGUUACUUCACCAAGGCUCCAACACACACACACAACUAAUUUGUGAAUUAUGAUUUUUAUAAGUUAUAACCAAGGAUGCAUCCACUGGUGUAGAAGCAUCAAUCCCAAUCGGGCCAUCACUACCUGCCUGGUAAGUGUGCCCAUGCAUGUGUGCUUUCAACCACGGCCUGCAACCCUAACUCACUCCAACUACGAAAGAAAGUGAGAAAGAAGACACCAUCAGAGAUGUAGAAUUGAAAUCCAUCUCCAAUAUGGUAUUAGAGACGGGUCUACAAUGUGCUUAUCCUUGCCGGCAGUAAAUGGAACAUAUUGCUUGCAUGUGAUGUGCUCAUAGCAUGCUGAAAGCAUUGAUGCGUUUCACUUGAGCGGCGUCUUUGAAAUAGAAACCAUCCUAGACGUGGCUCUCUCCUCACCACUGCUGCUACUGUUUGACCCUCACCACUCCGCCUCCAUUAAUCAUGACACGCCACUUCCUGCAAAAAUGGCUUAAAGUACUCGUCGGCUUGAAAUUUCGUAGGUCUAUCUUAAUUGACGAGCUCCGUACGAAGCAGUAGGCCUUGAUGUCACUGAUAUGCUAUCAUAUUUUGAUAAUGGAAACACUGUGUUGCGCUGACAUUUGGGCUACGUAUACAAGGCCUCUGAAGGUGACAUUUUAAAGUUGAUUUUAGCAUGUUCGAACUAAUAAUCAUUCCUCCGGUGUUAGGAAUACAUGAUGGUUAAUUUCUUAUCUGUUCUAAUCAAAAUACAAAUAGAAAUAAUUUUAUAUAUAUGUAACCUAUAUAGAGAGAGACACGAGGACGAAUCAACUAAAAUACAACAAGUAGACUAGUUAUCCAAAUUGUACUAUAUCUGUAAUAAUUACGAGAAAUACGAGCACAUUUACUGUAGCACGAGCUGUGUGGUUAUUUGGCUAUUACAAAUUAGUAGGCGACUACCCGGAGAGGGCUCUCCCCCAUAAGAUUUGGUCGAGAGUCCUCAGGUCUGCACAUAUCAACAUGCCGUUUGCGCAGAAAAACAAAAGAAAAGAAACUGUGCAUGCCUUGAGUCCAUCUUCCUCAGCCCGCUCCUGCCCCCACGGACCUAUAUAAGUGCAGCAUGCCUUACCUAUAUAGCAGCUCUGCCCACAAUCGACAAUUAUGUUCUGCAUAAGAGUACAAUUUUGGCCGGUUUUUCUGUUCAAGCUAACACGUGGUAGCCGGUGACGACCCGGAUUGCAAGACGCAAUGAUCAGAGCGGCUACCAGAAAUUGGGUUGCUCCUCUCAACGGCAUCAGUUGUGCACUACGAUCAUCCACUGCUACCCAAGAAGAAGCAUGCUGGUGGUACAGAAGCUGAUAGUGAUGUCAUCUUUACGAUAAGCUAUUUCCUAGUACCUUCCAUUCCUAUUGGACCCUUUUCACAACUUGUCAACAGCAGUACAGUUCACGUUGUUUCUCCUCUCGUAGUGCGUUGGUUUUGGUGGUGGGCAUAACAAGGGCAGAAUGGAGUAGUAAGAUGGUUAGGGUAUCAUAUAUAGUGGUACAGCACGGGGUGUUGUCCAAGCAUUAUGUGAUUCACUAGACAUUGUUGCUUGGUAGGUUACAAUUUCACAGGUGUGUGCGUUACUAUUGCAUUACAUCGUGCUGCCGCCUACUGCACAUGUCAGGUAUAAUUCAACUUUAAAUUUUGAAACUCCAAAAGUGCUCCAACGACUGUUCGGCUUGAAACUUUAAUUUGCAGCUUUAUCUGAAAUGAUACAUGUAAAAUUCAAUCCUAAAUUUCAAACAGAAAAGAUUCAAUCUAAAAGAUGUUUUUUUCAAGUACAAUUUAAAAGAUGUUGGACCCUCAAUUUUUUUUCUAAAGUAUUCUUGUUUCUUCGCAAAAACAUCAGAGAUAUAUCAAAUUUGCAACUUCUAAAGUUUAUAUCUGAUGAAUCAUUUAAAAUGUACAAAAUUAAAAUUUUAGUAGGCUUUUACAUCUAAAUGAUGGUACAAAGGUUCUAUGAUAAGAAGAUCAGUUGUGAAUUGAGCUAUCUUAGUUUGUGUCAACGUCUAUGUCUAUACUGCGUAUCAUAAAGAAAAAGGUAAAAAAACAUAUUUCAAUUACAGAACAUAUAAAAGAUGACCUAAUCCUAACCCUAGUUUAUGAGUCGGUGCUAUCCAGUUGAAGCAGCAUAUAUGCAGUGCCGGGACAACCUUCUCGUCGCCCAUCUUGUUGCAGGACAUGCACACCGCAACAAUCCCCUGGAGUCCAGCCCUAUAGGGGCUAGAAGGUUGGGUCAGUGUCGGCAACGUAGUCCUUCUCUUUUUCUGUGAUGCUACCGCUCUACAAUUCCAUCAUAAAACAUGCAACUAAGAGCUCGUUUGGUGCCGCUCCAUCCGGCUCCAGCUCCUCACUACUAGAGAAUUAACUUUAGAUACCACCCUCUUUAGUCUCGAUUUAAUUUCGGCUCGGGAGAAAAGGGGGUGUGCCACGGUAGGCUGGAAUGGGACGCACCUUUACUCUUGGUUCCUUUUUUGCAACCGGGACUACAGGACACCCUUUAGUCUCGGUUAAAACGGCUAGUUUCCGGGCACCGACGACGCCACCCUUUACCCCAGGUUGGAGCCACCAACCGGGACAGAAGCUUCAACCUUUUAUCCCGGUUGGAGUUACCAACCGGGAUAAACGUUUUACUCCCGGUUGGUAAUUCCAACCAGGAGUAACCACCAACCGGGACAAAAGCUCUAAUCUUUUGUCCCGGUUGGAUUUACCAACCAGGAUAAAAUCUUAUCUACAAGCACCCUUUCUUCCACCUCCACUCCUCCAGCCCGAGCCACUCCACUCCACAAAGACAGAGAAACUCAUCCUCUCCAUGGCGCCGAAGCAAGCCUAGGGGAGGUGCUGCUGAAAUUUUUUUUCCUCAUUUCAGUGGGGAUUUCACCAAUCCAAAAAGUUAUGAAGGUUAGCUACUUCAUGCUCAUUCAUUUAUUGUUGUUAAGCUUUGUUUUAUACUUUAGAGAGGGAGAAAAAUUAGUUUGUUUGUUGUUAAGCAUGUAGAGGAUUUGUAUUUAUACAUGUUUUGGAGCUACAAUGUGAUAGAUAGUUUGAAUGUGAGGGAGAAUGGAUAGUAAAUGUGAGGUAGAAUUGAUAUUAUUUUAAUUUUAUUUAUUAGGAAAAAAUUAGAGUAAAUGUGUUUUUAAUACUUAUAAAUUAGCCAUAUAAAUUGUAGGUGUAAUUUGAUACUUUAGAGGUAUGCAAUUAGUCAUUUUUAGAAUAAGUACAUUAUGUGGGAAAUAUUGAAUUUUUUUAAUAGUUUAGUUAUUUGUAAAUUAAAUAUGAGCUAAAUAAUUUGUGUAUUUCUAUGUAAACUUUCAAAUAUUCAUUUGAGUUUGUCGUACUGUAUGAUGUUGUUUGAUUCUAAAAUUUUAAUUUGUGUAUUUCUAUCUAAAAUUGUAGCAAUGUGAUGGAUAGUUUUACUGUAAUCCAUUUUAUUGAUGGCUUGCGUAUUACGAUGCAGAUGGACCGGCAAUGGAUGUAUAACGCGGACAAGCGGAGCAAGGUGUUUAUUGUUGGCAUGAAUAAUUUUCUUGAAGUGGCUAAAGCGAACAAGCCAGAGAACGAGUUCAUAUCUUGUCCAUGCGCCCAAUGCAGUAACCAGAAGUGCUAUUUAGAGGCUUCCUGGGGCACUAUUCACAGCCACUUGUUUAGAUACAAUUUCACACCUAACUAUUUGGUUUGGACCCAUCACAGUGAAAGAGGGGUUGUAAUGGAAGACGGUGAGGAGGAGGAGGAUGAUGACAACAUUCCGGACUACGUUAUAGGCCAAUCUUUUGCGGAUACUACAAUGGGUGAGGCUGAUGAAGAUGAGUUUGUAGAAGAUGGCCAUAUUGAUGACCUUGGUCAGGUGCUUAGAGAUGCACAUAGAGAUCUCAAAACUCAGAAGGAAGCAUCAAAGUUGCAGCGCAUGACAGAUGAUCACAGGAAAUUGCUAUACCCAGAUUGCUAGGGAGGCCAUAAAAAGCUAGGUACCACACUAGAAUUUAUGCAAUGGAAGGACAAAAAUGGUGUGUCCGAUAAGGCAUUUCAGGGGAUGUUGGAAAUUGUCAAGAAGAUUCUUCCCAAGAAUAAUGAAUUGUCAUCCACAACAUAUGAAGCUAAAUAGAUUGUUUGCCCUCUGGAAUUGGAGGUUCAGAAGAUACGCACAUGCCCUAAUGAUUGCAUCAUCUAUGGCGGUGCUGAAUAUGAGGAUCUGGAUGUGUAUCCCAUGUGCGAAGCGCUGCGGUAUAAGAUUAGGCAAGAUGAUCCUGGUGAUGUCGAGGGGCAACCUCCCAAGAAGAGAGUUCCCGCGAAAGUGAUGUGGUAUUUCCCUAUAAUACCACGCUUGAAGCGCUUGUUCAGGAACAAGGCGAAUGUUAAGUUGAUGCGAUGGCACAAAGAAGAACGUAAGGAAGAUAAGAUGCUGAGACACCCCGCUGAUGGGGCUCAGUGGAGAUCAAUUGAUAGAGCAUUCCCGAAGUUUGAAGGUGAUCCAAGGAACAUAAGGUUUGAUUUAAGUAUUGAUGGAUUCAAUCCAUUCGGUGAGUUGAGUAGUGGUCAUAGUACUUGGCCUGUGACCUUAUGUAUGUUUAACCUUCCUCCUUGGAUGUGCAUGAAAUGGAAGUUCAUUAUGAUGCUGGCGCUUAUCCAAGGCCCAAAGCAAACCGACAACGACAUUGAUGUGUACCUAAGACCGUUGGUUGAUGAACUUUUACAACUCUGGAAGGAAGAAUGUGUACGUGUGUGGGAUGAGGAUAAACAAGAGAUGUUUAACCUGUGAGCACUAUUUUUCGUAACCAUCAAUGAUUGACCUGCACUAAGUAACCUUUUGGGAUAGACAAACAAGGGGUAUCGAGCCUGCACCCACUGCUUAGAUGACACAAAUAGCAUGUAUUUGAAGCAUUGUAAGAAGGUAGUCUAUAUGAGUUAUCGUCGAUUUCUCCAUGCUCACCACCAGCUGCGAGAAAGUGCGAUGCAUUUCAAAGGGGCGUCAGAAACUCGUAAAAAACCUUUACAUCGUAAUGGAAAACGUGUCUUUGAGAUGAUAAAGGAUGUAAGGGUAGUAUUUGGAAAAGAUCUUGGGAGCCAACCUGUUCCGAAUGACGAUGACGGACGUGCACCCAUGUGGAAGAAUAAGUCAAUAUUUUGGGAGCUACCUUAUUGGAAAACCCUAGAUGUCUGCAACGCAAUAGAUGUGAUGCACCUGACGAAAAACAUUUGUGUGAACGUGCUAGGCUUCAUGGGUGUUUAUGGGCCCUCAAAAGAUACACUAGAAGCAUGACGGGACCUUAAAGAAACGGGGCAAUGGGAUGACCUACAUCCGGAAAAGAGAGAUAACGGACAACAAUAUUUAAGUCCUGCUAGUUACACUCUCAGCAAGGAAGAGAAGUAUAGCAUGUUUGAAUGCUUGAAUAGUCUGAAGGUCCCGUAUGGGUACUCCUUGAAUAUAAAGAGAAUAAUAAAUACGAGGGGAGGCUGCGGGGUAUGGGUACCCUUGAAAGGAAAGUAUGUUUGAGCAAUGAUGCUGAUUUGUUCAACAAGGCACACUACACUGUUCUACAGCAAUCAACCUUUGUGGCUCCAUAUAUCGAUCAGCACAAGCAGAUGUUAGUUUUCGAAAACCCGGCGAGAUUCGAUGCCUGGCUUACAAGAACCCAUGUGGAAACUUUUCCCUCUUGGUUGCGCAAACAACUUAUGGGUAACUCUGAGAUUCACCCACAGCUUGCUUGGUUAGCCAGGGGACCUUCUAGCACAAUCGUGAAAUUCCAAGGCUACGAGAUAAAUGGUUAUACAUUUUACACAAGACCCCAAGACCAGAAAAGAACGAACCAGAAUAGUGAUAUCCGCAUAGAUGCCAUAGGCAUAAAUAGUAGCAUGGACUCUUAUUAUAGUUUCAUAGAGGAGAUAUGAGAAAUCGAAUACGGACCGCUGUGCAUCCCUCUGUUUUGUUGCUAAUGGGUGAAGCUAAAUGGCGUAACUAAAGAUCAGUAUGGAAUGAUAAUAGUGGACCUUAGCAAGACUGGAUACAGUGAUGAACCAUUCGUACUCGCCAAUGAUGUGCAUCAAGUUUUCUAUGUGAAGGACAUGUCUAGCACACCCAAGAGAAAUCUAGAACAUCCAUGGGAGCCAAAGUGCCACAUAGUCCUUCCAAGUAAAAGAAAAAUUGUGGGAGUCGAGGACAAAAUAGACCAAUCAGAUGAUUAUGAUCAGUUUACAGGUAUGCCUCCAUUUGCUGUUGAAGUUGACCCUAGCAUCCUGCUAUCUAAAGAAGAGGCUCCGUACUUGCGCCGUGAUCAUGAUCAAGGAACAUUCGUGAAGAAGAAGUUUUUUAAUGUUACAUUGUAAUGCGUUAAAUUUGCUUCACAUUUAUGAUUAAUUUCAUGUACUACUUGAUAUAAUUUCAUGUGUGCUUAAAUUAGUUGUUUUCGCAUGUAUAAAUUAUUUAAUUGAUAAUUUCUUGAUGACAGUGAUGCAGUAAAAUAAUUAUGUAAGAAGGUAAUAUAAGUAGUGUAGAAUUAAUGAGUCAUUAUUGUAAAUAUAAUUGCUAAUUAAAUAUAAUUUUUCAUGUUCGAAAUAUGUAAAGUUUUAAUUUUUGCUGCAUGAAAUCCAGCGAAAACAUAAAAAAAUUAUUUCCAAAAAAGAAGAGGGAGAUGAUAAAUAGGAGAGGGACAUUAUAUCCCGGUUGGUAAGGCCCUUUAUCUCGGUUCGUAAUUAGAACUGGGACAAAAGGGUAAAUUUUAGUUCCCGCCUGGACGUGACCUUUUAUCCCAGUUCUACUUACGGACUGAGAUAAAGGGUUGCCCUUUUUAUCCUGGGUGCAUCAAAACCGGGAUUAAAGGGAAGAGCUUUUAUCUCAGUCUCUUACAAACUGAGAUAAAUGGCCUGUUUCUCUCGGUUCUUCUUACAAACCGAGAUAAAUGGUAGGGGGGAUAAAAGUAACUAGCGUUUCAACUCCCCCUGUACCCGGUAACUUAGCAAAAUUUUUACUCCUCUAGCCUCCGCAUCGUCUCUGUCGCCGGCUCCGCGGGCGUCACACUGCCGCCUCCGUCCCCGUCGCCACCGGUGGUCUUCAUCCCUGUCGCCGUCUCCUCUCUGUCUACGCCGUCAUCCUCCACUCCAUCUGCGCCGCCGUUCGUCGUCGUCCGCGAGCCUUCUCCUCCAUCCGGCGUCCCGGCCGUCCUGCCUCUUCCGUCCAGCGCCCCAUCCUCGCUCCUCCGUCCACGCACCCCGUCCACCCACCUCCGUCCACCCCCCAUCCUCCCUCGUCCUCCGUCCGGCGCCCCGUCGUCCUCUCUCCUCGAUCCGUCAUCCGGCGCCCCGUCCUCCCCCUCCUCCAUCCGCGCGUCAUCCUCCAUCCGCACCUCGAGCCCCGAUUCGCCUCGCGCGCAUUGCCUCUGCGGCCACCCUCACGCCUCGUUGACCCGCGCCGCGCUCGCGCAAUUAAAACCUCAGCACCUACCGCUCUAGUAGCAUUAAUACGUUUGGCAUGAUGAUGCAAGGCAGUGUGAUGCAGGCAGUGAUGUUGCAAGCCUUUUUUUUUACUUUUUGCUAGUUAUAUAAUUGAUAGAAAAUUAUGGAUUAGUAAAAUUGCAUAGGAAGUUAGAAUAAAUUUGAUAGUGAUGCAGGCAGUGAUGCAAGCUUUUUUAUUUACUUUUUUCUAGUUAUAAAUUUAAUAGAAAAUUUUGGAUUGUUAAAAUUGUAUACGAAGUUAGAAUAAAUUUGGCAGUGAUGCAAGCCUUUUAUAUUUAUUUGUUUCUAGUUAUAAAAUUAAUAAAAAAUUUUGGAUUGGUAAAAUUAUAGUUUGAAUUUGGUAGUUAUAAAAUUUUCUAGUUAUAAAAUUUGGUAGAAAUUCUUAGAAAUUGUACUAAUUAGUACAAAUUUUAGAAAAAUUCCAAUAAAUUAGUAGAAAUCUCUAUAAAUAAAUUACGCUUUAAUUUUGAUAGAAUUCAGUAGAAAUUAGUAUAAAUUGGUAUGGUUUCACGUUGUUCUUCUAUGAGUGCAUGUAUGUACAUUAACUUCUAAUACAUUAAAGACAUUUCAUGUAAUUAAGUUUCAGUCAAGCUUUUUUGAGUAUUUUUUCAUGUAAGUUUUCAUGUAAUUAAGAAGUUUUCAUGUAAGUUUAAUUUCGUGUACAGUUCUACGAUUUUAUUUAUAUACCUUAACGUACAUGUAAUUAUAAUUUCAUGUGUGUUUGGAGUAGUUGAGAUGGCGGAUGAUGAGAAUGCAAGGUUCAUGCGGGAGGACAUUAUUGCUGUUAGAGAUCAUAACGUAACGUACACCAAAGAAGAGAGUCACCAGGCGGACACGUACCUCAACAUAUCCGCUGAUGGCAAUAAAGAGCCCGAGCAAAACCUUGCCACGGCGGAAGAUAUCGUCGAGGUAUAUGUCAUUAAUAACGUUGUACCCCAAGAAGAAUGUCUUCUUCUAUGUUAUUAUGUACUAAUUAACGAAUCUUGAACUGUUAGCCGUCUGGAUCGGCGAACCCUAAGAAGACACGAGGUCGAAGCAUGAUGACGGAUGGAUCGCAAAAGCUAGAGAUCACAGAAGUGUUAGAAGAUGGCAGGCUGGUUUCUCCCGUCGAUGUGGCAAACAAGUACGUGACUCAGCUCGGGGCUAUUGUAAGGGACAAUGUGCCCAUCAGCUUCAAGAAAUGAAGAGGAAAAAGCAAUCAUACGGAUGCGCUACCGCAAACAAAAAAGGAUACGUUGUGGGAACAGGUCAAGCAACAUUUCAUAUUUCCCGCUGGAUAUAUUGAAAAGGAUGUGAAAGCCUGGGCGCUGAAGAAGAUGGCCACAUAAUUUCAAACAUUCAAGAAAUUUUUAGUUUCAAAGUACAUUAAGGAGGACAAAACUCCAGAUUUCAACGAAUUUCCAAAGUUGAGCGGUCACUGGGAGGCAUUUGUCGAGUACAAGAGGAGCCACGAUGGUCAGCAAAAAGUCAACACCAAUGUUGAAAAUGCUAGUCAUAAGAGAGAGCACCAUAAGCUAGGGCGAGGUGGUUACAAAACAGCAGUGCCCAAAUUUCAGAAGAUGGAACAAGACCUGCUUGAACGGGGUAUCGUACCAGCAACUCAUGAAUGGAGUCAACGAGCUAAAAAUUGGUUUUUUGCUCAUGGAGGCAAACUGAACCCAGAGGAUGGGAUGUUGAUCUUAACUGAGGAAAUACGUCUCAAGGGCGAACAGCUCACCAAGAACAUUGAAGAUGUGAAGGCUGGAAGGUUGGUGGUGGAUCGAGAAAUGGAUGAGCUCACAUUGGCCCUUGGGAAUCCUGAGCACCUAGGACGUGUUUGCGGGUUCGAGAUCGUUCCGUGGAAGUACGGUUUCAGAGAAGACAGAGACUCCUACAGAAGCCGCAAUCGAAGAAAGGAUCAGGCUGAGCAGAGCUAGCGGCGCAACCUAGAAACUCAAGUGCAAUCUAUGGAACAAAGAAUGCAUGACAAAGUCAAUUAUCUAGUGGCCCCUUCACAAUCAGAAACACAACCCGAUCCACAGGACCAGUUCGCUGUUGAUUUCAUCAGGCAACGCACCUCCUGUGAGCUGCAUGUACCGGUUGGCAACUUGACUGUUAAGGUAUACUCUUAUACAUAAUUAAUAUUUAUGCAAUAAUCUUCUCAAGCCAUCGAUCCACCACGCAUCAGGAUUAAUAACAUCUUUAUUUCUGCUAUAUGUACAGGUAGCGUACGUGAGUGCCUUAUCAAGCUGGGCAACGCAGGCGAGCCAUGGCAUGGAGAUUCCACCUGGCUAUGCUAGUGUCUUGGUAGAGCAGCUCGUUGAUCGGCAAUAUGAAGGCUAUGAGCUCCAGCUCCCGGAAGGCGUUGGGGAGAGGACAUUAGGAGAUGUGGUUCAAGGAGGCAUCAUUCUAUGGCGCAAACGCUACAUCAUCAUCCCGGGCAUGGAGGCAGCACCCCUCCUGGAAGAACCCGAGCCACAACCAUCUCCUCAAAUGGCAAGACCAACUUCUCCACCACAGUCAAUUCCAGGACCAUCAUUGCCAGGACCAUCAGCACCAGGACUUUUAGCUCCAGGACCGUCGUCGAUGCAUGCUUGAGCAAAGUCUCCAUCUCCAUAUCUAGCUGGCAACGACGAUGACAACAACACUCCUCCCCGCUCACCGACGACGCCAGGAAUAAGAGCAGUCCUGAGCAAGGUACCUGCAGCCCCGACAAAGGAACCUGCUGGAGACCCGAUUAUGAAGUUGCGACCAACGGCUCCCAGGCCAGCACAUAAAACGAGGAAAACAAAUAAGGAUCCUGAAUUGACUCCUGAGGAACGCUGGAAUGCAAUGACUCAAGAGGAACGCUAGUCCGAAAUCCAAGCAGAAUGCAAGGAUUUGUUCAGGAAAAGGGCCGAACAAAAAAAAAGCAAGGGAGACGGAGCCACAACCAACAAUUGAUCCAACUAAAUUACAAUUUUUUCAGAAGAUGUCACAUUCAAACAAGGAGGUGAUGAAUAUAGGGAAAAAAAGAAAAGGAAAGUCAUCUUCAACUGCUGUUGAUCGCCGCCUUCGUCAUCUGCCAGAAGGAGACGCUAGAAGGAUAGCAGCAAUGCCGAAGUCUCAACAAGAUCAAGUAUUCCAAUUCAUGGAAGAAUUUGGAGUGGGACUUGAUCAAUGUAUAGAGCUAGGUGGUCACGAGCCAGCAGCUUCACUGCCAUUUCAACCGAGAUGGACGUUUGAGCUAGGAAAGCCUCUGGUAAGGCCGGAGUUGGUAGGGAGGCUAUCACCGAAGAUGUACGAAUUCCAUGAAUGGUACAUGAAGACAUCCACCGACCAGACUUCCUUGUUCGCCCUUAAGGUAAAACUGAUAGAUUUUUACGGCGAAGGCGAGAAAUGCCUCUGGCUGGAAUUCAAAGAUAUAUACGAAGUGUACCAUCAAGAUGCUCUAGAUGUCUCUCUCAUCAGCAUCUGGGCUCUGUAAGUAUCCGUUUAUCUUCGUCAUUAUUUUUUAUGCAUGCGUCGCCCUACUAACUUUGUCUUCCUUUUUAUGUAGGCGGCUAAUUCAGAAGUGCCGACAAGAAGGAUACUUGCAUGUUAGCUUCAUGGAUCCAUCCGUAGUUAACCAAACCCAACUACGAGAUUUUACAGAGAAAAUGUUGGUGGAAUAUUUCAAUAUGCUGGACCUUCAAGGUGGCAAGAGCUACAUACUACUUCCAUACAACUUCAAGUAAGUGUUUGUACGUACGUAUACCAUCUAUCUUAGUAUCGUUUUCCUUAUCUGACUAAUGAAUAUUUACGUACACAAUUACCAUUGAAUCCUAAUAGUAAUUGAGCCUGAUAGAAGCCGAGUUACUGUCCUCGAUUCCUUGAGGAAACCACUAUCGGAGUAUUAAGAGAUUCAAGACAUUCUACACUUGUAAUUAAUAAUUCUGGACCUUUACCUUAAUACAAAAGUGUGUUUCCUAAAUUUUCGCCUAACACUAUAUCAUUGAUUAUUUAAAUCCGUAGGGCACGGAAACAAUUCAUCAAAAAAUGACGCCAAGGUGCAUUCCAAGAAAAACUUACAUGGGACACAGACUUCCCGGUACGUAUGAAGUUUGCAUAUUUUGUACAUUCUAUAUGACGAAUAUUUUAUAACUUGUUUUUUUCCCACAGAAGUGCUUAAGAUAGGAACAAGGGAAUAAACUAUGUGGGUACUAUGUCUGUGAGAACAUGCAAAGUAAUCUGUCACACAAGGUCAGGUUGACGCCGUAGGAAAAACAAGAAGUACGUAAUAUAAAAUAAUACUAUUAAUAGUUAAUUAUUUUCUAUCUCCUUAUAUUUAAUUGUCCGUGUAACAUUAUUCACUUCCAAAUUACGGAUGCAUAAUAUUCGAGACAAGAUCUUGGAGAAGAAAAGAAUAGACACAAUAUGCAAAAGUCUCGUAGCAUUCCUGCUGGACGAGGUGAUAAAUCCACAAGGAGAAUUUCAUUACGGUGGAUGAAAUUAAGAAGCACCGAGCAACACCUCGACGGGAAGACCUCGACGAAGAUCCUAGAGCUAUAUAGCUAGCUAGCUAGGAAUUAAUUGUACUGUAUAUAUAUACUAAUCAAGAAUUGUACAUAUACUAGCUAAUUGUAUAACAAUUGUAUAACAAUUGUCUAUAUAAGUAUGUAAUAGUUAAAUUGAUUCAUUUAAAUACUAUAUAUAGUUUGAUUGAUUUCAUUAAUUAUAAAAAAACUCUCAACUAACUAAAGAGGUACGUGAUCCAUGAAAUUAUAGGCGCCUGCAUGGCGCUGUAUACACACACUUUAGUCUCGGUUUUUUUUACAAACCGGGACUAAAGGGGUCUGUCUAGCGCCUAGCGUGGCAGCCCCGUUAGUCUCAGUUGGUUUUACAAACCGGGACUAGAAGAUGGUCUUAUAUCCCAUUUCAGGGACCCAUGAUAAAAGACUGGCCUCCUUUUAUCUUUUAUCUCGAUGGGUUAAUCCCGGAUGCAUUUUCUGGAAAUAUGCACCCUACGAACCGGUACUAAUACCCAGUUCUCUAGUAGUGCCUGCACUAUGCGUGGUAGAGGUGUCAGAGGAGCUGGAGCCGGUGGAGCCAAAAUUUGUGGCUCCACCGGCUCCUUGCCGGUCUGUGAGGGGGGAAGGAGAAGAGAGAAAACUGGCUUCCGUGAAUAGUUUAGCUACAAUACAUAAACAGUAACGUGUUAGAUGGAGCUGAAGCCGAUGGGGGCUCCACCAAACUGGCCCUCAGUAGCUUAGUAGUAACAAUGUUAGACUCGCAUAGGCAGGUACGGUUACCCACGAUAGUUGAGCAAAACCUGUCACUUACUUCUCAAUGGACAACGGGGGAAGUAGUAGCUAAGAGCAGCCGGGGCAAGGCAGAUAUUAGAGGAAAAAAUAAACCAUGCAUAAUACAUACUAUGUCAAUAAUGGACCGAGAAUAUACAUACUACACGGUGAGGUGGUUUUUACUAUCCUAACAUGGAUAUCAUUUGUCGCGCUCCAUGGGUUUCAUUCAGAUGAAAAGUUCUGCUUGGAAAUUGGGAAUAAUACAAAAUUUCAAAUUUUGACAACUUCUAUACGGUUUCUAGCUUGCAGUGGUUGCUGCGGACGAAUACACGGCAAUUGUGCGCUACUCUCAUCGUUAAUGCUAAUGAGUCGCCAGACUUCCGGCCUGUUUGGAUGUAGGUGCUAAAGUUUAGCACCUGUCACAUCGGAUGUUUGAUACUAAUUAGAAGUAUUAAACAUAGUCUAAUUAUAAAACUAAUUGCAGAGAUGGAGUCUAAUUCGCGAGAUGAAUCUAUUAAGCCUAAUUAGUCUAUGAUUUGACAAUGUGGUGCUCCAGUAACCAUUUGCUAAUGAUGAAUUAAUUAGGCUUAAUAGAUCCGUCUCGUGAAUUAGACUCCAUUUGUGCAAUUAGUUUUGUAAUUAGCUCAUAUUUAGUCAUUCUAAUUAGCAUCCGAACAUUCGAUGGGACCCUGCUAAAGGUUAGCACCUCGUAUCCAAACGUCCCCUUCAUGUGGGCCUUCUUUGUUCCUAGGGAAUAUUUGGGUACAGAAUCCAACACAAACAGCUGCUGGGAAAUAUUCAAUGAUACCUAAUCGGAGAAAAGAAAAACCGGAUUUUGUAUUGCCUCGGAAUUGCUAGCGAUCUAGUACUGGUACCUGACCAUAGCCCCAAAGCAGAAUAUGUUAUGAUAGACUGUUGGAACUUGGAACUAAUGGUAAAAUCUCAUAUGUUUAGGUACAAGCUAGUUUCUACUAUGUUUAGCACAAAACUUACAUUGCACCAGACCAUGCGCACACAUACAUGACCCUUUUGAAUCAUCGAAGUAAGACCAAUCCCAGUGUGAUUUUAUUAUUAUUAAAAAGGUUGCCAUGUGACCAAUUUUUAUGAGGUGGAAAACAAAAAAAGGAGGAGGGAGAAGAGAUGGUUUUGAUAUGGAUGAAACUACUCGGGUAUUGUUUCAGAACAAGUAUUCUCCUGCUUGUGUUGCCUAUGAAAAAACUGAAAGAAACUAUUAAAAACAAUACACUCAAAGCACUAUGCCAAUAAUAAGUUAAAUGUUCUCUUUCUUGGAUGUUUUAGCUAACUUUUUCUAAAAGGGUUUCUUGGAUGUUUUUCAAUAGUUUUUCUAAAAAUGUUUCUCUAGAAAAUUUAAAGAAAUGUUUGUCCACAAAACUUUUGUAGAAAAUGUUUGUGGAAUUUGUUUAGGAAAAAAAUUUGUGUAAACUUCUCAAGAAAUACUUUUAGAAACCUCUUCAAGAAUAGUUUUAGAAAACUUUUUCAGUACUUAUUUUUAUGAACAUUUGUCAUGAAAUUUCUUUCGCAAACAUUUCUAUAAAUGUUUUUUUGGAAAACUUCCAUGGAAAUUGUUGGUAGGAAUCUUUUGCAUAAAUAUCUUUUAAAAAAAUUAUACAAAACUUUUGUACAAACAGUUUUGAAAUAUUUCUGUGUAGGUGUUUCAUAAAAGCUUUGUAAAUUAAUGGUUCUUCUAGACAAAUACUAUUCUUGAGUGAAUUUUGUUCUUCUUAGCAAAGUUAGCUAGUUUAACUCAUGAGCUCUAUAACGAGCGGUAGGCCAUGAUGUCACUGACGCUAUCACGUUCUGAUAAUGGAAACAUUCUCCUACUCUAACAUUUGGCCUAUGUAAACUAGGCCUCUAGAAGUGACUUUUGAAAGUUUAUUUAGGUCUUGUUUAGUUGCCCAAAGUUUGGAGGUGCAAAAUUACUGUUACAGCACUGUAGCACACUGUAACAUUUCGUUUGUAUUUAUGAAUUAUUAUCCAAAUAUUGACUAAUUAGGCUCAAAAGAUUCGUCUCGCAUUAUAUUAUAUCAAGUUGACUAGAUACCAAAUUGUAUUAUAUCUCUAAUAAUGACAACUUUGGUUUUUAUUACAAACAUAUUUACUGUAGCACUAGCCGCAUAGAUAUUUGACUAUUACGCCGUCCAUUAUAGUUCGUUUUGCUUUUUUAAUCUGUAGAUUUAUUUAUGUAUCUCGACAUGAUGUAUAUCUAUAUGCAUAUAAAAAACCUAUUAACCCAAAAAAACUAAAAUGACUGAUAAUUUAGAAUGGAGGGAGUACUUUAAAUCUCUAUCUCAAUGUAACAUGCUAUUUCGUAAAUAAAAGUCUCUUUAUUACUUUUAAGUAGGAUGGUACUGCAGAGCUGCAGAAACAGCAACAGUUUACUGUUAUCAAGAAACCAGCAUAGUAUCCACUGCAGUGUACAUCCACGGAUCAGCUAUAUCAGAAUCGUCAGAAUAUACAGUUUCCCCAGUCAUGACUUGGUUCUCAUACUAAUUCAGACUGGCUGCACCAAACAGACUGAACUAAGUAAAAAGAUACAAAUUUGGCGCUCCAAUUGACUUUCACAAGUAACAUAGUUUGUAAGUUCUAAUAACAGACUACCAAAAAUUCUCGCGGCGGUGUAAUGGUUAUAGCGCUAGACUCUGGGGCCGAUAAAACUUGGUAACAACUUCUUUAACACAAAAUAAGAGUAUGUCUUUUCCUCUGGUCAAGUUAUAUAACUCUUGUACAAACUUACAAGUGUUUAUCUCGGUUCUUACAGAUUACCUAACUUUACUAACGUCAAGGUGAUGGCCUGUUGAGGGUGUAUGUACAAGGCGUUACAAAUUACUCGUACCUAAUAGUUUUGUCGAUGUCUUUAUUGGUCGAUGGCCGGAUGCUGGCACGAGCCUUCAUGUGCUGUUUGAAGGAGCCGCCAUAUAAUGGGUGGGUAAUGGGUGGGCCGGUGACUCGGGUCAUGGUGCGCAUUAUGGUGAUAUGGAUAUGGAUAGUGGUAAAUUGUGAUAUCUAGGAAACAAGCCCUAUAUAUACAAUAUAUAUAUAUAUAUAUAUAUAUAUAUAUAUAUAUAUAAAGCCACAAAGUAGGUGCAUUUAUGGUCUUACUCUGCUUGUAAGUGUAAUUAUGAUUUUUUUCCUUGUUUUUUCAACUUUGCGAUUUUACCCUCAACUAUUCACACGUCACUGUGAUUUUACCUCUAGUCAACUGUCAAAACAGGAUCAAAUAUGCAAAGAAUAAGUCCAAAAUCACAUUUAUUUGUGAAUAAUUGAGGGCAAAAAUCACAGAGUUAAAAAAAGUAAAAACACAAUUGCACUUCAAACUAGGAGCAGGAUAAAAAAGACCUACUUUGUGUAUCCUUGGCAUUUGUUUGACCUACUUCUAUAAUUAUUGUCUAGUGUGCAGUACAUUUUUAGACAUCAGCUCACAUGUCCGAGCUGGACCAAGUUUUGACCGGUUUUGCUGUUCCAGUACGUGGUAGUCGGUGCCGACCAAUACUGCAAGACGCAAUGAUUCCAGCUGCCAUCAGAAGUGGGGUUAUUCGUCCAGCCAGCCACAGCGGUUGCAUAUGAAUAUUAUUCUUGUUAUCCAUUGCGACCCAAAUAGAAUCGUGCUGGUGGUACAAAACCCGACUGGGCGAUGUCAAGUUUUGAACAAGGUGUUCCCUAAUGCCUCCUAUUCCUAUAGAGAAAAAAAAUUGUUCUCAAACUUUUUCACAACUACAUGUCUACAGCAGUACAGACUUUGUUUCUCCUACAUAGUGUGUUGGUCUUGGUGGUGGUGAGAAAAAGGGCAUAGAGGAGUAGUAAGAUGAUUAGGGUAUCAGCUAUAUAUGGGCAAGGGCAACAGGGGAGCUGUACAAGCAUUGUGUGAUCUACUAGUCAGUGUUGCUUGGCAGGUUACAGUGGGACAAGUGUGUGAAUUUCUAUUGCAUUAAAUCUUGCUGCUGCCUAAUGUCUGGUAGGAUUCAUACAGUCAUCAUAUAGAGUGUUCAUUUUGUGGCUCAAGUUAGAAAGGUUUAUAUGGAAGGAAGUGUAGAACCCCUCUGUAUUGGAGUGAGACAGAAGAGAGUCAGUUGUUUGGGCUAGAAAUUAUCUAGGAAGCUGAAAGACAGGUUCAAGUCAUUAAAGAGAACCUAAGGAUAGCUCAAUCCAGACGGAAGAGUUAUGCUGAUACUAGAAGGAGAGAAUUGACCUUUGAGGAAGGUGAUUACGUAUAUCUUAUAGUAGCACCUAUCAAGGGCAUGUGUAGAUUCAAGGUUAAAGGGAAGUUAUCAUCUCACUUUAUUGGACCUUUCAAAGUUCUAGAGAGAAUAGGAGAAGUAGCUUAUCGAUUGGAGUUACCCAAUCAACUCUCAGAUGUGCAUGAUAUGUUCCAUAUCUCUCAGUUGAUGAAGUGUCUUAGAGUUCCAGAGGAACAAUUACCUAUGGAGGAACUGAAUGUACAAGAUGAUCUCACCUACACUAAAUAUCCUAUCAAAAUCUUGGAUACUCUAGCACGGGUUACUAGAAACAGAGUGAUCAAGAUGUGCAAGGCAUAGUGGAGUCACCGUGCAGAGGAUCAGGCAACAUGGGAAAGAGAGGAUGAACUGAAGGUAGAAUUUUCCCAACUCUUUGCUAAUCCAUGUUAGACCUUUGGUUUAUAUACUUAAUUAUAUUUUAGCCCUUAGUUUCUUUAAGUUUAGCCUCUGGAAGUUUAGUUUUCUCGUAGUUAAGCUCCUGAACCUUGUUUAGCUCAUAUCUUUAGUGUUUUAAAUCCGUUUUAAGCGAUUCUUGCUCCUAUGAGUUCAUGUUGAUGCAUAUAUUAGUUUUAUGGUCUUGUUUUUCUCUGUUGCUACUGCUUGAUGUAAUAUUUUCUUAUUUUAGUCCUUUGUUUGCUUGUAUGUACUUGCUUGAUGCGCAUAGAAGGAUUGCAAUUCGAGGAAUUCGAAGAGCAAGGCUUUGAAAACUUUGAGCAGCAAGAGCAAGUUCAGUAAGGCAAGUUGUGCCCUUGACUUUCAUGUUCAAUACACAUAUGCUAUGCACUUUAAGUAUAUAUAAACAUGAUGGGUCCUAUUUAAGGUGUGCCUAGUUUUAUCCCUACACCUUGAUCAACCUGGGUUUACUUUACUAUUGGGUUGUUCUUGCUUAGUUGCUCUAACUGGGUAAGGUGGUAUUAAUGGACCAAUGCUAACUUAUUUUAUUUAUGCUAUACCUUCCAUUAAUACAAGAUCACUAUGCUUAAUUGGAACAUGGAGAACCACCCAGGAAAAUAAUACAACCAUUAAAACUACAUGGUUCUGGUCUUGGCUAAUUAAUUAGAAAUUAUAGUUCGUGGUAGCUUUACCCGAAAGGGGCAAGAGGGGGAGACAGUAGUUGGUGUAUAGCCCGGCCCUCAGACUGAUAUGCUCUAUGGUAGCUUCGCAGUUUGAAAGAGUUUUAUGCAUUGCGUUGAUCAUGAAAUCUUAGCAAGCUAUCCUUACUAUGAAAUCUUUGUAAAGGCCUCGUAGCGUUCAUAUACAGUCACACCUUGAAAGUGUGGUAUUGUGCCUGGCCCGUACAACAUGGUUAGAUCUAAAGUUUUUUUAAACUUUUAUGCGACCUGUGGGUAAAGAUGUACAACCUCAGAGUGUAAAACUGUUCAACCUCUACAGAGUUGUGCCUGGUCCAACGAGGAUUAGAGGAGAGUGCAAAUUUCUCGACAUGUCUUGAAAAAGUAAUUCUGCUUUGUUCUUGUUCUUGAAAAAGACGCCCGGAGCUUGCACAUAGUUCAUGCACAAUAAUUGUCUUGUAUAAGUUCUCAAUUAAUAAUUACCUUAAUUUCAUGAGACAAAAAGUUUCAUGAAUUACACAAGAUCCAUGGCUUCUCACAGUUGAUCGUGCAAAUGUAAUACAAAAUCUAACAUAAAUAAUAAAACUUACUUGAACCAAGAUUGUACUCAAACAAGAAGAUUGUACCAAGAUUUGGAAAGUUCCUCGCACAACAUAUCUAACAUAAAAAAAUUCAAAGAAGUACAAAGAUCUAUAGCUUCAAUGAGGAACAAGAGGUGGAGGAGGAUGCAAACUAUUAAACACCAACUGACAGUGCGAACUUCAAAUCAACAAAAUAUUGGAGAGCUUCUCAUGGAACCCAAUGCAAGAAAAUAGCCAGCUGCUAGCGUGCUGGAAAAAUGUAAACACGCAUUAGAUGGGCCAUAACAAAGACUCGUCAGUGGUGAGUGGUCAUCACUGACGGGUCAACACAACCCGUCGCUAUUAUCAUCAUUCAUCAAUGACGCGUCCUGUUGGGAACCAUACCAAUGACCAUUCGUUUCAUUUCUUAUGAGUUACUAAUAGUUUGUCCCAACGUGAUGUCACAAAAGUGACUGGUUGUAGUAGGACCCUCCACUAUUAUUGUUGAAGAAGGGUUCUCUCAUUUUGUAACAAAGGGUUCACAAAAUGGACAAUAUUCACAAUACAUACAGCAGACAAAAAAGCUAAGAAGAUUUGCAUUCCUCAAAAUGAAGAAACUAAACCUGACCCAGAACUCCAUAGCUGAUCCGACUUCCCCCAUCCACCGACUUGCCACCUUUCUUGUACUCCCCAUAGAUGUACGAUGAGAAGGCCCAGAGACAAAGCACCAUCGCGACGCCUUUCUCGGCGCCAAAAUCGUCCCCAAACACCACCACGCCGCCGGCAACGUUCACCGCCAGCAGUGCCGUCAUGCAGAUGCCGCCGUGCAGUGACGUGGUCAGGAACACCGUGCCCGCCGUGCCGAAGAAGCACAUCUGCCAGCUGAGGACGGCCGCGCCAACCACCGCGUAGUAGGCCGCAGGUGACAGGUCCCACGUCGCCUCCACGCCACUCCAUGGGCCCUUGCCGCCUCCGGACACGGCCAUGCCGGCUCCCGACACGGUGGUGGCCACCGCCUCCAUGAUCACCUGCGCCUCUACAACCAUCCUGAACCCCGUCACCCCGCCGUGCCGGUACAGGAGCUCGGCCGCCGGCAGGUAGAGCGCGAAGAGCAGUGCGGCGCCGAGGGUCGCCGCUACACCGAGUAAAUAGUAGUCUGGGCUGGUGGCCGUGGCGUCUCCGGUGUUGGCACGACGACCGCCGCCGCCGACUUCUUCGUGCCGGAGCGCGAGCAGGAGCGAGGAUAGGGUGAGGAGAACGACGGCGUUGAUGUUGGCGAAGGACAGCGGCACACGGACGAGACCGGCGGCGAGGACCAGCGUGAACGCCAGCUGCAUGGAGAGGAGCAGAGACGUUGUGGACACGGGUAGGUAGGACGUGCCACACGAGUAGAGCAAGUUGUUGAGCCCCAUCACGAGGCCAAGUAGGACACAGUACAGGACCAACCGCGGCGUGAAGCCACCGAACAUCUUCCCCAUCGCCGGUGGCCGGGCCAGAAGGACGAGGAGGAGAAAUGGAAAUCCGGCGGACUGGACCAGCGUCGCGAGCCACCGGUCGGCGCCGCCGUGCGCGAAGUAGAACCGGGAGAGGAGGCUCGACGACAGCGAUCCGGCAAACAGCGCCGCGUAGCUGGUGGCCAGCAGCAGCGAGCGGCGCACGGCGCAGCGGCUGAGCACCGGCGGCACAUCGUCAUUGAGUGGUGGUGACAGCGGCAGCGGCGGCGCGCAGGGGAGGCGAUCAUGGUCAUGGGCCAGCAGGUGAGUACGGAGCUGUGUGGUCUUGGCGUCCAUGAUGAGCAGGGGAUUUGUUGGUAGCUAGGUUCUAGCGCCGUCUGCUGCAGAGUAUUUGAGGGAUAUUUCCAGAGGGUGUUGGUACAGAUUGGUGAGCCUUUGUUUAGAGCCCAGUUGGUGACACAUGAAGUGGACUCCAUGGAAUACAACGUCGAUAGUGGAGUGCAAUUAUUUGCGCCCCAAAGGAUGCUUUCACUGUCAGUGAUGUUUACAUAUAUACACACCUGGGACCCACAUUACGUUUACGAACACAUCCUUUUGCUUUUGUCAUGUUUGAGUAUCCCAUCAUAUCAGCAGUUCUCACUCCACACAAAUUUUAUAAAACAUGAAUAGCUUUCUCUCGAAGGACAAGUUCGUAAUUCAAUUUCUACGGAGCUCCAAUAUUUAUUUUCAGGUUCAAUUUAGCCCCUUGACCUAUGCUGGCCCCAUCCACGUUGGCAUGCCACGACAUCUAUGAUUCAUGCCAUUACAAUUUUCAAGAAUUGAAAAUUUACCAUCGGUUAUGUCACUGACAGGUGGGAGCCACCUCAGUCCCUGACAAUAGCAUUUUUCAAAUUUUUGAAAAUUGUAAUGGCAUGUAUGGAAUUAUCCCAAAUUAUAUAGCUAGCCUACACAUGUGAAAAGCCCAUACCACCCUCCAAUACCCCUUGAUGCUGGUGCAAUCUUCUACAUUCCUACAGCAAGGCAAAUCAACACAAAUUCACUAGAUCAAUUAGGAAAAGGAACCAACUUGAACAAUAAUUUCGCCAAAAUAUCUCCACCAAACUCUAAUUCAAACUUAUGAUGCUCGGACCUUAUUCAAAGCAAGCACCAGUAUUUGAAUGCUCGGACCUAGAUUAUGCUGGAAACAGAAGGUGGUGAACAAAAUUGACACCCGUGAAAUCGAGACAAAGUUGAGUGAUGGAAUUGCCUAUUCUGCGCAAAAAAAAAAAACAAGACAAAAGAAAAACCCUGGAGCAGUAUGAACUUCUGAUCUUACUAUUCACGAAAAACGUUUGUAUUAUUUCCCUUGGGCCACGACCGUUGAUGACUGCUGGGAAAAAAAUUUCUUUUUCAUCACACAUGUGAGGCACAAGGAGAACGAAUCCCUUUGUGUCAGGUACCUCUCGGUGCUAGAAACAUCUUUGCAGCUUUAGUUUGAGGACAUCCGGCACCAACAGUAUUGUCGUUAUACAAGGGGCCGGGCCGGGUGUCCUUUAAUUUCUUUUUCAGAAAUAAAACGAAAUGGUGUAAAAUGAUGCACCCACAAAAACUAGUGGGCUUCAUGAAGAAUCCAAACAAAGAUCACGUCUGUACUGAAAUUGAUCUACCACACGUCAGAGGAUGAUCCCAUACUAGAUCGAUCGAUACAGAUCAACACAUGGGAUGUUUAGUUUGAGGAAUCACAUCAUCGUGGAUGAUGUGGUCCAUCGUAAUUCAAUCUUAUGAUCCACUUCCAUCACUCAUGCUUCUACUAAUUAUGAACUUUUGAGAAUUGAGAUGGUUAAGCAUCAACUCUUCUGUUCCACUUUCACAUGACAACAAAAAUGAGAAAUGAGAUGAAGAUGUACCAUUAAAUUCUUUAAGCCGAACAACUGCACUAAACUUCAUCACUGACUCGAAACUGGAAGACGAAAGCGGAAAGGGACCUUAAUUAGGAAUGCUUCCAUGAGAACAUCAAUGAUCCGCCAGAAAUAAAAACAAAAAGACGUCCAGGUAUAGUAUACAUGUACCACAAUUAAAAAAGGCAGGACGACGACGAGAAGUCGUUGGCACCUGCCCAUUGGCAGUUUGGGUGGGAUCAGACAGAUGGGAUCAUGGGUAUCGGAGCUAUACCCAUCAAUCCAUCGUCAGAUCGGACACGGGCCCUGUGGCCGCAGCUUUCCGAGACCUGAUGUUGCCGGGCCUCGGACCGUCGGGCAAAGCAAGCCUGCCACUUGAUGGCUUCCGCAUCUCGCAGCUCCGGUGUCGUGGUGGAGCCCGGCUGCAUGCGUAGACUGAAAGGAACACUAGUGACUGUGGUGAGAGUGAAUGUAAAAGCAGCUUGGGCUCACCGGGCAUGGAAUCGUCUAACGUGUUACACACAGCUAGCAGGCCUGGCCAGCGCGGCGUGCACAUCACUCUAACGUCCCUUUCUGAUGUUGAUUUGCCCCACUACUGGAGUGUUGGUGAUCUGAUCAGCAUAUGCGUGCGCACAAAUUAAAUUUGGUGUCUGUGAUGCUGGAGAAGAGAAGAUUCCAGGCAGCUGAUCCGUUAUACCGGAGGGGAGAUUAGUUCAGGACAGUGCAGAUUAAUAGGUUGAUGUCUUGGUUACCAAUUUAUAAGAUGUCUAAGUGUUGUCUGAACCUGCAAGUGCCAUUUAUUUUGUGUUAGUAGCUUUUCGGAAAUGUCGACAUGACAAGGAAAGAGAAGUGUAGUGUUGUUGGCAGUAGUGGUCCACCUAAGCCGACUGAUGACGUGUGGACAUACGUAGCGAAGUGCUUAGUUUAUCUGGUGAUGACUGAUGAGUAGACUAUGCUGAUAGACUUGAUAGACUGUGCAAGCAAGGCAAGCUGAUUGGAAAUCUGAGAGACUGAGAGGCAUACCGUGUCUUUGUAUUUCUUCUGAAAUGUGAAAUGUACCGUUUGUAUAGUUCUACUUCAAGCUCAUGUUAUUGUGUUGUAGCAUAUUGUAGUACACUACCGUUGCUAAAGAGUUGUUACCUCAUUCAUGGUUGAUCUCAAUCUAAAAGAGUAGCAGUUUUUGUGGCACACACAUCUGGCUGCCAUGGCAGUGGGUAAUUAUUUGAUUUCCCCGUGGAACAGUCUGAAACAGCACACGUUAGAUUAAGAUGGAGCAGCUACCUAUUUGUGGUUAUAGAAACCAUCACCAUUUUUUUUUUGUCUUCCUGCUAUAUAGUGUGGAGCGCGAUCAAGUGGAUGAUUUUCUAUACAGGUUUUGGUAAUCCUUUUCAGUUAGUUCUGGUUAACAACAUCUACUAUAGGCAAGAGGGUUUGAAAUUGACUGAUCUAUGUUUUCCCUUAACAGAGAAUUGAUUUUUGUUUUCCGAGAAUUUUGCUACGCAGUACGCAUGCAUUUCAUUAUAUUUGGAAACAUCAAAUUAUUUCAGUGCAUUGUGAUAUCUUUACGGUUGGACAGAUGACUGAUCUUUGUUAACACGAUUAAAUUUUUUCAUGCUGAUACCAUGUUUCCAUGUUUGAAGUUAUUUCCAUCUCCUAUAUGCUUAUUAAAUUUUCCUUGCACUGAAGCAAUUCUCGUUCACUCCGCAUGACCAUAGAAGCGCUGUUAGGAUUGUCUUCAAAUAAUACUCUAGUCAUUCGGUAUGAUAGUUAUUUCUCUGAAGUUCUGCCUAUUGGAUUUGCGUAAUUAAUAAUUGUGUGCUUUCGAUAUGAUAGAGUUGCAAUAAUACGUUUUGCCCGAUGCUUCAAAAUAGAUACUUAAUGGUCCAUUCAACACAAGCAUCUUGUCCAUGAUGGAUUCGCACCACAUAAUCAAUUUGUAAUCAGGCUUUUUGCUUCUGUACCUACCAGUGUGCGAGACAACAAGAUAUGGUCAAAAUUAUUCGUUUCUGCAGUGGAAUCUGAAGAGGCUAUUCUGGUACUAUGAUAGAAUGAAAACACAGCCAGUUGGGGUGAUGAUGGUCUCCUUUUUUAUUUUGACAAAAGACGCCAUAGGGCAUCUUUGUACCUGAUUGGUACAUACAAGGAACACAAAACCCAGUAUAGAAAGACCAUAUCAAAGAAGAAAAAUUCCAACCAAGUCUGACAAAAUCUCUACUCCACUGUAACCAUCACAAACCAUGCACUGCCAUUCUGUGUUGUUCACUGUCGUCAACGCUGUCUGAAGAGAGGAAAAACAUGGAGCCAAGCAAAAUGUAUUUGAACACCAAUUGUUGAUUGUACAUGGCUUUCAAAGACCGUAACAGUUGCUUUCACCAAAUAAAAGAUCCUGCUUGAGCACCAUCAGAGAGAAAUGGCCCAAGCUGCGAUCAGAAUGUUCACCAAGAAUAAUGUACCUUCUCAGUUUAGAUGCUGUCUUUUAAUUUUGUCAUCUUUUUUCCCAUGUUCUUGCGCUUACUGUGAGAGUUCUGUUAUUUGCAGUAUUAGAGGUACAUUAUAUGUCGGGUAUCUCUUGAUAUUACUGUUCCUUUAUAAAUUAUAAUGGUAGGCGGCAUAUUUCAGAUUUUUUUUCUUAUUACUUUCACCCAUUCUGAAUUUGUUAUGUAGUUUUCAAGACUAUUUUGUACGUGUGACUAUCCUAUGUAUGCGUCUAUUUAUUGAUUCCACAAUUUUCGGAAUGAGCCCUUAAUGAUAGAUAGAUAUAUGAUGUGGUCGAAAAUCUCACCCACUUUAAAUCAUUGUGGUAGUGUAUCCACAAUCAAAAGAAAUGGAAGCAGCGUCUAACUAAAUCAAGCGCAGAGUGAUUCAAAGAAGAUCCCAAAUUAUGAUUAAUAUAUGAUUUAUCAGGAGAUUGAAAACAAAGGUGUCUCUUGAAAUUACUUCUUAAUGUACUCAGUGCUGGCAAAUAGUGACACUAACAAGGCAACGAUUGCAUGAGAAGUAGUACUCUCUUUUGCAAACCUCCACGUUCCAGCACACUGAUGACUGGUAGUCUGGUACUCUGUUUCGCAGAACUUCUUGUUCCAGCACACUGAUCAUGGCUGUCAAUGAAGUUGUCUGGUCGGACUGUGUGGCAAAGAAGCAACGACGCUUCGCCCUGGUGGUCUCCUGCAUCCAUAUACACACGCUGGAAAUGGAGCAAUCAUCCACUAGUCGCUCUUGAUGUGUUUCUGGGGCCAGUCAUGUCCAUUGAUCAAAAGGAGCGAGAACACAGGUCACAAUAGGGUAUCUAGAACACUGGUUAUCGGCACUACCUCUCUGAACAAAAACACAGGAAGAAAGAGAUAUAGCUGAUGUGUGUGUCAGACAUCUAAUGGUUUCCAGGAAGGCAGGAACUACGGAGGGGUUGUUACAUUAGUCACCAAUAGUUCAUGAACAUGUGGAGUUUCACCGGUUAUCAUACGUAUUGCAAUUCUUUUUCCCCAUACAAACACGUGAAAUUGCAAAUUCUAGCAUGUAUUCGUGUAUUUGUACUAGUUUAGCAGCACUACUUUGGAAAACACUACAGUUUUAGAACUUUUAGUCAUAUUUUAAACAUCAAAGGAUCUUCGUCACUUCUAAUGUUGCAACUGCAUCGUAUUUCUUCUAAAAUCAUCACAUUACAGGCACUAAGAGGUUUACUCAUCAAAGAAUAAAGUUAGAACCUUAUUCCCACAAUACAAGAACAUAAAUUUGUUUUGCACACGAGAGGUCUUUUCAGUUUGUUUGAUUAUACAAUGCAGAUGAUUCAUGUACUGACCAACGACUAUGACUGGUGGGCAAACAUAAUAAUAUCAUAGUCUUCCUUUGGUUCUCCAUAAAAGUAUCUUAGUACAUAAUCUUCAAUUCACAGUUCUUGCCUUAGAUCAUUUUGAUAAUCAUGGAGAACAAUUGAUAGGUUCCAAAUACCAGUCUUUCUAAUUGUCAAAUAAUUAUUCUAUUUGAGUCGUUUUUUAUUUUGCGAUUCGAUCAAGAUAUAUGGAUUGUAUGAUUCAUGCAUGCUCUUGCUAUUUAAGAAGAGAGUCCGAUGAGGAAACCUUUGUCCUCCAUACUGGUACUUUUUAUAUUUGGAUUAGUUGUUAGCUUGAAACUAGGACAAAGUCUUAUGAAUUUAAUUACUAAAAUUAUGGGCAAGUACUGCUUAAAAAUCUCAAAAUUUUCAUGUUAAAUUCUAGUUGAUACAUGAUAUGCCUUUGUGUGGAGGAAUUUCAUAGUUAUCGUUAAGACAGGCCUGAGGUAAGGGUUAAAAAAAACAUGUACGGGAAGUAAGGCCCUAUUUGGCACAGCUCCACUCCUAAACUCCAGCAACUCCAUCAAAAAAUUCAGCCAAACACCCCAACUCCAAAACUCCAUGGAGUUGCCAACUCCAUGGAGCUGUAGUGCAAAUGGAGGAGGAGUUUUGGAGCACCUCUUUUGCUGCUCCAGAAACCUCUCUUUCGAACCUUCUCGUGGAGUUGGUGGGUAAUUACCCACCAAUGCCACUGGUUACACAAAAAAACGUUUCAUUCUAUUCUCCCUUCUAUUCUCCCGAGCCCCACUCGCCGCCAGAGCCCUGCCCGUCGCCGUCGCCGCCCGUCGCCGUCGCCGCUCGUCGCCGCCACCCGUCGCCCGUCGCCGCCCGCCGCCGUCGCCGCCCGUCGCCGCCACCCGUCGCCCGUCGCCGCCCGCCGCCGUCGCCGCCCGUCGCCGCCACCCGUCGCCCGUCGCCGCCCGCCGCCGCCCAUCGCCGCCCGUGGAGGGUCUCCCGUGUGCGGCACAGUGCAGUGGAAAAAGGGGAAGAAGAAGAAGGGAUAGAGAGGAUGACAAGUGGGGCCUUAAUUGGGGGGCAACAAUGGCAAUCCACACUGAAAUCGAUCUUUUUUGGAGCUGAGAGCACCCAUCUAGCCAAACACCUCAUUUUUGUUCUGGAGUUUUGGAGCGGAGCUGGCUCCAUGUGGAGUUCUGGAGUGGAGCAGCUCCACCCGGAGUUGGAGCCAUGCCAAACAGGACCUAAGUAUGUGCAGGAGGAUACAUAUAUACUACAAGAAAAUGUCUACAACAGGAUAACAGAGAGGGAGAGGUUAGCCAAAUAAUGUAGUAAAAUGUAGGGAUCCUACAUUUGUUUGCUUGGAAUGUGCUGUCGUGCUUUUGCUGGACGGGCGGGCCAGAUGAUCAUACCCGUACAUGUGUUCUGUAAAUGAAAAUUUUCAAGAUCGAGGUUGGAGAGAAGAUUGGAAAGCCUCAAAUGGCCACUGGCAUGAGCAUGUUCCGCUUGCUCUCUACAAAGAUAGUUGCUUGUUUUCGGAUGCCCCCAAAUCCCAAUGACGACUGGCUUUCAGAUACUGCUUUAUUUUUUUUCCCCACCACCAUUCCUUUGACUCCGGAUGUUUGGUUGGGGAACAAAAUAUUAAACUUUCUAUCUGUCCAGUAUACUCAAGGGAAACUAUUUUUUGAAAAACAUGGUAGUUGCAGGAUAAUUCAUUCGAAUGUAUUUAUAACCUACAAACCCAUAUCAUGGACCAUUAUAUUAAAUUUUUCAGUACUCCAGUGUUCAUUUUCUUCACGAGUUAUUGCUACUCCACAAUGAAUAAUCGGCAUCUUAUUUCAAUGUGAUCUGAGCACAUAAGGUACAAUUAAUUUGAUUAAUUCUAGUAUUAGUCUGUUGUGUUACUUUCGUACUUAACUUAUGAUAAUUGCAUUUACUGUAUUUUUUGCAUACUCUCAUCAUGAAGACAAUAAAUUUUUCUCUAUUGGAAUACCAGCAUACGAAUACAAGUCCUCAUUCAGAACAAUGACGCUUAGGUGCUGCCAGACUGAUGAAUGAUGAUUUGAGAUACAAACUGGGACCAGCGUGCAGAUCAUAGCACCGGAGGGAGCCAGAAAGUUAAUAAAACUAAAUGGUUGCUCCAGUAGCUCAUUUAGCACCAAAAUCAUUUAGAACCAAAAUUAUACAAGUAUUGUGUGCCUGUGCCACGGAUGUUCUUGCACAUGCCAAACAUACUAUCGAACACUGGCGUCAUGAAUAAUGCCAGACAUCAGCUGAGUAGACGUAGAAGCAGGUAUAUGUAUUGAAAAGGCGAUGUAGGAUCCAAAAUAAUGCUCAUGAAAUUUUUUUGACGCAAGGUCAUGAAGUGUUCUAAACUUUGUGCAUGGCCCGGAUGAAACAGGUUUACAGCUGGUCAAAGGAUUCCUUUUCUAAAACAUGUAUAAUAGAUACGGUACUACAUGGCUUCCAAAUUUCAGGAAACAGUAAAGCCAUUAUUUUGUAUAUGUACAAAUUAGUUAAGGCCAAGAAAUGCACCAAAGUGUCAUUGAACUGUAUCCAAACUAAUAAAAAGGUGAAUUAUGAAAUAUGGAUAUGCACAUGCAGAGAUUUCUAUUUGGUCAGAGAAAAUGGGGUGUGUACCAUUGAUUAUGGAAUUAUUUUUGGUGUUAACACUGGUAGAGAAUUGGCCUUUAGUCCCGGUUGGUAGGGUGCAUAUCUCUCUCGGAUAUCCAUCCGGGAUAAACCAACCGGGACAAAAUGGGGGGUCUUUAGUCCCGGGUCUUUUAACCGGGAGUAAAGGUCCCCCUUUAGUCCCGGUUGGAUUUCCCAACCGGGACUAAAGGGUACCCUUUAGUCCCGGCUGGAUUCCAACUGGGACUAAAUGGCGCCAGUACUGCCGUGGCGCCUGAAUUUUUCAUGCAUGCAUCACGUAUACGUAGUACCGUGGCCCUUUUAAUUUGUUAACCUUUAGUAGUUGAGAUUUUUUUAGAACGAAAUCAACUAGUAUUUAAACGAAUGAGAUUUGUAAUUAUACAAUUACUAUAUAUAUAUACACAAUCCUUAUACACAAUUCAUAUACACAAUUCAACUAGCUUAGUACAAAUCGAUCAUAAUUAGCGCGUAUUAUAUAUACAAAUAAAUCAAAGUAUCUGUCUACAAUCUUCCCGUCGUGGUGUUGCUGAUCGGAGUGUCUAAUUGUCGUCCAUCGUAAUAAAAUUCUCCUUUUGGAUCUACCACCUCGUCCAUUAUGAAUCCAAUGAGACCUUCACAUAUUGCCGCUACUCUUUCUUCCUUCAAGAGUCCUUGUUGAAUAUUUAACAUCUAUAAUUUAGAAAUUUGUGAAUGUUACACGAACAAAUACAUAUAAGGAGCUAGAAAAUAAUUAACUAGUAAUAGUUUUAUUUUACGUACUUUAAAGUUGUGCGGCGUCAUUGUGGCGGAACCACCUCAGAUUAACUUGAUGAAGCAGGGUUAAGCCGCCUAACAUGCGACACUCCUGCCUAAACCGAGUUAAUACGAAGUGCCGUCGGAUUUCAUCCGAUUUAACCACUUAAACAGGAUCGAGUUUAGCAAACCCACACGAAGGUGAGUGGUUACAGAGAAUACAACAAGUCCACUGAGUUGAACAAGUUUUUACCCAUUUAGUUCGGCCAUGAAAUCCAACAUCAGAGUUUUACAAGUUUUUCAAGAAAUAACAGAGAAAACACUAGCGGAAGACUUCGUCGGGGUCGGACAUCCCUGGUGAGGCCAACCGGGACAUCACUGGCUCCUCUCCUCGCCGUCCGAGGAAGGAUCCCACUCGACCAUCCAGCCUGGCGGGAGCUGGGGCGGCCAAGCACCAACCAGAGAGGGGUCGGAAGCAGCAACUUCACCUGAAAAACAGGAGCCACAACAAGGCUGAGCUAUUAAGCUCAACAAGACUGAACCGAUAGGAGUAAGGACUACUCCUCCUUCUAGACAUGCAAGCUGUUUGGUUGAGGGGUUUGUUUGCUAAAAGCACUAAGUAACCCUAUUUUCAAGUUUUAGCUCCGGUUCUAGGUUCAUUUACCAGUCUAGGUUGUGCCACUUAUUCUAAGCAUUCAUAGAACCAAGCAAGAGGUGUAGAUAUAUCACCAAACAUUGCCAUCAUCAGAUUCCUCAUUUACUCAGGGUGACAUAGCGAUCAAGCAAUCUCAAACUGUGAGAGGCAGACGAAUCGAUUCGAGUUCUUUAACCAUGCAUGGUUAACCUAGCCUCACGACAUCCGCGCACCCGGAGGUCGCUUCCUGUGUCGUCCUUCCCCAUCAAUCCCCUAACCCGUGUCGGGCCCAUUUCCUUUGGUGCAAGGUUCCAUAGACCCGGCCUCUGCCGUUCUGUGACCACGCUUGCCACCACGUGCGACAACCAGCAGGGGAAACUCCGUUCCAAGAACAAUGGGGCGACCGCUCACGUCUAGGUUCAAUCCGGUACUAGGCUUCCUCAUCCCAUACUAAGUAUGAGGCUAGUACUUUCAAACACUUGAUCACGAACACCACCACUGUCGGGCCUUAGCAAGAUUUCAUAGACAGACGGGGCAACCAUCCGACCACCAAAAAGUUACCAAAACCCUGCCCCGUCCAUCGUCCUUAUAGUUAUAACAGGAGAGUAAACAUACAACUCCUACAACUCGCGAGUGACAGGAAAUCACUCGACUUUUACCGUCUGCUAGUUAAGCAAUGCAGCUACUCGGUCCAACAGCUAGUGUUCAAAUCACUGGGAUAACUAAGUCAUGCAUCUAGGGUUUCACACAACUCCUAUACGUAAAUGCACAAGGGUGUUACAGAAGGCAUGCGCAAGUUUGGCAAAACACGUAGGAUUUGUAUGCAACCGGGGCUUGCCUUCAAGCAAGGAGGACGGGAACUGCUCGACUUCGGGGGCGACUUCGGCUUCGGAGGACAGGAGCUCGGCUACAGCUUCUUCUUCUGGCGCCGGGUGAAGCUCGUAGAAGCCGUCGGCGAGGUGCAGCUCUACACGAAUGCAACGCAAGGGUUAGCAUAGACGGUUAUUUCAACAGCAACACUGGCUCGCCUGAGCCCAGAAACUCGCGACAAAGAGCAGGAGGUUAUGGUGGUUCGAGAGAGCUGAUGAUGAUCAAGAGGUAAGGGUAGGAAAGGAACUAGUGGUCUGAUCCUUGAACUAGAGGAUGUGAUAAACUGGGGGUCCUUAGACGCAAGCGCUGAAGGGUUCCCAAGUUUUACAUAUACACCCUCGAGUUGAAGAAAAAGAUCACAGCCAAGCUCUCGGGCGAGGCGGAUAAGGGUCGGCGGAACAGAUAGGGUCGGGCGAGACGGAACCGGGGUCGGCAACUCACCUUCUUCCUGAAAGGAAAGCUUGGGGUCGGAAAGAAGCGAACUUUGGGCGGAGGGACUAAGGUUUGAACAGAAGCUAAGACCGGCAAUGCUCCGGCGGCGGCGCUGCUUCUUGCGGAUCACAAGAGAGCUUUUACGCAGCACGGAGGAGCAAGCUGCUGGGUGACUUGGAGAAAACUGAGAGAGAACUGAGAGAAGAACUCCUCAAGAAUUGGGUGGGUGGCGCUAGGAGCUUGAGCAGGGAGCUAGAGAAGACUGAAGGCAACAAGGGUGGAGGAAACUCCGGCGACGGGGGCAUUCCUUUUAUAGCUGCUGGAGCAGAGGAAAGGAAACGGCGCGGGGAGAGAGAAGGGGAGCGGCGCAAAGGCCGGGGAGAGGCAAUGGAGUGCUCUGCCGGGGCGGCGAUUGAGCGAAGAGGGCGGUGGUGCAGAACUCCGGGGGUGACGCCAGCGAUCAUUGCGUUCUGCCGUCAGGGCGGCGUAGGAGCGGGUAGACUGGUGGUUGAGAUUUGGCGGGAAGCAGGCGUCGUCGUGCGGAAGAUUUGAUAGAAGCGACCGGCUUAACGGCGCUAGAAUCGAGGGUGCACCGGUGAGAAGACAGGCGGACGCGGGGGAGAGCGCGGAACAACAGAUUGUCGGGCGGCUUCUGACAGAGCGGGGGAAAGGAACUGUCGCGGCCGCGGUCGGGGUUGGCGGUGGAGGAAUCGUCGUGUAGCGGCGACCGGGCGGCGCGACUGUGGCUGAAGGGACGGAAAAGACGGGCGACAUCGGGCUCUGGGGCCGGGAUCUAGCGGCGUGAUAAUGGGUGCGGGAGGCGAGGCUCUGCAGAAAGGGGUGCAGAGGGCUUCCGCUGUCAUUGGGGAAAGGGGGCGCGGGAACCCACUCGGUCGCUGGCCAGAGACAAAACUGAGCGGCAGGCGUCGGAGAAGACGAGCCACGCGGCAGGAAGACUCUGAAGCAUCCAUGCAACUCGAGUGCGGCUGUCGCGGGGGAUCUGGAAAAGAUCUCUCAGGUCCACCUGUGGAUAGAUCUGACGGGUGAGGAAGAUUAACAGAAUCCGACGGUGGGCUGAUCUCGCCGGGGUCGGGAGAGGAGCGAACCGGGAAGGGUCGGAUCUCAGGGGUCGGGACCAGGCGGACAGCUGAGCACUUAGGUGCGGUCAAGCAAGACAGAUGGCUAGGAUCAAGGGCUCUGAUCAAGACUAACUCGGGAAGGUUUAGGGGUCGGUCGUUACAGUCAUCUUCCGUCCCUUGGGUCCCAUAAAACUGUGCAUGUGCUCACAGAUGUAGUAGCCACAUAGAUUAUUCCCGGGUUCCUGUCUUAAGCACUUCAGUGCGGAAAAAAAUAAGUUAUGAAAUAUUCGUGUUAUACAAUGUAAUAAAUGUGCAGACUUCAUACGUGCCGGGAAGUCUGUGUUCCAUGUAAGUUUUUCUUUGAAUGGACCUUUGUGUGUCCUUAUGAAUUGUUUCCAUGCGCUGCGGAUUAGAAUAAUGAAUAAUAUAGUGUAACAGGGAUAAAAUUUAGGAAAUAAACUUUUGCAUAGAGAUAAAGGUCCAGAAUUAUUACAAGCCUAGCAUGUCUUGCAAUUCUUGGUAGUCCACCGGAUCUUUCCUGAACGAAUCGAAGACAGUGACGUGGCUUCUUUCAGGCUCAAUUAUAAUAAGGAUCCAGUGGAAGCUGCGUGCGUAAAAUGUUCAUGCAUAUUAGAGCUAACUAACAUGUAGAGAUAAGGAAAAAGACAUCGAAAGUAGACGGUAUACACACACUUACUUGAAGUUGUAUGAAAGUAGUAUGAAAUCCUUGAAUGUUUGUUUGUCUAGGAAAUUGUAUAUUUCCGCAAAGGUUUUUUCCGACGCUAAUUGUAUCUGUUGUUGGUUAACUACAGAUGGAUCCAUGAAGCCUAUAUGUAGGUACGCCUCUCGGCAGCAUGGCUUAAUUAGCAUCUUACAUGAAAUGGAAGAUGAAGUUAGUACGGUGACGCACGCCAAAAUUUACAUGUAGAGAUAAACGGACACUUACAGAAUCCAAGCGCUGAUCAGAGAGACGUCCAGGGCAUCAUGAUGGUACACUUUGUAUAUAUCCUUGAAGUCUAGCCACAGCACUUUCUCCCCUUCACCGUGAAAAUCUAUCGGUUUUACCUUCAUGCCGAUCAUCUCCCUCGAGUCGGCGGAUGCCAUCAUGUACCAUUGAUGGAAUGCGUACAUCUUUGUUGAUAGCUUCCGUACCAAUGAAGGCUUUACUAGAGGUUUGCCUAGCUCAUAAGGCCACUUCGGCUCAGGGGGCGGUGCAGUUGGCGUCUCAACUUGUCCUAUGCAUUCAUCAAGUCCCAGACCUGUUUCUUCCAUGAACUUCAAUACAUUUGCUUGUUGAUCCAAGGGCAUUGCUUUUACCCGUUGAGCAUCUUUUUUUGAUAAAUGGCUGAGGUCGGGGACUGGACCGCUGGAAGAUGACUUUCCUUUCCUUUUAUCCUUUUCAUCAGCCUUUACUAGAGCCCGUUCAUAGUUUGACAAGAGUGGUAUCCUUUUCUUGGCUCCUUCUUCCAUCCUGAUAAAAAAGUUUAAAUCUCGCCGACUUAUUGGCGGUGGCUCCAUCUCCCUUGCUUUUUUUUCUUCGGCUUGUUUCUUGAACCACUCACUGGCCUCUCGUUGGAUUUCUGCCCACUGUUCCGCAUGAGAUAUUGCCUCAAAGCGUUCCUUACGAGUCACUUCAGGCUCCUUUGUUUUCUUCUUUCUCUGUCUUUGCUUGGGAGGCGGUGCUCGUGACUUCUUUAGUGGUGGUGCAGGUCCCUUCAAGGGGGCCGCUCUUGGUGCCGGCGACGGUGAUCGGGGAGGGGUGUUGUUAUUGUCGUCGUCGCUCCCAGCACCAGGAUGUGGUGGAGAUGGAGACCUUGAUAUAGAUGGAAGGGACGGUCCUGGAGCAGGAGAUGAUGGUCUCGAGGUAUGAGGAGAAGGUCGCUGCUGGGGAUCUACGGGGAAUGGUCUUGAGGUCUGAGGAGAUGGCUCCGUGCCGGGAAUAAUGAUGUAGCGUUUUUGCCAUAGAAUGAUCCCAUGAAGCGCAUCUGCCAAUGUCUUUUCCCCGUCGCCUCCCGGGAAGUCGAGCUCUAGACCUUCAUACUGGGGAUCAACUAUUUGCUCUACGCAGACGCUGGCGUAGCCUGUUGUAAUUUCCAUGCCAUGACUGCUCUGCCCCGCCAGGGUUGCUAACGCACUCCCGUACGCUACCUGUACAUAUAGUAGAAGUAAACAAGUUGAACUCCAAUCUCGAGGCCUGGAUCAAUUGACAAGAUUGCAUAAAUAUUAUGUAUAAGUAUACAUUAAUAGUGAGGUUGCCGAUCGGUGCAUGCAGCUCACAUGAGGUCCGUUGUGUGAUGGCAUCCACGGGGAACCGUUGGUCCUCCACGGGUAACCUGGGCGUCUGCGCAUCGGGGACCCCUGUAGAAGCACAACUACUCAAGAGGCGUUGAGAAGGGCUGGCGGUGUUAGGAAUCGGCAAUGCUCCAGAUUGGGCCAACUCCGCAACUGCGUGGGCCACCCGCCGAUUGAUUUCAUCCAUCAUUCUUUGUUCUAGCAUCUGCCGCCAGCUCUCCUCGAUCUGUUCCUUUCUUCGCUUCCGGCUUUUGUACGAGGCGCUGUCGCCUCGGAAAGCAAACUUCCACGGAACCACCCCGAACCCUCGGCAACAUCCUGGGUGCUCUGGAUUACCGAGGGCCAAUGUGAGCUCAUCAUUUUCUCGGUCCACCUUCAACCUCCCAGCCUUAGAAUCUUCAAUGUUCUUCAUGAGAUGUUCGGCCUUCUCACGUAUUGUGUCAUUAAAAAUCAACGUCCCAUCCUCUUGGCUUAGGGAGCCUCCAUGAGCGUAGUACCAAUUUUUUGAUCGUUCGGGCCAUUCAAUAGUUGCAGCGUCGAUUCCCCGUUCGAUCAGAUCUUGUUCCAUCUUCCUCCACUUGGGAAUUGCUGAGUCAUACCCACCUCGCCCCAAAUGAUGGUGGUAGCCCUUCUGACUAGCAUUUGCUGUGUUGGUCGUGAUCUUUUUCACACCUUCUUCACUCCUCUUAUAUUCAACAAAUGCAUCCCAGUGGUCCCUCAUCUUUGGCCACGUGUUGAAGUCUGGAGUUCGGCCCUUCUUGAUGUAGUGGGUAUCCAGCAUCUUCUUGAAUGUCUGGAAUUGAGUAGCCAUCUUCUUAAGCGUCCACGCUUUGACAUCCUUCUCACUAUAUCCUUCGGGGAAUGUGAAAUGUCUCUUCACGUCUUCCCACAACAUAUUCUUUUCUGUCUCUGGAAGGGCGUACGGAUUAGUGCUUCUGCCCUUCCAUUCUCUGAUGCUGAUAGGCACAUUGUCUCGGACGAUUGCCCCGAUCUGACUCACGUACUUCUUUGCUACUUUCUCGGGAGCAACCGGCCUGCCCUCUUCUGUCACUUCCGUGAUGACAAACCUCCCUUCCAUCACCUUUGUACGACCUCGGGUCUUCUGCCCUUGUGUCGAUCCGGAGGGCUAACAGUUCAAGAUUCGUUAAUUAGUACGUAGUAGUAACGGUGGCAUGAAACAAUACAAGAAUGGUUAUAUAUACCUCGCCGAAACCUUCCGCCACGGCAAGUUGUUGCUGCGGCUGUUGCUCUUCAUUCCCAUCGGCAGACAUGUUGAGGAACAUGUUCGCCUGGGUGCCCUCUUCAUCCGUGUAUGAUAGUGGAACGUUGUCGCCACUACCAUCACCAGCGAUUAUCUACUCCAUGAUAUACCUUGCGGUCUCAUCGUCUGCCAUUUCAACUAUUGAUGGAAACAUACAUGGAAUCAUACAUGACAGUCAUAGAAAUCGUCUUACUACAAAUUUCUACAAAGUCCUACAAAGUCCGGAAUCAUACAUGUAUAUAAUGAAAUCAUAAAAUAACAUGAAUCCUACAAAGUCCGGAAUAUUUAUACAAAUUUCUACGAAUUUCUAUGAAUUUCUACGAAUUUUGACGAAUUUCUACGAAUUUCUACGAAUUUUGACGAAUUUCUACAAAUUUCUACGAAUUUCUACGAAUUUCUACGAAUUUCUAGCAAUAUCCACAUGCGGUGCCUAGGUUGUGACAGCGGCGAUCAGGGCGGCGGAGGCGGGGACGGUUCCUUGGAACCACGGGCGGUGCCUAGGUUGUGACGGCGGCGGUCAGGGCGGCGGUACGGCGGAGGCGGGGACAGUUCCCCGGAACCACGGGCGGUGCCUACUAGGUUGUGACGGGCGGCGGGACGGCAGCGGUCACGGCGGCGGGACGGCGGAGGGGACGGCGCUGCCUACUACGAAUUUCUAACUUUAUUUUCUAACUUAAAAAUCUAACUUAACAAUCUAACUAAAAAAUCUAACUUAAAAAUAUAACUUAAUUUUCUAACAUAACAAUCAAAAUUAAAAAUCUAUCAUAAAAAUAUAACUUAAUUUUCUAACUUAAAAAAAAAGGCCCUCCCGGUGCUGCCGGCCGGCGCGGCGGCGGACCUCUCGCGCGCGGUCGUCGACGGUGGCCGGGGCGAUGAGGUGGCCGGGUCGGCGGGACGGCGGCGGCCGGUGCGGCGAGGUCGGCGGCCGAGGCGGCGACGACGACGGCGGCGUAGGCGGGACGGCGACGAGACGGCGACGAGGGGCGACGAGGGGCGACGAGGAUGGAGCCAGCGACGAGGAUGGAGCCAGUGGCCGGAGGCGACAAGGUGGGGGCCGGGCGCGUCGACGGACGAGGAGGAUCGACGCGGGUCGGCCGGGGGGAUGGAGGACGAUGAUGUCUGGGCGCGGUCGGCGGUGGGACGACGACAGCCGGUGCAAUGGGGGACGACGACGGCGGCGGCCGGCGAGGGAGGCGGACGGGCGGCGACGGCGGAGCAGAACGCGCGGGACUUGAUGAAAAUUUGGCUAAGUGUAACUAGCGUGGGGGUAGAAGGGAGUACAGUGCCUUUUAACCCCCCCUUUUAUCCCGGUUCGUAAGGCGGCCUUUUAUCCCGGUUGGUGACGGGACCCGGGACAAAAGGGUGCCCCCGCCAGGUGGGGCUGGGAGCGUACCCUUUUAUCCCGGGUGGAACCACCAACCGGGAUAAAAGGGGGGGGGCCUUUUAUCCCGGUUGCAGUUGGCAACCGGGAUAAAAGGGUACGUCGGGGCGGGAGACGAAAAGUACCCUUUUAUCCCGGUUGCAGUUUGCAACCGGGAUAAAUGGGGGCCUUUUGUCCCGGUUGCUGUUAGCACCCGAGACAAAAGGUCUUUUUUCCUAGUUUUCUUCUCCCGCCUGUUUUUUGGAAAUGGAUUUUAUUUUAUCUUUUCACUGCAUUUCAGGAUGAAAAACAAAACCUUCACAGAUUUUGUACAUGCAAAAAUAUAUUUAAUUAACGAUUAAAUUGACAAUAAGUAUGAAUUAAUCAUUAAUUCUAUACCAGUUCAUUUAGCCUCUAAAAUAUUUAUUUUACUGCAUUGCUGUGAUCAAGAAAUUAUUCAAUUAAAUAAUUUCAAUGCGCAGAAAAAUCCAUGUUUGUUUGUGGUUAACAUUGUUCAUGUUUAUCUAUAAAAUCUUCACCUAACAAAUUUAAGAACACAUGAAAUCAUACAUAGGGUAAAUUACAAAUUGUAUCAAUUAAUACACAAAGGUCAUGUACAUUUAACGCAUUACAAUACAACGUUGUAAAAUUUUCUUCUUCAUGAAAGUUCCUUGAUCAUGAUCGCGGUGUAAGUACGGAGCCUCUUCUUUGGAUAGCAGGAUGCUUGGAUCAACUUCAACGGUGAAUGGAGGCAUGCCAUCAAACUGAUCAUAAUCAUCUGAUUGGUCUGUUUUAUCCUCGACUCCCACGAUUUUUCUUUUACCUGGAAGAACUAUGUGGCACUUUGGCUCCCAUAUCUCUUCUGGAUUCCUCUUGGGUUUGCUGCACAUGUCUUUCACAUAGAACACCUGAUGCACAUCAUUGGUAAGUACGAAUGGGUCAUCACUGUAUCCAGUCGUGCUCAGAUCUACUAUUGUCAUUCCGUACUGAUCUUUGGUGACGGCAGUUAGCUUCACCCAAUUGCAAAGAAAUAGAGGGAUGUACAGCGGUCCGUAUUCGAGUUCCCAUAUCUCCUGUAUGAAACCAUAAUACGACUCCUUGCUAUUAUUUCUGUCCAUGGCAUCUAUGCGGACACCACUAUUCUGGUUCGUGCUUUUCUGGUCCUGGGCUCUCGUGUAAAAUGUGUAACCAUUUAUCUCAUAGCCUUGGAAUUGGACGAUUGUGGUAGCAGGUCCCCUGGCUAACUAGGCAAGCUGUGGGUGAAUCUCAGAGUUACCCAUAAGUUGUUGGCGCAACCAGGAGGGAAAAGUUUCCAUGUGAUGACGGGUAAGCCAAGCAUCGGAUUUGGUCGGGUUUUUGGAAGCUACCAUCUACCUGUGCUGCUCGAUAUACGGAGACACAAAGGAUGACUGUUGUAGAACAGUGUAGUGUGCCUUGUCGAACAAAUCAGUAUCAUUGCUCAAACUUGAUUUCUUCCAAGGGUGCCCAUUCCUCGGAGCCUCCCCUCGUGGCGUGAAGUUGGAACCCCAAUCGAGUCAAUUGAAUCCAUAAAAUCAACACAAAACUCGAUCACCUCCUCUGUUCCAUAUCCCUUGGCGAUGCUUCCUUCUGGACGGGCACGAUUAAGAACAUAGUUUUUUAGGACUGCCAUGAACCUCUCGAAAGGCCACAUAUUGUGCAGGUAUACAGGUCCGAGAAUACCAAUCUCUUUUACUAGGUGAACCAGUAAGUACGUCAUAAUAUUGAAGAAGGAUGGUGGAAAUAACAACUCAAAACUGACAAGACAUUGCACCACAUCGUUCUGUAGCUUUGAUAGCUUGGAUGGAUCGAUUGCCUUCUGCGAAAUUGCAUUGAGAAACGCGCAUAGCUUUACGAGCGGCAACCGGACAUUUUCUGGUAGAACACCCCUCAGUGCAACCGGAAGCAACUGGGUCAUCAACAUGUGGCAGUCAUGAGCCUUGAGAUUUGUAAACUUAUUUUGUUUCAUAUUUAUUAUUCCCUUUAUAUUCGAGGAGUACCCAGACGGGACCUUCAUACUAUUCAAGCAUUCAAACAUGCUAUCCUUCUCUUCCUUGCUAAGAGUGUAACUGGCAUUACGUAAGUAGUGCUGUCCAUUAUCUCUCUUUUCCGGAUGUAGGUCAUCUCAUUGCCCCAUGGCUUUCAGGUCCUAUCGUGCUUCCAAUGUAUCUUUUGAGGUUCCAUAAACACCUAUGAAGCCUAGCACGUUCACGCAAAGAUUCUUCGUCAGGUGCAUCACGUCUAUUGCGUUGCGAACCUCUAGGAUUUCCCAAUAAGGUAGCUCCCAAAAUAUUGACUUUUUCUUCCACAUGGGUGCAUGUCCGUUAUCGUCGUUCGGAACAGGUUGGCUACCAAGUCCCUUUCCAAAGACUACAUUUACAUCCUUCAUCAUCUCGAACACACGCUUUCCAUUACGGUGUGCAGGUUUUUUACGAUGGUCUGGCGCCCCUUUGAAAUGCAUCCCGCUCUUUCUCAGCUGGUGGUAAGCAGGGAGAAAUCGACGAUGACCCAUAUAGACGACCUUCUUACAGUGCUUCACGUACAUGCUGUCUGUGUCGUCUAAACAGUGGGUGCAUGCCCGAUAUCCCUUAUUUGUCUGUCCUGAAAGGUUACUCAAUGCAGGCCAAUCAUUGAUGGUUACGAACAACAGUGCUUGUAGAUUAAAGAUCUCUUGUCUAUCCUCAUCGCACACACAUACACCUUCUUCCUUCCAGAGCUGUAAAAGGUCAUCAACCAACGGCCUUAGGUACACGUCAAUGUCGUUGCCGGGUUGUUUUGGGCCUUGGAUAAGCGCCGGCAUCAUAAUGAACUUCCGCUUCAUGCACAGCCAAGGAGGAAGGUUGAACAUACAAAGGGUCACAAGCCAAGUACUAUGGCCACUACUCAACUCACCGAAUGGAUUGAAUCCAUCAGUGCUUAAACCAAACCUUAUGUUCCUUGCUUCACUUUCAAAGUCUGGGAAUGUUCUAUCAAUUGAUCUCCACUGUGCCCCAUCUGCGGGGUGUCUCAGCAUCUCAUCUUCCUUACGGUCUUCUUUGUGCCAUCGCAUCAACUUAGCAUUCACCUUGUUCCUGAACAAGCGCUUCAAGCGUGGUAUUAUAGGGAAAUACCACAUCACCUUCGCGGGAACUCUCUUCUUGGGAGACUGCCCCUCGACAUCACCAGGAUCAUCUCGCCUGAUCUUAUACCGCAGUGCUUUGCAGACGGGACAAGCAUCCAAUUUCUCGUAUUCAUCACCACGAUAGAGGAUACAGUCAUUAGGGCAUGCGUGUAUAUUCUGAACAUCCAAUCCGAGAGGGCAAAUAAUCUGUUUAGCUUCAUAUGUUAUGGACGAUAAUUCAUUAUUCUCGGGGAGAAUCUUCUUGACAAUGUUCAACAUCCCCUGAAAUGCCUUAUCGGACACACCAUUUUUUGCCUUCCAUUGCACAAAUUCUAGUGUCGUACCUAGUUUUUUUAUGGCCCUGCUGGCAACCUGGGUACAACAAUUUUUGGUGAUCAUCUAUCAUGCGCUGCAACUUUGUUGCUUCCUUCUCAGUUUCGCAAUCUAUGUAUGCAUCUCGUAUCACCUGACCAAGGUCAUCAGUAGGGCCAUUUUCUGCAAACUCAUCUUCAUCAGCCUCGCCCAUUGUAGUACCUGCAAAAGCUUGGCCUGCAACCCAGUCCGGAAUGGUGUCAUCUUCCUCCUACUCCUCGCCAUCUUCCAUUACAACCCCUAGUUCACCGUGCUUGGUCCAAACCAAAUAGUUAGGUAUGAAACCGUAUUUAAACAAGUGGCUGUGAAUAGUCCCCCAGGAAUUCUUUGAAUACUCCUUCCUGUUAUUGCAUUGGAAGCAUGGACAACAUACGAACCCAUUCUCUGGCUUGUUCGCUUUUGCCACUUCGAGAAAAUAAUGCAAGCCAUCAAUAAACGCCUUGCUCCGCCUGUCUGCAUUAUACAUCCAUUGCCGGUCCAUCUGCAUCGUAUUACGCAUGAAAAUGGAUUACACUUGACAAAGGAUUACGCGUGAAAAUCGAUUAAAGAUCCAAACAACAUGGUACAAUACAACAACAUGAAGAUCCAAAUACACAUAUUUAAAUUAAAGUCCCAAACAACAUGAUACAAUACAACAAGCCAUCCACUGGUUAUUAUCAAGGAGGACUUGAAGCAUCAUUGGACGGUGAAGACGAAGGUUCCGCUGACCCAACCUCAUCCUUAGGUUUAUUUGUGCCGCCUGAAAGGGUAGUACUAAGUGGACGUGAAACACCCGAGACUGAGGGUGGAGCAUAACGACCACCAAAAGGAGGUUCCUGACCCGCGGUAACAGCUUCUUCAUGACGUUGCUGCAAAUAACGAAGCAUUGCUUUUUCCAGCGCGCUCUUUUUCUUCAGCUUAUGCUGAGGGCCAACUAUGAUUGGAACCUUGCCAUAAUAGGAACCACGAUCGCCCCCACCAUCGCCACUUCCUCCAGUAGCAGAAGCCAUCUAUGUACAAAAAUUAUUAUCUUAACACUGCAUAAGUUGUUGAACUUGAAGACCGUGAUCAUCUCGCGAGGAUGUCCUCAACUAGGCGGCACCGCACUUCGUCAUGAAAUAGGUUAGAUGCUACGGAAAAGGGGACACGGUCACGAUGUCCGUAUCCACUCUUUCUCGUAGAAUCGAACCUCCUUCUUGACAUACGUUGCUGCUCGGCGGAGAACAUCAUCGGAGAGAUGAACACGGUAUGCAAGUUCAACAAGUAUGGAUUUAAAAAACCAUAUUGAAUUUGAUAAGAUAAACCGUCUAGACAAGGUAGCAUCAUUUUUAAACCACUGCAAUAAUGCAUACUAUAUAUGACACAUCAAUCUCCCUCACAUUCUAGCUCAAAAUACCUCUCCAUUUUUCUACUUCAUCAUCACAUUCUAGCAAAUAAUCUUUCCAUCUCCAAAGCAUAAAUCAAAGCAUAACACGAGGAUGAAGUAGCAAACCUUCGCAACACUUGUGUUGGCCGAGUGAAAUUCCCACGAAAAUGAGGGAAAAAACUUUGGGCAACACCCUCCUUGCUUGCUUCGGCACCACCGGAGAGUAGGUGAAGCUCAGCUCUCUCUGUCAAUGUGCUGGACUGGCUCGGGCUGGAGGAGGAAGAAAGUCCUCUGUCUUGGCCGUAUAUAAUGGGGAUGAGUUUUUAUCCCGGUUAAAAACUCCAACCGAGACAAAAAGGAACACCUUUUGUCCCGGUUGGAAGUUUAGUCCCGGUUGGAGGCUCCAACCGGGACUAAACUUUUUAUCUCGGUUGGUGCCUCCAACCGGGAUAAAAGGGUCCCGCCACCGACAGCUCCCCACUAGCCGUUGCAACCGGGAGUAAAUCUCCCCUCCAUUUUUACCUACCGUGGCACACCCCCUUUUGUGCCGGGCCAACUUUAAACCGGGACAAAAGGGGGCGGAUCGAAAGCCAAUUCUCUACUAGUGUAAACAUACCAAAGAGUCAGGUAUAAGUAAAAAUUGUCACAAUUUAUAGAACUGAGGGUCUCGAGGAAGAAUUCAAAAUGCAAUAUUUUUUACAAGAAUUCAUUUGAUCAGCAUAACAUUGAUUUUGCUGCGAUGAAGAGGAAAUAAACUCAUUGGACUAUAAAAUGAGAAUGUAAUUUAUGAUAGUAAUUCAGUGAGCUGCAUGCCAAUUGCACACUAGUUGAGGAAUCAGCUAUGAGGUUGAAAUUUUGAUUGCAGGUGUUUUCACUCUGAAUCUUCUGUUGACAUUUUUGUGCUGUUCGCAUUAAUUACCUAGAUUAGGAAGCAUGAUCUCUUGAAAGAUUGCCACUUGCUUGGCAGGAGGAUCCAACAGCCAAGAAAGAGUUUAUCAUCAAGCACUCUUAUCGGAAGUUGCUUGUGCUGCAGGCCAGGUUCAGCUGGAUGCUUUAGGUACUCCACAAUGUUGAGGCUGCGGAUCCUAGCUCUCUCAAUUGGUGUCUCUGCUUCGUUCAUGAUGUCUCCUAUUCCCAUGCCUCACAUGAGGUGAAAUGGAGAAGAAAUGAAUCGUGGCAUGUUCAGGUGCAGAUGGAUGGGAGAAAUGUAUGUGUGGCAUGGCAUCUCAUAUGUGCAGUUGAAGGCUUAUGAUAUAUGUAUUAAAUGCAUAUUCAACCUUGUGGGGCACCAUGUUCAAGGAGUAUUUAUGGGAAUAGGACUUGCUCAGGUGCUCAGUCCCACCUUGGUGACUGGAUAGUAUCUGUAACAUCCCAAAUUUCGAAAUUAAAAUCCAAAAAUAGGGACUCCAAAAAAUUUUCUAAAAUUUGCAUGACAAAAUUAAACCUAGAACCCUACACUUUAAAUUUAUGCAAUUCUACAAAUGCAUAUGCAUAUGUUUGAGCUAACUAUUUCUUGCCCCAAAAAUACUCCAUCUCUACUUCUCCAAACAGCCUGCAGUUCAAACCCCAUUUGAAUUUGGAAGUUCAUUCAAAUUCAAAUCUAAAACAUAUUCAAACAAAUUACAAACUAUAUUGUGCGUCCACGGGCUGCAAACCUCGAAUCCCGGCCCAUUCCGCUUCAGGGCCAUCCAGCUCCACCUCCCCUCCUGCUUACACGCGCACCCACACGAGGCCCAGCAGGAUGGCCCCUUGUAAAUAGCCCCUCGCUCACCCCUCCUUCUACCCGCACCACCUCCUCACCACACCUUGCUAGACUUAGGAAAUAGCACCGCGCCGCCUCCACCCGUCGCCCUACUGUAACCUGGGCCAGGUUGAAGGCGAGGAUGCCGCGCGGUCCCUAGCCUCCCUCCCAACUCUGCAGCGAGUCCGAGCGGCCGCUCUGCGCCGGUCUCCCCACUACCGCGGUGCAAAUUCACCGCCACUGCACUCGAGGUACCCUCCCGCUCCCAUUUGUGCUCUCGCCCGAACCCAUAAUCCCCCUAUUCCCGUCUCCCUUUUCUACCGCGCUGCUGCCCAAACUCUGGCUUGCCGCCAGCUUGUCGCCGGCCACUCCCCCAUGCCCACACCAUCCCACACAAGACCACCAAGCCCCUAGCCACCCUCACGACAACCUCUUGGUCUGGCCCGCAGGCCUGGUCCACCCGGCACAGCUCGCUCUGGUGAGAGCUCUACCCCGCGUGGUGGUCCGGUGACCAAACCUUGCCGGCGCCGCCAACACCUUCCUAUCCAUGCACCCAGUCCACGACUCCACGUACACCGCAUGCACCAAUGCCCUACCCCCGGUCCACCAUGUGACCCACGGGCGCACCACAUAACCCCAUCAUGCGGACCCUGUCCACCCCGCGUGGACCCCUUUGCCUCAUCACACCUAGGCCCACAAGUCGGCCUCUCAGUCUCUCUGCUCUCUUUUCGCUACGGUCACUUGAGCUAAGUGCACACCAAAGUUUGCAAAUCUUUGCCAAAAAUUUACAAAAAUUACCAAAAUUACUAGGGUUAAUUCUAAACCUGUCCAAACUUAGCUUGCCCAAAUCUCAUACCAAGAACUCCCAAAAGUGAAUUCCCACCCUUUUCUAAAAUAGAAAAACCUACAUUUCAUGUGACCAAAAUAGGAAAACAUCCCAAAUAAAUUCCACAAAAUUCUAGAAAACUACCCAAGCUCACUUAAUCUUAAUUCUACUCUUUUAACUGAUGUAUGAUGUAUUUCCAUGUUUGAUCAAUUGUUUGCUUACGAGUAACUAUGAUUAUGUAGAAUAUGAUGAAACUGGGGCCAGUUUGACAACCCGGAUUACAAAGAGGAGAUUCUCAACAAAGAAGACUAUAGAGGAGGCAAGUCCCACUAAUUGUCAUUCUUUUUUAUCCCAAGUUUAUAUAAAUAAAAUAAAACAAGAUAAUAAAUGGAACUUUUCAAAAAAACAAUGCAUGGAAGACUAUUUUCUCUAUUGCUUAGUUAAUCCUAAAUGUUUGCAAACCCUCCAUGAUACUACCAAUACACCACCGUAAACUUUGGAUGCAAUAGAAAUGUUUUGAAACUAUAUUUUGAGUUACUCACUGAUUAACAAAACCACAAAAGGAGUGAGUGCUUCCAUAAAAUGAAAUACAAAUAAUAAUAGUGUCUAGCAACCAUUUAAGGCUAGACCUGAGAGUAAGGGGGUAGCCUGUAAGGAGGAUACUAUCCAGAAAGCUUACUCUAGUCACAUGAGGACCGGGUCAUGGGAAGUCUUUUCAAGUGAACAGUGCAUUCACACGUGCUAAAAAGGUACAACCUUCGGGAGUACCUAAACAUGUGAGGCCUUGGUUCACACCUCGCCAGCAGAACUUAAGAAACCACCCCAAGGGGCCAUGGUGGGCAACAGUUAGACUAGAGCAGGACCUUCGCUUAGUCCUAGGUCUGGUUAGCAUGGGUUGUAGGUUGAGGUCCAGAGUACCGCCUUCGUACAAGGCAUCGGCUGAUCGAUCGUGUGGGUAAAGUGCGCAACCUCUAUAGAGUAAUAAAUCUAUUUGAUAGCCGAGUCUCACGGUUAUGAUUCCAGCGUAUGAAAGCUCCAUUGAUUAGUCAAGAUAAUAUUUUUCAUAAAAACCCCGUGUCUUAGGUUUAAGCCUGGGUAGGUAUUUUGGAAUGAGGCAAAGUGCCAGCUCAGAGAAUCCGUGACGGAUCCUGAUGCUUUUAAAAAUAAGGGGACUGGUAUGGAGGUGGAUUCCCCUCUAGGACCAACAACUUAUAAUAUUCUCCAUCAUCAUUCAAAAGCUAUAACAAUACACGAAUGCAUAAAAUUGGCUUUCGGGCAAAAUCUUAAACUAGAAGCCAGCCCUUGAAAAACCAGCAUGAAAAAACUCUACAAUAGUGGGAUUUGCUGAGUACUCAUUUCUAGAACUCACCCUUGCAUUAUUAUUUUCUUUCUAUAGAAUAAGGAAUAGUUGUUGAAGACCAUGAGGAACUUGGAGAUCAAUCUUAGGAGCCAAGUUGCCUAUGGACGUGGGAAUACUACGUAGAUGUAAGAAUACUGCGUAGACCUCCGCUGUAUAGCUACUCUAGGGCUUCAACCACCUUUUAUUAAUAAGUGGUAUGCCUCUUUUGUAACAUUAUGUAAAUUAUAAAUAAAAACUAUACAAAGUAUGGAUGUGAUACUUCUUGUGAGAAAUGCACAAAUUGUACAAAUACCAAGAGUGGUAUCAGAGCCAUGCUUGGCCCUAACACCUAAAUUAGAUUGGCUAAACUUAAAAAAAUGUUAGAUUCUUAUUAUUUUCCACAUCUCCCUUAAGUAUGAUUAGAAUUAUUGAACAAUUAGUAAGAAAAUUUUGGUUUGCAAUUUAGGAAAUGGAAGGAAACAAUUUGGUUGACGAGGCAAGAUGGAUACACUCCAACUGCACCAGAAAUAUUGGUUUCCCCCAACUACUAUGGGAUUCACUUAUAGAGCUUGGAUAUACCCAGUGCCCCGAAUAUAAGUGCAAAGAGUACGAAGCAUAUGGAACUGAACACUGUGAAAUAAGUGUGAGUAUAGGACAAGCACCCUUGCAUGCCAGAUGGAAGUCGUGGAUGGUUAGCACCCUAGGUAUUAGAUUCAAUGACACCCUGCAGAUGGUAGCAUGGGAAAGCCUUAGUGUACGUUUGUAAUGAUGCCGUAAAAACAAUGGCAAAAACUUCACUUUUAUAUUUACCUAUAGGAAAACAUCAGAAAGCUGCCUAGAACUACCGCACUAAGACACUCCUAACCAAACCCGUUGACAUCAACCAACCCACAAUGGCAACAACCCUAGAAUACCUAUGUCUUUAGAAAACCUGUAUGAGGUACAAAAUAUCAACUUUUGAGCAGCCAUAUACAUAGCUGAACGAGCCGAGGGCCGCAUAGCCAUACUAGAGGAAUGCCUGGCGGAGGCAUUAGGAUAUGCAUCACAAAAAGAAAAGUGUGCCAAAGAAGCCUAGGACUUUAUGGAUAAAGCUACAAAAGAGUUGAAAUGAGACCUUAGGCACCUCACCCAGGAAUGCUCUAGAACAAGUUUAGGAGGAACGCCAUCCUCAUCCCAAAAAUAGCUGGUCAAACAUAAAGCCAAACCUAAAGCCUCCGGAACUAUUCCCCUACCCAACAAUACCAGAAAUUAUCAACGACGAAGCACCAAAGCAACCUGACUAUUAGGAAGUAUAUGUGUAUAUUAGGAUGUAUUUAUCCUUUCCUUGUACACUUGAUGUAUUCCUUGUACUCCAAGCCAUAUUGGCCAUAUAUAUAGAGGUCACACUCCCUCAUUAGGGUGUGUGGUAUUUUCCAAUCUACUUCUCUACAUAGUAUCACGAGAUUAGAUCGUGGGCCUCCUCUCCUCUCCCUAGCACCUCCCUCCUAUCCCGCAUGUAACCCUAGGUCGGUGCCCCUGCUGCUGCGCUGCCACCACCCCUUUCGCUGCACUUCCUAUCGCGUGCGCCCCCUCCCUGCCGCAGGCCAUGGCCACCUUCUCCUCUGCCAAGUCUUCCAUUUCCGGCGAUGCCACUGCCCCUGUUGAUGGCUCUGUGCCAUCGUCUGGCGUGCCUGUUGGCGCCAGCAGUAGUGCCCUUGCACCGCUGCCUCCUGGUCCUCCUCCUCCUAGCACCGGCGGUGGUGCUCCCCUUGGUGGAGGUUAACAAUGAAGUCUCUGUCAAGUCUCAUGUUCCCAUGAUGUUAACGAUGAAGUCCUCCACCUACACCAAGUGCGCAUCUUUCUUCAAGUCCAUGUGUGACAAGUUCGGCCUCAAAUUGCACAUCGACGGCACGGUGGCACCAUGUCUCCAGGACCCGAUUGGGAUCAAGCGGAUUGCUGCGUCCGCUCAUGGUUCUUCGGCUCUGUCGAUGACUCUGUCCUUGACCUCAUCAUAACCAAUGGCGAUCAGAUUGCCCAGGAUCUUUAGCUCACCAUCAAGGGCCUCUUCCGCACCAACAAGCAAUUCCGGGCGAUCUUCCUCAGCCAUGACUUUCACUCCAUGACACAGGGCAACUCUUACAUCGCUGAGUACUGCAGCCGCAUGAAGACCCUCGCUGACGCCCUCUGCGACGUCAGCCAUCCUGUUCGGGACUCCCAGCUUGUCCUGAACCUCCUCCGUGGCCUCAACCCGCGCUUCUCCAACACCGCCGACGACAUUGCCAACUCCACCGCGGGCUUCCCAUCCUUCACUCAGGAGUGCGACAUGCUCGCCCUGAAGGAACUUUGCCUCACCAACGAGGAGAAGAUCUCCAACUCCACCGCCCUCCUUGCCGAGAACUAUUCGUCGACUUCAUCCUCCGGCUGUACGGGCGGGUGUCGCCCACCGUCUGGUUCUGUCUAGACUGGCGGCGACGACAGCAACAGUAGUGGCGGUCAUGGCAGCGGUAGCGGCGGUCGCACCGGCAACGGCAGCAAGAAGAAGUGGCAGUAGAAGAAGGGCAGCGACAGCUUCCAGGCACCCCCUAGCGGUGGCAGCUUCCACAGCGGCGGGCCCCCAAGGCCCAUCAGCUCGUGGUUCUGCUUCAGUUCGGGGCCUGGCUGCUACGACACCCCAAGUUUCUAGCAGGCUGGCGGUCAGGACGGUGGGGGCUGGCGCGCGGCGGCCCUGGCCUCCUCGGCCCCCCCUCCAUAGGACCAUACCACCUACGCUCGCAUUCAGGCAUCCCCCAAGCGCCAACUUGGGACCAGGUGGGCUUGGUUCUAGCCUUGAACCAGAUGGUACUACAGAACAACGGCUGGGUCGUUGACUCGGGUGCAUCCGGCUGUCGGUGAUUUAUACCCAGCAACCAAUCAAGGGAGUACCCGAGGUAGUCAAUUUGUCGGUGGGGGAUUGUCGGACCUGAAACUCGAAGGUAAAAGUGAAGGCACAAGACACAGAUUUAUAUAGGUUUGGGCCGCCGGAGUAGCGUAAUACCCUACGUCCUGUUUGGGGUGUUGUGUAUUGUGCCCUGCGCUUGGGUGUUGAGUAGCCUAGUUGUUGGCUAUUGAUCAUGGUUCUGCCAAUCUAGGUACCCUUACCCUCCUUUAUAUACUCCAGGGGGCGGGAUAACUAGUCGGUUACAAGGAGGAGUCCUAGUAGAAUUACAUGGGAUGAGUCCUAGUAGGAUUACAGGGGAAUCGUAGUAGGAGUCCGACUUCUUCCUUCUUCUCGGGUACUAGGGAUCUAUCCCUGACAAGACCCCGAGCGCUUCAUAGUCGAAUGCAGCAGUCUUCGAGUAGUUUUAAGGUCUUCGCCGAGUAGUUUUGGUCUUCUUCGAGUACUUUAUUUGGAUGAAUCUUCAAAGUUUCUCAAAUCUGCCAUGAGGCUAUGGUGUGCUCAAAGCCUUGAUCAUCUUGAUAUUGUAGUCUUCAUAUAUGGAGGGCGGUGAAAGUCGCACUCCAUAUGGAGUAGCUCCCGAGCCUUAGGUUGAAUCAUAGAAUCAGGCCGAGGGUCAAAAUCUUGAAUCCUCUUCUUUCGGCUUGAAAAAUUCUUGGGUGUAGCUUAUCAGCCCUCGGGCCUUGAAUGGAUUGAAUAAUCAAUUCAAGGAUUUUGAAUCUUCACUCAAGUCAUCAUCCGAGUAGUCUUGCGAUGUCCAGCCUCCGAGCUUAAGCACCAGGUGAGCUGUAGGAGCCAUUGGAGAUAUCCCGAGUAGUAAUUGGCGCUUAGCCCCUGAGUUCGGGAACUAGCGGAGCCACCGAAAGUAGGUCCGAGUACUGAUUGGCGCUUAGUCCCCAAGUUUGGGAACUAGUCUGUGCCUUUGGAGGUAUGCAUAGUAUCUUGGAGUGUCGUCACCGAUGUCUGCUCUAAAAGAAAAGAUGCGUACAUUAUGUAGCAUAUUUGUAGAAUAUUGAACUUACUAAAAUUUAUUCAGUAAUCAAUAAAAAUAUUGUGUGUCAUGCUCUUAUUUUGGGCAUAUCUCUCCCAAGUAGGUAGCCUAUUAUGUUUAGACUAUCAGUCCCCGUUUAGCUGCAGCCACUGCGUGUGUGAGAUCUUUAUCUUGUAUACGCAUACGGGCACUACCAUUUGCACACCUGAGAUUUUUGUCUCGUGUAUGUGUGCUGGCACUUAGUCGUAACAGGUGCACUUGAGGCUUUCACGAAUUAAGGCAUGCUCUAUUCAAGGAGAUUAUCAAUGGCUAAGAGAAGACAAAAGUAGUCAGCAUUGCGACAAAAAGAGAGCGCAAUUGCGCUAGGGGUUUGCUGCCCACCGGCAAGUAGUCGGCGAAGUGUAGCUCUGGAGGGUAAUUUCCGUCGAGAGACAUACACAAAAAUUUAGUCGGCGUGUUGCCCUGCAUGCAGAGAACAAGCUGGAAAAUAAUUAGAAAAAUGACUUAGCUUGAUUCGUGGACGAUUGUUGACGAAGCCGUGGCGGUCGUCGAUGAAGCUGCAAUGGUUGUUGAUGAAGCCGACUAGUCAGAGUCGAUUCCAACUAGUUGUUAACAGUGCGAGGCCCACCCCAACUAGUUUUCUAGUCGAGAUGAGCAGUCGAGGUAGUCAUCGGUGGGUUGCCGAGCGCCCUUGCGAGGCUAAAGUAGUCGUCGGAGAGUCGGUAGAUCGGUCUUGUCGAUGUAGACCAUCCUCGACUAGUUUUCUAGUCGAGACGAGUGGUCGAGAUAGUCAUCGGUGAGCAAUAUGACGUAGUCGGAGUAGUCGUCGGUGAGUCGCUCGUCGAAGUAGUCGAUAAGAGUAGUCAUCGGCAAGUCGAUGUGGCUCUCCUCAUGUAGAUCUUCUGUGUUCUUUUUGCGAAAAUCUUGAAGCCUUCCUUGGUAUGUUCCCAUGUACAUCCAGUGAAGAGGCAAAAACAUUCCUUUGUGAUGCAGAGACGCAUGGAGCUUGCCUUGAUCCGCUUUGGAUUAGAAUAAGCAAAUCGAUUCUUGUUCAGCGCUUGCUCAUGUGGUCACCUUCAUGUGCGCGUAGCAGGAUCCUUGUCCAACUUCUUGUCAUGGUAGAAAACAAUUCUCAAAAGGUAAUCAUUACUCUGUUUUCAUUUUGUAGUAAGACUGUAUUUUUUCUCUCUCUACUGAUCGGACAGCAGUGACACGAUAUUCCUCUAUAUCGGACUUGCACAUCAGAGAAGUCUUGAGUUCGGUUCAGGCGGGAUGCAUGCAUCUGGUUGCUUUCUAUCAUCGGCAACGGCAGGUGGCCACCUUGAGCAGUCCUUUUCUACUUCGGAUACUGACUCAGCGUCUUCGACUUGAAUACGCAGCACAUCGACUCUGUUUUCAAAAUAUUCAUACGCUGGGUGAUAUGCGGGAUGCUAUAUGGAUUCGGUUUGAAGUUGCCAUGUGAAACUUGUCGGAAUCAACUUGAAAGGAGUUGGCAUCUUCCGCUGAUGGAAUUUGCCAUGAUCCGACUGUUUUCCCAAACUUCUCGACUCUGCUCCAAAUCGGAACUAGGCAACUUGCUUCUUGUCGAGUAUAUUUAUUUUGAAGAUGAGGUCCUUCAAGCUUGCCCGAUGAUCUCGACGAUCACCCCUACCUGGCGCGUCAGCUGUCGGUGUUUUAUACUCCGCAACCAAUCAAGGGAGUACCCGAGGUUGUCAAUUUGUCGGUGGGGGAUUGUCGGACCUGGAACUCGAAGGUAAAAGUAAAGACACAAGACACAGAUUUAUACAGGUUUAGGCUGUCGGAGUAGCAUAAUACCCUACGUGCUGUUUGGGGUGUUGUGUAUUGCGCCCUGCGCUUGGGUGUUGAGUAGCCUAGUUGUUGGCUAUUGAUCAUGGUUCUGCCGAUCUAGGUACCCUCGUCCUCCUUUAUAUACUCCAGGGGGUGGGAUAACUAGUUAGUUACAAGGAGGAGUCCUAGUAGGAUUACAUGGGAUGAGUCCUAGUAGGAUUACAGGGGAAUCCUAGUAGGAGUCCGACUUCUUCCUUCUUUUCGGGUAUUGGGGAUCUAUCCCCGACAUUGGCCACAUGUCAUCUUCAGAUGGUAUUCUUCUUUCCCGCCUCCCUCCCUCUCACUCCUCCAUUACUGUCGGUAACGGUCACACCCUUCUCGUCACGUGCUGUGGCAACUCCACCCUCACCACCCCCACCUCCCAGUUUCACCUUAACAAUGUCCUUGUUGUCCCUUCUUUAAUUCAUAAUCUGAUUUAUGUUCGUCAGUUUACUAAGGACAAUAACUGCACCAUAGAGUUUGAUGCUUUUUGUUUUUUUGUCAAAGAUUUUCCAACCAGAUGCGAGAUUCUUCGCUGCAAUAGCGCCGGUGAUCUUUACACCAUGCCUCCAACAUCCAGCUUUGCAGUGCCCCACACCGACCUCGCCAUUUCCUCCAGUUUGUGGCAUCUCUGUCUUGGUCAUCCUAGUCCUGCCGUCAUCGCUACACUUAGACAGACUUCAUCUAUUGCCUGUAAUAAAGACAGUCACACUCUAUGUCAUUCAUGUCAAUUAGGGAAACAUGUGCAUUUACCUUGCUCACCUUCUAGCUCUCGCAGCACUGCUCCUUUUAAGUUAGUUCACUGUGAUGUUUGGACUUCUACCGUUGCUAGCGUUUCUGGUUAUCGCUACUACCUAGUCAUUUUGGAUGACUUCUUGCAUUUUUGUUGGAUGUUUCCUCUAAUUCACAAGUCCGAGGUCGCCUCACACAUCACUGACUUCUGCGCCUAUGCUCAUACGCUGUUUAUUCUUCCCGUUUGAAGCGUUCAAGCUGACAAUGGGACUGAGUUUGUCAAUAAGACUCUCACAUCUUUUUUGACUUCUCGGGGUAUCCACUUGCGCAUCUCGUGUCCCUGUACUUCUCCCCAAAAUGGGAAAGCCGAGCGUGCCCUACGCACCCUUAAUAACAUGACUCGCACCUUGCUCAUUCACGCCUCCAUGGCUGCCCCAUACUAGGCCAAGGCGUUCGCCACUACCGCCUAUCUUCGAAACCGGCACCCCUGCUCCGCGUUCAGAAUGACAUUCCCUACCGCCUCCUUUAUUUCUAGCCUCCCGAGUACUCUCACUUACGUGUAUACGGUUGUCUUUGUUACCCUAACCUCUUAGCCACGGCACGCCACAAGCUUGCUCCUCGUUCCAUAGCUUGUGUCUUCCUCGAUUAUCCUCCUCUCACAAGGGGUACCGCUGCUUUGACUUGUCCACUUGUCGAGUCAUCAUCUCUCACCAUGUUGUCUUCAAUGAGUUUGUUUUUCGCUUCUCCUCCCAUGCCACUCACCCGUCGUAGCUUGACUUCCUCUUGUCUAGCCCCUCCAAUGCUCCUGCUCCCACCUCAGACGCCCCAUCCUUGGAUGUCGAGCAGCCGCAGCCCUCACCCAUUGUCUUUCAGGAACUCACUGACGACAACCCUGCCAUCUUGGUACGUGGACCGACCGCGUAUGCUGCUCCAUCUACGGACAGGACAUCGCUCUCUCCUUCAUCGGCGAACGCUCUGAACGGUUGGGCGAGCGCCUCCAUCGCACUGGCGAGCAUCCCGACAAUCCCGGCGAGCGAUCGACCGUAGUGGUGAAUGCUCUGAACAGUUCAGCGAGCUCCCAGGCUGCACCGGCAAGCGCCCCGACCGCACCGACAAGCGAUCCGACCAGUUGGGCAAGCACCCACGGUCCCCCACCCGUGCCCGUGGUGCCCGCGGCCCUAGUACCUCCUGCGCCCUCCUUGUCACCACCUGCCCCUCCACGCCCUGUCACUCGGUUUAUGACUGGGGCAAUCUAGCGGGUCCACUACUAAGGCAUGAUAGCCUCGACUUCUUCUUCACCUUCUUCGAUUCUAGUGAACUAUCACAGUGCUCUGGCUGACGCCAACUGGUGUGCUGCCAUGGUUGACGAGUUGCAGGCCCUCAUCAACAACGACACCUCGCGCCUCAUCCCACGGCCGCCUGGUGCCAAUGUCGUGUCAGGCAAGUGGAUCUUCUGGCAUAAGUUCCAUGCUGAUGGGUCCCUUGCCCGGCACAUGGCACGCUGGGUGGUUCAUGGCUUCUCCUAGUGUCAUGGUAUCAACUACGACGAGACCUUCAAUCUGGUUGUCAAACUGGUGAUGAUACGGACCGUCCUCAGCAUCGUCACUUCUCGCACCUGGCCGAUCCACCAGUUGGACGUGAGGAAUGCAUUUCUUCACGGAAACCUCACGGAGACUAUCUACUGCCAGCAGCCUCCCGACUUUGUCGACCCCACCGCCCAUGAUCAUGUCUAUCUCCUGUAGAAGUCCUUGUAUGAAUUGAAGCAGGCCUCGAGGGCGUGGUACCAGCGGUUCGCCUCCUUCCUUCGACAGCUCGACUUUGUCGCCUCCACCUCCGACACCUCCCUCUUUGUAUACAAAGAGGGACCGAGCAUCGCCUACCUGUUGCUCUACGUCGACGACAUCAUCCUCACCACCUCUUCCUCGACUCUUCUUCGGCAUAUCAUGGGGCGUCUUCACUCUGAGUUCGCCAUGAUGGAUCUUGGCAACCUACACCACUUCCUCGGCAUCUCUGUCACGUGUUCCUCCCAAGGCCUAUUCCUAUCUCAGCGAUAGUCUACCCUAGAUCUUCUUCAGCGUGCUAGCAUGGCUGAGUGUCACUCUACAAUGACUCCCGUUGACACUUAUGCCAAGCUUUCAACACACGAAGGCGCCAAGCUCUAGCAUGGCUCUAAGUAUCGGAGUCUUGCUCGGGCUCUUUAGUACCUCACUCUGACUCAACCUGACCUGGCGUAUGCGGCUUAGCAGGUGUGCCUCUUCAUGCAUGACCCGCGUGAGCCCCACAUGGCCCUGAUCAUGCGCAUCCUGCGCUAUGUGAAGGGCACGCUCUCCUUCGGGCUUCACAUCAGCACCGGCCCUGUUCAGUCUCUGACUGCCUACUCCAACGCUGGCAUGGCUGACUGCCCGAACUCUAGAUGCUCCACCUCCGACUUCUGCAUCUACCUCAGCGACAAUUUGGUGUCUUGGUGUGACGACCGGUCCCUAAUCUUCCUAGUCAAUCGUAUCCUAGCCUUGAUCAUAGUCAUCGGUCUUGUUUUUCCGCGCCUGAGUGCUCAGCCUUCCGCCCGGUCCCGACCCCUGAGACCCGACCCCUCCCCGCUUCGCUCCAAUCCCGACCCCGGCAAACCCAGCCCACCGUCAGAUCCUUCUAAGUCCUUCCCAAACACCGUUCUAUCCGACCAGUGGACCCUUGAGAUCUUUUUCCCCAGAUCUUCCGCGACAGGCGCACUCGAGUUGCAUGCCCGCUUCAGAGUCUCCCCGCCGCGUGGCUCAUCUUCUCCGACGCCCGCCGCUCGGUUUUGUCUCUGGCUCGCGACCGAAUGGAUUCUCGCGCCCCCUUCCCCAAUGGUGGCGGAAGCCUCUCUGCAACCUUUCUACAGCGCCUCGCGUCCCGCGCCCAUCAUCACACCGCCAGAUCCCGGCCAUAGAGCCCGAUGUCACCCGUCUUUUCCGUCACUUCGAUCUCAGUCGCGCCGCCUGGUCUCCGCUACACGACGAUUCCUUCAUCGCCAACCCCGACCACGGCAGCGACAGCUCCUUUUCCCCCGCCCUGCCAGAAGCCGCCGACAAUUUGUUGCUCCGCGCUCGCCCACGCGCCCGCGGCUGCAUGUCUUUUCACCUGUGCGCCCUCGAUUCUAGCGCCGUUAAGCCGGUCGCUUCUAUCAAAUCUUCCGCACGGCGACGCCCGCCUCCGCCCAAUCUCAACCACCGGCAUACCCGCUCCUGCGCCGCCCUGACGCCAGAACCCAAUGACCGCUGGCGUCAUCCCCGAGUCCUGCACCACCGCCCUCGUCGCUCAAUCGUCGCCCCGGCAGAGCACUCCAUUGUUUCUUCCCGGCCUUCGCGCCGCUCCCCUUCUCUCUCCCGCGCCGCUUCCCUUCCCCGUUCCAGCAGCUAUAAAAAGGAAUGCACAAGCCCACCGGAGAUCCCUCCGCCAUUGUUGCCUUCAGCCAUUGUCUUGCUCCCUACUCAAGCUCCUAGCGCCACACGCCAAGCUCUUGAGGAACUCUUUCCUCAGCUCCCCACCAUUUUCCCCAAACCACCCAGCCGCUUGCUCCUCCGUGCUGCGUAAAAGCUCACUUGUGAUCCACAGGAAGCACCGCCACCGGAGCACUACCGGUCUUAGCUGUUGUUUAAAGCCUUAGUCCCUCCGCCCAAGUCUGCUUCUUCUCGACCCCAAGCUUUCCUUGUAGGAAGAAGGUAAGCUGCCGACCCCAGUCCGCUUCGCCCGACCCCUCUUAUCCGCCCGACCCUGGUUCCGUCUCGCUCGACCCUAUCUGUUCCGCCGACCCUUAUCCGCCUCGCCCAAGGGCUCGGCUGAGAUCUUUUUCUUCAACCCGAGGGUGUAUGUGUAAAACAUAGGAACCCUUCAGCGCUUGCGUCGGAGGAUCCCUAGUAUACCACAUCCUCUAGUUCAAGGAUCAGAUCAUAAGUUCCUUUCCGACCCUUGCCUCUUGAUCUUCACCAGCUCUCUUGAACCUUCCCACCCUCCUGCUCUUUGUCGCGAGUUUCUGGGCUCAGGCGAGCAAGUGUUGCUGUUGAAAUAACCAUCUAUGCUAACUCUUGCAUUGCAUUCGUGUAGAGCUGCGCCUCGCUGACGGCUUCUACGAGCUACACCCGGCGCCAGAAGACGAAGUUGUAGCUGAGCUCCUGCCCGCUGAAGCCGAAGUCACCCCCGAAGUCGAGCAGUUCUCUUCCUCUUUGCUCGAAGGCAAGCCCCGGUUGCAUGAAAUCCCUGUGUGCUUUACCAAACUUGCGCAUGCCUUCUGUAACAUGCUGGUGCAUUUACGUAUAGGAGUUGUUUGAAACCCUAGAUGCAUGACUUAGUUAUCCCUAUGAUCUGAGCACUAGCUGUUGGACCGAGUAGUUGCCUUGCUUAACUAGAAGACUGUGAAAGCCGAGUGAUUCCCGGUCACUCGCGAGUUGUAGGAGUUGGAUGUCUACCCUUCUGUUACAACGAUAAGGACGAUGGACGGGGCAGGGUUUUGGGUAACUCUUUGGUGGACGGAUGGUUGCCCCGUCUGUCUAUGAAAACUUGCUAAGGCCCGACAGUGGUGGUGUUCGUGAUCAAGUGUUUGAAAGUACUAGCCUCAUACUUAGUAUGGGAUGAGGAAGCCUAGUACCGGAUUAAACCUAGACGUGAGCGGUCGCCCCAUUGUUCUUGGAACGGAGUUUCCCCUGCGGGAUAUCGCACGUGGUGGCAUGCGUGGUCACAGAACGGCAGAGGCCGGGUCUGUGGAACCUUGCACCAAAGGAAAUGGGCCCGACACGGGUUAGGGGAUUGAUGGGGAAGGACGACACAGGAAGCGACCUCCGGGUGCGUGGAUGUCGUGAGGCUAGGUUCACCAUGCAUGGCUAAAGAACUCGAAUCGAUUCGUCUGCCUCUCACAGUUUGAGAUUGCUUGAUCGCUAUGUCACCCUGAGUAAAAGAUGAAUCUGAUGAUGACAUGUUUGGUUGAUAUCUAUACAUACCUUGUUUGGCUCUAUGAUUGCUUAGAAUAGAUUGCAAAAACCUAGACCGGUUAAUGAACCUAGAACCGGAGCUAAAACUUGAAAAUAGGGUUUUACUUAGUGCUUUUGGCAAACAAACCCCUCAGCCAGAAAGCCCUGCAUGUCUAGAACUGUGGAGUAGUUUUACUCCUAUCGGUUAAGUCUUGUUGAACUUAGUAGCUCAGCCUUGUUGUGGCUCCUGUUUUUCAGGUGAAGUUGCUGCCCCUGACCCUUCUCUUGCUGGCGCUUGGCCGCCCCAGCUCCCGCCGGGCUGGACGGUCGAGUGGGAUCCCUCCUCGGACGGCGAGGAGAGGGAUCAGUGAUGUCCCGACUGGCCUCACCAGGACAUCCGACCCCGACGAUUGCUUCCGCUAGUGUUUUAUCUUCUGUUGUUUUUCCGAAAUCUUGUAAAACUCUGAUGUACUUUUCGCAACUAAAUCCAGUGGUUAAAUUGUUAACAUUGGUGGACUUGUUGUACUCUCUGGAACCGCUCGCCUUCGUGUGAGUCUGCUAAAUCGGUCCUGUUCAAGUGGUUAAAUCGGAGGAAAAUCCGAUGGCACUUCGUGUUCACUCGGCUUAGGCAUGAGCGUCGCAUAUCAGGCGGCUAAAUCAUGUUUAACCCAGUAGAUCCGAAGUGGAUCCGCCACACUUGGUCCUCCAAGGGCCAAACCACGAUGUCUCAUUCCAGUGCUAAGGCGGAGCACCGGGCUGUGGCUCAUGCUGUGUUAGAGUGUUGCUAGCUGUGUCAACUUCUUCAGGAGCUUCAUGUCCCACUGGCCUCGGCCACUAUUGUCUACUCUGACAAUGUGAGUGCUGUCUACAUGAUAGCCAACCCGGUGCAUCAUCGAUGCACGAAGCACAUCAAGAUUGAUAUUCACUUCGUCCAUGAGAAGGUGGCCUUGGGUGAGGUCUGGGUCCUCCAUGUGCCAUCCUCUCACCAGUUCGCGGACAUCAUGAUGAAGGGCCUGCCAACUCCUUUAAUUACUGAGUUUAGGUCCAGUCCGUGCAUCCGUGAUCCUCCCACUUUUACUGCGGGCAGGUAUUAGGAAGUAUAUGUGUAUAUUAGGAUGUAUUUAUCCUUUCCUUGUACACUUGAUGUAUUCCUUGUACUCCAAGCCAUAUUGGCCAUAUAUAUAGAGGUCACCCCCCCAUUAAGGUGUAUGGUAUUUUUCCAUCUACUUCUCUACACUAAUCAAGGGACCAAGGAAGACAAGGGUAAACUUCUAGAAGAAGCAUCCCCGGAACCAAUGUAGGAAGUUCCACCACAAGAAGAAACUCUAGAACAAGAAACCAUGACUGCUUGUGGAGUAGAGGUCCCAAUAUACACACAACCUCACCCAACCACUACAACUCCUUCCUAGUACAACUUCAAGCAGGAUUUGGACACUACAAGGUUUUACCCCUGAUGCAAUGGCCUAAAAGUGUUGCAAUAUACCAAAAAUAGUUGCAGUAGAUAAAAUUGCAACAAAAAAAAGUUAUUGACAGGCAUUGCCACAGUAACCGUGGUCUAAAGUUUGCACCAUGACUCAUGUUGGUGUUGCAAUAGGUUUUUCGCUAUUGCAACACAAUGGAGUGUUGUUGCAACACCAUGUAGUGUUGUAAGCCAUAGUAUAAGCAACCAUCGUGGGUGUUGCAAUAGUAACUAUUGCAACAGACCCGGUGUUGCUAGAAAUACCUGUUGCCACGUACCCAAAGAGUGGCAAUAGGUGCACUAGCAACGACAAUGGGUGUUGCAAUAGACCUUAUUGCCACACAUCAGUAGCAUUGCAAUAAAUGGACCCUCUAUUGCCAUGCUAUCUUUAUGGUUGCUAUAGGUGGAACCUUCUAUUGCCAUGGCAAAUAUUUAGUUGCUAGAGGUAGCCUCUCUAUUGCCACACUAAACAUUGUGGUUGCUAUAGGUUGCCUCUCUAUUGCCACGAUAUAUGUUUGGUUGCUAGAGGUUGCCACUCUAUUGCCACGAUCAAUAAUGGUUGCUAUACGCAGACCCUCUAUUGCCACACUUACUAUUGGCUGGUGAUCUGGACGCUGACGUGGCAUUCACGGCCCAUUUUAGAACUGGGCCACUUAGUUGGGCCAUUUCUCAGCCCAUAGAUGAAAACCCACUAAACAGGCCUUGAGCCCACCAAAUGCAAUCUAAUUUCUCAACCCAUAUAUCACAAUGAUCAUUACAUCCCAUAAUACAAACCAAAUUAUAUCAACCCAUCAACUAAAAUAACAGAUACAUUCAAAUCAUUUAAAAAUAGCAAUUUCAUCUUUUCUUCCAGAACCAACAGUUAGGAUGUCCAGGUUACAACAAAAGUUCCAGAUACAACAUAUAAGUUCAAAAGCUACCAGCACCAACAGCUAGCAUGUCAACUAUCAUGUGCACCAGCUACCAGCACCAACAGCUAGCAUGUCCAGGUUCUCAACACCAGCAGGACUUGCAGCACCAAAAACUCAGCAUCAUUGUUGCAACAAAAGAUCAAUUUCUAUGAGAUUAUACGAAUAAAUGCAUUUAGACAUAGCAUCAAAGACCUCAGGAUUGCCCGGGGUUGUCUGCGAAUGCGCCAACCCAAGUAGGUUCUUCCUGACAAGCAGGAACUUGGGGCGGAUUGCAGCCUCCAAUCAUUGGGCUAUUUCAUCAAUGGCCAAUGGUAUGGAAGGUAUGGCUAAAGCAUAAAUGAGUCAUAAAACCAACAUAUUAACAUUUCAAUCGACCAAAACAUGAAUUCACCAGAGCACAUUCAUGAAAACCAACAUAUUAACUAGCACAGCUAUACAAAGUUCCAUCUUGACAGUGCCAGUAUAACCACAAAUAAAGCAUAAAAAUACCAUAACUAACUACUACAGGUACAAUUUUCCUUCCAAGUUACUAUCUCACUCAGGCUAUACAAAUUUACUAAAUAAUAGAAAUGAACAAAAAAUGUCAGUUCAUCAUGAAAGGUAGAAAUUAGCCAGACUCGCAACAACCACCAAUCCCUUUCAAUUCAUUCACAGAUAUAACACCCCCGGAACCAUAGAUCUGGACUAGCUCUGCCUCCCCCACAUGCUGCCACUCCUAGAUCUAACCCUAACCGGCUAGCCCCUUAACCCCAAAGGAAAAUCUAACGAAAUCAGAGAGUGCGAGGGGAUGGGAAUGGGAUUGGGCGGAACAAUACCCUGGAGGUAGUUGUAGUUCUCGGCCUCCUUGCCCAUCCUGGAAUUGCAGGAUCUCCCUCAUGGGUUAAAUUGUUUGUGAAAUUGUUAAUGUGAAUCCAAUUUUAAAUUUUGAAAUCUGAAUCCAAUGUGAGUAUGAUUAGUUAUCAUAAUUUCUUAGCAUUAUUUUGGACAAUCUUUUACUCUUAGCAUUUCAUGAAUUAUGAUAUUUUAUGGCAUAAUUAUUAUUGCAGUUGAUGUCUGUGUAAUAAUAUAUCUUAUUUUCGAAUAAAGCAGCUCGAGGAGAGAGAAAGCAAUGUGCUUGUGACUACUGAGAGGUUUUUUCGGCUUAAUCAACAUGACAUGGUAUGAAACAUUCUUUUAUCAUUCUUUUAAGUUUAGUUAUGUUACAUCUUUUAACUUUCAUAAUGUUAUUAUCAUCUUUUAGGACCUCUUUGGUACUACCAAUGCGGCAACGAGCUUUUGUGUGAUUCUGGCUCAAGUCUUGAAUGUGUUGGAUUUGACUUACAUGGGUGGAAACACGAUAUUCACGAGAGAUUGGAAGUUCUAGGCUCAUCUCACUUUCUACAGGGCAAAUUUGUUAACCUCUCCAUUGUUUGAGAUUUAUAGUAGUGUAUGUGACCAUCCAUGUGAAGUUAAGGAGAGUGCACUCAUCCGUGCUCUUAACUUUUUCUAUGAAGUUCUAGGCUAGAUGAUUAGGGACCUUAACUAUAUUUCAUAUUUAAAUAAGCGAAGUGAGUAGUACUUUGAAAUGUGUAACUUGCAUGGAUGUACCCCUACCCUUUUCUUAUGGAUUUGAACUUGUUCUCUAUAAUAUCAUAAGUAUUGAUGUAUAAUUUCAUUGCAUGUACAAUCUUCUCAGAGUGACUUGGAUUUGAAUGGGUUGAUACUUGUAAGACUUGGUUUGAAUGGGUUAAUAUAUUAACGUAAUAUUAGUAGUAAAUGCUCCAUCAUAUACGAAUACGAAUUAUAAAACAAAAGAAAAACGAAGGGCAAAAUAAAGAAAUGGAAUAACAUUUAGUACCAGUUAGUAAAACCAAGUGGUACUAAAGUGCCAUGCGCAACCCACUACUAGAGAACUCGGUAUUAGUACCGGUUCGUAGGGUGCAUAUGUCCCAAAAAUGAAUCCAGGAUUAAUCCGUCAAGAUAAAAGGGGGCGGUCUUUUAUCACGGGUCCCUGAACCAGGAUAUAAGACCCUCUUUUAGUUCCGGUUUGUAAAACCAUCCAGGACUAACAGGGCUGCCACGCCAAGCGUUGGACGACCCCUUUAGUCCCGGUUGGGUAUUACAAACUGGGACUAAAUGUCUCCUCUUUAGUCCCGGUUUGUAAAACAAAACCGGGACUAAAGUGCGUGUAUACAGCGCCGUGCAGGCGCCUGCAUGGCACCUAUAAUUUCGUGCAUCAGGUACCCCUUUAGUUGGUUGAGAGUUUUUUUAUAAUUAAUGAAAUCAAUCAAACUAUAUAUAGUAUUUAAAUAAAUCAAUUUAAAUAUUACAUACUUAUAUAUACAAAUUCUUAUACAAUUAGCUAGUAUAUGUACAAUUUUUGAUUAGUAUAUAUAUCUAGUACAAUUAAUUCCCGUCGAGGUGUUGCUUGGUGCUUCUCAAUUUCAUCCACCGUAAUGAAAUUCUCCUUGUGGAUUUAUCACCUCGUCCAGCAAGAAUCCUACGAGAAUUUCGCAUAUUGUGUCUAUUCUUUUCUUCUCCAAGAUCUUGUCUCGAAUAUUAUGCACCUGUAAUUUGGAAGUGAAUAAUGUUACACGAACAAUUAAAUAUAAGGAGCUAGAAAAUAAUUAACUAUUAAUAGUAUUAUUUUAUAUUACGUACUUCCUGUUUUUCUAGCGGUGUCAACUUGGCCUUGUGUGACAGAAAACUUUGCAUGUUCUCACAGACAUAGUACCCACAUAGAUUAUUCCCUUGUUCCUGUCUUCAGCACUUCAGUGGGAAAAAACAAGUUAUAAAAUAUUCGUCAUAUAGAAUGUACAAAAUAUGCAAACUUCAUACGUGCCGGGAAGUCUGUGUCCCAUGUAAGUUUUUCAUGGAAUGCACCUUGGUGUUGUUUUUUGAUGAAUUGUUUCCAUGCCCUAUGGAUUUAAAUAAUGAAUGAUACAGUGUUAGGCGAAAAUUUAUGAAACACACUUUUGUAUUGAGAUAUAGGCCCAAAAUUAUUAAUUACAAGUGUAGAAUAUCUUGAAUCUCUUGGUACUCCGCUAGUGGUUUCCUCAAGGAAUCGAGGACGGUAACUCGGCUUCUAUCAGGCUCAAUUACUAUUAGGAUCCAGUGGCAACUGUGUACGUAAAUAUUCAUUAAUCAGAUAAGGAAAAGGAUACUAAGAUAGACAGUAUACGUACGUACAAACACUUACUUAAAGUUGUAUGUAAGUAGUAUGUAGCUCUUGCCACCUUGAAGGUCCAGCAUAUUGAAACAUUCCACCAACGUUUUAACUGUAAAAUCUUGUAGUUGGGUUUGGUUAACUACGGAUGGAUCCAUGAAGCCAACAUGCAAGUAUCCUUCUUGUCAGCACUUCUGAAUUAGCCGCCUACAUAAAAAGAAAGACAAAGUUAGUAGGGCGACGCAUGCAUAAAAAAUAAUGAUAUGGUCCAAAAUUUACAUAUCGAUAAAUGGAUACUUACAGAGCCCAGGCGCUGAUGAGAGAGACGUCUAGAGCAUCUUGAUGGUACACUUCGUAUAUAUCUUUGAAUUCUAGCUAGAGGCAUUUCUUGCCUUCGCUGUAAAAAUCUAUCGGUUUUACCUUAAGUGCGAACGUGGAAGUCUGGUCAGCGGACGUCUUCAUGUACCAUUCAUGGAAUUUGUAGAUCUUUGGUGAUAGGCUCCCUACCAACUCAGGCCUUACCAGAGACUUUCCUAGCUCAAACAUCCAUCUCAGUUGAAAUGGCUUUGAAGCUGCUGGCUCGUGACCACCUAGCUCUAUACAUUGAUCAAGUCCCACUCCAAAUUCUUCCAUGAAUUCCAAUACUUGAUCUUAUUGAGACUUGGGCAUUACUGCUAUCCUUCUAGCAUCUCCUUCUGGUAGAUGACAAAGGUGGCGAUCAACAACAGUUGAAGAUGACUUUCCUUUUUCUUUUUUUCCCUAUAUUCAUCACCUCCUUAUUUGAAUGUGACAUCUUCUAAAAAAAUUGUAAUUUAUUUGGAUCAAUUAUUGGUUGUGGCUCCAUCUCCCUUACUUUUUUUUGUUCAGCCCUUUUCCUGAACAAAUUCUUGCAUUUUGCUUGGAUUUUAGACCAGCGUUCCUCAGGAGUCACUUCAGGAUCCUUAUUUGUUUUCCUCUUUUUAUGUGCUAGCUUGGGAGCCAUUGGUCGCGACUUCAUAAUCGGGUCUCCAGCAGGUUCCUUUCUUGGGACUGCAGGUACCUUGCUCAGGACUGCUCUUAGUCCCGACGUCGUCGGUGAGCGGGGAGGAGUGUUGUUGUCGUCGUCAUUGCUAGCUGGAUGUGGAGAUGGAGACUUUGCUCAAGCAUGCAUCGAUGAUGGUCCUGGUGCUAAAGGUCCUGGUGGUGAUGGUCUUGGUGAUGAUGGUCCUGGAAUUGACCGUGGUGGAGAAGUCGGUCUUACCAUUUGAGGAGAUGGUUGUGGUCGGGUUCUUUCGGGAGGGGUACUGCCUCCAUGCCCGGGAUAAUGAUGUAGCAUUUGUGCCAUAGAAUGAUGCCUCCUUGAACUGCAUCUCCUAAUGUCCUUUCCCCAACACCUCCCAGGAGCUGGAGCUCAUAGCCUUCAUAUUUCCGAUCAAUGAGCUGCUCUACCGAGACACUAGCAUAGCCAGUUGGAAUCUCCAUGCCAUGGCUCGCCUGUGUUGCCCAGCUUGGUAAGGCACUCGCGUACGCUACCUGUACAUAUAGCAGAAAUAAAGAUGUUAUUAAACUCCAAUCCUGAUGCGUGGUGGAUCGAUGGAUUGAGAAGAUUAUUGCAUAAAUAUUAAUUAUGUAUAAGAGUAUACCUUAACAGUCAGGUUGCCGACCGGUACAUGCAGCUCACAGGAGGUGCGUUGCCUAAUGAAAUCAACAGCGAACUAUUGCUGGUCCUGUGGAUCGGCCUGUGCUCCUCAUUAGGAAAGAGCCACUCGACGAUUGACUUCGUCAUGCAUUCUUUGUUCUAUAGAUUGCACUUGAGAUUCUAGGUUGCACUGCCAGCUCUGGUCAGCCCGAUCCUUUCUUCGCUUGCGGCUUCUGUACGAGUCUCUAUCUUCUUUGAAACCAUACUUCCACGGAACGAUCCCGAUCCCGCGUACACGUCCUGGGUGCUCAAGAUUCCCGAGGGCCAAUGUGAGCUCAUCCAUUUCUCGAUCCACCACCAACCUCCCAGCCUUAACAUCUUCAAUGUUCUUGGCGAGUUGUUCGCCCUUGCGACGUAUUUCCUCAGUUAAGAUCAACAUCCCAUCCUCUGGGCUCAGUUUGCCUCCAUGAGCAAAAAAUCAAUUUUUUAGCUCGUUGGCUCCAUUCAUGAGUUGCUGGUAUGAUACCCCGUUCGAGCAGCUCUUGUUCUAUCUUGUGAAAUUUGGGCACUGCUAUUUUGUAACCACCUCGCCUUAGCUUAUGGUGCACUUUCUUACGACUAGCAUUCCCAACGUUGUUGUUGACUUUUUGCUGACCGUCGUGGCUUCUCUUGUACUUGACAAAUGCCUCCCAGUGGCCGCUCAACUUUGGAAAUUCGUUGAAAUCUGGAGUUUUGUCCUCCUUAAUGUACUUUGAAACUAGAAAUUUCUUGAAUGUUUGAAAUUGUAUGGCCAUCUUUUUCAGCGUCCACACUUUCACAUCCUUUUCAAUAUAUCCAGCGGAAAAUAUGAAAUGUUGUUUGACCUGUUCCCACAGCAUAUCCUUUUCUGUUUGUGGUAGUGCGUCCGGAUCAUUUGUUUUGCCUCUCCAUUUCGUGAAACUGAUGGGCACAUUGUCCCUGACAAUUCCCCCCAAGCUCAGUCACGUACUUGUUUGCCACGUCGACGGUACUAAAGUGCCAUGCCCAACUGUUACUUUCGGUGGUAUAUACACUAAUUAUCUACGUUAGAUAUCAUAUUAUAUUGGAAAAUUGCCACUCUCUUUGCGAUAUGAGGAUCAAACAGCUAGCCAAGAAAUAAUACCGAUUGUCAAGCACUCAUUCUUCUAUCUGCGAUGACGCAUGUCGAGAUGGACAGGUUUUGCAGGAUGCUUUGCGGACUACGCAAUGUUGACCUGGAGGAUCCUAGCUCUGUCAAUAUGUGUUUUCUUUGUUCACAAGGUCUCAUAAUCCCACGUUCUUCCCACAUAAUUUCGACCAUCUCUCUCAUUUAUUUGUUAAAUUUUACGUAUAGUACCAAAGCCUUCACUAAAAUAAGGGACUGUUGCUUGAAGGAAUGAAUUAUGUGGCAUGUUCAAGUGCGGAUGCAUUCAAUAGGUAAUGUAUAAGUGCGGCAUGGCAUCAAAUGUACGCAGAUGAAGACUGGUGGGGUAUUAAAUUUCAUGCUACAAGAUCCAAAUGCAUAUAAAAAAAUUGUUUACUAGCAGCCAAGUGAUCAUGUUACAGGCAUGAUAACCAUAUUACUAUUUGGUCCCCGUCAUUGUGGUUUUCCUUUUCUCCUGUUUAUUUUGCAUGACAAGACUUCCCUUCGACAUACGAUUCUGCCACUACAGUGACUGUGUUUCAAACGUCUUGUUACUGUUUGGUCUAUAUGCAUAUGCUCAGUUUAAACAUUGGAUAAUGUAUUCUCAUGGCAGCGAUAAAUGGAAGAAGCUUUAUGCAACAGAAGCACAAGUAGAGUCUUCAAGGGAGGAGCUUGGUCGUCGUUGAUUUAGAUUAUAGUUUAUCUGAAACUGUUGGUUUUAGGAAGUGCUUCAGAUCGCAAAAUGUUUUUACCUUGAUGCUAAAUGCCAUCGUGUGCUUUAAAAAUAGGAAUUUUUUUUCCCUAAUCCAAACAAAUGAAAAUUUUCUGUUGUGAUUUACUUCCUGGAGAAAUAUUUCCUGCAUAAAUUCUUAUAUAGGUGGUACCUAGUGUUAGACAUACAUAUGUAUCUUGACUAAUCGUUGCCUAGAUGCUAGUCGAGCCUCUCAAGUCCAACGUAUAGACAUUGUAAACAGGAUCUAGAUAACCGUCAACAGCCGUCGUCGUUGAACUUCUAUGGUACUCACUGCUCUGUAGUAUAGCCGUGCUUCUGAAAUUUGUGGCCAUUCCGGAAGAUACAUAACAGUCCUCGUCCUGAUGUACUAUGCUAUCAGUAAAUCACCUUGUGACUUUGAGUGGACCGGCCGAUGGGCGUAAGGCAAUGGUAGCUGCUCUUUAUAAAGGUGCGGCUUGUAGGUUCAUUCCUCCAUCAUCGUUUACUCAAUUAGACACUGGCAUAAAGCUUACAUUAAGCUCAUACUAUGGCGACGGUGAAAACAGCUGCAACCAUGGUCAUGAAGGUCCUGGUGCUGGGCUUAGUGCUCCUUGCUUAUGCCGGGCUGAUCGCUCACGCUCAGCCGCAGUGCGGCAGCCAGGGCGGUGGCGCGACGUGCAGCAACAACCUCUGCUGCAGCCAGUGGGGAUACUGUGGCCUCGGCGGCGACUACUGCGGCAAUGGCUGCCAGAGCGGCCCAUGCUACACUACCUAGUCAGGGCCGUCGUCCACCACCGGAUGUGCAACAACAACAGGAAUAUAUAUAUGGUCGACUUGUGCGCAGUACUCUACCUAUAUAUGAUGAAAUAAAAGUGCUGCUACUACAGUAAGUACGAACUUAAGCUUGUGUAAUGUGCAAGAAGUACCGAAGGGCGAGGAGUAUAUGCACGCACGUGCAUUUAUUAAAGCCCGUAUGUACUAUGUAUGAAUAAAGUUGUGAUGCAUCUUGUGACAACGCAGGACUGUGCUUAUACAACUUCAUCUUCAUAUGCAUCUUCCUUGUUAAAUCUUUAGACAUGCAAAUUGACUCUAGCUCGAUCCAUAGAGCACCAGCAGUUUUGGUCAACAAAACCACUUCCAAAAUAUUAUUUGAAAGAUAAAGACAAAUAUGAGAUAAGGCCUUACGGAUUUUCCUCUUCUCAUCACCGGUUCAAGACUUUGAAUCUUAGUUAUUAAAUUUAUCAAGCGCAUCAUCUAAAUCAGCUUGCGCUAAAACAACUCCCAUAUAAAAUGGUACCAUUGAAGUAUAGUGGGGUACUUAUAGUAGUCACUUCUAGUUCUUGAACCCGUGGAGUUACACCUGUUAUUAUUAACUACUAGUCCACCAACCGGUGCUCCCGCACGGGCUAAUAUUUUUAGAAGCUAUUGUAUUUGAAAAUUAUUUAGAAAUUAAACUCCUAGCUAUUAAUCAAAAUUGAUUACCUACUGUUGUCUUAUUUUUUUCAAUACGUCAACAUAAUACUUAUAUAGAUAUGUACCUAUCUUUGUCCAAUUGUGAUUGAUUUUUAAUUAAUAAUUACUCUAUGCACUUUUUCAUCCAAUUCAUACUCUUUCCAUUUUGUAUCGCACCUCCAGUCCUCCAUACAUUAUGUUUAGCAUACAAAUCAAUAUUUUUCAUCAAUUCCUCACGUACAUGUAUAAAUGGUCUAAACGGUGACACUCAUCAUGUGUAUAUACUUUAACUUAGUAUUUUUAUAUUAAUAAUGAUAUAAAUAGGUAAUUUAGAAUCAUAUAUUAGUUUAUUUUUGAAAUUUAUGUAUGAUGCACAUGAAGAUAAUUAGAUUAAGAUUUAGAUGUUUAAUUUAGAAUAUUUUUAAGAACAACUUACGUGGGUAAUAUAGAUAAAAUUUUAGAACGACAUUUUAAGUUAUGCUUUAUAAUGAUAUGUAUUAGUAAAUUGGAUGGAGAUUAUGGGAUUACUUUAGAUUAUUUUUUAUAAUAGCUGAGCUCGGUAAUUUAGAUAUAGGUUUAGAGCUCAUUUUUAAAUAUUUUCACAAUGAUAGUGGUGGGUAACUUUUUAGAAAAUAUAAUAGAUCAAUGGCUAUGAUUAUUAGAGUUUAUAGGAUUGGUGUUUGAUGUUUUUGAUUUUUAUGAGAAUUUGUCUCUUUUUUUUCAAGCUUGUCUCAUGGGAACUAAUGCGGAGUCUCCAAUGGAAAAAAAAUGGGACUACAUUGCUACAAAAUAUUACCAUAAGCUACCUCUCGUUUGUUAAAUAUUCAAACACAAUAGAUAUAUACUUAUUAUCUUCAUCCAAUUGUGAUAGAUUUUAGUUAGUAAUUACUCUAUAAUAUUUUCAUCCAUAUUUAUAAUCUUUAACUUUUCAAUUUGCAUCGCAGGUAUGCGUUUUAAAAAAUUUGUUUAAUGAACCCUAAGUUUGUGAUACAAUUUUAACAUAGAAAUCUAUAUUCUCAUCACUUCCUCUAUAUCUUUAUAAAUGGUGACACAUCAUGUGUAUAGACCUUAAUUAUUAUAUCAUAUACCAAUAGUGCAAGAUAUAGACGAUUUAGAAUCAUAUAUUGCUGUAAAUUUUAAUUAAGGUUAUUUGAUUCAAACGUAGGGUUAUCAUGUUAUUUUUAAUAAUGGCAUGUGUGGGUAAUAUAGAUGCAAAUUUAACAGGUUACUUUAAGUUUUUAAGUAAUAGCGGUGGGCAAUUUGAUUGCAAAUUAGGGGGUUAUUUUAAAUAUUGUUUAUAAUGGCAUAAGUGGGUAAUUUUGAUGAAGAUUAGGGGAUUACUUUAGUUUAUUUUAUAUAAUAACAGAGGUGGGUAAUUUAUAUAUAGAUUUAGGGGGUUACUUUAGGCUAUUUUCAUAAUGGCAUAGGUGGGUAAUUUUUUAGAAAAUAUAAUAGAUUUAAUGGCUAUGAUGAUUUGAAUCUAUCGAUCAAUGGUCGGAUGUUUUGCUUUUUUGUAAGAAUUUCUAGGAUUUCUCUCUUUUUUCUAGAGUGUCCACCUAGAAAUCCUAGAUGGCUUCACCUGGAGGCUUCAAAAGGAGCCUCCAAUUAGUAGUAGUAAGAUUGAUGUAAUAUUGUAAUUUUUAUGCUACAGUAGUACAAAUACUCUCUCAGAUUCACGAUACUUGUUUUAUUAGAGAUUUUUUAUGAAACAGGAGGGGAUUCCCCUACUGUUGUUUUGUAAGAGUUGGUAAAAAAAUAAGACAUAUGGAUUUACCAUUUUACCCUCAACUAAUCUUCUCCAAAAGCAAGCUUAUGAGACAGGGCCUUACAAAUUUUCAUCUUCUCAUCACCGGUCCAAUACUUUGAAUCUUCUAAAUCAGUUUGCGCUAAAACAGCUCGCAUGCAUGUUAACUUACCACAGAGCCAACCUUACAUCUCGAUCCAGCAACGGAGUAUCAUAUUUUAUGAAAGCCAUUGUGAAGAAAUAACUAGAAGAAUAUAAAAGCCUAGCAGAAAACCUGCAGCUUGUACACCUGUGUACGUCCAGCAAUGAGCUGAUCAAAUAUCGGGGUAGCCUGCUUCGCGACUGCGUGUAGCAAUAAUCCUAAAAAAAUUGAGACAAGCCGGGUCAGUUGUUAAUGAAUUUACACAACAGACAGUGGUUGGAGCAAGGAAACGUAUAUGGAAACUGAUACCCACCCAUGCUAUAUGGAGACCAGAAAAUCAAAAAAAAACAUUGUGUGGCCCCUGACAGAUGCACAUAUUACUUUUAAAAGUGAUAAGUUGCAUCUUUUCCUCUUGGAUUUGAAACUGCGACAUAAACGAGGAUGCAGAUAUGUAUAAAAAAGUUGUUUGAUGAUGCAAUUCUUUUGGGCGCUCUAGAAACUAGGGAAAAGAUAUUAGGCUGCAUUUAUAAUUCGGAUCAUAUCCAACACAUAUCCAACACUAAUUAUGUAAGGAGGAGGGUCACUUGCUAGUGACAUCCCUCUCCGCACGCCAUAGCCUCCAAUAUCUCCGGCUCUGUGAUCCCGUCGAUAACAAGGGCGGAAGCUCCUAAGAAGGCUCCUGUCGCAUCACGCGCCACCUGAUUGAACCCUUAAUGAUAAACAGAUGUACGACGUGCUUGCAAAUCUCACACCCACAUUAAAUCGUUAUGGUAGUGUAUGCACAAUCGAAAGGAAAUGGAAAGCAGCGUGUAACUAAAUCAUAGGCAGAGUGAUUCAAAGAUGAUCUAAAGACCAACUCAUUAUGAUGAAGAUAUGCUUUAUCACACGAUUGAAACGAAUGUGCCUCCUAAAAUUGCCGCUUAAAUUACUCAUCAGUAUUGGCAAACAGUGGCACCAACAAGUGCAUGUAAAAUGGUACUUUGUUUUCCAAGCCUCCAAUUUGCAGCACACUGAUCACUGGUACUCUGUUUCGCAAACCUCGUCGUCCUAGCACACUGAUUACGGCAUCGGUCAGCCUGCGUGGCAAAGAAGCAAGGACGCUUCGCCCUGGAGGUCUGCUGGUUCGAUACACUGCAUGUUAGUGGACGAAUGAUCCACUAUAGUCUCUGUUGAAAUGCUACCAAGACUAGCAUGUGCACUGAUCUGAUGAAUGGCGCUAGAACACACGUCACAGUAGGGUAUCUCCUGAUGCCAACCAGUCCUACUAUAGGGUCAAGAUUUACGUUUCCCCCACGAAUACUACUGGUGACUCGCACUACCUCUAUGAACAAAAACACAGGAAGCAAGAGAUAAAAUUGUGUGUGUAUCAGACAUAUAUAAUGGUACCAUUGAAGUAUAGUGGGGUACUUACAUUAGUCACUUCUAGUUCUUGAACCUGUGGAGUUACACCCGUUAUUAUUAACUAUUGAUGUAAUAUUGUUAUUUCUAUGCUACAGUAGUACAAAUACUGUGUCAGAAUCACCAUACUUUUUUUAUUAGAGUUUUUUUUAUGAAACAAGGGGGAUUCCCUACUGUUGUUUUAUUAGGGUUGGUCAAAAAAAAUAAGACAUCUGGAUUUACCAUUUUACUUUCAACUACUCUUCUCUAAAAGCAAGCAAGCAUCGAGAAAUAAGUUAGAUAAUAAUGUGAGGGGUAAGAUUAGAAAUUAAAAGUCAUGUAAAAGUUGCAAGUUUUAAACAAUAAAUAUUUUAAAUAUUGUAAAGAAGUCAAAAACAGUCUUUAUUUUUAACCAAAUUAGGGAGUAGAGAAUUCACCUAACUAUACAUGUAUUGAAUAUAGUCUUGUUCCUUAUCAUACUAAUCCAAGAAAAUUGUAAAACCGUUAUGUUCUCAACAUUAACUCUAUGCUAGAGCAGUACGAAUACACGAAUACAUGUUAGAAUUGGAAUGUUUUAUUCCCAUUUACAAACACGUGAAAAAAAUACCUUAUAAGAUGGAAUGGCAUUUCGGAGCAGCAGAACUCACACGGAAGUUGAAUAACAUUUUCAAGCCUUGCAAAGCCACACUCACACCACACUCACACUCACACCAGAACGCACAUACAUAGAACGCACACCACACUCACACCAGACGCACACACAUAUGUGAGCAUUCAUACACACGUUAGAGAAGAGAUUGGAGAGGCUACAGCCCUCAUUGCAUGGGAAACAUGCAGGACCACUAAAUGCGCACACGUGUGUGUACCUACAAUAAUCCAGUAAUAAAUCGUAGAAAAAUCGUUUCUACUGGGGUUUUCGAACCCAUGACCUCCUGCUGGAGGCUCCGCUAGAGAUCUAUAAUCCACUCGAUAACAAGGGCAGAAGCUCCUAAGAAGCCACCCGUCGCAUCACGCAUCACCAGAUUGAACCCUUAAUGAUAUACAGAUGUAUGACGUGCUUGCAAAUCUCACACCCACAUUAAAUCGUUAUGGUAGUGUCUGCACAAUCGAAAGGAAAUGGAAGCAGCGUGUAACUAAAUCAUAGGCAGAGUGAUUCAAAGAUGAUCUGAAGACCAACUCAUUAUGAUGAAUCUAUGCUUUAUCACACGACUGAAACAAAUGUGCUUCCUAAAAUUGCCGCUUAAUUUACUCAUCAGUAUUGGCAAACAGUGGCACCAACAAAGUGCAUGUAAAAUAGUACUUUGUUUUCCAAGCCUCCAAUUUGCAGCACACUGAUCACUGGUACUCUGUUUCGCGAACCUCGUCGUCCUAGCACACUGAUUACGGCAUCGGUUAGACUGCGUGGCAAAGAAGCAAGGACGCUUCGCCCUGGAGGUCUGCUGGUUCGAUACACUGCACAUUGGUGGACGAAUGAUCCACUAGUCUCUGUUGAAAUGCUACCAAGACCAAGCAUGUGCAGUGAUCAAUGGCGCUAGAACACACGUCACAGUAGGGUAUCUCCUGAUGCCAACCAGUCCUACUAUUGGGUCAAGAUUUACGUUCCCCCCACGAAUACUACUGGUUACCAUCACUACCUCUCUGAACAAAAACACAGGAAGCAAGAGAUAAAAUUGUGUGUGUAGGAGACAUAUAUAAUGGUACCAUUGAAGUAUGUUGAACCCGUGAAAAUACACCCGUUAUUAUUAACUAUUGAUGUAAUAUUGUUAUUUUUAUGCUAUAGUAGUACAAAUACUGUGUCAGGUUCACGAUACUUGUUUUACUAGAGUUGGUCACAGAAAAAUAAAUAAGUCAUAUGGAAUUACCAUUUUACCCUCAAUUAAUCUUCUCUAAAAGCAAGCAAGCAUCGAGAAAGAAGUUAGAUAGUGAUGUGAGGGGUAAGACUAGAAAUUACAAGACAUGUAAAAGUUGCAAAUUUUAAACCAAUAUAUAUUUUGAAUAUUGUAAAGAUGUGAAAAACAAUAUGUAUUUUUUAACAAAAUUAGAAUUCACCAAACUAUGCAUCUAUUGAAUAUGGUCUUAUUACUUAUCAUAGUAAUCGAAGAAAAGUGUAAACCAUUAUGUUUUUAACAUUAACUCUACGCUAGAGCAGUACAAAUACACGAUUGCAUGUUAGAAUUGGAAAUUUUUAUUCCCAUUUACUAACACGCGGAACUUGAGUAACUUGUUGAAGCCUGCCAAAGCCCAUGUGCAAACCAACGCCUCUGCACCGGUGGAUCCAUGCUUUCCCACAGGGUGGUAGAGCUUAUCUCUGCCAGCAGGAUGUGGCUCUGGAUGAUGCCAUUGCCAACCAUUCCUCUGCUUUCCUUUUCCCCGUUGCUGCUGAAUGACCAACAUAGCAGAAUGGAACCGAUGAGACUUUAGCAAACAUUUUCCUCUUUAAUGUUACCAGCUAAUAGUAAAUAUCAGAAUGUUACACGUGUUACCAGGUAAAACUCUAUCCAACCCAUUCAAUUGGUGUACAGAUUUCAUGCAUUAACCUGACGUUUUGUUGCCUUUCUUCCAUUUCGUUUCCCCUCACGUCAGAAGAGACUCGAUCACCCUACGAUGGCAGCUAACAAAUCGGCCUUGCUCCAAUCUGACGCAUCUAUAGUUGAUGAAAUUUUUAGGUUAAUAGAACUCUUAUCGUCAGUAAGAUUUAUUGGUGUUUAACCAUUCCAAGGCACGCUUAAAACAUAACUCACAUAUAUGUUAGAAACGUCAAGCCAGAAUCAAAAUUAGAACUAUCAUCUCGACGCAUUGGCAUUUAUUUCGAGAAUAUUCAUCAGUCACAUCCCGCUCCAGUGCUCACAAAGGGUGUUGGCAGGCCAUGGUCAUGGUGUUAAUUUGUUGUACAAACCAAACUAAAUUGGUAUUCCGAAUGAUAACACCAGUAGCUUUCAAAAAAAAUAAUUAAAUGAAAUUCUCAAAUUUAUAGCUUCUGUUUUUGUUUGUCGCAGGAACACACAAUAUGUGAAAUGCGAUUUAUCCUUAAUUCAGAAGAAAAACUCAUAGUUCGAGGACUAGACAAAUGAUGAAAUGAAUUAUCAUUAAAUUUAAUGAAGAUUGGAGCAAAGUAGACCGAUGUGGAACGAAGGACACUUUUUUCUGCUAGUCUGCUGCAUGCAAACCAUGGUUCCACCCUCUCCUAUACCAAGUGAGUACACACUGAUGGAACAAUCAUUCUCUGGUCUCUAUGAACAAUUUUCUGUAACCAAGCGCCCGUAGUUGGCCAUCUCCUGGUGCCCACCGUUCCUACAGGGUAAAGUCUUAUAUGUUUCCCCCCACAACUAGUACUAUCUCUAGGAACCAAGAGAGAUGUAAAAUGGUGCAGGCAUCAGAUAUAUAAUGGCUCAAUAGAAGCGCAUAGUGGUAUGCACAUUAGUCACUAUAUAUUGCUUGGUGUGUAGCAGUUAUCUGAUGCUUUGAGAAAACUUGUGCAGUUUUUUUAACAGGCAAAGCUAGGAAUAUUAUUCGGACCUAACAUCGUCUGCAUACAAUACAUUGUAUGACAGUGUUAGGUCGCUGAAUUUCUUUUCCAGUGCUAUUAAUUCAAUGUCCAAGAGACGAAGCAUGUUAGUUAAACAAGAGGUCCCUGAAAGCUACUGGACAUACACGUUUAAAUCCACCAGCUUUUAAAUUGAGUAGUAUUACGUGAACCAUUGAUAUUACUAUAUAAAUCAAAUGUAGAUGUAGUCGAUCAGCUUCGAGGGGUUGCGUAGUUGCCCUACCUAUGCACCAGUGCAGGCUUCACGAGGGCAACGCACUACGGGAAACCUCAAAGUCGCCGAGUGUAAUUACUUCGCCGAGUGCAUUUUUUCGGGCACUCGGCGAAGGACCUUUUUGUCGAGUGUAAUAUCAAAAACACUCGGCAAAAAUAAAACACUCGGCGAACUACCGGUUUGCCGAGUGCCACCCAAAAAACACUCGGCAAACACCCAGGAGACACUCGGCAAACGUAGACACUCGGCAAACUGACGACCACGUGACUCCCCCGUGCCGCCGCCGGCGGCCCUCCGUGACGGACGUUAGUCUUUGCUGAGUGUCAAUGGAGGGCACUCGGCAAAAGGCACUAGUUUGUCGAGUGUCAUGAUGGGACACUCGGCAAAGUGGCCUAUUUGCCGAGUGCUAGGGGGCACACUCGGCAUACUAUAGGGUUUGCCGAGUGUCUUUUGACACACUCGGCAAAAAUAAUUUUUUUUCCCUCCUCCACCCUCCAAACUUUUUACACUCCACAUGUAUGGCAUUUGGCACUGCAUGGUAGAAGAUGGACUAUCUUUUGACCUGUUUGCUAUAUUUAAUCAAUUAAUUUCAUUUAGAGUAAUUUUUUGAUUUAAGUCAAAUUUGAACUGCAGGUGGUUGGAAUAAUGGAAUAAUAUGAGUGGAAAAAUCAUAUUCAUGUUAGUGAGUCCAAAUUCAUGUUUGGACUUAACACUCGGCAAAGGGGGCGUUCCCAGGUGUAGGAAAGGUCCUUUGCCGAGUGCUACGGUCAGGGCACUCGGCAAAGGGGGCCGGUUUGCCGAGUGCUACGGUCAGGGCACUCGGCAAAGGGGGCCGGUUUGCCGAGUGCCCGGGACCCGGCACACGGCAAAAGGCGCCAGCUUUGCCGAGUGCCCGGGAGCCGGCACUCGGCAAAGGGACCGUGUUUGCCGAGUGCCAGGCGCCUGACACUCGGCAAACUCCCGGUCUUUGCCGAGUGUUGGCACUCGGCAAAGACCCGGUGUUUGCCGAGUGCCUCCUGUUUGGCACUCGGCAAAGCCGCCGUUACCUGACGCCGUCAGUCCGCAAUUCGCCGAGUACAUCUUUUCGCCGAGUGUUUUUUGGCCGUCGGCAACAUGUUUGCCGAGUGUUCGAGUUUUGACACUCGGCGAACUAGUCUUUGCCGACACAAAAUUUGCCGUGUGCUCUUUGCCGAGUGUUACACUCGGCAAAGGCUUUGCCGAGUGUUUUUAGGCCUUUGCCGAGUGCCCGGGGCACUCAGCAAAGGUUCUGUUUCCCGUAGUGACGGCUUGGUGAUAAUGUCCACCCAUUUUCGGUGCACACCAGGAAAAAGAACCCGCGACAUCCAACAGCUUAGUACUAUCCCGUAGGGACCCAUAACGUUUUCAAACAGGUGUAAAAAAACGCAAGAAAACAAAAAUUAGGACUGGAAAAAGGGAUUACAGUUUAGGAGUAAAAUGUAAAUGUACUACUAUUCGAUUAAUUGGAUGUCCUCAUUUUGCUCAUGAUUCUUUACAUUUAUAGGGUAGGGAGGUCUUGCCCCACUAAUAGAUCAUUUUCAUUUUAAAAUCUGAAUGAAUCUCCAAAUCUACUGUGAUUACACUAAACAGGGGCGGACCCAAGGCCCGGCGAGCCUGGGCACCUGCCCGAGCUCCUUGCUGUGCGCCAGUGACUUUUUCUUAAUUAAUGAACUGAUGAUCCAAUGGGAGGGAGAAGGGUUAGCCGGGCAAGAAAAGCAGUGGACCAACUCAAACACCUGUAAGCCAAUAGUGUGCACUCGUAGAGCCGGUCAGUAGAUAUCCCCUUGCGCUUCGAGACUGCGUCCGGCAGCUCUCGGCGACGUCGACGCUCUUGAGCGCAUGCAAAGGCUCAAAGCCGGCCCAGUGCUGCCUCUUGACGCCAACAUCUGCCAAUGAAUUGAUUGUUUAGUUUUCAAAAGUCAAGGAACGAUGCACAGGAAGUGCAAGCUCAGCCAAGUGGUAACUGAAUAAUUGAUUUUUGCUCUUGAUUUUUACUAAGUAGUUGUAUUUGAUUGAUGGAUCAUCACUUCAUCGAUGUCUUAUUUACUCAUCCAUGCUUUAUUAUAUUGAACGGGAGCUAUAUAUUCAAAUCACUUGAUGAAACUGUCGUUCUUCGACGGUUUCGUAACAUUAAGAUUCGGAAAACGGUGUCUCAUGCCAUAAGUUUGUAUAGUGUCUCUUUUGGAGAUUUUUGUUGGACUCGCAAGUGACUUGUUAUCAAUUGCUAUAUUCACCCAGGCUCUGCAAAAGUUCUGGGUCCGCCACUGCAUCUAAAUCAGUGUUACCGCUUUGGGUAACCGGUCAAUCCGGUUUGACCAAGCUCAGUCCGCCACUCAUGCCAAACCAGUCAAACCACCUUGAUAACCGGUCAGAUCAGUUUGAACACAUUAUGCCAGCCAUGAAGACGCACACCAGCCGGUGCCACAAAACCAGAUCAAUGAACCGCGUCGCAAGCUCCCUUAUGUGUGGACGCCCAACAAUAAUCAUAGGUGACCCGUUGAUAGACGGGCCCUGAAUACUCUCUGCGGUCCUGUCUUUCCUGGUGUCUACCGUUCCUAUGGGACAUGACAUAGGGUUUUCUCCACUACGACACAGCUUAUCCGCUCUUAGUGCUAUGUUUUUAUAUCCUUUCUCCUGGUAGUGCCAAAGCUGAUAUGAAGUAAGGGAGAGAUAUACAUGAUGCUUCUAUGAGAUAUAGAAUGGUGCUCUCGUAAUAUUGUAGGGUAGUACGUCCUUAGGUACUAUUUCAAUAUUUCAAUAAAGGUUAUGCUUUUUUAUGGGCCAACCAGAAUUCGCAUGAAAAAGCGCAUCACAAUAGUGUUAGGUGGCAGCACUUUAUUUAUAGUUGGCGUCGGAGGGGCUACUUUUGUAUACGUAUUGAAAUAUGACGUAACUUCCGUUUACAUGACCGGCUCCCAACAACAGUUUACUUGGUAAUACUGUGCUACUAAAAGAAAUUAACUCUACGAAUAACUUGUUGGAUUAAUUGGAUUUAGCCCAUUUAUUUCAAUUAUUUAAUUAAAAUUCAAAGUCCCAUGAGUAAAUGCUAGGUAAUUACAAGGUGGCUAAAUCUACAUGGGUAGUGGAGAAGAAUCCUAACCAACUUAAUAGGUGUAUUCUGUGUACACCAUCUAUAGAGUUGCAAUUGGUGACCAGCCUGCCAUACGCGCAUGGGUGCUCGCUCGUCUUGCCAAGGUCAUGGGCAUGCCGUGUCGUGUCGUGUCAUGACGAGACAAGACGUGUGGUGCUGUACGUUGAUGGCCACACGUGUCAUGCUAGGUCGAGAUGAGUCAACAUUACUACAAAAUGCCUUAUCACAGCUGGCUCUAAAACCCCCAUCACAGACGGUUUUGGGUUCUAGAACUGGCGGUGAUGGCUCACCGCUGGUUUGUCUCUCUCAGGUCGGCGGUAAUGAUGGACUCAUCAGCCUAGAGUCCCCUCCAUCAUAUUUUCUUAAUUUUGCAACAAUCUAACUAAUCAUACAUGGAGUGAUGAGUAAGAUACUAACCUUCAAGCAAGGUGGUGAUGAGCAACCUUUAAAAUUUUAGCUCACUCCAUUGAAAUUUCACCACAAAUGAGGUCUAAAAUGAAGUAAGAGAGAGCCUCUCCAUCAAAUUCAUGCAUAAUUUCAAAAACUAGCCAAAGAAACAAGCUAACAAUUUAAAUGAUUUCUAGUUGCCAACCUCAAAAUAAGAUGUUAAUGUCUCUCUUUCAAAAAUGGCUGUUUUCUUAAGAAAUUGGAAGAAAAAUGGCCACAACAAUGGAGGAAGGAGAGGAGGACGUCGGGUGGAAGAAGGAGGCGGAUGGGAGGAAAGAGGGUUUUGUAUUGUGCAGGGCUAUCAACGCUGGCCCUUAUUACAAACUGGCAAUGAUACCAUCACUGCCGGUUUGAACCAUGGGCCGGCGAUGAAGGCGGACAUCACCGCCAGUUAUGUUUUCUAACACCUACACUACCAUUUGGCCCAGCUGUGAUGAGGAAUCACCGCUAGCCCACACAAAAUUGGUUGUGAUGGGCCGGUGGUGAUAGCUAAUUCUAUAGUAGUGCAUUGCUUAUAUAAAUUCAGUAACGUACUUUGAAAAUUUAAGCCAUUUCGGAUGAUGAUGAAGUACUAUAUUGUAUAUAGCAGUUACCCGAUGUGCUGAAGGAAACUGAUGCAUGCAUGAGCUACUAGCCUGUCGCCGGCCAGCUGUGGAAAACCUAUGGGCAUGUUUGGUUGGGUAGCUAUCCCCCCAACCAGGCCAGCACAAUACAAGAUGCAUUAGUUUGGUUGCUUGGCUAGGAGACUUAGCCAGCCCAGCCCAAGCCAACUGUACAUACAUAGCCAGGCCAGCUAGUACACCCGAAUCGGCCAUUUCUAGCCAGCCAAGCCGUGGCUAUCCAGGGCCCAUGAUUGCGCAUGCUCAGUUGGUUCACAUGGCUUGCCCGAGUUGUGCAGGCAUGACCUCCCCCGAUCCUGCUAGGGUUACCACUUGCCCUCAUUUGUGGCGCAACCUCUCUUGCUCUCAUUCACCUUAUCUCGCCGUCGCCUCUUUCUCCUCCUGUAGCAAGGUUGAAAGCUUCUUCGAUCCGGUAAGCUCGCUUGCCUAGGGCCUCCUUGGAUGAGUUUGUGAGCAAGUUUAGCUUGAGAUUUCUCACAUUCCCUCAUGAUUCCCCUUCUGCCUUUGCUACUUUUCUCUGAGAUGCAUUUGAUUUGCUUAUUCUUGUCACUAUGUUCUCAUUAUGUUGUCGGUGUGUCUUGAUUAGUGAAUCUGUGCGCUCAUGUUCUUGGGUUACCUGUAAAAGUUGAUUGCAUCUUAGACUUGAUGAAAUGGUAGAAUACUAGACGGAUAUUGUGGAUCUGGCAGCAAUGCUUAAAUUGUUAUCUUGUUACCUCACAUAUGAGCGGUGCAGCAAGGUCAAUGAUGAGAAAUUUUUAAUAUUUUUCAUGUCUGGCGGAUUGUUUUAGUAAAACUAGGAGUACUAGUGCACGGUUCGUGAUGCUUGUCACUGGGAGGUGCAUCUUUCUUGGUGUCGCAGCCGUCUAACUUGGAUCCAUUUCUUUUCAAAUGUUAUAGCACAACUGACAAAAUAGUAGUACAUGAUUCUGAUAUAUCUUAUGCUUUGUUCUAGAGUAUGGAUGCCACUCAUAGACGCUGAUGGCUGAUUCUGAGGGGUGCAUCACUUGUUGUUGUAGUUGUAGCCUGGAUGUUUGUUAGGUUUAGGCACCAUUGUCUCACCAAACCACCCAUCACAUAUGCCCCCAUGAGUGCUAGAGAGGAGCAGAGGCAGAACAAUCUCUGUUACAUUUAUCAUGCUGAUGGCACUAGGUGUGUUGACCUCCAUAGAAUGAAAAGUGCACCCUAUUUCCAAUUGUGUGACCUACUAUGCACAAGAGAGUUGCUUAAGGACAUAGUGCACUGUGAUGUGGAAGAGCAGAUGGCAAUGUUCUUGCAUGUAGUUGGCCACAACCAAAGGUUUAGGGUAGUCAAUUUAUCCUUUAGGAGGUCACUUGAAACCAUUAGCAGGCACUUUCAGGAGGUCCUUUAUGCUCUUGGUGAGCUUUGAUAGGAGAUCAUCCAACCCCCCUCAGCUUGUGUUCAUUGUAAGAUUUGGGGUAGCUGCCGAUGGAACCCAUAUUUUAAGGUUAGUCUACAUAAACUAGUGCACUAGUUUACAGUGGGAAGUAGUAACCAAUUGUUUCCUUUUACAUUGUAGGAUUGAAUAGGUGCAAUUGAUAGGACUCAUGUUCUUGCAAGAGUUCCAAGGAAAAUUAGGACUGCCUUUCUAGGAAGGAAGCACACAUCCACCCAAUAUGUGCUUGCUGCUGUAGACUUUGACCUAAGGUUUACAUAUGUUUUGGCUGGUUGGGAGGGCUCAGCUCAUUAAUCUUGGCUGAUGCUCUUCAAAGGGAAGACAGUUUAGGGGUGCCACCAGGUAACUAAAAUACAACAGGAUGCUCCUAUUCAUACCACACACAAUUGGAAACACCUCCUCAUUGGCUUUGUUUGUCACAUGGUAGGUAAAUUUUACUUGGUACAUGCUAGAUAUGCAGUGAGGCUAGGCUUCCUGCCUCCAUACAGAGCCGCAAGAUAUCACUUGAGAGAGUUUGGUGCAAGGGUGCCACAGACUCCUAAAGAGCUCUUCAACCUCAGUCAUUUCUCCCUUAGGACCACACUGGAGAGGGCUUUUGGUGCUCUCAAGAAUAGGUUCAAGAUCCACCACUCCGAUAUAUUGAAGGAAAAUAGUUAGAAUGCAUGGCAUGGGGGCCAGUACACCAGUCACUCAACUAUUAGCUUUGAAUAUGGAUUGUUGGAUCGCAACCCUAACACUCGGGCAACCCUCACUCAGCAAUGCAAAAAAGAGUAUUGUGGGAGCCCUCCACUCAACCCAUCCACAUUGCCACACUAUACUUUCUCUAGUCUUUCAAACUUCUAGGGUCCUUCAAACCACAAGGUAUAUAAAACUUCUCAACCCACCACAACGGAUCCACCAUUGAGUAAGACAACACAUUGAUGUUAAACAACUGAUACCAACUGUAACAGCCUAGGUAUCACGCAACCCUAAGAUGCUACAAAACUACACUACAAAAUGGCGAACUAGAAACUUUUGACAGCAUAUACCUUGAAACAAGCACAACACAACAGCAACAAUAAAUAGACUAUAUAUGAAGUGUGAUUCUCCAACAUAGCAACCACAAAAACAUAUUCCAUGAUAAAUUCAAGAUUGACAACAAUUAUAUUAUAUUACAAGCAAAAGCAAUAAAGCAUAUAAGUGGCAACCAUGCAUUCCGAAUUAAGGUAUCAAUAGCAUGUAAUACUGUAGGCAUGUGCAUAUAAGACAGUCAAUGCAAAAUAAUAAUGACAUGUAUCUAAAAGUAUAUCAUACUACACCAUGCAACCAAAGCAAUAAUCCUUAUGAAAUGUGCAAAUGUGUCAAAUUAAGCCUUAUUUCACCGAGAAUCUAAAACCUAAGCUCUGAUGCCAACUAAAAAUUAUGAAAAUUUUCUUGCAGUAAGAUCUUUUCUUGUCUUUAUAGUUGGAGGAUCCAAUUCGGCCAUUUACUAGAUGAAAAACACCAAUGAACAGACCUACUCAAUCUGCCAGGAAAACAUGAAUAGUCAUAAUAAUCCGGCAAUAUCUCGAGUGCUACUUCACCAAAAAUUACAAUUAAAUACAAUUUGGAAAGCUUAUUAAAUCCUCUAAGACUUUCUAAUGUAUCUCAGGUCUCAAUUCAGCUCCUAACAUAUCCAAAACCCAUGCCCUAGAUAGACUGCCGAAUCUACUAGGAAACCACAACUAGAAACGAAGUUAAAAUCCAAUCCAACCUCUAGUCCUCUAAUCCCCCACAGCCAAAACCUCCAAAAACACUUAAUUACAAGGGAAGGAGAUGGAUCCAACUGUUACCCAAGGCUUCCCCAUGAAAAUCUGCAAGGGGAAGUUGGGGAAACAGUGAUUUAGCAUAUCUCCUUGAUCCUCUCUUGCUCCUGAAUUCAUCUUGCUCCUUCUCUUCUUGAUCCUUGCUACAAUGGAGGAGAUCUAGAGGUGGAGAGGGGAAGUAGAGGGAGGAGAAGGCAUGUUGCGGGAGGGAUUUCAUGAGGAGGGUGAAAAGGGCGGCGCUGGGGGCAGCCAGAAAGGGGUAGAGGUAAGGAUUACGUGCCUCGUCUAUUUUUCUUGAUUCAUCUCAUCCCUUAAUUCUUCGGUUGCACAAAACUUCAUGAUGUUAAAUCUGAAUACUAUAUGUGAGUAGUCAAAUAGAUUGCUUUCGUAGAGAUCUAUGCAUCCGCUUUCACCGAUCUUCUAUAUGAACUAUGGAUUAAAAAGUCAACUUUUGCCCCUCUUUAAAACACCUGGUCAACAUUUACCCCCUUUACGCGUUGUAACACAGAAGGCAUACUUUGUUCAAAAGCACAAUCUAUUAGUUCAUAGACAACCAAUCAUAAAAAUAAUGAUUCAAAUAUCUGAUGAACCAUACACCAUUAAUGCCACUUCAAUUUCUGGGUCGUUACAGCAGUUGUCAGGGGUUAACGUAGCUGAACCUCUGUCGGCGUGAUCACCUUGCGAGGAAGAUCAUGCUGGAGUUUUGGAGCUAGGAGUCAUCAAGAUCAAGGUAGGAUCCCAGUGGUGAUCUUGUGAUGUACAAUCAUUCAUGGUGAAGUAAUAGAUCUGUUCAUAUUCUUAGCAAUCUAAGUAUCUCCUUCUAUGGUUUUAUGCUCUUUCGAGUUUGCUUGCUUUUCAUUCUAUGAAUCGAUGAUUGAUUGCCUAGGGUGUUCUUAUAGUCUUGGUGACCAGAUUUGCAUGCCAGAUUUACCGAUAAGUAUAACAUGUUCUUUUGAUCAUGCCAUUAGUCUACCUAUGCUAUUAGAGGGGAUCGUGACGGGAUCUUUCUUGUGUAAGAUAGGGGGUUUCAGGAGUUGGACCGGAGAUUUAGAUUUAAAGGUGCUUUUUACUAAGAUCAUAUCUAUGUUGCUUUGCUAUCCGUGCUCAGAAUUACAAUGUAUGCAUAGUCUAGGUUGCACUAGAUUGGUUACCUCAGCUCUAUGUGUUAUCUGUCUGUACAUGUUUAGUAGAUUGGAUCUGAAUCAUUCAUCAACACCAAGUCCAUACUAAAAAUGCUAUUUAAAAUAGAUCUUAUGCUAUUAGUUCCACGGAUUGAUAAACCUUAGUAGAGUACUCUGAGAGAAGAGCUACAACUGAUCCGUGCAUUUGCAGUUCACAACUUGGCAUGCUAACAGCCGUCAACAAGCUUUUAUAGCACCGUUGCCGGGGAACUAGUAGUCAAGUUCUAAGUUUAACUAUGUAUUUGUAAUUAUGACUUUUUGUUCAUGAUUUUUCAGUUUUUUCUUUUUAAAUAUUUUUGUUUUUGUUCAAUCUCAAUCAAAAGUUCAAUCUAGUUCUUGUAUAUAUGUGUUUUGCUUUCACUAAUGCUAAUAGGAGAUAGAGGCUACCUCUCCAACAAACUGAAAAUUUUUGUGGAUGUUCGAGAAAAAAUUUACAGGCAAAAGAUACGAUUAUCAAAAGCAAGGAAGUUGGAGAUCGAAGCUGCAACUAUCAAGGAAGAAUUGAAAGUGUUGGGAACAUCAUCAUCUACUCCAAAGUCGACAGCACCAACAAAUCCAGGAGGGGCGCUAGUUGUGCCAGUUGUACUGGAAGCACCUGCAAUGGGAGAUCAACCUGAGCCAGAGCGUACUAUCGGGGAGCUUUGCAUCCCAAACAUCAAUGAUUUACCUAUCCAUGAGUUGGGUGGCAUUGGGCAACCAUUUGCGAUCCAAACUUCAACACUGAGGAUGGUGCAGAGUUCACCUUUCACUGGCAACGAGGAUGCUAAUCUUCAUCUACAAGCAUUCAUGCAGUUAUGCAACACCUUCAAUGUGGAUGGAGUUAACCAGAAUCAACUAAGGGUAAGGUUGUUUCCCUACUCUCUACUUGGAAGAGCGCUUCAAUAGUUUUAUGAUCUACCUAUGGUUACAAUUCAUAAUUGGGAUGAGUUGAUGAAAGCCUUUAUAACAGAAUAUUAUUCGUCAACCAAGACUCAGAAUCUGAGGAGCAAGAUCGCUACUUUUGCUCAGUUUGCUUCUGAAACUAUUGCUGAAACCUACCAACUCUUCAAUGACUACGUCCGAGCAAUUCCACAUCAUUAAUUCCCAAGGGAGGAUUAAGUCCAAAAGUUAUAUAAGAGCUAACACCUACAUCAAGGACAAUUAUCGAUGCAUCGGCUGGAGGAUCGAUUAUUGAUCUCACCCCGACUCAAGCUUUCAAGUUAUUCAAGAAGGUUGCAGACAACGAUGCAUGGGAAUCAUCUUGGCAUCUUGUCCUAGUUCAACCAAUUGGAAACACUCAAGGUGUGUUGCAUGUAGAGCAUGAUCAACUACUCGAAGGGAAGAUCGACUCGCUGAUAAGAAGACUAGAGAAGAUGGAGAUAAAAGAAGCUCAAGAUAUGGACAUGAAGGUAGCAGAAGCAAGAUCAACAUGUGAAGAGUAUGGCGACUACAGCCAUGUUGGGAAGAACUGUUCAGAUGAAGCUAAGUUGCUAGACUACAUGAGAAGGGAGAAUUGUUUCCACCAUCCAACUAUUGAUAUGGACAGAAUAGGCCCCAAUUCAAUGCAAGCUCAUCCAUCCAAAACACAAUGCCUCUACGUAUUCAGCAGAAUGAGUUUAUGGAGGAGCAAGGCAAGAUCAACAAAGACACUUUCACUAAGUUCAAGGCGAUGGAUAAGAUUAUGGAAAAUAUUGACAGCAAGGUGACAGAGGUCGGGAGUUCGAACCACCAAGUGAUGAACAUGGUGAAGAUGCUGAGAACUCAAGUUUCACAACUAGAUGGGCACUUAUCAAGCAAUGAAGGGAAGUUGCUGGGACAACCGAUGAAUCGUGAGACAGCUAAAGCUAUUCAGACUCGCUCAGGCAAGGAAACAAAAGAUCCAGUAUGUCCGGCGGGAGCUAGGAAGCCUAAACCAAUUGCUGAAGUAGAUAUGACUUCAAAGGAGAAGAUACCUACCCCAGCUCCAGAGAUCGAAACAAAAGACCUAGAGUUUGACAUGGUUAAUCAAGAUGGCAUCAAGAUUCUGGCAGCAAAGCCAUGCCAUAAUCUAGGUAAAACUGAUGAACAGUUUAAAAAAUUUGUUGAAGUUGUGCGCAGGUUUAAAUCAAUAUACCGUUGCUUGAUGCUCUACAAGUUCCAACCUACACUUGCUACUUGAAGGAUAUAUUGACAAACAAGUGAGAGAUCUCGUAGUUCACUACAGAUCACAUCAAGAUGAUAGAAGAGUGCUGUGCUGCGAUCGCUAAACAAGCUCCUGAGAAGAAAAGAGACCUGGGAUGUCCAUCCCGUGUUCCAUUGGAACAUUGAUGUUUGAAGGAGCAUUAUGUGAUCUUGGCGCAAGUGUGUGCGUGAUGCCAAAAGUUGUGUUCAAGAAGCUACGCCUGACGAAGUUGGAAGCAACUGCUAUGCGCUUGGAGUUAGUAGACAAUUAUGUUCGCUAUCCUAAAGGUAUUGCUGAAGACGUACCUGUGAAGAUUGCGAAUCACUUUGUCCCUGUCAACUUCUUGGUACUGGAGAUGGGAGAAUGAGUUAAAUCCCCACUCAUUCUGGGAAGGCCAGUCCUGAAGAUCGCAAGAGCAAACAUAAACGUUGGGAAGAGGUAGAUCAAAUUCGAUAUUAAUGGCACUAUGAGUGUGUUCAAGUUUCCCCCAUGCUUUGAGGUAUGCAACAUGAUUUCUAGCAAGUACAUACCACCACACCGUCAUGUUAAGCAGGAGAAGAAGAACAAGAAGGCAGAAGAAAAUAAGCCAGCACAAGUUUCUAUCAUCCAGAAGAAGGAAGAACGCUGGCCUGUGAAGACAAAAAGAUAGCCAGGCAUGUGCCUACAUCAAAGCCAAAGAUGGUGAAGACGCUGCAACCCUUGCUUUGAAGGUGCUCGUGCUGCAGGGCUUACUGCUCCUUUCUUAUGCUGGGCUGAUGGCCUCACGCCCAGCUGCAGUGCGACAAUAAUUAGUAAAUUGUAAAAAUAUAUAUUUCAUGAUGUACCUAAUUAUGCUCAGUUGACAAUCUUAAUAUUAUUGUCAUUUUCUAUGAAUUUGGUCAAACUUAUAACAAUUUGACAUAGAACAAAUCAAAAUGUUUUGUAUUUUAGGACAUAAGGAGCUAGUACGUUUGUACACCCAGUUAAGCCGCACACAAAUAGGCAAUAUGAGUUGGGCAACUUUCCACACGGCUUGCAUCUUUUUGUUCCAUGCGGUGUGGAUGGAAUGAUUCUGAAUUGAAUGGUACUCUCUCCGUCCCAAAUUAUACUAUUUUGCUAUGCACUUAGAUAUACACUAUGUCUAGAUAUAUAGAAAAAGUUAUGAAUAUAGAAAAGUCAAAAUGACCUACAAUUUAGCACUACCGGAAACAGAAAGCUCGCCGAGUGCCCCAGGAACUUGGCGAAGGCCCAAAAACACUCGGCAACGCAUUUGCCGAGUGUAACACUCGGCGAACCAGACUCGGCGAACUUUCCCUCGGCAAACAGGGGGUUCGCCGAGUGUCAUACAUCGGGCACUCGGCAAAGCUUCGCCGAGUCCCAAAAAACACUUGGCAAACAUAUUUUUGAAAAAAAAUAAAAAAACAAAAACUCCGGCCGGUGCCACCACCGGCCUCCACCACCUUCACCACUGCCAGCCACCACCACCGGCCUCCACCACCGCCACCCGCCACCCGCCACCAUGCCGCCUCACCACGGCCGCCGCCCACCACGCCGCCUCGCCACGGCCGCCGCCCACCACGCCGCCACGUCUGCCGAGAGAAGGAGAGAGGUAGGCCGCGCCGUCGCCGAGGAGAAGGGGAGGGGCAGACCGCGCCGUCUCCAAGGAGAACGGGAGGGGGCGCCCGGCCACCCACCGCCACCCGUCGAGGAGAAGGGGAGGGGGCCACCACCUCUCACCGAGGAGAAGGGGAGGAGGCGACUGGCCGUCGCCGGAUCCGACCUGGAGGGGAGGUUGCCGCCGCCGCAUCUGGCCACCACCACCACCUCCACCACCACACCCGCCGGCCACCACGUCCGGAUCCAGGGAGAGGAGGGGCGGGCGGCGGCCGGAUCCGGGGAGGAGGGACGGGCGACGGCNNNNNNNNNNNNNNNNNNNNNNNNNNNNNNNNNNNNNNNNNNNNNNNNNNNNNNNNNNNNNNNNNNNNNNNNNNNNNNNNNNNNNNNNNNNNNNNNNNNNNNNNNNNNNNNNNNNNNNNNNNNNNNNNNNNNNNNNNNNNNNNNNNNNNNNNNNNNNNNNNNNNNNNNNNNNNNNNNNNNNNNNNNNNNNNNNNNNNNNNNNNNNNNNNNNNNNNNNNNNNNNNNNNNNNNNNNNNNNNNNNNNNNNNNNNNNNNNNNNNNNNNNNNNNNNNNNNNNNNNNNNNNNNNNNNNNNNNNNNNNNNNNNNNNNNNNNNNNNNNNNNNNNNNNNNNNNNNNNNNNNNNNNNNNNNNNNNNNNNNNNNNNNNNNNNNNNNNNNNNNNNNNNNNNNNNNNNNNNNNNNNNNNNNNNNNNNNNNNNNNNNNNNNNNNNNNNNNNNNNNNNNNNNNNNNNNNNNNNNNNNNNNNNNNNNNNNNNNNNNNNNNNNNNNNNNNNNNNNNNNNNNNNNNNNNNNNNNNNNNNNNNNNNNNNNNNNNNNNNNNNNNNNNNNNNNNNNNNNNNNNNNNNNNNNNNNNNNNNNNNNNNNNNNNNNNNNNNNNNNNNNNNNNNNNNNNNNNNNNNNNNNNNNNNNNNNNNNNNNNNNNNNNNNNNNNNNNNNNNNNNNNNNNNNNNNNNNNNNNNNNNNNNNNNNNNNNNNNNNNNNNNNNNNNNNNNNNNNNNNNNNNNNNNNNNNNNNNNNNNNNNNNNNNNNNNNNNNNNNNNNNNNNNNNNNNNNNAGCUUGGCACUCGGCAGAGAGCUUGUUUGCUGAGUGUCCAAAAAAAAACACUCGGCAAAAAAAACACUCGGCAAAUUUAAGGUUUCCGGUAGUGUAAGACAGAGGGAGUUUAAUUUAGUUUGUUUGGUUGGCUGUAUAUGGAAACACAUUCAUGGUUGGCUUAUAUAAAGAAGAACCUUCUAGGGCUCAUGCUCCCAUCAUCCUUUACUAACUAGACAUGAGACGACAUCAAGCUUAUGUUACGUGCACACUAUGUCGACUAUGAAAGCUGCAACCCUGGCUUUGAAGGUCCUCGUGCUGGGCUAAUGACUCACGCCCAGCCGCAGUGCGGCAGCCAGGCGGUGGCCCUGAGCGGCUGAGCCCCUGACGUGCAGCAACAACCUCUGCUGCAGGCCUGCAGCCAGUAUGGGUACUAGUACUGCGGCCUCGGCGGCGACUACUGUGGCACCAGCUGCCAGAGCGGCCCGUGCUACUAGCCCGUCGCCCGCCAGGUGUGGAAAAACUACGUAUCAUGGAUGCGUGCAAACAGAGCUAUACGUCCUACGAAAUAAAAGUGCUGCUACUAUAAUAAGUUUGUACUAUAACCUGCGUACUGUGUGGAGCAUGGAACGGCGAGCAGUGUAUGUAUGCUUGUGCAUACGUAAAAGCCCAUGUGUACUAUAUAUAAAUAAAGUUUCCAGCAGAGUCAUUGACAAACUCAGCCGCAUGCAACUAUGCAUACUCAUGCAUAUGCCUAAGGAGUGCCCAGUGGUGAUCGUGUUAUCCCAUUCUCUCAAUUAAUAAGGUCCUUGGGCGGAGCUAUUACAAACCUACCUCGAGGUUGAUAUAACAAUAGGAGCUCAGUGGUAGAGGAGGAUGUGGGAUCAAAUCGCCACGAGAUGGAAUCCUUGUUCAGCUAGUAAAAACGGUGAAAGCGUGUUGCCCUUUGGGGUCAUGGGCGCUCUGCAUGUUUAUAUAGGCCAAGAAGUACCCUGGGCGUUGUGCAUAAGUCAUAGUUAGGAUCUCAACCAUCCUCCUAUUUACAUGCUACAAGAAAGCCUGUAGCUCUAUCAACAACUAUGGCCAGUUCAAGAUCCAACUAAUAACAUGAUAGAUACAAAAGACUAUUACAUUUAAUUUCUGUUUUCCAACAUGGAGAUGUGGUGCAAUUCUAAUACAAGGCUGUAGACAUCCUUGGCCACGCAGCACCCACAGGAAGUACGCCUGCAUUCCAAUCAGACCAGCUGGUUGCCACUCGAGGGGAUACCUGAACCACUUGAUCUUGCCUCGAUUCACUAGAGAGUUGGUGAUCCAUGAUGUGUGGAUCACCCAGCAGAGCUCGUAGGUGACUCCCUGACAGAACCAUGUUCAGGAAACCACGGAACUUUAAGACUCGAUCGAAGCGGUUUUUCGUUUCCUGGUGCCUGCAAUUCCUCCAUGAUAAUACAUAUAUAUCUGUUUUCCCCUAACUACAGCUUAUCCGCUCUUUGUCCUCUUAUUCAUGUACCUUGCUUCUGGUGGUGGCAAGCAAACUGAAAUGUAGGAACAGAGAAAUAUUAAAGGUGGUUCUUGCAUAUGGUGCCGCACUCCAAGUAUGGCAGGGUACCUUUAUAAAAAAAAAUAUUGCAGGGUACGAGCUAUUCAUUGCAAUUGGUGUGUCCAUUGGCGUGUACACUGCACACGCUUGAUGGUGGGGCUAAAAGAUGAUUAUUAUUGGUUUUACAUAUAUCAUCAUUAUGAACGAAGUAUCUCUACGUUCGAAUUGGAGAUGCGAGGUUGAAGACCAUGUUUACCUUAUGGCUACUGGGCUUGUCGUUGGUCCUGUGUAGAGAGUGGAUUAAGUAAGAAACGCCAGGCCUAUUUAUCAUUGCCUUUCUCCUUUUUCUUGGAAUUACACGUGAAAAUUUACUCGACGGAGGUCGCCUCGCCUUGCCAGGGCGCAGUGACAACUAUGGAUCCACCUUGCGAUAAGAGUGCCGUUAGGUUAAGAAUACAUUACAACAGCUUUUAUGCAAUUCAUAUGAUUAAGCAUCAAGCAUGCACAUUUAUUCAUCGAGUUACUAUUAGUUUAUAUGAUUUUGAGAUACACAGAGCUACUUAAGCUAGAAGUAUGUUGGUGCCAGCUAGUGCCACACUUGACAAAGUUGCCAUAUUUUUUGCCCUUCUAAACUUGGACUUCCCAGCUCUCUGAUUUGCCCGACAGCCAACAGUGCUCGCUGGUGACUCCCUGACAGAAGCAUGCCCAAGGAAGAACAGAGCUGAAAGUCAAAAUGCGGUUCUUUAUUUCCUUGUGGCUAUCAUUCCUACAUGUCAAGACAUGGGCUUUUUCACACUACUACAGCUUAUCCGCUCUUUGUCCCCGUAUUAUUCAUGGACCUGUCUCCUGGUGGUGGCAAACUGAUGUGAAGGAAGGGGGAGAUAUAACAGACGGUUCUAGUAUAAGAUAUAUAUUGGUGCCCUGAAAGUAUUGCAGGGUACUACCUAUUAUUGCAGUUGGAGCGUCCUUUGUCGUGCAGAGGAUUGUCGAAUAGUUGUCAUACUUGAUGGGCCUAGCAGAAUUCAGAUAUAUAUAAAGCAUGGCACAGCAGUGUUAGGUGGCAGCAUUAUUGUUCAUUACUAGUAGAUACUCGAUCGAUGCUUGGAUUUAAAUUUGGGUUCAAAGGAGCUACUUCUGGACAAGAUCGAAAUGAGAGAAACAGAGUUUGGAACAAUAGACAAUCAAUGACGCUUCCGCAUCUGCACAGCCGGUGUACUUGGCGGUAGUGGUCAAUACUAACUGCAUCAUCUAGAUGCAGCGUCACCUAGGCUAGACUGGCCGCCGGUGUUCCGAUGAUCGCGUGGCACCAACUUCUUCACCAUGGUCGACGGCAUGGCAUGCCACCACCACUAUGCCCGUCGGAGUGCGUGGCUCGAGCUUGACGGCGAUGCCCACGUGCGAGUAGUCUAUGGCCGUGACUGCAGCGAGUCGGCCCAUAUCCACUUCCCGGACCAGACAAGCCUAGAUCUGGGGAUGGCAGGAAGUAGUUGGCAUGGGAACAUAGGAGGCGGCGGCAAGCUGCAAGAACAACGCGUUGUCGCCGAGAUCUUGCCAAGUGGCACCGGGGUUGCCGGUGUUCGAGAGGCGCCCCACCACAAAAAUGAUCAUCCGCAGCUGCCAGCGCUGUCGGAUUUGGCCUUCGCGCCGUCCGUGGAUCUUGGCCACCAUUGGAAGAGGUAGAGGAACGGUGGAAGCAGGUAGAAAGGAGAUGGUUCAAAUGUUUUUGCAUCCCGAAGAGAGAUCUAAUCUCUUUAUUAUGUCUGUUAUAUGUACAAGUACAUGGUCGUGUACGCUUAUAUGUGUAUGUGAUAUGGCAUGAUCUAUGUCACUCUGAUAUGAUCCUGGUUAAUAUCUCGAGAUGCACAAUACAUGUACUUCAAUGGAUAGGAUAACUCCUAUCAUGAUUCCAAGGAGUAUAAAAUCUUGAUUCUGCAUUUCAUAUAAUUAAGAAUGCAUCUUAACUCAUUGAGUUACGUCGAUUCUCAAAUAUACGGAGCUACUUAAGAUAGAUGUAUCUCAGUCAGACAGGAAGAUAGAGAGAGGGUAAUCCUCGUGGCACAUCUUCCGUCCUUCCCAGUUCCGUACCUUAUUAGUCGCAUGAAUACUCGUGCGAGUGCAUAAGGAGUGCAAAUUGGUGGAUGAGUCAUCUCCCUGCUUACUAUUAAUAAGUUUUGAUUGCCAAAUUUAUUACCCCUACAUUCCAAAUUUCUAUUCGUUUUGAUUUUUCUAGGUACAUAAUUUUUGCUAUAUAUUUAGACAUAUCAUAUAUCUAGAUACAUAUCAAAAGUUAGAAAAGCUAAAAUGAAUAGUAAUUUAGAAUGGAGGGAGUACAAAUUUAGUCUCUAGAAGUAUUUGGGAGGUUAAGGGUAAGACUUAAUCUAGAGGUAGGGGAAGGGGAGACUGAAUCGACUCGACAUCAGGCUGAGCCUUUGUUCAUCAGCAUCGAGAUUUGACCAGCUCGGCCACGUAUACACGACCGCGUGCAUCCACUCCUGCCAGCUGGCGCCAGUAAACCAGAUCACAGAACUGCUUGGUUCACGCCCUUCUCCAUUUGGGCUCACCGUCUCUCUGAUGUGCCGUACGCCCUUCUGUGCUUGCAGGUGACAUAAGCAUUGUCAAGGAAGAAAUGGCACGCAAUGCGAUUCUUUAUUUCCUGGUGCCUACAAUUCCUAUAUGUUAGGCAUGUGUUCUUUCCACACUAGUGCAUCUCUUAUCCAUUCUUUGUCCUUGUAUCAUCCAUGAGCCUUUCUCCUGGUGAUGGCAAACUGAUAUGCAGGAAGGGAAGAUACAAUAGACGGUUCGAGUUUAAGAUAUAUAGUGGUGCCCUCAAAGUAUUGCAGGUACUUACUAUUAUAUUAUUGCAUUUGGAGAAUCGAUUAAUGUGUAGAUGAUUGAGGAAGAGUUGUCAUAUAUUUGAUGGACGUAGCAGAAUUCACAUGUAAAGCAAGCAGUGUUAUGUGGCAACAAUAUUGUUCAGUACUAGUAGAUAAUCGAUCGAUACAUACAUACAUGGAUUUAUAUCUGGGAUAAAAGGACUUACUUUUGGAGGAUCUAGCAGAUCAAUGACGCUCUCUUGUCUAUGAAACAGGACAGACAAUGACGGAAGAAUGAAGGCUGCCAAGACGACCCAACUAGCUAGAGUAAAGAGUUUACUUGCUAAUAUUACUUUCCAAACUAAUUUAAACGGAAUAGAUCCUGCUUCACGGUGAGGCUACAAGAUGCUAACUAAUUUAUCCGGUUCCAGUGUCGAUGGAGACAAGGUCGCUUGUGCUGUUGGCGACGUAAUAAUGCAAGCUUUCAAAGGUGAAAGUCUACACUUCAACUAAAUUGAAGACGAUGCCAUUUAGGAUCGGUAUCGACUAUCGAGUUCACUCGGGGUUGAUCUCAGUGAAAGCCAAACAUGACGCGCCAAAUGUUAGUGUUCGCACUGGCAGAUCAACGGUAGAAUGUGUGGAGGGACACUUCGGAUUUGAAACUCGAUGGUAACACAAAGCACCGGAGAAAGUACGUACUUUCCACGCACCACAAAUAUACCAGCUAAAGUUAGACUAGAUACUAAUGCUAGCAAUAGUACCAUGUCUAACUUUGGCCGGUAUAUUUUAUGGUGGAGGGAAAGUCUGUAAACCCUUUAAUAAUACAGGUUGGUAACAUCUCCGGGUACCAACGCUAACUAUCGUAUCCUUGGUCGCCGGCAAUGAGGCAAUGAUGUGAGCAUCAACAAUUAACAAACACAUAUAUAACCUUGGGGAUGAAUCUUAAACCCGUUCGAGUUUGAUUUGUGUUUUAGGAAGAAAGUUUUAGAAACGGACGAUUAGCAACUGAUGACUGACCAUAUGGUUGUAGCUUUAACAACACCUGGUCUCCGACAUAAUACUGUCGAUCGGUACAUUUGUAUUUGCAUAUAUUUUUGUACAAAUUUGAGCCUUGGUGAAUUGCUCCUUCAAAUCUCUUGUGUAGGUGACAUGGUGAGAGAAAGCUAUGCGUGUGACGAGAGAUCCUGACUUGAAUCCAGCAUAGCACACACCCACAUAUUCCGCAUGAUUUGUAAUUUGCAAUGCGCGGUCUUGUGUAGGCCUCCCCUAGAUAUGAAAUAAUUGUUUUGGACGAACUAACUUCUAGUACCGGGUGACACCAAUACUAAAUGUUGAGACAUUUAGUCUAGUAGUGUGGAUAGCCUUGGACCGUUUAAAUAGGGCAAUACCUACGUCCUAGGAUGGUGUUUUCUAUUGAUUUUGGAAGGGAAUGAUGCCCGCCUUAUAUAAUCCGAGCAUACGGUUACAGGGGUCAAGGAUACAAGCCUUAAUCGGUUACAUGAAAUGCGAUCAGAUUUGACUAGGUAUCUAUCGGUUACUGCCUCCUUCAAAAUUACUAACUUGUAUCUAUCGCUAUCUCCGGAUAUCUUGCGGUACACACGGACUGCGCCAUCCUCUUUGUUUUGUUGAGCCUUUUAGACAACUGGCUCGCCCAAUUUUCAGGAUACCUCGGGGGCAUUGCCCUACCGUUCCUAGUUAGCGCAACUGUGCAACUGCUCGAAGCAAAUUUGAAUACGUAAUAAUACUUUGCCCCAUCUUCCCUCUGCACUUUGUUGAAUAACUUUACCGCAGGUAUACACGAGGACAGGAGUCCAUAGAUGAAAUCUAGUUAAACUGUUGAUUUCCAUACUUAUUGGUUGUGUCCAUGGGUUAUGUGGUGCUUUUAGCAUGGUUUAUAACUGCAACAAUACAUACAUGUUCUCUAGCUAGUGUUUACAUAGGAUUUUUCUCGUUACGAUUGCUUUGUAUAUGCUGCAUUUAUAUACCGUUUACAUGAGCAUGUUUACAGUUUACCCAGCUAGAUUUGGAUUGCAUAGCUGUAGCAUUCAUUUACGCAAUGUUUCUUAAAAACUAAUAUCUGGUAGAAUAAUAUGCAUAUUUCCAAUGCCAACCAGGUAGAGUAAUGAGUUUACUUCUAAUACUAUCAUGUGUAAAUCCUUCUUGACGGUGCGACUAGAAGAUGACGAUUAUUGAUGGCACGUGUUCGUGAAUGAAAUUUCUACAUGAUCACUUUAAAUCAUCACGCUAGUGUAUGCAAAAUCAAAAGAAAAAUGGGAAACAGCCGUGUAACAGAAUCACGAGUAGAAACAUGCAUGGUGCAUAUAUCUUCUCCAUUGAGUCACAAAUAGAGAGACAUGGUCCAGGAACCCGUAUUCGUGGACAGUUCUUACAGCUGGCCCUCACCAUACCACAACCCUACAUUAGCGUUAGACGUUUGACGGUAAAAGUAGGUUGGUACAAUUCUCCAUAAGAUCAUUGGUCAGUACAUCAUGUGUUGGGAUACGAGGUAGCCUACGCUAGCGCAACAUAAAAUUUUUCUACCGCGUAAAUUAGGAAAACUGCCAUAUAUGGAUCAUGGGAUUACCACUUGACGCACUAGUGCGGAAGAUGUACAAUCGUGUCGGGGCAGCGAAGUUGAUCAGCAUAGUCGAUCACGUCGAUGUCGAGCAGCUCCUCAGUAGCUCAUCCACGUACAACGAGGUCCUCCUCGUGCCGCGGCUCGUCGUCGGCUCGUCGUGGCUCGUCGGCGGCUUGUCCAAGUGCUGCAGGUGCAACACCACCAAGGUCUCCACACAUGCAGGGAGGAAGCAUCGUAAGCCGGACUGCUAGGUUCGCGAGUUGCAAUAGGCAAGGGCGUGGGAGGCGCGGCAGCUAUGGUUCGGCGAAAAGGAUGAACCCUAGGGCGCCCCCAUCCCUCUAUUUAUAGGGGUCUUUGAUGGGCCUCUGGGUCCGAGACCCAUUAGUACUUCUAAACCUGAUCCAACUCGGAUCACAUCCGAAUUGGGCUUCCAGCCCCUUAAGUGUGUGACCCUAUGGGUUCGGAUACAUAUAAACAUGGCCCGACUACUCCUACUCAGCCCAAUAGUCGGUAGCGGCCUCUAGCAAGACGUGCCAACUCCUAUAUGCACACGAAGAUCAUAUUAGACGAACCAUCACAACGUCAUGUACAUGCUAUUCCCUUUGCCUCACAAUAUUUGGUCUAGAUUCAAGCCGACUGCUCUUUCUCGAUCCUGUGAUUCAGAAUCCCUUUGUAGGUUAACUCUUAACCGUACGUAGCAUGGCCAUGCAUUUCUGGAUUCUAUCACUGGAGGGGUCCAGAGAUAUCUCUGUCAAAUAGAGAGGGGCAAAUUCCAUCUUGACUGACCAUGCCUCACAGCAUGCUUCUUGACAAACCCGAAAGCAACCUUUAUGACUACCAAAUUACGGUGUAGUGUUUGAUAGCAUCUAAGUAAGUCGAUCCACAUCUUGAGUACAUCGAUAGUCUCAGGUCUAAGGAUAAAGCGUACACGUUGUGUAAAGAGAGAACUACGUAACUUGUGUUGGGUCAGUCCUAGCACAUGUCUCUACACAUGCCCACAUUAUUAGUUUGACAUCUCCAUGUCCAUGACUUGUGAAACAUAGUCAUCAACUAAUACAUGUGCUAGUCUAAUAUUCAUGUGUGUCCUCACAUGAACUCCGACUAGGGACAACUUUUAGAAUAACCAUAUAAGUAAAGAGUUCCACAUACAAUUCACAUAAUUGCAAAUCAAUUCAAGUAGCCUUUAAUGGAUAUUCAAUGAACACAAUAUACAAAUCAUGGAUACAAUCAGAUAUCAUCAUCUCUAUGAUUGCCUCUAGGGCAUACCUCCAACAGUCUCCCACUUGCACUAGAGUCAAUCUAGAAUAUAUCUAAUACCCAUAGCUCUUAUGUGUGCAUCAUGCUUAGACUGCGGGAGAGGCUUUGUCAACGGAUCAGAAAUAUUCAAAUCCGUCUGUAUUUUGCAUAUCUUGCUCUCACCCCGAUUAACGAAGUCUCUAAUCAGAUGAAAUCGCCGCAUAACGUGUUUGUUCUUCUGGUGAUUCCUUGGCUCCUUUGCUUGCGCAAUUGCCCCAUUGUUAUCACAGUAGAGAUUCAAUGGGCUGGACGCAUUUGGGAACACACCAAGCUCAAUAAGGAAAUUCCUUAUCCAAACACCCUCCUUCGCGACUUCCAAAGCCGCAAUGUACUCGGCUUUUGUCAUAGAAUCAGCCACCGUCUCCUGCUUGGAACUCUUCCAACUAAUAGUACCACCAUUUAGCUUGAACACAAAUCCUGAUUGUGACUUUAAAUCAUCUUUGUCGGUUUGGAAACUAGUAUCAGUGUAACCUGUUACAACGAGAUCCUCCUCACCUCCAUAGAUGAGGAACAUAUCUUUAGUCCUUCUUAAGUACUUAAGAAUGUUUUUCAUCGCUGUCCAGUGACUCUUACCUGGAUCAAACUGGUAUCUGCUUGACAUACUUAGCGCAUAUGAAACAUCUGGGUGAGUACUUAUCAUUGCAUACAUGAUAGAUCAAAUAGCCGAGGCAUAUGGCACUCUACUCAUGCGAUCCCGCUCAUCAGCAGUCGAAGGACACUGAGUCUUGCUGAGAUGUAUGCCAUGUGACAUAGGCAAAAACCCUUUCUUCACCUCUUCCAUGCUAAACCGCUUCAACACUUUGUCAAUGUAAGUAUCUUGGCUUAAUCCUAUAAGCCUUCUCGAUCUAUCUCAAUAGAUCUUAAUGCCCAGAAUAUAUGCCGCUUCCCCUAAGUCCUUCAUCGAAAAAUUAUUUUUCAAUGAAGUCUUUAUGGACUCAAGCAUAGGAAUGUUAUUUCCAAUCAGCAAUAUGUCAUCCACAUAUAAGAUUAGAAAUACUACAGAGCUCCCACUAACCUUCUUGUAAACACAAGACUCUUCUUCGUUCUUGGUGAAGCCAAACCAUUUGACCACUUCAUCAAAAUGAAUGUUCUAACUCUUAGAUGCUUGCUUCAAUCCAUAAAUGGAUCUCUAAAGCUUCCAUACUUUUCCAGCAUUUUUUAAAUCGACAAAACCCUCGGGCUGUAUCAUAUACACGUCCUCAGUUAGGUUUCCAUUGAGGAAAGCUGUCUUGACAUCCAUCUUCCAUAUCUCAUAAUCGAAAUAUGCAGCUAUAGCUAGAAUAAUCCGAAUGGACUUAAGCAUCACUACGGGCGAGAAGGUCUCGUCGUAGUCAACUCCUUGAACUUGCCAAAAACCUUUUGUGACAAGUCAUGCUUUAUAGAUGUAAACAUUUCCAUCCAUGUCCUUUUUUCUUCUUAUAGAUCCACUUGCACUCUAUGGCUUUAACACCAUCAGGCGGGUCAACCAAGUUCCAAACUUGGUUUGUCUCCCAUGGACUCUAUUUCGGAUUACAUGGCACUCUGCCAUUUUUUGGAGUCUGGGUCCAUCAUUGCUUCUGCAUAUGUCGUAGGCUCAUCAUAGUCCAAAAAUAAUAUUUCCCGCAUUUUGCGGAGCCUUGCCGACCUACGUGGUUGUGGCGGUGCUUCUCUUGCCAUGGAUGUCUCAACUUGUUUUGCUACGUUAACAUCACUCGUUGAUUCUUGCCCGAUCGGCUCAUCUCGAACUUCUUCAAGAUGCACUGUUGUAACGCCCGUAAAAAUCUACCAAAUUAAAUCACUCGUUAAAAAUGCUUUCCAAAAAAAUUUUUCCGUCUGCUGAGCCCCGGCAAAUCCUUUCCCUUCCGUCGGACCCGCCGUCCCGGCCCCAGCUCGUCAACCCUCUUUUUCCGUCCCCGUAAAUUUCGCCGCGUGCCCGUCCAAUCCAUCACGCAUGCCGGUCAAGUCCCGAAUCUUUCGCCACCUUUUUCUCCUUUUUCUUCUUCUUUCUUCCUCCCUUUCUCUUUCUCCUUUUCCUUCAUUUCUUUUUUUUCCUUCUUCCUCUUCUUCUCCCUCCACUUUCCCUCCUUAUCUCUCUCCUCCUUUUCCCUCUCAGGCGCCGGCUCUCUUUUCCUGGCGCCGCCCGGGCGCUACCCCUCCUCUACGCACGCACAGCACCUGCACGCGCGCGGGGCCCGCGCCGCGCCGCUGUGGCCGCACAGCCUGCGCCACGCCGCCCGCGCCGCUCCGCCCGCGCCGCGCCGACCGCGUCGUGCCGUCUGCCCCGCCCGCGCUCACCUGCGCCCCUCCGCCUGCCAGACCGCACGUGCUGCGCUGAGCGCCGCCGGCCGCGCCGGGUCGCCCGCCGGCCGCCACACUCCACCCUCCGGCGCGCCUCCCCGCGCAAGUCGCCGCCCUGUGCGCCCUCGGCAACCGCACCUCCCCACAAUGCCAACCACGCGCACAUCCACUCCGACAUGCCACCAGGACGAGUUCGGCCGCCGUCCCAUCGGUCGCCCCGCCGCCUCGGGCGCCGACGCCCUCCCCGCCGCCUAUAAAAGGGGAGGCCGAGCCCUACCACCUCCCCGCCGCCGUCGCCGCCCCUUGGGUAUAGCCCCACAAUCACCCAAGGUAAGGGGUCAAAUGGACCCCCUUACCCCCACUCUACCUCUCCCCGUGCGGCCUUGCCGCCGGUAGGCCGAGCCGGCCGGGCUGCCGCCGGCCGUGCGCCCCNNNNNNNNNNNNNNNNNNNNNNNNNNNNNNNNNNNNNNNNNNNNNNNNNNNNNNNNNNNNNNNNNNNNNNNNNNNNNNNNNNNNNNNNNNNNNNNNNNNNUUCUGGACAGAGGGAAGAAGAGGAAGAAAAGGGGUGGAUUUUCGAUCUACCCCUCUGUUUCCCUUUAAUUGCAAUCUAGCCCCUCCACCUCUCUUCAAGGACUUUCACAACUCAGCCCUUCCACCUUUUAAAGUAAUUGCAAAUAGGCCCUCGUUUCUUACAAUCCAGUCCUAAGCCUUGUUUUAAAGCCCUUAAUCUCCCUUUAACCCGUCAUUUCAUGCGCCAAAUUUCCUCCAAUCGAUCCCAAAUUCGACCACAGCCUCCUCUCAUAUAUUUCCGUCGAGGCAUAUCCAAAUUUCUUGGAAAUACCCUUCCUACCUAUUUUCCGUCAUAUUUGCUGUUCGGAGCUCACCGGGUAAAAUCUUUUUCCUUUUUAUCUAUUGUGUGCUCGUUUGUGUGUGCCGUAAAUUGCGGAGUACCCGAGGAGGAGCGCGAGGAGGAGUUCGACCGCGAGCCCGAGCCCGAGGACCAGUACCGCGAGCAGGAGCUCCCGGAAGGCUUUGAGAACGGCAAGUCCAACCUCACCCUUUGAUGCAUAUUUAAAUACCCAGUUUUUCAGACACAACCUACUGGCCUGUUUUAUAAAAUGCAUGUUGUUUUAUUGCAAGACAUGGUUGGUUGGCCACCCCUUGAUUGUUAUGAUUAUUCCUUGUUGUCCCAUAUUUAUUUCUAAAUAUGAGUUGCUCUGUUUAGAUGAUAAAUACUGCUAGAACGCUUACGAACUCAUUAUCCAAAUUCAAUCAUGUCUACAUCUGUUUAUUCGGAAAAUAAAUGUGUGAGUGUGUUCAACUGAGGAGUUGGGUUUUCGGGUGUAAAGAGAGGUGGUGGAUGAGAUGGAUGGGUGUUUCUUGUGUGGAAUGCCGGAUUGUUAAGCUCGUACCUUAGUGGUUGAGCAAAGUUGGGAGAUAUCCAUCUUGUCAUGGCUAAGGACCGAGUUGAUGUGUCAUCUUGCCUAAUUCCAUCAUCGUGCAACCACUCGACUGUUGUAUGGGCAACGGCUUAGCAUAAACCCCACUAGCUAAACUGCUAGGCUUCAGGUGUGCUGGUGAGCAACGGGAGUCUUGGAAAAGGAGUAAGCUCUUGGUGACUUAGGUCCCGGUUUCGGCCCCGUGGAUGGGUUGCUAACCCCUUGGGUGCUUCCGUGUUGACUAGUCAGUAUUGGCUAAGGUGGAUAAUGGCUUUGUUAGGAUCGGUACCAUCACUAAGGUGAUCGUGAUACGGUACCCUACUUGUGGGAAAAGUGUACAACCUCUGAAGAGUUAAAACCUAUCCGGGUAGCCGUGUCCACGGCAUUGGACAAGUUAUGGCUCGGUCACACAACUAGCUUUUGGGAGAUGAUUGGUUUUUAUGGUGUGUGUUGGAUUUUGGAAGUGUCCAGCAGUUGUGCCGUGCGCUAUGGCGGACGGGGAGUCCGGUAGCGAUAAAACUUGGAUCCUUUGUGUAGGAUCAACCCCACUUGAUAUAUGGUUUAUUAAAGAAAAUGCUUUAUGAAAAUCCUUUUAAAUGAAACCCUGCAUAUGUCAUAAAUCUAGCUUUAUUGCAAAUAAACCUUAACCAUAUCCUUGUUGAAUCCUAUGCAUAUUCUUGUUGUAUUUCCUCCUCCGUGGAUGGGUUUGGACUUGUUGAGUACUUUUGUACUCACCCUUGUGUUGUUGCUUCAGAGGAGGAUCUGGACUUCGUCGUCGUGGACUUUGAGUAGGAGGUUGCGUCUGUACCCAACGCUGCCUGCGGUGUUGGCCCUUUUGCAGGAUGCUUCCGCUGACGCAUAGUUCCGAUUGCAGCCCGGAGUCCGACUGGACUGCAACUUGGAUUUGUAUUGUUAUCGCUUUAGUCUUGCUUUGGGUGUGGCUUGCCCGCCCGCUCCUUUGGGAGUUGUACGGUUUCUAAACUAUUUGUUGAAUAAAUGUGUUAUCAGCCUCCUGAGACUGAUAAUUGGAUCACAUUUAGUCUCUACUUAUGUGGGGAUGCUUCAGGUGCUAUCAGACCUGAGACCGGAAAAGCCUUUUUGACCAAACUAAAUGAUUUGCAAAAUUUCUUACUUCCUUUGCUCAAUUGCAAAACUAAUUUACACCCCGAUUCUUUCCAGAUCGCCGAAGAAGGUUGGAUCAACAGCCAUUGCCUGGAGGAGCCCGGUUUUCCUAGGUUGCUGUUCGCCUGCAUGGACCGUCUCGGGAUUUACGAGCAUCCGGAGUACUCUAGCCGGGAGUAUGAAGACCGUGGGACUCUCCGGUGCGAGAUGACCAUCUUUGUGGGCAGGAGCAGCCGCUUCCCCGACAUUCAGCCCUGGAAUGUGACUGCCACUAGUUUCCAAUGGAAAGAUACUUACCAGGCAGCAGCUCAGAAAGCCUUGCGCUACCUGUGCCAAAUUUAUGAGAGGCACAUCGGACGCACAUCGAUGAGGUUUUACCCGCCUGUCAAGAAGAACCGCCCGGUUUGGCUGGCCCGGGUGAGGACUUUGGAAGGAUGUGGACAGCGCGAGGAUGACCCCACCAUGCUCCAUAUGGCUGCCUACCUCCUCACUUUGGAUGAACUCUGCGAUGAGCAGGCCGCCCAUCUGAAGCAGCAGAUCCGCAGAGCCGAGGACGCCGAGGUUAUGGUGAGGAGGCUCCAGGUGAGAUUGGCAGCAGCUGAGGCACGAGCCGCGACCGCCCAAAGCAAUGAGGCCCUCAAGGAGGCUGAGGACCGGCACGCGCGGGCACUGAAGGAAGUCCACCACUCGAACCACACGAGGAGGAAAAUACGGGUCGUGGAGGACGACGAGGCCCCAGUUUUGGAUGGAUUUCCUGUUGCCCAGGGGUCUGGAAAGCGGAAGAGCCCCGAUGCCCCACCAGCACCACCGCCUUCAGAAAGGGACUCUGAGGUGGCCAAUGGAGAAGCCUUGGAACCCCCUCCCGCUGGUGGAACCCUAAGGGACCAGGUGCUGGCCCUCCUUAUUCCGCCAGAAGAUCACUCCGCGUAGUGUGCAGAUUCGUCCCGCGAGUAGAAUGCCCCACCUAGAGUUGUACUCCAGAAGCUGUCCCGAGUCUAGAUUUGUACCCCCAAUUGUGUUGUUGUACCGGUCGUGUAGUGCGUGUUUUGGCCCUACCCCAAGUGUUGUAACCGCCCCGGCAAAAUAAUAAAAUCAUUUGUGCUUGUUGUUUGUUAGUCUGUGUGCUUGUCGACAGGAGGUGGAUUCUGUCCCUUCGAAAAUUCGAAUUAAUUAACUAAACAUCACCUUAAUAUCCAAAUCCAAGUCUCAUGAAAGUUCACUCAAUCUGCAGAUGCCUCCCAAGCGUGCCACCAGGACCUCCCCGAGUCAAGCACGUGCCACUCCUAGUGCAGAAAGACAGCUAGAACGGCAGGGACCCCCACCAGUAGUGCACCAUGAGGAGCAAGAGGUGAAUCAGCCUGAGGGCAGGGGGAGAGUCAAGUGGGAGCACAGGAGCCACCGCCCCCACCGGUCAUUGAUUUGGUACAAGUCAUGAACAACCAGACCCUUCUGCUGGAAGCUUUGGCCAAUGCCAUCACUCGCCAAAGGCCCCGCGGACAGGGCAUGAAUGAGAAACUGACAGACUUCCUUCGGACCAAGCCACCCACUUUUGGCGGGUCCAUCAACCCUAUGGACGCAGAUGACUGGCUGCGGGUCAUCCAGAGGAAGCUAGAGCCAUUCGGCUAUGAGAGCAGGGACAAGGUUCUCCUGGCUGCUCAUCAACUCACUGGGACUGCUUUAGCUUGGUGGGAGAACUACUGCACAGCCGCCCAGGAUGCCUCCACUAUCACCUGGGAUGAGUUCAUGACAGAGUUCCGCCGCUAUCACAUUCCUGCCUCUACCAUGAAGCGCAAGGCGGAUGAAUUCCGUGAACUGCGCCAAGGCAACAAGUUCGUGGAGGAGUACACCUAUCAGUUCAUGGAGUUGGCCCGCUAUGCUCCAGAAGAAGUAGACAAGGAUGAGAAGAAGCAAGACAUGUUCAAGAAAGGUUUGAGCGCAGAACUGAGGACCCUGCUUACUCCUCAGAUCUACCCUGACUUCAACACUCUGAUGAACAUGGCCAUCCUGACUGAGAGGGCCAAGGCAGAUGAGAGGAGGGACAACAAGCGCCGGUUCCUGGACAGCAAGGCCCACCAGCAGGACAGGUUCCAGAAACAAAGGAUCUUUGGUCACCCUAUGCCUAGGUCCCAAGCUCCCAUGCAAUACCGGACCCAGUCUCAAGCCUCCGGUUCCCAUCAGACUAAUGCCCCAUUCAGAAGCCAGAACCCUGUCAAGGCCCCACAGAAUAGCGCCAGUCAAGUCACCAACAACGGCAGGGCAUGCUUCAACUGCCGUGAGCCAGGGCAUUUCAUUGCCAACUGCCCCUACGCCAACAAGCCAGCUGCAUCGGCCUUCUCCAACGCAGUGACUCGGCCAAGGGCAGCAGUGUCAGGAGCCAACCGUGUUCCCGUCCGCAGCAACAACCCCGGCAACAACAACAACAGCCAGCAGAUGAGGCAGCCCCAACGGUCAUUUGGACGAGCCUGCGUCAACCACAUCAGCACGCAAGAGGCUCAGGAAGCUCAAGGCGUUGUACUCGGUGAGUUUCUAGUCAGCUCAGUUUUGGCAACAAUACUCUUCGAUUCUGGAGCAUCACAUUCUUUUAUAUCAACAAGCUUUGUGGAUAAGCACCACAUACCUACAGUACUACUAAAGGUACCCCUAAUAACCCGGACGCCUGGAGCCGACAUCCAGUGUCGACUAGGUUGUUCCCGGGUAAGGAUCAAUUUAAGUGGGGUAGAAUUCCUAGCAGACUUGGUAGUACUUGAGUCUAAGGGGAUAGAUGUGAUCCUUGGGAUGGAUUGGCUAAGCCUACAUGAUGGACACAUAGGAUGUGCUGACAAGGUAGUGCGCCUAAUUAACCAGGAUGGUGCACAAGUGACCUGUCACACCCGGGGAAGUGGGCCCGACCCAAUAGUUUUUAGUAUGGAAGCCAAGGCCAUAGAAGGGGUCCUGGUAGUGAGUGAAUACCCGGAUGUCUUUCCUGAAGAACUACCUGGAAUGCCCCCGGACAGGGAUAUAGAGUUUGUAAUCGACCUUAUCCCUAGAACCUCCCCUAUAGCUAAGAGGCCCUAUAGAAUGGCAGCAUCUGAGUUAGCAGAGCUGAAGAAACAGUUAGGUGAACUACAACAGAGUGGCUUAAUCAGACCUAGCUCAUCCCCGUGGGGAGCCCCAGUACUCUUUGUCAAGAAGAAAGACGAAAGCAUGAGGAUGUGUGUGGAUUAUCGCGCACUAAAUGAGGUCAGCAUCAAAAAUAAAUACCCUCUUCCCAGAAUAGAUGACCUAUUUGACCAGUUGAAAGGAGCCAAGUAUUUCUCCAAAAUAGAUUUGAGAUCAGGGUACCACCAGCUCAAGAUUAAGGAAAGUGAUAUCCCAAAGACAGCUUUUGUCACCCGUUAUGGCCAAUUUGAAUUUACAGUGAUGUCCUUUGGACUGACCAAUGCCCCUGCUUAUUUCAUGAAUCUCAUGAACAAGGUGUUUAUGGAGGAGUUAGACAAGUUUGUCGUGGUCUUUAUCAAUGACAUACUUAUUUACUCCAAGAGUGUCCAAGAGCAUGAGCAACAUCUACGAGUAGUGCUGGAGAAAUUGAGAGCCCACCGACUCUAUGCUAAAUUCAGUAAAUGUGAAUUUUGGCUAGAGAAGGUGGCAUUUCUUGGUCACAUUUUGACCAUAGAAGGAGUAGCAGUCGACCCCGAGAAAGUGGAAGCCGUCUCCAACUGGCAGCAACCCACCAAUGUUAGUGAAAUCAGGAGUUUUCUUGGUUUAGCUGGGUAUUAUCGGAGGUUUAUUGAAGGAUUCUCUAAGAUAGCCCGACCCAUGACAGAACUACUUAGGAAGGACAAGAAAUUUAAUUGGACAGAGUCAUGUGAGAGGAGUUUUCAGGAACUGAAAAGAAGAUUGACGACUGUUGGAGGUAUGCCCUAGAGGCAAUCAUAGAGAUGAUGAUAUUCCAUCUGUAUCCAUGAUUUAUAUUGUGUUCCUUGAAUAUCCAUUAAAGGCUACUUGAAUUGAUUUGCAAUUAUGUGAAUUGUAUGUGAAACUCUUUACUUGUAUGGUUAUUCUAAAGUUGUCCCUAGUCAGAGUUCAUGUGAGGACACACAUGAAUAUUAGACUAGCACAUGUAUUAGUUGAUGACUAUGUUUCACAAGUCAUGGACAUAGAGAUGUUGAACUAAUAAUGUGGGCACAUGUGGAGACAUGUGCUAGGACUGACCCAACACGAGAAGUAGUUCUCUCUUUACACAACAUAUAUGCUUUGUCCUUAGACCUGAGAUUGUCGCAUGUACUCAAGAUGUGGAUCGACUUACUUAGGGGCUAUCAAACGCUACGCCGUAACAGGGUAGUUAUAAAGGUAGCUUUCGGGUUUGUCAAGAAGCAUGCUAUGAGACAUGGUCAAUCAAGAUGGGAUUUGCCCCUCUCUGAUUGAGAGUGAUAUCUCUGGGCUCCUUGAGUGAUCGAAUCCGAAAAUGCAUGGCCAUGCUACGUAUGGUUAAGAGUUAACCUACAAAGGGAUUCCGAAUCAUAGGAUCGAGAAAGAGCGGUCAGCUUGAAGCUAGACCAAAUAUCGUGAGGCAAAGGGAAUAUCAUGUAUAUAAUGUUGUGAUGGUUCGUCUGAUAUGAUCUUCGUGUGCGUAUAGGAGUUGGCACAUCUUGCUAGAGGCCGCUACCGACGAUUGGGCCGAGUAGGAGUACUCGGGCCAUGUCUAUACGUAUCCGAACCCAUAGGGUCACACACUUAAGGGGCUGGAAGCCCAAUUCGGAUGUGAUCCGAGUUGGAUUAGGUUUAGAAGUACUAAUGGGCCUCGGACCUAGAGGCCCAUUAGGAACCUCUAUAAAUAGAGGGGUGGGGGCGCCCUAGGGUUCACACCUUUUGGCGAAACACAUCUGCCGCGCCUCCCACGCCCUCGCCUGUUGCAACUCGUGGAUCUAGCAGUCCGAUUGCGACGCUUUCUCCCUGCACGUGUGGAUACCUUGCAGGUAUUGCGCCUGCAGCACUUGGACGAGCCGCCGACGAGCCACGACGAGCCGACGAUGAGCCACGGCACCGGGGGCGAUCUUGCUGCACGUGGACGAGCUGCUGAGGAGCUGCUGGACGUUGACGUGAUCGACUACGUACGACUAUGUUGACCGACUACGUACGACUACAUGAUCGUCUUCACUGCAUCGACGCAUAUCUACAUCUUCCGCACCAGUAGUGCGUCGAGUGGUAAUCCUGUGAUCCUUAUACGGCAGUUCUUCCUAGUUUUACGCGGUAGAAAUUUUGAUUUGCGCUAGUGUAGCCUACCUCGAAUCCCAACAGUGGUAUGAGAGCCGUAGCUGUUUAGUUUUGGAUUCAGGAUGUGUGCAUAUGGAGAUAUGCGAGUUUUCCGUUUGAUCUAUGUCCUGUUUUCGUGCCCUUGCUGCAAUGGUAGUGUAACGACAUACUCCUACCGGUCGGUUUCCGCCAUCAGAGUUAAGUGAUACACGUAAAUCCAGUUGCAGUGAGCGAAGAUCAAUAUGAUUGGUCGAAUCGAAAUCCAGGGUCAUACGCCAGGCGCAUUACAUGUGCAAUAGUAGAUGAGAUCUACUGCCGGGGUCGGAAUUUUUGCCGUAUGCGUAUGCUUCGGUAAAUCAGCCGUAACUUUUCGGUACGAUCUCGAAUCGGGGCGAAUUUUAUAUGAAAAUUGAUCUACAGAAAAAGUUACACAUGAAAUUCAACCGCUUUGCCAUUUUUGGCGAAAUUAGAUUUCCCAAAAAGUUUGGAACGUUAUGACGCCUAACUCUGUUUUGCAGGAUGUAUGUAUGUAUGUAUCUUGUGAUCAGUAUGGCCCCCUUGUGUAUGUGAUGCAUGUGUGUGUAACUCAUUCGUGACCUGCGUGUCGCGUGUACGGCAACACGGCAGGAGCCAUAUGUGUUGUCACUUUAUUGUAUUUAAUGGUCCGCGUUCCAAUCUGUGAUGAUCCAAGCAACUAUGUAAUCUUCAUUAUAGCUUCUUUACUAGCUAUUAGGCGUAAUAGCAUGUUCUAGUUCUUGGAGGACUCAUCACAAGGAGGAUGGCGCACAUGGAACAUGGAGAUGGAGAUCACCAUGGUGAACAGGUUCUAUGGAGAUGGAGAUCACCAUAUGAAAACGGGCCAUACUGUGUCACAACUGUGUGAAUGCUAUUAUGUUUAUGUUUUACUUUCUGCAUGCUGUGAUGUUAGAAGUAGAACGAUCCCUCACAAAGUUUAAGUUAGUAUGCCCUCCCAACUAAAACUUGCAUCGUCCCAUGUCUUGUACAAUUAGUGGUGGGUCUAUGAAAUUAGGGUACCACUAGUUUUCCUUUACUAGACGGGUUUGUGUCGGACACUUACACGCAUAAGGGUUGGUUUUCUUAACAAGGUCCUCUUAACGGUUAAGGACCUUGGGGCAUAAAGGUUGGGCGCCGAGACAUAGAUAUGUCACCCAACAACAGGAGUCAUAUGUGAUAUGAUUAGCAAAAGUUGGUUACCGAUCUACCUUGUUUGCUAGCGGUGAUGCUAAAGCUCACUAGUGGACUUGUUAGUUGUGCAUCCUGAAUCACUAAGUUUCAAUAGAGGGAUAUUGAUUUUAGUGGGAGUAGAUUCUGUUAAAAUAGUUUAAUGUGAUUUGCUCUAUCAUGGAUACGUUUGUCUUAGUGUAUUUUGCAUUACUUUGUUGUAGAUUAAAUGGCACCUAGCAGCACUACACCGUUUGCUUUGCGUUCAGUCCUUGAGAAGGACAAGUUGAAUGGAACAAAGUACUCGGAUUGGAUCCGUAACCUGAGAACUGUUCUCAGGGCUUAGAAAAAGGAAGAUGUUCUAGACAACCCACUACCAGAAGAACCUGCUGAUGAUGCACUCGCUGCUGCUAACAAUACUUACAAGAAAGCAUGUGAUGCUAACCUCGAAGUAGGCUGCCUUAUGCUUGCUUGCAUGGAACCCGAGCUGCAGAUGCAGUUCGAAACAAACCAUGAGGCGCACGAUAUGAUCGUGGCGCUUAGAGACAUGUUCCAAACACAAGCCUGGACUGAAAGGUUCAAUGUGUCUAAGGCCUUUGUUGAGAGCAAGCUAGCAGAAGACGCAGCAGUAGGACCACACAUAAUCAAGAUGGUUGGUUACACUCAACGGUUGGAGAAGCUGGGCUUCCCACUGGGCCAAGAGUUGGCCACUGAUUUCAUUCUUUCAUCUCUUCCGCCUAGCUAUGGGAACUUCAUCUCGAACUACCAUAUGCAUGGGACGGAGAAGGGUCUGAAUGAGCUGUGUGGCAUGCUUAAAAUAGCAGAGGCUGACAUCAAGAAAAGCGCUAGUACCAGCCAUGUGAUGGCUAUACAGAACAAGCCUAGCUUUAAGAAGAAGGGCAAUUCUUGGAAGAAGAAGGGCAAGGCUGGAACGUCCAAGCCAAACCCAGCGCCCAAGGUUAAAGCUGGACCUGGACCUGGUCCAGACAAAGAGUGCUUUUACUGUCAUGAACUUGGUCACUGGAAGAGAAACUGUAAGAAGUACCUAGCUUCCGUGAAGAAUGGCGGAAGUAAGAGUACUUCUACCUCAGGUACGCUUGUUGUUAAUGUUAUAGACAACACAUUUCUCGCUGAUACAAUUAUUAAUUCUUGGGUAUUUGAUACCGGAUCGGUUGCUCAUAUUUGCAAUUCGAUGCAGGGAAUGAUAAGAAGUAGAAGCGUGGAAAGAGGAGAAGUUGAUUUCCGCGUGGGCAAUAAUGCAAGAGUUGCUGCAUUGACCAUCGGGACGAUGCAACUCCACCUCCCGUCAAAAUUUAUUAUGGAGUUGAAUAAUUGUUAUUUCGUUCCUAGUUUAAGUCGAAACAUUUUGUCUCCUUCAUGCUUGAUGAAGGAUGGUUAUUCAUUUGCGAGUGAAAACAAUGGUUGUGUGAUCUCUAAGAAUAAUAUGUUUAUAGCUUUUGCACCAAUUGUGAAUGGAUUAUUUGUUUUAAAUCUUGAUGGUUCAUCUGUCUGUAAUGUAAGUGCUAAAAGGCCUCGGCCUAAUGAUUCGAGUCCUACCUACUUGUGGCAUUGUCGUUUGGGUCAUAUAAGUGAAAAGCGCAUGAAGAAGCUCCAUUCUGAUGGACUUCUAACUUCGUUUGAUUUUGAAUCAUACGAGACAUGUGAGGCCUGCUUGCUAGGCAAGAUGACCAAGACGCCUUUCACAGGAUUUCCUGAGAGAGCAGUAGACUUGUUGGAACUCGUACAUAGUGAUGUAUGCGGACCAAUGAGCACGAUGGCUAGAGGAGGAUUCCAAUACUUCAUAACUUUCACUGAUGAUUUUAGUAGAUAUGGCUAUGUCUACUUGACGAGGCACAAGUCUGAAACCUUUGAAAAGUUCAAGGAAUUUCAGAAUGAAGUUGAAAAUCAGCGGGGCAAAAAAAUCAAGGCCUUACAAUCUGAUCAUGGAGGAGAGUAUUUGAGCCAUGAGUUUAGCAAUCAUCUAAAGAGUUGCGGAAUUGUUCCACAACUUACGCCGCCUGGAACACCUCAGAGAAAUGGUGUGUCCGAGCGACAUAAUCGAACUUUGUUAGAGAUGGUUCGAUCAAUGAUGAGCCAGUCAGACCUACCGUUGUCAUUUUGGGGAUACGCUCUAGAAACAGCAGCUUUCACACUUAAUAGGGUACCAUCUAAAUCCGUAGUUAAGACACCAUAUGAGAUAUGGACUGGAAAGAUUCCUAGUUUGUCUUUUCUAAAGAUUUGGGGAUGUGAAGUGUUUGUCAAGCGACUUCCGUUGGACAAGAUCACACCCAAGUCGGAUAAGUGCAUUUUCGUGGGAUAUCCAAAGGUAACUUUGGGAUAUUAUUUCUACAACCGAUUAGAAGGCAAAGUGUUUGUCGCUCGAAACGGGGUUUUCCUAGAGAAAGAGUUUCUCAAAGGAGAAAAGAGUGGAAAGACAGUGCAUCUUGAAGAAGUUCAAGAUGAGCCGAUCGGGCAAGAAUCAAUGAGUGAUGCUAACAUAGCAGAACAAGUUGAGAUACCCAUGGCAAGAGAAGCACCGCCACAACCACGAAGGUCAACAAGGCUCCGCGAAAUGCGGGAAAUAUUAUUGUUGGACAAUGAUGAGCCUGCGACCUAUGCAGAAGCAAUGAUGCAUCCAGACUCCGAAAAAUGGCAGAGUGCCAUGCAAUCCGAAAUAGAGUCGAUGGGAGACAAUCAAGUUUGGAACUUGGUUGACCCGCCUGAUGGUGUUAAAGCCAUAGAGUGCAAGUGGAUCUAUAAGAAGAAAAAGGACAUGGAUGGAAAUGUUCACAUCUAUAAAGCACGACUUGUCGCAAAAGGUUUUCGACAAGUUCAAGGAGUUGACUACGCGAGACCUUCUCGCCCGUAGUGAUGCUUAAGUCCAUUCGGAUUAUUCUAGCUAUAGCUGCAUAUUUCGAUUAUGAGAUAUGGCAGAUGGAUGUCAAGAUAGCUUUCCUGAAUGGAAACCUAGCUGAGGACGUGUAUAUGACACAGCCCGAGGGUUUUGUCGAUUCGAAAAAUGCUGGAAAGGUAUGCAAGCUUCAGAGAUCCAUUUAUGGAUUGAAGCUAGCAUCUACGAGUUGGAACAUUCGUUUUGAUGAAGUAGUCAAAGGGUUUGACUUCACCAAGAACGAAGAAGAGUCUUGUGUUUACAAGAAGGUUAGUGGGAGCUCUGUAGUAUUUCUAAUCUUAUAUGUGGAUGACAUAUUACUGAUUGGAAAUAACAUUCCUAUGCUUGAGUCCGUAAAGACUUCACUGAAAAAUAGUUUUUCGAUGAAGGACUUAGAGGAAGCGGCAUAUAUUCUGGGCAUUAAGAUCUAUAGAGAUAGAUCGAGAAGGCUUAUAGGUUUAAGCCAAGAUACUUACAUUGACAAAGUGUUGAAGCGGUUCAGCAUGGAAGAGGCAAAGAAAGGGUUCUUGCCUAUGUCACAUGGCAUACAUCUCAGCAAGACUCAGUGUCCUUCGACUGCUGAUGAGCGGGAUCGCAUGAGUAGAGUGCCAUAUGCCUCGGCUAUUGGAUCUAUCAUGUAUGUAAUGAUAAGUACUCGCCCAGAUGUUUCAUAUGCGCUAAGUAUGACAAGCAGACACCAGUCUGAUCCAGGUGUGAGUCACUAGACAAUGGUGAAAAACAUUCUUAAGUACUUGAGAAGGACUAAAGAUUUGUUCCUCGUCUAUGGAGGUGAGGAGGAGCUCGUUGUAACAGGUUAUACCGAUGCUAGUUUCCAAACCGAAAGAGAUGAUUCAAAGUCACAAUCAGGAUUUGUGUUCACACUAAAUGGUGGUGCUGUUAGUUUGAAGAGUUCCAAGCAGGAGACGGUGGCCGAUUCUACGACAGAAGCCAAGUACAUCGUGGCUUCGGAAGCCGCGAAGGAGGGUGUUUGGAUAAGGAAUUUCCUCAUUGAGCUUGGUGUGUUCCCGAAUGCGUCCAACCCAUUGAAUCUCUACUGUGAUAACAAUGGGGCAAUUGCGCAAGCAAAGGAGCCAAGGAACCACCAGAAGAACAAACACGUAAUGCUUCCCGACAAGGGUUAGGGUGUGUCCUGAUGCAGGAUGGGAAGGUAGUAGCAUAUGCCUCCCGCCAACUUAAGCCCCAUGAACAAAAUUACCCCACCCAUGAUUUGGAAUUUGCAGCCGUAGUGCAUGCCCUCAAGAUCUGGAGGCACUACCUAAUCGGGAACAAGUGUGAGAUCUACACGGACCACAAGAGCCUAAAAUAUAUCUUCACCCAACCAGAUCUGAAUUUAAGGCAAAGAAGAUGGUUAGAGUUGGUCAAGGAUUAUAAUAUGGAAAUUCACUACCACCCCGGUAAGGCCAAUGUGGUAGCGGAUGCUUUAAGUAGGAAAUCCUAUGGGCAGAUCGGACCUAAGGACCCCCACUUACAAGAAGAAAUGGCCCGAUUAAAUCUACACAUCAUCCCGCAGAAUACCAGCCGCAAGCUAAGUGUUCAGCCCACCCUAGAAGAAAGGAUCCGAGAGGCCCAAGGUUCGGACCCGGACCUGGUGAGGAUUCGCAGGCAAAUCGGAGAGAAUAAAGCCCCAGACUUCAGAGUGGAUGAAAAAGGAACCUUGUGGUACAAGGAUAGGAUUUGUGUGCCUAAGGAAGGUGAAUUCUGGCAAACCAUCAUGGAUGAGGCCCAUAACUCAGCAUAUUCCAUCCACCCGGGAUCCACCAAGAUGUACAUAGACUUAAAGCAGAAAUACUGGUGGAAUGGGAUGAAAGCAGACAUAGCCCAGUUCGUCGCUCAUUGCGAUAUUUGCCAAAGGGUUAAGGCCGAACAUCAGAAGCCAGCCGGUUUACUACAACCACUACCCAUUCCAGUUUGGAAAUGGGACGAAAUUGGCAUGGAUUUUGUAGUGGGAUUGCCCAAGACUCAAAAAGGGAAUGACUCCAUAUGGGUGAUAGUGGACCGACUCACUAAAGUUGCCCACUACUUGCCCGUACGGACCACCUAUGGUGGAGAAAAGCUGGCUCGACUCUAUGUAGACAACAUAGUGAAGCUGCAUGGUGUGCCUAGCAGAAUUGUUUCGGAUAGAGGGACCCAAUUUACUUCUAGAUUCUGGAAGAGUCUACAUAAGGCUAUGGGCACCAAACUGGAUUUUAGUUCAGCUUAUCACCCCCAGACCGAUGGCCAAACAGAGAGGGUAAAUCAGAUCAUGGAAGACAUGUUGAGGACGUGUGUCCUUACUUAUGGCAAGGACUGGGAACAGAGUCUACCAUAUGCAGAGUUCUCAUAUAACAACAGUUACCAAGCCAGCUUAGGCAUGUCACCGUUUGAGGCUCUCUAUGGGAGAAAGUGCAGGACCCCGUUGAUGUGGUCGGAAGUAGGAGAGCGCACCCUAGUAGGACCCGCCUUUAUUAAAGAAGCAGAAGAACGAGUAGCUGAAAUACGAGAGAAAUUGAAAGCAGCACAGUCUAGGCACAAAAGCUACUCGGAUAAAAGAAGACGAGAGUUGAUUUUCAGUGAGGGGGACUUUGUGUACCUUAAGGUCUCCCCGAUUCGAGGUACCCGAAGGUUCCAAGUGCAAGGAAAAUUAGCCCCUCGGUAUAUUGGACCAUACCAGGUGUUAAAAAGAGUUGGAGCUGUAGCAUACCGCAUUCAGUUGCCCAAAGAAAUAUCGGACAUCCACUCGGUAUUUCAUGUGUCCCAGCUAAGAAAAUGCUUGAGAGUGCCAGAAGAGCAAGUACCGGUGGAAACCAUAGAUUUGCAGAAGGAUCUGCGACAUCAGGAGGUACGCGUCAAGAUUCUGGACACCGUCACCAUAAGGACAAGGAAUUCGGUGGUGCGAAUUUGCAGAGUCCAAUGGAGUAGACAUGGUGAAGAAGAAGCUACUUGGGAAUGCGAGGAUGCGUUAAAGAAGGAGUUUCCCUACCUUUUCAGGAUUCAGCCGAAUCUUGAGGACGAGAUUCAAUUAAAGUGGGGUAGGUUUGUAACGCCCGUAAAAAUCUACCAAAUUAAAUCACUCAUUAAAAAUGCUUUCCAAAAUUUUUUUUCCGUCUGCUAAGCCCCGGCAAAUCCUUUCCCUUCCGUCGGACCCGCCGUCCCGGCCCCGGCUCGUCAACCCUCUUUUUCCGUCCCCGUAAAUUUCGCCGCGUGCCCGUCCAAUCCAUCAUGCACGCCGGUCAAGUCCCGAAUCUUUCGCCACCUUUUUCUGCUUUUUCUUCUUCUUUCUUCCUCCCUUUCUCCUUCUCCUUUUCCUUCAUUUCUUUUUUUUUUCCUUCUUCCUCUUCUUCUCCCUCCACUUUCCCUCCUUCUCUCUCUCCUCCUUUUCCCCCUCAGGCGCCGGCUCUCUUUUCCUGGCGCCGCCCGGGCGCUGCCCCUCCUCUGCGCGCGCACAGCGCCCGCACGCGCGCGGGGCCCACGCCGCGCCGCGCCGUCUACCCCGCCCGUGCUCGCUUGCGCCCCUCCGCCCGCCAGACCGCACGUGCCACGCUGAGCGCCGCCUGCCGCGCCGGGUCGCCCGCCGGCCGCCGCACACCACCAUCCGGCGCACCUCCCCGCGCAAGUCGCCACCCUGUGCGCCCUCGGCAACCGCACCUCCCUACCACGCCAACCACACGCACAUCCACUCCGGCACGCCACCAGGACGAGUUCGGCCGCCGUCCCAUCGCCGGCCCCGCCGCCUCGGGCGCCGACACCCUCCCCGCCGCCUAUAAAAGGGGAGGCCGAGCCCUACCACCUCCCCCACACCACCAACACCAUCCCCAAGCCGCCGGCCUCCUCCUUCUGCCUCCUCGGCGCCGACCGCCGCCGCCACCUGAGUUCCCGCCGCCGCCUCCUUGCCGCCGCCGCCCCUUGGGUACAGCCCCCCAAUCGCCCAAGGUAAGGGGUCAAAUGGACCCCUUUACCCCCUUUUUACCUCUCCCCGCGGGGCCUUGCCGCCGGUAGGCCAAGCCGGCCAGGCUGCCGGCGGCCGUGCGCCCCCCCCCCCUCCUCUGUUCUGGAACAGAGGGAAGAAGAAGGAAGAAAAGGGGUGGAUUUCCGAUCUACCCAUCUGUUUCCCUUUAAUUGCAAUCUAGCCCCUCCACCUCUCUUCAAGGACUUUCACAACUCAGCCCUUCCACCUUUUAAAGUAAUUGCAAAUAGGCCCUCGGUUCUUACAAUCCAGUCCUAAGCCUUGUUUUAAAGCCCUUAAUCUCCCUUUAACCCGUCAUUUCAUGCGCCAAAUUUUCUCCAAUCGAUCCCAAAUUCGACCACGGCCUCCUCUCAUAUAUUUCCGUCGAGGCAUAUCCAAAUUUCUUGGAAAUACCCUUCCUACCUAUUUUCCGUUCAUAUUUCCUGUUCGGAGCUCAUCGGGUAAAAUCUUUUUCCUUUUUAUUUAUUGUGUGCUCGUUUGUGUGUGCCGUAGAUCGCGGAGUACCCGAGGAGGAGCGCGAGGAGGAGUUCGACCGCGAGCCCGAGCCCGAGGACCAGUACCGCGAGCAGGAGCUCCCGGAAGGCUUUGAGAACGGCAAGUCCAACCUCACCCUUUGAUGCAUAUUUAAAUACCCAGUUUUUCAGACACAACCUACUGGCCUGUUUUAUAAAAUGCAUGUUGUUUUAUUGUAAGACAUGGUUGGUUAGCCACCCCUUGAUUGUUAUGAUUAUUCCUUGUUGUCACAUAUUUAUCUCUAAAUAUGAGUUGCUCUGUUUAGAUGAUAAAUACUGCUAGAACGCUUAGGAACUCAUUAUCCAAAUUCAAUCAUGACUACAUCUGUUUAUUCGGAAAAUAAAUGUGUGAGUGUGUUCAACUGAGGAGUUGGGUUUUCGGGUGUAAAGAGAGGUGGUGGAUGAGAUGGAUGGGCGUUUCUUGUGUGGAAUGCCAGAUUGUUAAGCUCGUACCUUAGUGGUUGAGCAGAGUUGGGAGAUAUCUAUCUUAUCAUGGCUAAGGACUGAGUUGAUGUGUCAUCUUGCCUAAUUCCAUCAUCGUGCAACCACUCGACUGUUGUAUGGGCAACGGCUUAGCAUAAACCCCACUAGCUAAACUGCUAGGCUUCAGGUGUGCUGGUGAGCAACGGGAGCCUUGGAAAAGGACUAAGCUCUUGGUGACUUAGGUCUCGGUUUCUGCCCCGUGGAUGGGUUGCUAACCCCUUGGGUGCUUCCGUGUUGACUAGUCAGUAUUGGCUAAGGUGGGUAAUGGCUCUGUUAGGAUCCGUACCAUCACUAAGGUGAUCGUGAUACGGUACCCUACUUGUGGGAAAAGUGUACAACCUCUGCAGAGUUAAAACCUAUCCGGGUAGCCGUGUCCACGGCAUUGGACGAGUUACGGCUCGGUCACACAACUAGCUUUUGGGAGAUGAUUGGUUUUUAUGGUGUGUGUUGGAUUUUGGAAGUGUUCGGCAGUUGUGCCGUGCGCUAUGGCGGACGGGGAGUCCGGUAGCGAUAAAACUUGGAUCCUUUGUGUAGGAUCAACCCCACUUGAUAUAUCGUUUAUUAAAGAAAAUGCUUUAUGAAAAUCCUUUUAAAUGAAACCCUGCAUAUGUCAUAAAUAUAGAUUUAUUGCAAAUAAACCUUAACCAUAUCCUUGUUGAAUCCUAUGCAUAUUCUUGUUGUAUUUCCCCCUCCAUGGAUGGGGUUGGACUUGUUAAGUACUUUUGUACUCACCCUUGUGUUGUUGCUUCAGAGGAGGAUCCGGACUUCGUCGCCGAGGACUUCGAGUAGGAGGUUGCGUCUGCACCCAACGCUGCCUGCGGUGUUGGCCCUCUUGCAGGAUGCUUCCGCUGACGCAUAGUUCCGAUUGCAGCCCGGAGUCCGACUGGACUGCAACUUGGAUUUGUAUUGUUAUCGCUUUAGUCUUGCUUUGGGUGUGGCUUGCCCGCCCGCUCCUUCGGGAGUUGUACGGUUUCUGAACUAUCUGUUGAAUAAAUGUGUUAUUAGCCUCCUGGGACUGAUAAUUAGAUCACAUUUAGUCUCUACUUAUGUGGGGACGCUUCAACUGUCUUUCCACUCUUUUCUCCUUUGAGAAACUCUUUCUCUAGGAAAACCCCGUUCCGAGCGACAAACACUUUGCCUUCUGAUCGGUUGUAGAAAUAAUAUCCCAAAGUUUGCUUUGGAUAUCCCACGAAAAUGCACUUAUCCGACUUGGGUGUGAUCUUGUCCGACUGAAGUCGCUUGACAAACACUUCACAUCCCCAAAUCUUUAGAAAAGACAAACUAGGAACCUUUCCAGUCCAUAUCUCAUAUGGUGUCUUAACUACGGAUUUAGACGGUACCCUAUUAAGUGUGAAAGCUGCUGUUUCUAGAGCGUAUCCCCAAAAUGAUAACGGUAGGUCCGACUGGCUCAUCAUUGAUCGAACCAUGUCUAACAAAAUUCGAUUACGUCACUCAGAUACACCAUUUCUCUGAGGUGUUUCAGGCGGCGUAAGUUGUGGAACAAUUUCGCAACUCUUCAGAUGAUUGCUAAAUUCGUGGCUCAAAUACUCGCCUCCACAAUCAGAUCGUAAGGCCUUAAUUUUCUUGCCAUGCUGAUUUUCAACUUCAUUCUGAAAUUCCUUGAACUUUUCAAAGGUUUCACACUUGUGCCUCAUCAAGUAGACAUAUCCAUAUCUAUUAAAAUUAUCAGUAAAAGUUAUGAAGUAUUGGUUCCCUCCUCUUGCUGUCGUGCUCAUUGGUCUGCAUACAUCGGUAUGUACAAGUUCCAACAAGUCUAAUGCUCUCUCAGGAAAACCUGUGAAAGGUGCCUUGGUCAUCUUGCCUAGUAAGCAAGCUUCACAUGUCUCGUAUGAUUCAAAAUCAAACGAAGUUAAAUGUUCAUUAGUAUGGAGCUUCUUCAUGUGUUUCUCACUUAUAUGACCCAAACGACAAUACCACAUGUAGGUAGUACUCAAACAUUAGGCUGAGGUCUUUUAGCAUUUAUGUUACAGACGGUGAACCAUCAAGAUUUAAAACAAACAAUCCAUUCACAAUGGGUGCAAAAGCUAUAAACAUAUCAUUCUUAGAGAUCACACAACCAUUGUUAUCACUCGCAAAUGAAUAGCCAUCAUUCAUCAACUAUGAAGGAGACAUAAUGUUUCGACUUAAACUAGGAACAAAAUAACAACUAUUCAAUUACAUAAUAAAUCCUGACGGGAGGUGAAGUUGCAUCGUCCCAACGGUCAACGCAGCAACUCUUGCAUUAUUGCCCACGCGGAAAUUGACUUCUCCCUUUUCAACGCUUCUACUUCUUAUCAUUCCCUACAUCGAAUUGCUAAGCAACCGAUCCGGUAUCAAAUACCCAAAAAUUAAUAAUUGUAUCAGCGAGAAAUAUAUUGUCUAUAGCAUUAACAACAAGCGUACCUGAGGUGGAAGUACUCUUACUUCCACCAUUCUUCAACGAAGCUAGGUACUGCUUGUAAUUUCUCUUAUCCAUCCCCCCGGCUCGCUACCCGCUCCCGUCUCAUCUUCGCCUCCCCCUAUGUUCCUCAAUCUAUCUCUCUCCUCUCUCUCUCAGCACCACCCCUCCCCCUUCCUCUACUACCGCUAGCACCUCCUCUGCCUCCCCUCCCCUUCCCACCCCCCUUCUGCUCGCCCCCACCCGGCAGUGAGGAGCAACGGUGGGGUGAGGUGAGGCAGCGGCGGGCAGUGGUGGGCGGGGUGAGGUGAGGCGGCAGGCGGGCAAUGGCGUGCGGGGCGACGUGAGGCAGCGGCGGGCGAUGGUGGGCGGGUUGGGCGCGGUGAGGCGACGGCGGGCGACGGUAGCGGGCGGGGAUCUGUGGCGGCAUGCUGUGGGCGGCGUCAGGAGGCAAGCAGCGGCGGGGGAGGGGGGGAAGGGUGGGGCUCGGGCUCGAGGGGGGGGUGGGUGUGGGUCGGACUCAGGCCGGCGGGGUGCGUCUCAGGUGGGGUGGGAUUCUUUUUUUUUAAUUUUUUAAUACCCGUUUAGUAUCGGUUAUUUGAACAGGUACUAAAAGCCCCUCUUAGUAUUGAACAGCAAUACCGGUUGCGCAACCAGUACUAAAGAGGGUUCUCAGCCGGUAUUGAUGGGGCUUUCCCCAAUAGUGUAGCUUGAAUAUAACGCCGCCAUACAGUGUGGACUCUUUUCUUCAUCCUAAUUUGGUCUCACAAAGAGUACUCUCGGCUGCUGCAGUCGCACUUUGAUCUGCAGCAUAGAGACAUCGUCCUCGGCUCACCGUUCCAAGACAAAAACAUAAAGCAUACAGCAUCAAACUGCCAAGGCCUCGACAGGAUGUUUCCUGGUGCCUUCAAUUCCUACACAAGAACAUAUUUGCAUUGCCCGUACUCGACUGUUCCUCAUCCCCUCUCUUUCCCCUCAAUCUUUCCCUCAAUCUUUGUGUUCGUCUUGGUGUUGGCAAACUUAAAGGCACAUGGGAAAAGUAAGACGGCGUAGUGUACAAGGGUGUUAUAUAAAGGCAUAAUGUGGUACCAGUUAUUGUGGUUUUGUAGAUGGCAACGAGACAUGUGUUAACAGUUAUGUAUUUUAAAUAGCUGUCAUCCAUCUGGCUAUCACGUGAUAGCUACGAUUUAAAUUGAUACCUCCUCCGAGCAAAGGCCUUUAUCCCCCAUUUGCCACAACUCCAACUCCGAGCUUCACAUGAGAUCUAGAGUGUGUAAGCUAAAAUCAUGAACCUUAAGAGUAUUUUUUGUAAAGAAUUAAAAGAAAACAGUUGAACCAAACAACUCAGGUGUACCUACAGCUUCAGCUCUAAAUUUUUUUGAGCUGGAACUUGGCUCUAAGAAACACAAAUGCCCGGGUUCUUCUUUGCGGAAACAAAAACUAUUACGCUAGAGCAGAUCGAUUGAGUUUUGCAGAUUCAGCAUGCAUACAUACAUCCUUGAGUAUUAUUUUUAGAUGCACUCUAUCUCACAAACAUAAGUAAUUGCUUAUGUUUCAUAAUGCAGCAGAAACUUGUCUGCCCUAAAAAUAGGCUAUGGUCAUCCACUAAGAUGUGUGCAUUGGGAGGAGAGAGAAAGGAGAUGGUUCAAAUGUUUUUUAAAAUCGUGGAGAGAGAUCUGACACUACUACAAAAAGUAUUAUUACCAACAGAUUAUCACCACUUGUUCACAUUGGAGCUGACUGUAAAACCUUUAUCACUGGCUACUCUAAUUAGGAUCCGGCUGUGAUAAUACAUUUGAUAUAUUAUAUCUAUAUAUCAUCUAUACAAGUACAUGGUCGUAUACACUUAUGUUUAUAUGAUAUGACAUAAUCUAUGUCACUCUGAUCCUGCUGGUUAAUAUCUAGAGAUCCACAUAUUAUCUACUUAAACGGAGAGGAUAACCCCUAGCUUGAUUCCAAGGAGCACGAAAUCUUAUAAUCACUGGUUUAAUAUUUUUAUAUCCCGGAUGUUCAACUUCAAGGCUAGGACGGAGAUCGAUGCUCCAUUAGUAAAAGACCAAUCUUCCCGUACCAAUCAUCUUCUCCAUUAGUAAAAGACCAAUCUUCCCGUACCAAUCAUCUUCCUCGCCCAGUACUCAAUGAAUCCAUCCUCGAUUGAACUAGGGCUUCGCUUCGCUAUUGCCUCUCUGCAUUUCAAAUAACUAAGCGUGCACCUUUAUUCGUUGAGUUACAAAGAUUCUCAAAUAUACUGAGCUACUUACAGUAGAAGUAUUUUAGUAUGACAGGAAGUCAGAGAAAGGGUAAUACUUGUGAGCAACCAAGGACAGAUCGUCCGCACCUCAGUCGCAUGCAUACCCGUGCAAAUGUCUGAGUGCAACUUGGUGGAUGAGUCAUCCCCCUGCUUAGAAUUAAUAAGUUUUGCAUUGAUAGCCAAGAUAUCACAAAUCUAGUUUCCAGAAAAGCCUGGGAGGUUAGGGGUAAGGCAUAGUUAGAGGUAGGGAAAGAGGAGACGGAAUCGACUCCACAUCAGGCUGAGUCCUUGUUCGGCUAUGCUCUGCGAUUUAAGAACAAUGAUACUUAUUGAACUGAUUGGCCACGUAGGGCCAACAACUUACACGAAUGCAUCCACGGGCAAGCUGGCGCCAGUAAACCAAAUCACGGAACCGCUUGGUCCCACACUCAAACCCUUCUCCACAUGGGCUCGCCUUCUCUUUGAUGCGCCAUGCCCAUACAGUGCUCGCAGGUGACAUAAGCAUGUUCAUGAAGAGCAAAGAUUCAAUACAGUUCUUUAUUUCCCGGUGCCUACCAUACUUAUCUGUUAAGGCAGGGGCUUAUCCGCUCUUUGUCCUGCUAUUAUUCGUGAUGAACCUGUCUCCUGGUGGUGGCAAACUGAUAUAGAUAUAUGCAGGAAGGGAGAUACAAUAGACGGUUCUAGUAUAAGAUAUAUGUAAUGAUGCCCUCAAUAUAGUGCAGGGUACUAGCUAGCUAUUAUUGCAGUUAGAGGGUCCAUUUGAUGGACCUCGAAGAAUUCACAUGUAAAGCAUGGUAAAGCAGUGUUAGGUGGCAGCGCUAUUGUGCAAUACUUCACUACGGGACACAGGCAAAUUGCCGAGUGCCAGGGGCACUCGGCGAAGGGCAGAAUACCCUCGGCGAACCGUUUGCCGAGUGUAACACUCGGCAAACGGCACACGGCAAAUAUCGAGUCGGCAAACACUAGUUCGCCGAGUGUUUUGUGUCGGGCACUCGGCAAAGACUUUGCCGAGUGCCCAGAAAACACUCGGCGAACAAUUAUUGAAAAAAAAAAUACCAGUGUUCCUGCUCCGCCGCCGCCGCCACCUGCUCCUGCUCCUGCUCCGCCGCCGCCGCCACCUGCUCCUGCUCCUGCUCCGCCGCCGCCACCUGCUCCUGCUCCGCCGCCGCCUGCUCCGCCGCCGCCGCCGCCGCCACCAUCCACACCGCCGCCAGCCACCGCCACUGCUUCCCGCCGCCACGCCAUGAAGCAGAUCCGGUGCNNNNNNNNNNNNNNNNNNNNNNNNNNNNNNNNNNNNNNNNNNNNNNNNNNNNNNNNNNNNNNNNNNNNNNNNNNNNNNNNNNNNNNNNNNNNNNNNNNNNACCUUUCGAAACUAGUUUAAUGAGCAUUAAAUCAUUCUUGAAUGGUGAAGCCACUACUAGAGAACUGGGUAUUAGUACCGGUUCGUAGGGUGCAUAUCUCCAAAAAAUGUAUCUGGGAUCAACCCGCCGAGAUAAAAGGGGGCGGUCUUUUAUCACAGGUCGCUGAACUGGGAUAUAAGACCCUCUUUUAGUCCCGGUUUGUAAAGCCAACUGGGACUAACAGGGCUGCCACACCAGGCACUGGAUAGACCCCUUUAGUCCGGUUUGUUUUACAAACCGGGACUAAAUCUCUCCUCUUUAGUCCUGGUUUGUAAAACAAACUGGGACUAAAGUGCGUGUAUACAGCACCAUGCAGGUGCCUACAUGGCGCCUAUAAUUUCAUGCAUCACAUACCCCUUUAGUUAGUUGAGAGUUUUUUUAUAAUUAAUGAAAUCAAUCAAACUAUAUAUAGUAUUUAAACGAAUCAAUUUAACUAUUACAAACUUAUAUAUACAAUUCUUAUACAAUUAGCUAGUAUACGUACAAUUCUUGAUUAGUAUAUAUAUAGUACAAUUAAUUCCUAGCUAUAUAGCUCUAGGAUCUUCGUCGAGGUCUUCCAAUCGAGGUGUUGCUCGGUGCUUCUUAAUUUCAUCCACCGUAAUGAAAUUCUCCUUGUGGUUUUAUUACCUCGUCCAGCAGGAAUCCUACGAGACUUUCGCAUAUUGUGUCUAUUCGUUUCUUCUCCAAGAUCUUGUCUCGAAUAUUAUGCAUCUGUAAUUUGGAAGUGAAUAAUGUUACACGGACAAUUAAAUAUAAGGCGCUAGAAAACAAUUAACUAUUAAUAGUAUUAUUUUAUAUUACGUACUUCCUGUUUUUCCUGCGGCGUCAACUUGGUCUUGUGUGAUAGAAAACUUUGCAUGUUCUCAUAGACAUAGUACCCACAUAGAUUAUUCCCUUGUUCCUGUCUUAAGCACUUCAGUAGGAAAAAAACAAGUUAUAAAAUAUUCAUCAUAUAGAAUGUACAAAAUAUGCAAACUUCAUACGCACUGGAAAGUCUGUGUUCCAUGUAAGUUUUUCUUGGAAUACACCUUGGCGUCGUUUUUUGAUGAAUUGUUUCCAUGCCCUACGGAUUUAAAUAAUGAAUGAUAUAGUGUUAGGAGAAAAUUUAGGAAACACACUUUUGUACUGAGAUAAAGGUCCAGAAUUGUUAAUUACAAGUGUAGAAUGUUUUGAAUCUCUUGGUACUCGGCUAGUGGUUUCCUCAAGGAAUCGAGGACGGUAACUAGGCUUCUGUCAAGCUCAAUUACUAUUAGGAUCCAGUGGUAACUGUGUACGUAAACAUUCAUUAAUCAGAUAAGGAAAAGGAUACUAAGAUAGAUGGUAUACGUAUGUACAAACACUUACUUGAAGUUGUAUGGAAGUAGUAUGCAGCUCUUGCCACCUUGAAGGUCUAACAUAUUGAAACAUUCCACCAACAUUUUAUCUGUAAAAUCUCGUAGUUAGGUUUGGUUAACUAUGGAUGGUCCAUGAAGCCAACAUGCAAGUAUCCUUCUUGUCGCCACUUCUGAAUUAGCCGCCUACAUAAAAAGGAAGACAAAGUUAGUAGGACGAUGCAUGCAUAAAAAAUAAUGAUAUGGUCCAAAAUUUACAUAUAGAUAAACGGAUACUUACAGAACCCAGACACUGAUGAGAGAGACGUCUAGAGUAUCUCGAUGGUACACUUCGUAUAUAUCUUUGAAUUCCAGCCAGAGGCAUUUCUCGCCUUCGCCGUAAAAAUCUUUCGGUUUUACCUUAAGGGCGAACAUGGAAGUCUAGUCGGUGGACAUCUUCAUGUACCAUUCAUGGAAUUCGUACAUCUUUGGUGAUACGCUCCCUACCAACUCCGGCCUUACCAGAGACUUUCCUAGCUCAAAUGUCCAUCUCUGUUGAAAUGGCUCUGAAGCUGCUGGCUCGUGACCACCUAGCUCUAUACAUUGAUCAAGUCCCACUCCAAAUUCUUCCAUGAAUUGCAAUACUUGAUCUUGUUGAGACUUGGGCAUUGCUGCUAUCCUUCUAGCGUCUCCUUCUGGUAGAUGACGAAGGCGGCGAUCAACAACACUUGAAGAUGACUUUCCUUUUCUUUUUUUCCCUAUAUUCAUCGCCUCCUUGUUUGAAUGUGACAUCUUCUGAAAAAAUUGUAAUUUAGUUGGAUCAAUUGUUGGUUGUGGCUCCAUCUCCCUUGCUUUUUUUUGUUCAGCCCUUUUCCUGAACAAAUCCUAGCAUUCUGCUUGGAUUUCGGACCAGCAUUCCUCUUAAGUCAUUAUAUUCCAAUGUUCCUCCUCUUCAUAUGUUGUGGAUGGCAAUUCAUUAUUCUUGAAAAAAAUCUUCUUAACAAUUUCCAACAUCCCGUGAAAUGCCUUAUCGGACAUACCAUUUUUAGCCUUCCAUUACAUAAAUUCUAGUGUGGUACCCAACUUUUUAUGGCCUCCCUGGCAAUCUGGGUAUAGCAAUUUCCUGUGAUCAUCUAUCAUGCGCUGCAAUUUUGAUGCUUCCUUCUGAGUUUUGCAAUCUCUAUGUGCAUCCCUAAGCACCUGACCAAGGUCAUCAGUAUGGCCAUCUUCUGCAAACUCAUCUUCAUCAGCCUCACCCAUUGUAGUAUCUGCAAAAGAUUGGCCUAUAGCACAGUCCGGAAUAUUGUCAUCCUCCUCCUCCUCUUCAGCGUCUUCCAUUACAACCCCUCUUUCGCUGUGAUGGGUCCAAACCAAAUAGUUAGGCGUGAAACCGUAUCUAAACAAGUGACUGUGAAUAGUCCCCUAGGAAGCCUUUGAAUAGCACUUCUGGUUACUGCAUUGGGCGCAUGGACAAGAUAUGAACCCGUUCUCUGGCUUGUUCAUUUUGACCACUUCAAGAAAAUUAUUCAUGCUAGCAAUAAACACCUUCCCCCUCUUGUCCACGUUAUACAUCCAUUAUCGGUCCAUCUGCAUCGUAUUACACAAGCCAUUAAUAAAAUGGAUUACAAUAAAACUAUCCAUCACAUUGCUACAAUUUUAGAUAGAAAUACACAAAUUAAAAUUUCAGAAACAAACAACAUCAUACAGUACGACAAACUCAAUAUUGCUGAAAGUUUACAUAGAAAUACACAAAUUAUGUAGCUCAUAUUUAAUUUACAAAUAACUAAACUACUAAAGAAUUCAGUAUUUCCCACACAAUGUACUUAUUAUAAAAAUGGCUAAUUACAUACCUCUAUCUCAAAAGUACUAAAGUAUCAAAUUACACCUACAAUUUAUAUGGCUAAUUUAUAAGUAUUAAAAACACAUUUACUCUAAUUUUUUCCUAAUAUAUAAAAUUGAAAUAAUCUCAAUUCUACCUCACAUUUACUGUCCAUUCUCCAUUCAAACUAUCCAUCAUAUUGUAGCUCAAAAAUAUGUAUAAAUACAAAUCCUCUACAUGCUUAACAAUAAACAAACUAAUUUUUCUCCCUCUCUAAAGUAUAAAACAAAGCUUAACAACAAUAAAUGAACGGAGCAUGAAGUAGCUAACCUUCACAAUACUUUGGAUGGGUAAAAUCCCCAUGGAAACGAGGAAAAUUUUUUCAGAAGCACCUCCCCUAGGCUUGCUUCGGCGCCAUGGAGAGGAUGAGCUUCUCUGUCUUUGUGGAGUGGAGUGGCUCGGGCUGGAGGAGUGGAGGAGGAAGAAAGGGUACUUGUAGAUAAGAUUUUAUUCCAGUUGGUAAAUCCAACCGGGACAAAAGAUUAAAGCUUUUGUCCUGGUUGGUGGUUACUCCCGGUUGGUAACGCCAACCGGGACAAAAGCUCCAACCUUUUAUCCCAAUUGGUAAUUAUCAACCGGGAGUAAAACGUUUAUCCCGGUUGGUAACUCCAAUCGGGACAAAAGGUUGGAUCUUUUGUCCCAGUUGGUGGCUCCAACCGGGGGUAAAGGGUGGCACCGUCGGUGCUCGGAAACUAGCUGUUUUAACCGAGACUAAAGGGUGUAAUCCCGGUUGCAAAAAAAGAACCGAGAGUAGAGGUGCGCCCCAUUCCAACCUAGUGUGGAAGGGGUGGGAUCUAAAGUCAGUUCUCUAGUAGUGAGCUACAAGCUUAUAAUUAAUGAUGAUACGUAUUGCAGUCUACUCAACGUAAUAAGUGUCAUGUGUUUUGGUAUCUUUCUAACCAUGUUAUAAGGUUGUGCGUAUACUGGUUAUAGAUUCAAUAUAAACUUGCCAUUUUGAUAAACAAAAGAGACAUUGCGAAAGUUCGAGUGAUUUGCCCACCUUCACCUUCCAAAACACACUGAUCAUAGAUGUGGCUACGUCUACAGUGCGUCCAAGAACCAAGGAAAUUAAAAUGCUUGUCACAAAGCCAUAAGCACGCACGAUUGGCUUUGCUAGUCUGCUGCUUGCAUUCUUUGUUUCAAUUUUAAUUUCCAAAGGCAAAUAAGAACAGGUUUAUAGUGCGUAGAAGAUUGAUGCUUCAGAAAGGUUGACCUCCCAGAUUUUACAUGCAAAACGUUGCAUAGCAGAGGGCGUUACUAAUGGAUAAAAAUACAGACACUAAAGCCCUAUUUGGCACGGCUGCACUCCUAAACACCAGUAACUCCAUAAAAAAAUUCAGCCAAACAUCUCAACUCCAAAACUCCAUGGAGUUGCCAACUCUAUGGAGCUGUAGUGCAAAUGGAGGUGGAGUUUUGGAGCACCUCUUUUGCUGCUCCAGAAACCUCUCUUUUGAACCUCCUCGUGGAGUUGGUGGUUUACCCACCAAUACCACUAGUUACACAAAAAAAUGUUUCAUUCUAUCCUCCCUUCUAUUCUUCCGAGCCCCACUUGCCGCCAGAGCCCCUCCCGUCGCCGCCCCCGUGGUCGNNNNNNNNNNNNNNNNNNNNNNNNNNNNNNNNNNNNNNNNNNNNNNNNNNNNNNNNNNNNNNNNNNNNNNNNNNNNNNNNNNNNNNNNNNNNNNNNNNNNNNNNNNNNNNNNNNNNNNNNNNNNNNNNNNNNNNNNNNNNNNNNNNNNNNNNNNNNNNNNNNNNNNNNNNNNNNNNNNNNNNNNNNNNNNNNNNNNNNNNNNNNNNNNNNNNNNNNNNNNNNNNNNNNNNNNNNNNNNNNNNNNNNNNNNNNNNNNNNNNNNNNNNNNNNNNNNNNNNNNNNNNNNNNNNNNNNNNNNNNNNNNNNNNNNNNNNNNNNNNNNNNNNNNNNNNNNNNNNNNNNNNNNNNNNNNNNNNNNNNNNNNNNNNNNNNNNNNNNNNNNNNNNNNNNNNNNNNNNNNNNNNNNNNNNNNNNNNNNNNNNNNNNNNNNNNNNNNNNNNNNNNNNNNNNNNNNNNNNNNNNNNNNNNNNNNNNNNNNNNNNNNNNNNNNNNNNNNNNNNNNNNNNNNNNNNNNNNNNNNNNNNNNNNNNNNNNNNNNNNNNNNNNNNNNNNNNNNNNNNNNNNNNNNNNNNNNNNNNNNNNNNNNNNNNNNNNNNNNNNNNNNNNNNNNNNNNNNNNNNNNNNNNNNNNNNNNNNNNNNNNNNNNNNNNNNNNNNNNNNNNNNNNNNNNNNNNNNNNNNNNNNNNNNNNNNNNNNNNNNNNNNNNNNNNNNNNNNNNNNNNNNNNNNNNNNNNNNNNNNNNNNNNNNNNNNNNNNNNNNNNNNNNNNNNNNNNNNNNNNNNNNNNNNNNNNNNNNNNNNNNNNNNNNNNNNNNNNNNNNNNNNNNNNNNNNNNNNNNNNNNNNNNNNNNNNNNNNNNNNNNNNNNNNNNNNNNNNNNNNNNNNNNNNNNNNNNNNNNNNNNNNNNNNNNNNNNNNNNNNNNNNNNNNNNNNNNNNNNNNNNNNNNNNNNNNNNNNNNNNNNNNNNNNNNNNNNNNNNNNNNNNNNNNNNNNNNNNNNNNNNNNNNNNNNNNNNNNNNNNNNNNNNNNNNNNNNNNNNNNNNNNNNNNNNNNNNNNNNNNNNNNNNNNNNNNNNNNNNNNNNNNNNNNNNNNNNNNNNNNNNNNNNNNNNNNNNNNNNNNNNNNNNNNNNNNNNNNNNNNNNNNNNNNNNNNNNNNNNNNNNNNNNNNNNNNNNNNNNNNNNNNNNNNNNNNNNNNNNNNNNNNNNNNNNNNNNNNNNNNNNNNNNNNNNNNNNNNNNNNNNNNNNNNNNNNNNNNNNNNNNNNNNNNNNNNNNNNNNNNNNNNNNNNNNNNNNNNNNNNNNNNNNNNNNNNNNNNNNNNNNNNNNNNNNNNNNNNNNNNNNNNNNNNNNNNNNNNNNNNNNNNNNNNNNNNNNNNNNNNNNNNNNNNNNNNNNNNNNNNNNNNNNNNNNNNNNNNNNNNNNNNNNNNNNNNNNNNNNNNNNNNNNNNNNNNNNNNNNNNNNNNNNNNNNNNNNNNNNNNNNNNNNNNNNNNNNNNNNNNNNNNNNNNNNNNNNNNNNNNNNNNNNNNNNNNNNNNNNNNNNNNNNNNNNNNNNNNNNNNNNNNNNNNNNNNNNNNNNNNNNNNNNNNNNNNNNNNNNNNNNNNNNNNNNNNNNNNNNNNNNNNNNNNNNNNNNNNNNNNNNNNNNNNNNNNNNNNNNNNNNNNNNNNNNNNNNNNNNNNNNNNNNNNNNNNNNNNNNNNNNNNNNNNNNNNNNNNNNNNNNNNNNNNNNNNNNNNNNNNNNNNNNNNNNNNNNNNNNNNNNNNNNNNNNNNNNNNNNNNNNNNNNNNNNNNNNNNNNNNNNNNNNNNNNNNNNNNNNNNNNNNNNNNNNNNNNNNNNNNNNNNNNNNNNNNNNNNNNNNNNNNNNNNNNNNNNNNNNNNNNNNNNNNNNNNNNNNNNNNNNNNNNNNNNNNNNNNNNNNNNNNNNNNNNNNNNNNNNNNNNNNNNNNNNNNNNNNNNNNNNNNNNNNNNNNNNNNNNNNNNNNNNNNNNNNNNNNNNNNNNNNNNNNNNNNNNNNNNNNNNNNNNNNNNNNNNNNNNNNNNNNNNNNNNNNNNNNNNNNNNNNNNNNNNNNNNNNNNNNNNNNNNNNNNNNNNNNNNNNNNNNNNNNNNNNNNNNNNNNNNNNNNNNNNNNNNNNNNNNNNNNNNNNNNNNNNNNNNNNNNNNNNNNNNNNNNNNNNNNNNNNNNNNNNNNNNNNNNNNNNNNNNNNNNNNNNNNNNNNNNNNNNNNNNNNNNNNNNNNNNNNNNNNNNNNNNNNNNNNNNNNNNNNNNNNNNNNNNNNNNNNNNNNNNNNNNNNNNNNNNNNNNNNNNNNNNNNNNNNNNNNNNNNNNNNNNNNNNNNNNNNNNNNNNNNNNNNNNNNNNNNNNNNNNNNNNNNNNNNNNNNNNNNNNNNNNNNNNNNNNNNNNNNNNNNNNNNNNNNNNNNNNNNNNNNNNNNNNNNNNNNNNNNNNNNNNNNNNNNNNNNNNNNNNNNNNNNNNNNNNNNNNNNNNNNNNNNNNNNNNNNNNNNNNNNNNNNNNNNNNNNNNNNNNNNNNNNNNNNNNNNNNNNNNNNNNNNNNNNNNNNNNNNNNNNNNNNNNNNNNNNNNNNNNNNNNNNNNNNNNNNNNNNNNNNNNNNNNNNNNNNNNNNNNNNNNNNNNNNNNNNNNNNNNNNNNNNNNNNNNNNNNNNNNNNNNNNNNNNNNNNNNNNNNNNNNNNNNNNNNNNNNNNNNNNNNNNNNNNNNNNNNNNNNNNNNNNNNNNNNNNNNNNNNNNNNNNNNNNNNNNNNNNNNNNNNNNNNNNNNNNNNNNNNNNNNNNNNNNNNNNNNNNNNNNNNNNNNNNNNNNNNNNNNNNNNNNNNNNNNNNNNNNNNNNNNNNNNNNNNNNNNNNNNNNNNNNNNNNNNNNNNNNNNNNNNNNNNNNNNNNNNNNNNNNNNNNNNNNNNNNNNNNNNNNNNNNNNNNNNNNNNNNNNNNNNNNNNNNNNNNNNNNNNNNNNNNNNNNNNNNNNNNNNNNNNNNNNNNNNNNNNNNNNNNNNNNNNNNNNNNNNNNNNNNNNNNNNNNNNNNNNNNNNNNNNNNNNNNNNNNNNNNNNNNNNNNNNNNNNNNNNNNNNNNNNNNNNNNNNNNNNNNNNNNNNNNNNNNNNNNNNNNNNNNNNNNNNNNNNNNNNNNNNNNNNNNNNNNNNNNNNNNNNNNNNNNNNNNNNNNNNNNNNNNNNNNNNNNNNNNNNNNNNNNNNNNNNNNNNNNNNNNNNNNNNNNNNNNNNNNNNNNNNNNNNNNNNNNNNNNNNNNNNNNNNNNNNNNNNNNNNNNNNNNNNNNNNNNNNNNNNNNNNNNNNNNNNNNNNNNNNNNNNNNNNNNNNNNNNNNNNNNNNNNNNNNNNNNNNNNNNNNNNNNNNNNNNNNNNNNNNNNNNNNNNNNNNNNNNNNNNNNNNNNNNNNNNNNNNNNNNNNNNNNNNNNNNNNNNNNNNNNNNNNNNNNNNNNNNNNNNNNNNNNNNNNNNNNNNNNNNNNNNNNNNNNNNNNNNNNNNNNNNNNNNNNNNNNNNNNNNNNNNNNNNNNNNNNNNNNNNNNNNNNNNNNNNNNNNNNNNNNNNNNNNNNNNNNNNNNNNNNNNNNNNNNNNNNNNNNNNNNNNNNNNNNNNNNNNNNNNNNNNNNNNNNNNNNNNNNNNNNNNNNNNNNNNNNNNNNNNNNNNNNNNNNNNNNNNNNNNNNNNNNNNNNNNNNNNNNNNNNNNNNNNNNNNNNNNNNNNNNNNNNNNNNNNNNNNNNNNNNNNNNNNNNNNNNNNNNNNNNNNNNNNNNNNNNNNNNNNNNNNNNNNNNNNNNNNNNNNNNNNNNNNNNNNNNNNNNNNNNNNNNNNNNNNNNNNNNNNNNNNNNNNNNNNNNNNNNNNNNNNNNNNNNNNNNNNNNNNNNNNNNNNNNNNNNNNNNNNNNNNNNNNNNNNNNNNNNNNNNNNNNNNNNNNNNNNNNNNNNNNNNNNNNNNNNNNNNNNNNNNNNNNNNNNNNNNNNNNNNNNNNNNNNNNNNNNNNNNNNNNNNNNNNNNNNNNNNNNNNNNNNNNNNNNNNNNNNNNNNNNNNNNNNNNNNNNNNNNNNNNNNNNNNNNNNNNNNNNNNNNNNNNNNNNNNNNNNNNNNNNNNNNNNNNAGCACCCAUCUUGCCAACACCCUAUUUUUGUUCUGGAGUUUUGGAGCGGAGCUGGCUCCAUGUGGAGUUCUGGAGUGGAGCAGCUCCACCCGGAGUUGGAGCCAUGCCAAAAAGCGCCUAACACUAAUGCUCCACCCGAUACUAAUCCCCAGUUCCAACCCACCCCUGCGCGCCUCCUUAUCCGCUACCCCCUCCCUCCUUCCUCUCUCACUCUCGGCCCGCCGACCUUCUCCCUCCCUCACUCUUGGCCCACCGGCCUUCUCCCUCCCUCCUCCUUCUCGCCCUCCCCUGCUGGCCUUCUUCCUCCCUCCCUCCUCUCCUACCAGGCCUCCCUCUCUCACUCUCAAUCCCUACCUACCACCCUCCGCCCCUUUGCUGCUCCUCCCCUUCCCCCUCCGCUCGUCUCUCACUGCCAGUGGAGAGCAAUGGCAAGGUGAGGUACGGCGGCAGUGACAGAGGGCAUGUACGACUGGUUGGCUGUGGGCUGCAGCUGCGACGGUGAGCGCGGACGGUGGGCUUGGGCUGCGGGCGGCAACUAUGACGGCAGGCGUGGAUAGCGGACAUGAGCUCGGCCUCGGCGGGUGGCAGCUCUGGCGGUUUGGCCUCGGCUUCCUCACCCCCGAUACACCUCUCUCUCUCUCUCUCUCUCUCUCUCUCUCUCUCCCUCCCUGUCGAGGGGGGGUGCGGCUGGCUGGAUCCGUCGGGGCCGCGGAUGUCGGUGGCUUGCGGGGCAGCGGCGGCCAGAUCCGGCGAGGUGCGACCGGCGGGUCGCGGGGGAGGGGCAGCCGGCGCUGACGAGCGCGGUGGCUGGGCAACCGGGCGCGCCCGGUGGGAUGCAACUCACCCCAUGGUGGUGGGGUACGGCUCGGGUGGGGUGGGAUUUGUUUCUUUUAUUUUUUAAUGCUCCUAUAGUACCAGUUAUUUGACAUAGUACUAAAGGCCCCACUUUAGUACCAAAGUAACAAUACCGGUUGCACAAUCGGUACUAAAGGGGGUUAGUAACCGGUACUGAAGGCGCUGGCGCUUUCCCCAGUAGUGGUGAAAGCUUCAGUUGUAUAUUUCAUAUGCCAUGUUUAUAACACAUAUUGUGUUUUUAUUUUGAUUUGAUCUCAGAAAUAGCAUGCAAGUCGUCCCCUCCCACCAUUAAAUUCUUGAAAGAUGUACCCAGUGUUAUCCUAAACACUGGAAACUUGACAGACGGUCAGCGAUGACUAGUGAUUAAUCUGACUAAUUGUUCUCUAGAUAACUAGAUUCAACUCCAACACGACGUUUACACAUUAUGUGGAUGAUAUAGAGUUCCAGACACGCAUCUAGGGGAAUAGAGCCUGUUGGAAUUAUUUGGUUUGUAUGUACUACCAUAUAUACUGGUGUAAUUUGUCGAUCUAUCUAUUAAGAUUCUUAUCCAUUUGGAAUUAUUACAUGAAUUCUUGAGUUUGUACUACCAAUGUACUACAGCUUCAGUUUGAAAUCUUCAUUUGAACUGGCUACCAUACUGUGAAAGUUGAAGCCACUUCGGAUGAUGAUGAAGUAUACAUAGUAUAUGGUACUCCUGGUACUAGCAUAGUGUACUCAGUGGGGGACUUGAGUGGACCCAACGGGGGUAGGGGGGGGCGGGGCGCGGGCACUAUUGCGUACAUGCUUGCUGCUUUAUAUAAAGGGUGAAGUCACAACCAUCAUUUACUCACUUAAUAAUUAGACAGAGACAUCCACGUAUGGCGACUACGAAAUCUGCAACCAAUACAGCUUGAUGGCCGUUGCAGAUCAGGAUGUUGGUAUAGUUAAAGCAAAUGUUUCUCUUGCUCACGCUAGUAGUAUAAUUAAGGGAAAAGUGGAAAGUAGGACGGAUGUUGAUAAUUUUACGGGUUGGGCUAGACAUUUUUUAAAAAGUUUAGAUAAUGAUACUCUGUCGAAUUUGUGAGGAGCACAACAAAAAUUUAUGCAUUUUGUAUGACAAUUGAGUUUGCAUGAAAAAAGGAAAAAAAAUAGGAAACAUUACAUUCCAGUUGCUGACGCACUUCCUCCCUACCCCGCACCACACAUGGAGGAGAUGGUCGCAAAGAUAGUGGCAAUGGACACAGGCACGGGAACCACGUCCGUGGCACCCCUCCAACAAAAACAUGUAUAUAUGUGUGUAUAUGUAAUUUCCGUAUUGAUCAAUAAAUACAAGAAAAAAUCACUCUUUGUCUAAGGCCUCAAUUCAACACUAAUCUAGGAAAUGAGGUAAGGAAGCCAUGUGAUAACAUCAUGGAUCAUUGCAGGUACUAGAGGAAAAAUUUGGACCAUGAAAAAUCGUAAAGGACGUCCUAAAUCAAUCCCAAAUUGCAGUCUCUAUGUGAUUAAGGCUCUUAAGCCAAUCAUAUCUUUCAUUCACACUCUGCCAGCCGCACACCCACACCUUAGAUUGCCAUCCCUUGCGCCCGUGCAGUCACUAGCGACCUCCUAUACUGACCACCCUCCCUCUGCCUCCAUUCCCCUCAAUACACUCUGUUUUACACAACUUACCCCGCGCAUAUCCAUGCUCUCCUACUGCUGGGGCGGCCGCCCAUACCGCCACUACCAGCCACUACAAACGCUAACCACUACAAGCUUUUAUCCCUCAAGGCCUGCAUGGCCAACAAUGUUUUAAAUAGGGGGUAUGGCAUUUAGCGGAGAUCUCUGCUCAUCCGCUAUAGCUCACUAUUUAGUACAACAUUUGUUGUAGCGUAGUUGACUACAACCGCCAUAGCCCGCUAUUUGGAAUAUUGAUGGCCAACCAUCCACUACUAGAAAACGGGCUGUUAAUAUCGGUUUGUCAACCUUCUUUAGUACCGGGUGUGUAGCGGAAUCUAUGUGUCGGGGGAAAAUAUUAACGACUUUGUUAUUCUCCUUAUUCGACGGUCAUAAGGGCCCGGGCCCACCUCCAGCGACGGUGACCUCCGCCAACUUGGCACGACAAGGGAAUAUUCCGCUUCGCCUCGCCCGACCCAUGGUCCUAGGGGUGGACGCGCCCGACCCCCCGAGGACCACUCCACAUCCCUCACCGCAAGGUUCCGCCUCGCCCGACCCCGAGCGCAAGGGGUCGGACGUCCGACCCCUUGCCGCAAGGCUCCAUCUUGCCCGACCCCGGGACGCUGGGUCGGACGCAUCCGGCCCUACAGGUCAAAGCUUCGCCUCGUCCGAGGACAUGCGCGAACCUGCAGACAAGGACGCAGAUCUCGUGGGUCCUCACCGAUCUCGCCAUAAAUGCAGAUGGGAUGCGCAUGCCCGAAAUACGGCUCUAACACACAGAGAGGCGCCCGCACUCCUCGACGCGACCCGCCGGAAUAUUGGGCAGUGCACUGCUGCCACGACUGCACCGUCCUAACCCCCCACUGUCACGUCCGUCAUAGGGCACUCAUCGCCCAUGCUACCUGAUGGAGGAGGGCGCGUCGCCCGGUUUCCCGCUCGGCCUAGCAAGAAGGGCACAUCGGUCGCGCCUCCCGGCCAGCACGCGUGGCUAUAGUGGUCAGCAUCGCCCGUGACGUGCACAGCUACAGUGGCCAGUCAUCAUCAUCAACUCGCACGGCUACAGUGGUCGGUCGCCACGCACGUCUCGCGUGCUCGGCUACAGUGGCCGACUGCUGGGUCAUCGAUGGGACCCAACGGCAACCACCCCUCCUCGGUGGCCAUGCUAACAAGACACAGAAAUCAGAAGGGAAGGCGAUAACGCCGGUGGCUCGGCCCAUCUCCCUGGGCUUUACCUUCCUUGCUUACCUUUUCUACUUCCCUUUACUCCCGGCUCGAUUGUAACUCCUGUGUCCUCCUUACGCUAUAAAAGGAGGACCAGGGGGCCGAGAAAGGGACGGCUCUCAAGCGAACCGAACGACCCUCGACUGACAACCCUUCCACACAAGCAUUAGUACACACCCACAGAGACUUGGGACCAGCUUCCCUCUCUCGCCCGUUUGUAACCCCUACUACAAACUCCGCACGAGUAACACGAGCAACCUCCCACACUGGACGUAGGGCUAUUCCUGCCCGAACCAGUAUAAACCCUGUGUCCUCUCAUGCAACCAUCCAGGCCUAACGCGCAUAGAAAAUAAAUUUACUUGCCGGAGUCUUGACCCGUGAUUCUUGACACCGACACUAUGAAACUGAGACUAAAAGACUCCUCUCUAGUAUCGGUUGCAUGAUCUGCUACUAAAGCGUACUAUGCCAAAAAAUUCUCAUAAAAACUAUCUAAUUUUUAGUGGAGGCCUAUAGACGCACGUUGCAAGUAACAGGUGACACGUUUUUUCCGCGUGAAAUAAGCACAUAUGCGGUGUGUAGGAUUCAAACCAAACCUCUCACCUAGCACGUAGAACUCUUACCAUCUCACUUCCUUAGCAAGUCUAACUUAGGUAGAACCAGUGGGUAAGACAAAUUGAUACUUAUGUAUAGAAAUUAGUACUGGAUCGUGUGUUGACACCAACUGAUUCUAAUGUGUAGGUCUCUACGGGUGAAGGCCGUUAGAUCUAGUACUAAUGUUAGCAUAGGAAUCAGGUCUAAUCUUGAUCAGUAUAUAUGAAUAUUGGGAAUGGAAGCCUAGAUCUCAAAAAGUGUCUGGCUCCUCUUCCACCGUUUGGCCGCCCUAACGGUGGCAGCUUCGACCCUCACAGGUUUCCUCCGCCACAGUGCUGGUACAUCGCUGAUCCAGGGCCGCUCUCUAUCGAGGGAUCGCUACUGAGCUCACGUACAACUAUCGACCCCCUCCAGCCUUAAAUAUAUAGUUUAGCUCACCAUUGAAGUCACUUGAGUUGGCUGGAGAUCAAGAACAUGAUUGGAGCAUGAAUCACACCUCGACCAGGAGGGUUAGUAAUUCGGUAAAUUUGUACAGGGUGCCUUCUAUGCUACCUUUUGUUGCUCUCAGUAGGUCACAAUUUUAUACGUACUCAUAUAGUUAAAAGCUAUUGUUGCACUGUCAUUGCUGGAAACUCAGCAUUUGUCCCAAGACUUAGUACUGGUUGGUUUUGAUCUGAUACUAAUGUGAGCAUUAGUACCGGGACUAACAACUAGUUCCUCAGGAGCCUGGUACUAAAGGUCACUCAUUAGUACCGGUUGAAGCCACCGACCGAUAUUAAUGUGCCUAAGGGCCUUUAGUACCGUUGGAGGCUUCACCCAGUACUAAUUAGCAACCUUUAGUACUGGUUGAAGCCCACAAUCGGUACUAACUUCCCUCCUAUAAAUCAGGCGUAUUCUUCCUCCUACCUGAGCCAUUUCCUCCAACUCGCGCUUCAUCCAUUCAUGGCGAAAUAGGGAAGAUGCUGCCGGAUUUUUAACCAUUUCAUUGCGAUUUCACUCGUUCAAGUGUUUUAAAGGUUAGAAACUUCAUCCUCCCUUGAUAUAUAGUUAUUAUACUAAGUUUUAUGCUUUAGAUUUAGAGUAAUUUGUGAUUUUUAGAAUAAGGUAAAAUGGAGAAAAUUUUCAUUUAUAUGCAUGUGUUAUAUAUGUUUGAGCUACAAUUUUUUGGAUGCUAUGUUUCGUAUAUGAGGUUAGAGGAAUAAUUUCAUAGUUUAGUCCUUUACAAAUAUGAGCUAAAUAAAUUGUGGGGAAAAAAUAUAUUUUGUUCAUAUUUUAGACAUUUGCAAAUAUGAGCGAGAUAAAUUGUGGUACAUAGAGAUAAUAAGAUUAAAUAAAGGUAUGUAAUUAGUCUUUUUAGAAUAAGCUACAAUGCAGAAAUUUUUCAUUUAUAUGUUAUUUUGAGCUAAAUAAAUUGUGGGGAAAAAUAUAAUUUGUUCAUAGUUUAGUCAUUUGCAAAUAUAAGUUAUAUAAAUUAUGGUACAUAGAGAUGGCUACUGCUGCUGGAGGGAGUGGCGAUGGUGGGGGCGAUCGUCGUUCCUCUCACAACAAGGGGAAAACCAUAGUUGCCCAUCAUGAUAAGCUGAAGAAAAUGAGCACGUGGGAGAGAGCAAUGCUUCGUUAUUUGGCAAGAUGUCAUGAAGAUGAUGUUGCGGUGGGUCAAGAACCUCCUUUUGGUAGUCAUUAUGCUCCACCGCCAGUCAUGGGGGUUUUUGGUCCACUGAGUACUACCAUCACAGGAGGCACAAAUAAUCCAGAUAGGUCAGCUAAACCUUCAUCUUCGCCGCCCAAGGAUGCUUAAAGUCCUCCUUGAUAGUACUCAGUGGAUGGUUUAUCGUAGUGUAUCAUGUUGUUUGGGUUUGAGAUUUAAAUUUGUGUAUUUCUAUCUAAACUUUCAACAACAUUUGAGUUUGUCGUAGUGUAUCUUGUUGUUUGGGUCUGAACUUUAAAUUUAUGUAUUUCAAUCUAAACUUUCAGCAACAUUUGAGUUUUAUGAAAUUUGUUUGAUGUUUGUUAUGCUUCAUAAUUAUAUGCAUGAUCAGAAUAACUUUGGUUCAAUAAUACUUUGUAGAUGAAUCAGCAAUAGGUGUACAACACAGACAAAUGCUCCAUCGACUACAUUAAUGGCUUGCGUGGUUCUCUCGAUCUGGCAAAAUCCAACAAGCUACCGUCAAGUUUCAUUUGUUGUCCAUGUAGAAAUUGCAAAAAAAAUGAGGAUUACUCAUCAAGAAAGACUAUUCACAUCUACAUAUAUAGUUCUUGAUUCAUGCCUAACUAUUUUGUUUGUGCCAAGCACGGAGAAAGAGUUAUGAUGGAACAUGAUGAUGAAGAAGAAGAUGACAACAUUCCUAACUGGACUCAAGGAAGUGCUUUUGCAGAUGCUCCAAUGGGCAAGGCUGAAAAAGAUAUGGGUGAGGCAGAAGGUCCUAUCGAUGAUUUAGGUCAGGUGUUGCAAGAUGCAAAGGAAGACUGCGAGAAUGUGAAGGAGUCAAAGAAUUUUGAGCGUAUGUAAGAUGAUCAUAAGAAAUUGUUGUACCCAUAUUGAAAAUAGGGGCACAAAAAAUUGGGUACCACACUGGAAAUACUACAAUGGAAGACAAAAAAUGGAGUUUCUGAUAAGGGUUUUGAUUAGUUAAUGAACUUCGUAAAGAAAAUGCUUCCCGAGGGGAACGAAUUGCUAUCAUCCACGUAUGAAGCGAAAAAGGUUGUUUGCUCUCUAGGUUUGGAGGUACAAAAGAUACAUGCAUUUCCUAAUGACUGUAUCCUCUAUUGCGGUGAGGAAUACGAGAAAUUGGAGGCUUGUCCUGUGCAAAGCGCUGCAUUAUAAGUGUUGGUGGAAAACGGCCCCGAAGUAGACUCUGUCACAACAGACUAAGAGUUCUUCCUCCGAAGGGGUAAGGCUCCCUUCGUCGGGAGAAGUGGAUCAAUUGUGUAUCCUAUUCUUCUUCUAACAGUCCAAAGCAAAGAUCACCAAAACAAUAAAUGAAAUGUAAAGAAACACAAUAAAUGGCAUUAACUUUCAUUUACUUCAGAUCAACCGUCCCAUCAGUUACAGUGGCACCUCUAUUUAUAGGGAGAUCAACCACCAUAAACUACAAUUACAAAAUACUGUUACUGUGGCGGAUCCACUUCGGAUCUACUUGGUUAAACAUGAUUUAGCCGCCUGAUACGCGACACUCAUGCUUAAGCCGAGUAAACACGAAGUGCCGUCGGAUUUCCUCCGAUUUAACCACUUGAACAGGACCAUUUUAGCAGACCCACAUGAAACUGAGCGGUUCCAGAAAGUACAACAAGUCCAUCGAGUUAACAACUUAGCCAGUUAGUUUGAUUAUGAAAUAAACAUCAGAGUUUUACAGGAUUUCAGAAAAACAACAGAAGGUAAAAACCACUAGCGGAAGCAACGUCGGGGUGGGACGUCCCUGGUGAGGCCAGCCGGGACAUCACUAAUCUCUCUCCUCGCCGUCCGAGGAGGGAUCCCACUCGACCGUCCAACCCGGAGGGAGCUGGGGCGGCCAAGCGCCAGCAGGAGAAGGGUCAGGAGCAGCAACUUCACCUGAAAAAUAGGAGCCACAACAAGGCUGAGCUACUAAGCUCAACAAGACUUAACCGACAGGAGUAAAACUACUCCACACUUCUAGACAUGCAGGGCUUUUUGGCUGAGGGGUUUGUUUGCCAAAAGCACUAAGUAAAACCCUAUUUUCAAGUUUUAGCUCCGGUUCUAAGUUCAUUAACCGGUCUAGGUUUUGCAACCUAUUCUAAGCAAUCAUAGAACCAAAACAAGGUAUGUGUAUAUCAACAAACCAUGUCAUCAUCAGAUUCCUCUUUUACUCAGGGUGACAUAGCGAUCAAGCAGUCUCAAACUGUGAGAGGCAGACGAAUCGAUUCGAGUUCUUUAACCAUGCAUGGUGAACCUAACCUCACGACAUCCGCGCACCCGGAGGUCGCUUCCUGUGUCGGCCUUCCCCAUCAAUCCCCUAACCCGUGUCGGGCCCAUUUUCUUUGGUGCAAGGUUCCACAGACCUGGCCUCUGCCGUUCUGUGACCACACUUGCCACCACGUGCGACAACCAGCAGGGGAAACUCUGUUCCAAGAACAAUGGGGUGACCGCUCACGUCUAGGUUCAAUUCGGUACUCGGCUUCCUCAUCCCAUACUAAGUAUGAGGUUAGUACUUUCAAACACUUAAUCACGAACACCACCACUGUCGGGCCUUAGCAAGUUUCCAUAGACAGACGGGACAAUCAAGCGACCACCAAAGAGUUACCCAACCCUGCCCCGUCCAUCGUCCUUACAGUUGUAACAGAAAGGUAGACAUCCAACUCCUACAACUCGCGAGUGACAGGGAAUCACUCGACUUUUACCGUCUCCUAGUUAGGCAAAGCAGCUACUCGGUCCAACAGCUAGUUUUCAGAUCAUGGGGAAACUAGGUCAUGCAUCUAGGGUUUCAAACAACUCCUAAACGUAAAUGCACAAGCAUGUUUUAAGGAAGGCAUGCGCAAGUUUGGAAAACAACACAGGGUUUUCAUGCAACUGGGGCUUGCCUUCGAGCAAGGGGGAAGAGAACUGCUCGACUUCGGGGGCGGCUUCGGCUUCUGGGGGCAGGAGCUCAGCUACAGCUUCGUCUUCUAGCGCCAGGUGCAGCUCGUAGAAGCCGUCGGCGAGGCGCAGCUCUACACGAAUGCAAUGCAAGAGUUAGCAUAGACGGUUAUUUCAACAGCAACACUUGCAAGUCUGAGCCCAGAAACUCGCGACAAAGAGCAGGAGGGUGGGGAGGUUCAAGGGAGUUGGUAGAGAUCAAGAGGUAAGGGUUGGAAAGGAACUUAUGAUCUGAUCCUUAAACUAGAGGGUUUGGUAUGCUAGGGAUCCUCAGACUCAAGUGCUGAAGGGUUCGCAAGUUUUACACAUACACCCUCGGGUUGAAGAAAAAGAUCACAGCCGAGCCCUCGGGGGAGGCGGAGAGGGGUCGACGGAACAGAUAGGGUCAGGCGAGACGGGACCGGGGUCGGGCGGAUAGGAGGGGUCGGGCGAAGCGGACUGGGGUCGGCAGCUUACCUUCUUUCUACAAGGAAAGCUUGGGGUGAGGAAGAAGCAGACUUGGGCGGAGGGACUAAGGCUUUGAACAGCGGAGAGGUCCGGCAGUGCUCCGGCGGCGGCGGUGCUUCUUGUGGAUCACAAGUGAGCUCUUACGCAGCACGGAGGAGCAAGCGGCUGGGUGGCUUGGGGAAAACGGAGUGGAGCUGAGAGGAGAGUUCCUCAAGAACUUAGGGUGUGGCGCUGGGAGAUCGAGCAGGGAGCGAGAGAAAUGGCGGAAGGCAGCAAUGGCGGAGGGAACUCCGGCGGGGCUCGCGCAUUCCUUUUUAUAGCGGCUGGGAAGGGAGAAGAGAAGCGGCGUGGGAGUGAGAAGGGGAGCGGCAUGAAGGCCAGGGAAGAAGCAAUGGAGUGCUCUGCCGGGGCGGCGAUUGAGUGACGAGGGCGGUGGUGCAGGACUUCGGGGAUGACGCCAGCGGUCAUUGGGCUCUGGCGUCAGGGCGGCGCAAGAGCGGGUAUGCCGGUGAUUGAGAUUUGGCGGAGGCGGGCGUCGUCGUGCGGUAGAUUUGAUGGAAGUGACCGGGUUAACGGCGCUAGAAUCGAGGGCGCACAGGUGAAAAGACAGGUAGCCGCGGGCGUGCGGGCGAGCGCGGAGCAACAGAUUGUCGGGCGGCUUCUGACAGGGCGGGGAAAGGAGCUGUCACUGCAGUGGUCGGGGUUGGCGAAGGAGGAAUCGUCGGGUAGUGAAGACCAGACGGCGCGACUGUGUUUCGAAGUGACGGAUAAGACGGGCGACAUCGGGCUCUGCGGCCGGGAUCUGGCGAUGUGAUGAUGGGCGCGGGAGGCGAGGCGUUGCAGAAAGGUUGCAGCGGGGCUUCCGCUGCCAUUGGGGAAGGGGGCGCGAGAAUCCAUUCGGUCGCGGGCCAGAGAUGAGGCUGAGCGGCGGGCGUCGGAGAAGUUGAGCCACGCGGCGGGGAGACUCUGAAGCGGGCAUGCAACUCGAGUGCGCCUGUCGCGGAAGAUCUGGGGGAAAAAGAUCUCGCGGGUCCACCGGUCAGAUAGAACGGACGUUUUGGGAAGGACUUAGAAGGAUCCGACGGUGAGCUGGGUUGGGCGGGGUCGGAACCGGAGCGAAGCGGGGAGGGGUCGGGUCUCAGGGGUUGGGACCGGUCGGGAGGUUGAAUUGAACACUUAGGCGUGGAAAACUAGGCAGGUGCUCAGGGGCUAGGAUUAAGAUUAACUGGGAAGAUUUAGGGCCGGUCGUCACAGCCUACCCCUCUUAAAAAGAAUCUCGUCCCGAGAUUCAGGUAUCAAAAGGGGUGUGCCGUUCUUACCUCCUUGACGAGAUAGAAAACCUGGGAAGUGCUUGUUCAGAUACUCGUCUGUUUCCCAUGUUGCUUCAUCUUCGGUGUGGUUUCUCCAGAUGAUCUUGUACAUUUUGACCAUUUGGCGCCGGGUAUGCCUCUCUUUCUAAUCAAGAACUCGAUCUGGGUACUCGGCAUAGGUUAGGUUGGGCUCGAUCUAAAGCUGCUCUUGCUCUAAGAUCUCGGUUGGAACUUGGACACAUUUCUUCAGUUGAGACACAUGGAAAACAUCGUGUAUGGCCGAUAGCUGUUCUGGGAGUUGGAUCCGGUAAGCAACGGGUCCACAGAUCUCCACAAUCUCAUAAGGGCCAAUGUAGCGGGGAGCCAACUUGCCUUUCACUCCAAACCGUUGUACUCCUUUGGUCGGGGAGACUCGAAGAUACACCUGAUCACCAAUAUCGAACCGCAGGGGCCUUCUUCGCCUGUCGGAAUAACUCUUUUGUCGAGAUUGGGCAGCCUUGAGAUUGGCUUGAAUUACCCUUACUUGCUCUUCGGCUUCUGCCACUAAGUUAGGGCCAUAGACUUGUCUUUCUCCUGCUUGGGACCAGUUCAAGGGUGUCCGACAUCUCCGGCUAUACAGGGCUUCAAACGGUGCCAUCUUCAAACUAGCCUGGUAGCUGUUGUUGUAGGAGAACUCUGCCAAGGGCAGGCACUUUUCCCAGUUCUUGUCAUAGUGGAUGACACAAGCUCUCAACAUGUCUUCAAGGAUCUAGUUGACUCUCUCGGUUUGACCAUCAGUUUGAGGAUGAUAUGUUGAGCUACGGAUGAGCUUGGUGCCCAUGGAUGCUUGUAGUUGUUCCCAAAAGCGUGCCACAAACUGAACUCCUCGAUCAGAGAUGAUGGUCUUGGGUACACCAUGUAGGGAAACUAUGCGGUCGAGGUACAACUCUGCAUACUACUUGACUGUGUGGGUGGUGCGGACAGGAAGGAAGUGGGCGGUCUUGGUCAGGCGGUCCACUAUAACCCAGAUGGAAUCAUAUCGCUGUGAGGUAAGGGGCAAUCCAACUAUGAAGUCCAUGCUGAUGUCUUCCCAUUUUCAAGAGGGAAUAGGUAGUGGCUGCAGGGUACCCGCUACCUUUAGAUGGCUGGCUUUGACACGUUGACAGGUGUCACAUUCUGAAACAUACCAGGCAAUUUCCGACUUCAUCCUAUUCCACCAGAAGGUUUGAUGGAGAUCAUGGUACAUCUUAUUGCUGCCAGGAUGGAUUGAGAACUUGGAGAGAUGAGCUUCAUCUAGGAUCUGCUUCCUCAGUCUGGGGUCGGCUGGUACAACCAGUCGGUUUCCAUAAUAUACGCCUCCAGUUUCGCCCUGCUGGAAUUGCUUAUACCCUUCAUCCUUUAAUGAGAUCUUCCUGAUGAUCCGCUUUAUUUGCUCAUCCUCCACUUGUGCUGACCGGAUUUGGUCUUCCAAAACUGAGUCAAGGGUGAUGUGGCUGAGGGUUCCAUGGGGAAUAAUCUCCAGACUGAGUUUUCCCAUCUCAUGACACGGAGUCUCAGUGAAAGCUGUUACCAACAAGCAGUUGCAACGGUUCUUGCGACUAAGAGCAUCGGCCACCACAUUGGCUUUGCCGGGAUGAUAGUGAACUUCCAAGUCAUAGUAUUUUAUCAACUCCAACCAUCUUCUUUGGCGCAUGUUGAGGUCGGCUUGAGUAAAGAUGUACUUGAGGCUCUUGUGGUCGGUAUAGAUGUUGCAGUGGGUGCCCAUCAGAUAGUGUCUCCAUAUCUUUAAGGCAUGUAUCACUGCUGCUAGCUCAAGGUCGUGGGUUGGGUAACUCAGCUCAUAACGUCGUAAUGCGCGUGAGGCAUAGGCAAUGACUCGGUUGUCUUGCAUAAGAACACACCCAAGUCUAGUGCCAGAGGCGUCACAGUACACAUCAAACGGCCUAGAAGGGUCGAGCUGAGCUAAAACUGGGGCUGUGGUCAGCAGGUGCUUCAGGGUCUUGAAGGCUUCUUUGCAUUUGUCACUCCACGCGAACCUGACCUCUUUCUUCAACAACUCUGUCAUCGGCUUAGCUAUCUUAGAGAAAUCUGGUAUAAAGCGCCGAUAGUAGCCUGCCAGUCCAAGGAAACUUCUGAUCUGGUGCACUGAGGCAGGAGGGUUCCAUUCCAUAACUUCCUGUACCUUACUGGGGUCGACGACUAUACCAUCCUUGGAGAUAGUGUGUCCCAAAAACUUGACACUAUCUAACCAAAACUCACACUUGGAGAACUUGGCAUAGAGUUGGUGAUCUCUAAGCUGUUGGAGAACUACAUGAAGAUGAUCGGCAUGUUCUUCUUCGCUCUUUGUGUACACUAGGAUAUCAUCAAUGAACACCACCACAAACUUGUCCAACUCGGGCAUGAACACCGAGUUCAUGAGGUACAUGAAAUAGGCGGGUGCAUUGGUGAGUCCAAAAGACAUGACCAGGUACUCGUAGAGUCCAUAUCUGGUGGAGAAGGCUGUUUUGGGAAUGUCACAUGGUCAGAUCUUGAUUUGGUGAUAACCUGAACGAAGAUCGAUCUUGGAUAACACUUUUGCUCCCGCUAACUGAUCAAACAAGACAUCAAUGCGUGGUAGUGGGUACUUGUUCUUGACGGUCACAGCAUUGAGGGGUCGGUAGUCCACACACAUGCGUAGAUUGCAAAUCUUCUUCUUCACAAACAGGGCAGGGCAACCCCAAGGUGAUGUGCUGUGUCGGAUGAAGCCUUUUUCCAACAGAUCAUGCAACUGGGUCUUCAACUCGGCCAACUCAGCAGGUGGUAUCUGAUAGGGUCUCUUGGAUAUCGGUGCGGUGCCAGGGAUCAACUCUAUGGAAAACUCCACCUCUCUAUCAGGUGGCAUACCAGGCAAGUCUUCGGGGAACACGUCAGUGUACUCACAGACAACAGGGAGGCUUUCUAGUGGGGCUCCCGAUAGAGAGUAUGCACAAGGGAGUGCAGACUUAGGAUAUUUCAAGGAUAGGGUAGAACUGCCAUGGAAGGGUGAGUUGAUGUGGAGAGUUCGGGCGGCUGUGUCUAGAACCACUUGAUGUCUGGCCAUCCAAUCCAUCCUGAGGAUGACAUCUAUGCCUUCUAGGUCAAGGAGGAUAAGGUUUUCCUUGAAAAGGGUUGGGCCUAGCUGGAGAGGUACAAGAGUAACGAUCUGAUCCGAUGCUAUCUUCCCUCCCGGAGUGGUGAUCACAUAAGAUUCCUUAGUGUGACCGACAUCCAGCUCAUAUCUUUCUCUAGCCUUACUCCCGAUAAAGCUAUGAGAGGCUCCCGAAUCAAACAACACAAUAACAGCUUGAUUUAAAACAAGGAAAGUACCCGUCAUUACUGGCGCACCUUCGGGGAGCUCGGUCAAGCUGGUGUAGUUGAGUCGGCCUUGUCGGACUUGCACCUUGGGCCUUCUUCCUCUGUUUGCCAUGGGGUUCUGGCCUUGCUGCUGAUUCUUGUUCCUGGGGCAGUCCUUAGCAAAAUGCCCUUCAUUGCCGCAGGUGAAACAGCGGCUACUAGCUGCAGGGUGGGAUGGUGCUGGUGGGGUCGGCUGGGGCACCUGUGGUUGGAAGCCGGGAAAACAGGGCGCUGCUGCUGGUGGGGGUCGGGCAAUCCACCUUCCUGACUGCUGGGGUCGGCUGGGCGCUUGUGGAGGAACCAUCCGGAACCUUCGGGUUGGCUGGCUCGGAAACGCCACGGAGGCCUUCCUCUUCUGGUCGGCCUUGAGAGCCUGCAUGCAAUCCUCUUGAGAGAUGGCCAGAUUGACCAACUCGUUGUAGGUGUCUACCUUGAUGGGGUUCAACCUUUCUCUGAGCUCCAAGCUAAGUCCUCGGUGGAAUCUGUCCAGCUUCUUCUCAUCUGUGUCCGCAUGGUAGCCGGCAUAACGGCACAGGUCGUUGAAAGCUUGGGCGUAGUGCAGCACAUCUCGGGUUCCCUGGGUAAGAGCCAGGAACUCGUUGAGCUUGCGCUCCAAGAGACCUUCCGGGAUGUGAUGCACUUUAAACGCAGUUUUGAACUCGUUCCAGCUGACCACAUGGCCAGCCGACAGCAUGGCAUGGUAGUGGUCCCACCAGAGCCGUGCGGAGCCACGCAGCUUUUGAGCUGCGAACUGAGCCUUGUUAUGGUCGGGGCACGGGGCGGUGAGAAGCUCGAACCUGGAUUCGAUCGUACGAACCUAGGCGUCAGCGUCGAGCGGUUCUUGUGUCUUCUGGAACAAAGGGGGCUGUGUCCCCAAAAAGUCCUCAUAGCGAGCAACAUGCGGCUGCUAUUGAGCCCUUCCACCUGGGGCUGCUGCUGUUGUCCUUGUACAAGAUGCCUUAGCAGCUCGGUUUGAGUUGCCAGGAUUGCCUCUAGUGGAGAUGAGGGCGGGGGUGGGGGAAGAUCCUGUCGCUACUCGCUGCUGCCGGGCACAGAACCAGACCUGGUGCGAUGCGCCAUCUGCAAGAGUUAGCGUUCCAUUAAUUUCAUAAUCUUAGAAGUACUCCAACAAAUGGAAUGUAUAAGUUAAAUUCUCCAAUGCAACUCUCGCUGAUAAUGCAACACACGUCCUCAUAGGGGGGGAUACACUUUUCUCAUCCUCAUGUUUGUUAGCGUUUAUCUUAGCCUUGUACUCAACUUCGGGCGAAUCAUACCCUACCCAGACUCCUAUAAUCCAACUUAAGCCACGGGGUCGGACUAGGCGAUUCUCCCGAGAAAAAGGGUCGGCAACGAUCCACAUUAAAAAAAGGGGUCGGGCGAGGCGGAGACUACCUCGAAAGGUCGGCGCACUCGAUCUCGCGAACCGAGGUCGGCCAACUUGAACAGACUCGCAGAAAACGGCGCGUGGUCGCAGCUCAACUCACUUAGUCUAAUCAUUCCAACACUUUACAAGAGUUAGAGGCCAGACUCAGGAAUUGACUUCAUUUACAGCGGUGUUCCAACACAGGGAGUACUCGACUCAAGGCUAACCUAUUACAAUCCUUUCCAAAAUUUAGGCUGCCAAGGAGUACAACAAAGAAUGAGUCCCUGAGAACUCUUAAUCUACAAAUGGACACUAUGAGUAGGAGAAGGGGCGCCAUCUUCUUCGAUGUCCAUACUGGAUGCUCCCUCAUCCCCCUCGGGGUCCUCUUGAGCUUCGAGUUGCAUGUGGAGGGCAUGCAUAUUGUCGAGCUCGGCUUGAUGCUCCUCCAAGUGAGCAUUGGCAACCGCCAGCUCCAUCUCUAUUUCCAUCUUCUCCUCCGACAGCUCGAUCAUGCCGUCCACUAGGUCGGCUACUUCUCCCUCGAGCUCGGAGAUCCGGUCUUGCAUGUCGUGUAUCUGAAUGCCUCGCUGGAUAAGCUGGUAGGUUUGGCCUACCAUGUCUCUCCUGGCUAACUGGAGGUAUCCUUGAGCAUCCAUUGUGGUCGGGGCAAAGAUGGUCAUGGCUCUCCCUUGAAGCAGAUCAGCCGAUAGAGGGCUGUCAUGCAUCUGACGUUGGUGGAGAUGGUGACCAUGGAGUACGUGGUGGCUAGCACCUCAGUAUUUCCGACAUGGUCGAGCCACGCCGGAUCCAGCCGGUUCCUGGCGGGGAACAGGCCGAUGGGGUCUAGCGUGACCUCCAAGGGAUGCAGCUGACAAAACUGGGUGAGAAGCUGGAGAGCGGCAGACUCCCAAGUGUCCUCCGGAGCAAGACCGUAGGCUGAUAUUCCGAGGGAGGGCCAGUUGGGCCGCACAGGGGGAGGAGGUACCACCGCCUGUACAUGGCACGUCUGGAUGCCCUGCUCCAAAUACAGUCAUCCGGCGUACAAUGGUGGGGACUGGUACCCAAACCAUUUCAACGUGUCCCACAAAAUCGCGGGGAAGCCCUCGAAAUGCAGAUAGGUGGACUGGAAGGUACCAUCCGCUCCAAACAAAACAUGCCCAGGGACGGCCAUCUGGAACCAAGAAACCAAAACCACGUGAGAUAGACUCCAAGGGUCAGGGGUCAGAUAGAGAGGCAUUCGGCUUUAACCGAGAGCAACUGGAAGAAACUAGAAAUCCUUAGAACCGAAAAAGAAAAGAGCUCUUCCGAACAAGGUUGCUUUUGAGAAGGAAAACUUUACAGAUUUCUGUUUAUGAUGCAUGCACGGCCUACCUUACUCUUAACCAAAACAACUGCCCGAAACCUGGGUCUUACGCGGUCAGUGCCGGUGACAAGGCAACAAGUACGUGUCUCCCUAUAAUAGCUAGUCGGUUCUAGCAACGCCUCCUAAACGAACGCGGUUAGUGUACCUACAGAAAACACCAACACAUGAACCUUUCGUGCCAGCACCCACGAAAGCGUUCCCAAAGAUUACCGCUCACUAUAGGAACGGCACCCAUGCGUUUAAGGCUGCAUGGACAGCACUCAACCGUGGAAAUAGGUUCCCUUUGAAUGGAACCGUAUAACCCUUCGCAUACUCACGAUGCGGAACCACCACACGUAUGAUAGACGUGGUGAAUCAACCGUGCUGAUAGGUUCGUUGGAAUCGAACCGUACCAACCUUCGUAUGGAUUACAUACGGAACCUGCACACGUGUGAUAGACGUGGGCGAAAACAACCACGAUGAUAGGGUCCUUUGAAUAGAACUCCCUAUCAACCUUCGCAUACUCGUGAUGCGGAACUCGGCACACGUAUGACAAACGUGGCGAAGUGCUGGAAGGGUUAGCAAGAUAACCAAGUAAAAUAUUAGCCACCUAAAACAACCCAAAAUCCCCUAGGGCCUCUCCCACUAAGUCAUCCUUAACGAUCAUACGAGAUUUUUGAAAAAGUUUCUUGCAAUUUUUAUCUUUUCAAAGAAGUGUUAGUGCUUGUUGUGUUCUCUGUACUGCUAAACCUGCUCUAGUACCAGCUGUGGCGGAUCCACUUCGGAUCUACUUGGUUAAACAUGAUUUAGCCGCCUGAUACGCGACACUCAUGCUUAAGCCGAGUAAACACGAAGUGCCGUUGGAUUUCCUCCGAUUUAACUACUUGAAUAGGACCAUUUUAGCAGACCCACACGAAGGUGAGCGGUUCCAAAGAGUACAACAAGUCCACCGAGUUAACAACUUAGCCAGUUAGUUUGAUUAUGAAAUAAACAUCAGAGUUUUACAGGAUUUCAGAAAAACAACAGAAGGUAAAAACCACUAGCGGAAGCAACGUCGGGGUCGGACGUCCCUGGUGAGGCCAGCCGGGACAUCACUAAUCCCUCUCCUCGCCGUCCGAGGAGGGAUACCACUCGACCGUCCAACCCGGAGGGAGCUGGGGCGGCCAAGCGCCAGCAGGAGAAGGGUCGGGAGCAGCAACUUCACCUGAAAAACAGGAGCCACAACAAGGCUGAGCUACUAAGCUCAACAAGACUUAACCGACAGGAGUAAAACUACUCCACACUUCUAGACAUGCAGGGCUUUUUGGCUGAGGGGUUUGUUUGCCAAAAGCACUAAGUAAAACCCUAUUUUCAAGUUUUAGCUCCGGUUCUAAGUUCAUUAACCGGUCUAGGUUUUGCAACCUAUUCUAAGAAAUCAUAGAACCGAAACAAGGUAUGUGUAUAUCAACAAACCAUGUCAUCAUCAGAUUCCUCUUUUACUCAGGGUGACAUAGCGAUCAAGCAGUCUCAAACUGUGAGAGGCAGACGAAUCGAUUCGAGUUCUUUAACCAUGCAUGGUGAACCUAACCUCACGACAUCCGCGCACCCGGAGGUCGCUUCCUGUGUCGGCCUUCCCCAUCAAUCCCCUAACCCGUGUCGGGCCCAUUUCCUUUGGUGCAAGGUUCCACAGACCCGGCCUCUGCCGUUCUGUGACCACGCUUGCCACCACGUGCGACAACCAGCAGGGGAAACUCCGUUCCAAGAACAAUGGGGCGACCGCUCACGUCUAGGGUCAAUCCGGUACUCGGCUUCCUCAUCCCAUACUAAGUAUGAGGUUAGUACUUUCAAACACUUGAUCACGAACACCACCACUGUCGGGCCUUAGCAAGUUUCCAUAGACAGACGGGGCAAUCAACCAACCACCAAAGAGUUACCCAACCCUGCCCCGUCCAUCAUACUUACAGUUGUAACAGAAAGGUAGACAUCCAACUCCUACAACUCGUGAGUGACAGGGAAUCACUCGGCUUUUACCGUCUCCUAGAUAGGCAAAGCAGCUACUCGGUCCAACAGCUAGUUUUCAGAUCAUAGGGAAACUAGGUCAUGCAUCUAGGGUUUAAAACAACUCCUAAAUGUAAAUGCACAAGCAUGUUUUAAGGAAGGCAUGCGCAAGUUUGGAAAACAACACAGGGUUUUCAUGCAACCGGGGCUUGCCUUCGAGCAAGGGGGAAGAGAACUGCUCGACUUCGGGGGCAGCUUUGGCUUCUGGGGGUAGGAGCUCAGCUACAGCUUCGUCUUCUGGCGCCGGGUGCAGCUCGUAGAAGCCGUCGGCGAGACGCAGCUCUACAGGAAUGCAAUGCAAGAGUUAGCACACACGGUUAUUUCAACAGCAACACUUGCAAGUCUGAGCCCGGAAACUCGCGACAAAGAGCAGGAGGGUGGGGAGGUUCAAGGGAGCUGGUGGAGAUCAAGAGGUAAGGGUUGGAAAGGAACUAAUGAUCUGAUCCUUAAACUAGAGGGUUUGGUAUGCUAGGGAUCCUCAGACUCAAGCGCUGAAGGGUUCCCAAGUUUUACACAUACACCCUCGGGUUGAAGAAAAGAUCACAGCCGAGCCCUCGGGCGAGGCGGAGAGGGGUCAGCGGAACAGAUAGGGUCGGGCGAGAUGGAACCGGGGUCGGGUGGAUAGGAGGGGUCGGGUGAAGCGGACUGGGGUCGGCAGCUUACCUUCUUUCUACAAGGAAAGCUUGGGGUCGGGAAGAAGCAGACUUGGGCGGAGGGACUAAGGCUUUGAACAGCGGCGAGGUCUGGCAGUGCUCCGGCGGCGGCGGUGCUUCUUGUGGAUCACAAGUGAGCUCUUACCCAGCACGGAGGAGCAAGUGGCUGGGUGGCUUGGGGAAAACGGAGUGGAGCUGAGAGGAGAGUUCCUCAAGAACUUAGGGUAUGGCGCUGGGAGCUCGAGCAGGGAGCGAGAGAAAUGGUGGAAGGCAGCAAUGGCGGAGGGAACUCCGGUGGGGCUCGCGCAUUCCCUUUUAUAGCGGCUGGGAAGGGAGAAGGGAAGCGGUGCGGGAGUGAGAAGGGGAGCGGCGCGAAGGCUAGGGAAGAAGCAAUGGAGUGCUCUGCCGGGGCGGCGAUUGAGCGACGAGGGCGGUGGUGCAGGACUUCGGGGAUGACGCCAGCGGUCAUUGGGCUCUGGCGUCAGGGCGGCACAGAAGCGGGUAUGUCGGUGGUUGAGAUUUGGCGGAGGCGGGCGUCGUCGCGGGCGCGCAGGCGAGCACGGAGCAAUAGAUUGUCGGGCGGCUUCUGACAGGGCGGGGAAAGGAGCUGUCACUGCCAUGGUCGAGGUUGGCGAAAGAGGAAUCGUCGGGUAGCGAAGACCAGGCGGCACGACUGUGUUUCGAAGUGACGGAAAAGACGGGCGACAUCAGGCUCUGCGGCCGGGAUCUGGCGAUGUGAUGAUGGGCGCGGGAGGCGAGGCGUUGCAGAAAGGUUGCAGCGGGGCUUCCGCUGCCAUUGGGGAAGGGGGCGCAAGAAUCCAUUCAGUCGCGGGCCAGAGACGAGGCUGAGCGGCGGGCGUCGGAGAAGUUGAGCCACGCGGCGGGGAGACUCUGAAGCGGGCAUGCAACUCGAGUGCGCCUGUCGCGGAAGAUCUGGGGGAAAAAGAUCUCGCGGGUCCACCGGUCAGAUAGAACGGAUGUUUUGGGAAGGACUUAGAAGGAUCCGACGGUGAGCUGGGUUGGGCGGGGUCGGAACCAGAGCGAAGCGGGGAGGGGUUGGGUCUCAGGGGUCGGGACCGGUCGGGAGGUUGAACUGAACACUUAGGCGUGGAAAACUAGGCAGGUGCUCAGGGGCUAGGAUUAAGAUUAACUGGGAAGAUUUAGGGCCGGUCGUCACAGUUACCCAACGACUAGAUUCCAGGAAUAUUCCAGGGUACAAUGGGAAAUACGGCCUUCAUAUGGACUCCUCCAGCUCGCUCCUUGUACAGCUCCUUCAUUCCAUGUGGCAGCCAAUGUGGUCUUCAGAUGCACGCUUGGCUCCUUCGGAGGUAGAAGGGUUUUCUGCCAGGUCACCUUGCUAUUCCUUCUUUGGACAACCCAUGCUCAAAAUGAGCCGAACGCAGCAUCUUCCAUCUAGGGAGUCCUGAGGGCCGUCCCGCCACCAUCGUGUCCCAAAGAACCUUUUGUACACCUAAGGGUCUUCAUUUCCAUCCUCCCCUUCCCUGCACUCAGAGUUUUCCACAAUCAAACAAGCCCUCAUGGUUAGUGAUGAGAGGACUUCUCCCUCUGAAAGGGAUUCUGAAGGUGGUUUCCCCAACUAUAGCCCCUCGUGAGCGAGGACCAUCUUUUCUCUUGAUGGGCCGAACUGACGACACUAAAAACAUGGUGCAACCAUCCUUCGGAACUCCCCGAGAUCGACGCAUUAAGGAUUUUACUUUAAUACCCUUUACCUAUUAUUUUUAAUGGUGUUAUUCAAUGUCUUUUUAGACAUUUCACCCUCACAACCACUUCCUUCCAACAUGCCUAUAAAUAUCGCCGUGCGGACCCUGGUCAUUUACUUUUACCGCUAUCACUUUCAUUGCUACAGGUCCAAAGCCCCCUUCGUCCAUUGUUUUGGUAACUUCUUUUGUUCUUCGUCUAGAAACCAGUUUGUCUAGUGCUCCUUGUGGCUCCAAAGCGUAAGCGUCCUUCGGGCGAUGAAGAAGAAGAGCAUGAGGUACGUAAGAGCCGAAUGAUCCCUGAAAGCAUUGUUAUGUUGAAAGACAAAAGGAUGGUCAUUUCUACCAGGGCUCCUAGUUCCAAGGUUAUUCCUAAACUUGAGGACAAUGAGGUUGUCAUCUUUCGGGAUCUUCCUUUUGCUGGUCUCCACUUCAAAUUGGAUCCUGUCAUUGUGGACAUAAUUUGUCUAUUGGAUAUCUACCUGCACCAGUUGACACCAAACGCACUCGUUCACAUGUUGAUUUAUAUUUGGAUUUGUUGGACUACCAAGAUCAAGGCUUCGGCCGAAGGGUUUGCUGCUGCGCACAAGGUCCACCACCAACCGAAGUAUCUUUUGGAGGAUGAAGAUGGUGUUGUUGUUGAAAAGGAGGAUCAAUUUGGAUGUCUCAACUUCGUUUAUCACACUGGUGUGUUGUCUCCUAUUGCUACCCAUCGUAAUAAGUGGCCUAAUGACUGGCACUAGCACUGGAUGUAUCAUGAAGUGGAAGCACAAGGCAACGGAGAGCCUCAUCAUCUUGUUACCAAGACCGUUUCUUCCCUGCACGAGGAUUACAAAGUUGACCUUCCUCUGUGCUCCGAAGGGGAUGAAUUUAUCUUGAUGCUUUGUCUGUUUGCUCGCAAAUAUAGCACUCACGAUAUUGUUAAAGAGUACCGAAUGGUUGGCGUGUGGCCUGUCCGAGGCGGCUAGCAGAUCCUUGAGACUGAUUGGGUCAAAGUCGAUGGCCCUAUCCCUUGUACUAACUAGACAAAGUUCUUUAGAUUCACUCGAGACAGUGAGUUCCUUCGUUUACUUUUGCGUUCUAAUUCCUUUUGUGAUGCUUUGUUGCUUAUCGAUCCCUUCUUUAUUUUCUUGCAGGGGUAAACGUUGUCAAGGCCAUGAAACGAGGUGAUUUCAUACUUAGAGCGGAGUCCCCUUUAGAAUUCAAGGAAGUGCAGGAAAAGCUUGGUGGGUCUCGGGGGAGUUAUAUUUUCUCCUUCUUUAAGAUUGAUGCUCCUCUUCGCGAAGUGACAAAGAGGAAUAUUUGCGUUCGGAGUAGAAAGCCACGAAGAAGGCAGCUAAGGCUACAGCCCUUGCAAAGGCUGCCCCUUCGUUAUCUCAAGAUAAGUGUGGGGCGACGCACCGUCUUGAACGCACGAAGAGGGGACGCCGCCCUAGUUUGAAGCAUGCUCGCACACUGAAAAGAGCUCAUACUGACGAAGCUAUACCUGAGGUUGGUGGUGAUGAAGAAACUAGGCAUUCCAGUCCCCAUCCUGGCGAUGAUGUUAUGCUCGCCUAGCCCCUUCAUCAAGUUCGUCCUCCUACUCCGCCAGUUGAUGCUAGAGCAUCCUCUCCUACAGAGUCUCUCCUCAUUCCGAUGAACCCCAUCUAGCCAAAGAGCGAUGAGGAAGAAGAAGUGAAAAUUUACUCAUCUACAGCUGAACAAGUUCCCUCUAAGUCUGUUGAUCUUAGCCCUCGUGCAACAGAGAAGGAAGCUACCACUUCUUCGGAGUCAUCUACUUCAUCAUCUUCUUUUGGAACUGAAGAAGGCUGCCCUUCAUAUCAAUGCUCAAAAUGAUGCUAAACUUAUCGGGGGCCAGACCAUUGACUUUUUGUCCCUUCGAAGUAGCGGACAUGAGAGGAAAUUUCUCUCCGAAGCCGAUGAUAGUUUCUGCUUUCCUCACGAAGAAGACAAGUUUCGCAAUCUUGAUUUGGGGACGAUGGUGGAGGCUUGUGGGAUCUCGCUCUUAAGAGUUUUGUUGCCGCUCAAUGUAUUUCUCAAAAAAUUGCUAAAGAAAUGGAAGAUGCAACCUUGUCUGUUGAGGUUGCUACGCUCCAAGUUCGCAUUGCUGAAUAGGAAUCCUAGCUGGCUUUGGAGAGAACCCUCAAUGAGCAGCUUUCAUCUGACAGAUUUAAAGCCGACGAAUAAGUUGCCAAAGCUCAAGAUGGGAUCAAGACUCUGGGUGAGGAGCUUAGUCGCGCCCUCUCAUCUUGUGAUGCCAUGAUGAAGAACAUCGAGGUGCUGAUGAAGGAUUUAACGGAAAGAACUAGGACCUUGAGAAAUUGCAAAAAGAUUUGUCUAAGUACCGCACUUAUCAUGUCAGGGGCGCCGAGGGUUUGCACAACAACAUAAUUUGAGCCCUCGAAUUCAUUAAUCUUACUCCCCCCUCAUUCAACGUUGGAUCUUUGUCCGUUCUUCAAUUUUAUGAUUGGGUUAGUGUUUGUGCUGAACUACUAUGCAUGAGCGGGAAGUUGCAUGGUGAACUCAGCAUUGCCGUUAGUGUCUGAGCCCUUGCUCAUUCUGUGUGUUCCUUAUUCCCCUCGGAUGCUCCUUCAUCAGAGAAAUCACAAAGUAAGAACUAUGUCCAUGUUCUUGGCAAGUCUUCCCACGUGUGACCUUCGGACAUAGAGAUUUCAGCUGAGCACAUGCCUACUCUUCCAAAGAAUAUUGCGAAGAACUUUAUGUUGAAUUUUUUCAAGAUGAGGGGUGGCCAGCUUGCUCGUGAUGAGUUUGAGCGUCUAUCGGACCAUGUUUUCUUCAUUUCAUGUAUCUAUUUUAUUUUUCUUGAUUGUUUUUGUACUCUUGUGUUCCUUUGCUUUUUGUUUUUUUAGUUGCGGUCUCACCUUCAGGCAGAUCUUUCUGCCCACCUUCUCGAGAAAUGUUCUGCACAUGUCGGUGCCUCAUCCUUCGAAGGGCUUGAAGAUAAUUGGAUCCAAAUGCUUCAUGAACCUGAAAGCGUGAUGACGUUACCCAAGCCCCCGUCUACUGAUGUGACAACAGGUACUAGUCCUUCGUCACAUGACAUACAAGAAGUUCUCGAGGUCACUAAAGCUUCGUCGUCUGAUGCUAUAGAUGGUAACAUGACUCCCUCGUCUCCACCCACAAUGCUACUUUCCCCUGUUGAUGAAGCUCCAAAGCCUGCUGAUAUUGAUUCCUCGUCCGCAGCUGCAACCGCCAAUACUUCGGGUGGUGCUCCUGCUGUUGUUGAGCCUCAUCCGGAGGUUUGAUGCCGUUUGAGAGCUAAGAGUGCCUUUUUAACAACUUGUGAUGUAACUAACUUAAUUUGGUUCCUACGCACGUCCCUUUGUUAGCUCCUACACAGGUUACCGAAGGUGUGGUUCCCGUCAUGCUACAUUAUGAUAACUACUUCAUGUCCUCUGGCAUUUGGGAAAAAUUCCACGCUCGCCAUCUCGGUGUUUCCUUUAACGAUUUUUGGUCUUUCAAGAUUUGCAAAUACGAGGAACAUAACUCUGAGGUGAAAUAUUUUUUCUCUAAAUUUUCUAGUGACCCCGUUAAGCGCUCUAACUGUUGGAGGUAUGCCCUAGAGACAAUCAUAGAGAUGAUGAUAUUUUUUUGUAUCCAUGUUUUAUAUUGUGUUCCUUGAAUAUCCAUUAAAGGCUACUUGAAUUGAUUUGCAAUUAUGUGAAUCGUAUGUGAAACUCUUUACUUGUAUGGUUAUUCUAAAAGUUAUCCCUAGUCGGAGUUCAUGUGAGGACACACAUGAAUAUUAUACUAGUACAUGUAUUAGUUGAUGACUAUGUUUCACAAGUCAUGGACAUGGAGAUGUCAAACUAAUAAUGUAGGCAUAUGUGCGGAGACAUGUGCUAGGACUGACCCAACGCGAGUUACGUAGUUCUCUCUUUACACAAUGUGUAUGCUUUGUUCUUAGACCUGAGACUGUCGCAUGUACUCAAGAUGUGGAUCGACUUACUUAGGGGCUAUCAAACACUACACCGUAACUGGGUAGUCAUAAAGGUAGCUUUCAGGUUUGUCAAGAAGCAUGCUGUGAGGCAUGGUCAGUCAAGAUGGAAUUUGCCCCUCUCUAUUUGAGAGAGAUAUCUCUGGGCCCCUCGAGUGAUCGAAUCUGGAAAUGUAUGGCUAUGCUACGUGAGGUUAAGAGUUAACUGAGAAAGGGAUUCCGAAUGACAGCAUCAAGAAAGAGUGGUCGGCUUGGAGCUAGACCAAAUAUCGUGAGGCAAAGGGAAUAGCAUGUAUGUGAUGUUGUGAUGGUUCGUAUGAUAUGAUCUUCGUGUGCGUAUAGGAGUUAGCACGUGUUGCUAGAGGCCGCUACUAACUAUUGGCCAUGUAAGAGUACUCGGGCCAUGUCUAUACGCAUAUGAACCUAUAGGGUCACACACUUAAAGGGCUGGAAGCCCAAUUCGGAUAUGAUCUGAAUUGGACUAGGUUUUGGAGUACUGAUGGGCCUUGGACCUAGAGGCCUGUCAGGAACCCCUAUAAAUAGAGGUGUGGGGGCGCCCUAGGGUUUAUCCCUUUUGGCCGAACCACAGCUGUCGUGCCUCCCACGCCCUCACCUCGUUGCAACUCACGGACCUAGCAGUCUAGCUUGCGACACUUCCUCCCUACAUGUGUGGAUACCUUGGAGGUGUUGCACCUGCAGAACUUGGACGAGCCGCCGACGAGCCAUGAUGAGCUGACGACGAGCCAUGACGAGCCGACGACGAGCCGCGGCACGAGGAGGACCUCACUGUACGUGGACGAGCUGUUGAGGAGCUGCUCGACGUUGAUGUGUUUGACUAGGCUAAUCGACUUCGCUACCCUGACGCGAUUCUACAACUUCUGCACCUGUGCGUCGAGUGGUAAUCCCGUGAUCCAUAUACGACAAUUUUCCUAGUUUAUGCAGUACAAAAUUUUUGUUUUGCGCUAGCGUAACCUAUCUCGUAUCCCAACAAUGGUAUCAGAGCUGUAGCUGUAUAGUUAUGGAUUCGGGAUGUGUGCAUAUGGAGAUAUGCGGUUUUUCAGUUUGAUGUAUGACUUGGUUUUCUGUUCUUGCUGUAAUGGUCGUGUAACGACAUACUCCUAACGGUCGGAUUUCCUCCAUCGGAUUUAAGUAAUACACGUAAUGCCAGUUGAAGCGAGCGAAGAUCAAUGUGAUUGGUUGAAUCAAAAUCUAGGUUCAUACGCUAGGCGCAUAUGAUGCGCAAUAGUAGAUUGGAUCUACUACCAGGUCGGAAUUUUUGCCGUAUGCGUGUGCUUCGGUAAAACAGCCGUAACUUUUCGGUACGAUCUCGGAUCGAGGUGAAUUUUAUAUGAAAAUUGAUCUACCGAAAAAGUUACAUGUAAUUGCGACAGAAUUUGAUGGUUUUGGAGAAAUUAGAUUUCCCAAAUUUGACUUGGAAGAUGGAGUUUGGGGUCGUUUAAGUUUGGAACGUUAGAAUGCCUAACUCUAUUUUGCAGGAUUUUUUGAUCGGUAUGGCCCCUGUAUGUGAUGCAAGUGUGUAACUAAUUCGUGGCCUACGUGUCACGCAUACCGCAAUAUGGAUGGAGCCAUAUGUAUUGUCACCUAAAUGUAUUCAAUGGCCUGCGUGCCAAUCUGUGAUGAUCCGAGCAACUAUGUAAUCUUCUUUACUGGCUAUUAGAUGUAAUAGCGUGUACUAGUUCUUUGUGGACUCAUCACUAGAAGGAUGGCACACAUGGAUCAUAGAGAUGGAGAUCAUCAUGGUGAACGGGUUCUAUAGGGAUGGAGAUCGCAAAUAGAAAUCAGGCCAUACUGUGUCACAACUAUGUGCAUGCUAUUCUGUUUUGUUUUACUCUUACAUGCUGUGAUGUUAGAAGUAGAACGAUCCCUCGCAAAUUUUAAGUUAGUAUGCCCUCCCAACUAAAACUUGCACCAUCCCAUGUCUUGUACAAUUAGUGGUGGGUCUAUGAAAUUAGGGUGCCACUAGUUUUCCUUGAUUAGACGGGUUUGUAUCAGAUAUUUACACGCAUAAGGGUUGAUUUGCUUAACAAGGUCAUCAUAACGGUUUAGGACCUUGGGGCAGCAAGGUUGGGCGCCAAGACAUGGAGAUGUCACCCAACAACAAGAGUCAUAUGUGAUAUGAUUAGCGAGAAGUUUGCUUACCGAUCUACCAUGCCUGCUAGCGGUGAUGCUAAAGCUCACUAGUAGACUUGUUAGCUGUGGAUCCUGAAUCACUAAGUAUCAAUAGAGGGAUAUUAGUUUUAGUGGGAGUAGAUUCUGUUAAAUAGUUUAAUGUGAUUUGCCUAUCAUGGUUACGUUUGUCUUAGUAUUUUGCAUUAUUAUUUUGUUGUAGAUGGCAUCUAGCAACACCACAUCGUUUGCUUUGCGUUCGGUCCUUGAGAAGGACAAGUUGAAUGGAACAAACUACUUGGAUUGGAUCCGUAACUUGAGAGUUGUUCUUAGGGCUGAGAAAAAGGAAGAUGUUCUAGACAACCCAUUACCAAAAGAACCUGCUGAUGAUGCACCUGCUGCUGUUAAGAAUGCUUGCAAGAAAGCAUGUGAUGCUAACCUCGAAAUAAGCUGCCUUAUCCUUGCUUGUAUGGAACCCGAGCUGCAGAUGCAGUUUGAAACAAACCAUGAGGCGCACGAUAUCAUCGUGACACUUAGAGACAUGUUCCAGACACAGGCCAGGAUUGAAAGGUUCAAUGUGUCUAAGGCCUUUGUGGAGAGCAAGCUAGUAGAAGGCACAGCAGUAGGACCACACAUAAUCAAGAUGGUUGGUUACAGUCAACGGUUGGAGAAACUGGGCUUCCCACUAGGCCAAGAAUUGGCCACUGAUUUCAUUCUUUGAUCUCUUUCAUCUAGCUGUGGGAACUUCAUAUCAAACUACCAUAUGCAUGGGACGAAGAAGAGUUUGAAUGAACUGUGUGGCAUGCUUAAAACAGUAGAGGCUGACAUUAAGACAAGUGCUAGUAGCAGCCAUGUGAUGGCUAUACAAAACAAGCCUAGCUUUAAGAAGAAGGGCAAUUCUUGGAAGAUGAAGGGCAAGGCUGCCAAGCCAAACUCAGUGCCCAAGGUUAAAGCUGGACCUGGACAUGCUCCAGACAAAGAGUGCUUUUAUUGUCAUGAACUUGGUCACUGGAAGAGAAAUUGCAAGCAAUACCUAGCUUCGUUGAAGAAUGGCGGAAGUAAGAGUCCUUCCACCACAGGUACGCUUGUUGUUAAUGUUAUAGACAACAUAUUUCUCACUAAUACAAUUACUAAUUCUUGGGUAUUUGAUACCAGAUCGGUUGCUCAUAUUUGCAAUUCGAUGUAGGGACUUAUAGGAAGUAGAAGCGUGGAAAGAGCAGAAGUUGAUUUCCGCAUGGGCAAUAAUACAAGAGUUGCUAUGUUGACCAUCGGGACGAUGCAACGCCACCUCCUAUCAGGAUUUAUUAUGGAGUUGAAUAAUUGUUAUUUUGUUCCUAGUUUAAGUCGAAACAUUUUGUCUCAUUCAUCCUUGAUGAAGGAUGGUUAUUCUUUUGCGAGUGAAAACAAUGAUUGUGUGAUCUCUAAGAAUGAUAUGUUUAUGGUUUUUUCACCCAUUAUGAAUGGGUUAUUUGUUUCAAAUCUUGAUGAUUCACCUGUCUGUAACAUAAGUGCUAAAAGGCCUCGGCCUAAUGAUUUGAGUCUUACCUACAUGUGGCAUCGUCGUUUGGGUCAAAUAAGUAAAAAACGCAUGAAGAAGCUCCAUUCUGAUGGUCUUUUAACUUUGUUUGUUUUUGAAUCAUACGAGACAUGUGAGGCUUGCUUGCUAGGCAAGAUGAACAAGACGCCUUUCACAGGUUUUCCUAAGAGAGCAUUAGACAUGUUGGAACUCGUACAUACCGAUGUAUGCGGACCAAUGAGCACGACAGCUAGAGGAGGAUUCCAAUACUUCAUAACUGUCAUUGAUGAAUUUAGUAGAUAUGGCUAUGUCUACUUGAUGAGGCACAAGUCUGAAACCUUUCAAAAGUUCAAGCCAUUUCAGAAUGAAGUUGAAAAUCAGCGUGGCAAGAAAAUUAAGGCCUUACGAUCUGAUCGCGGAGGCGAGUAUUUGAGCAACGAGUUUAGCAAUCAUCUAAAGAGUUGCGAAAUUGUUCCACAACUUACGUCGCCUAGAACAGCUUAGAGAAAUAGUGUAUCCGAGUGAUGCAAUCGAACUUUGUUGGACAUGGUUCGAUCAAUGAUGAGCCAGUCGGACCUACCGUUAUCAUUUUGGGGAUACACUCUAGAAACAGCAGCUUUCACACUUAAUAGGGUACCAUCUAAAUCCAUAGUUAAGACAUCAUAUGAGAUGUGGACUGGAAAGACUCCCAGUUUGUCUUUUCUAAAGAUUUGGGGAUGUGAAGUAUUUAUCAAGGGACUUCCGUUGGACAAGAUUACACUCAAGUCGGAUAAGUGCAUUUUCGUGAGAUAUCCAAAGGAAACUUUAGGAUACUAUUUCUACAACCGAUCAAAGGACAAAGUGUUUAUUGCUCGGAACGGUGUUUUCCUAGAGAAAGAGUUUCUCAAAGGGGAGAAGAGUGGAAAGACAGUGCAUCUUGAAGAAGUUCGAGAUGAGCCAAUCGGGUAAGAAUCAACAAGUGAUGCUAACGUAGCAGAACAAGUUGAGAUACCCAUAGAAAGAGAAGCACCGCCACAACCACGAAGGUUGGCAAGGCUCCACGAAAGGCAGGAAAUAUUAUUGUUGGACAAUGAUGAGCCUGCGAUAUAUGCAGAAGCAAUGAUGGACCAAGACUCCGAAAAAUGGCAGAGUGCCAUGCAAUCCAAAAUAGAGUCCAUGGGAGACAAUCAAGUUUGAAACUUGGUUGACCCACCUGAUGGUGUUAAAGCCAUAGAGUGCAAGUGGAUCUAUAAAAAGAAGAGAGAUAUGGUUGGAAAUAUUCACAUCUAUAAAGCAUGAGUUGUUGCAAAAGGUUUUGGACAAGUUCAAGGGGUUGACUAUGAUGAGACCUUCUGGCCCGUAGUGAUGCUUAAUCUAUUCGGAUUAUUCUGACUAUAGUUGCAUAUUUCGAUUAUGAGAUAUGGCAGAUGGAUGUCAAGAUAGCUUUCCUAAAUGGAAAUCUAACUGAGGAUGUGUAUAUGAUGCAGCACGAAGGUUUUGUCGAUCCAAACAAUGUCGGAAAUGUAUGCAAACUUCAAAAAUCCAUUUACGGGUUGAAGCAAGCAUCUAGGAGUUGGAACAUUCGUUUUUAUGAAGUGGUCAAAGGGUUUGGCUUCAUUAAGAACGAAGAAGAGUCUUGUGUUUACAAGAAUGUUAGUGGGAGCUCUGUAGUAUUUCUAAUCUUAUAUGUGGAUGACAUAUUACUAAUUGGAAUCAACAUUCCUAUGCUUAAGUCCGUAAAGACUUCACUGCAAAAUAGUUUUUUGAUGAAGGACUUAGGGGAAGCAGCAUAUAUUCUGGGCCUCAAAAUCUAUAGAGAUAGAUCGAGAAGACUUAUAGGAUUAAGCCAACAUAGUUACAUUGACAAAGUGUUGAAACGGUUCAACAUGGAAGAGGCGAAGAAAAGGUUCUUGCCUAUGUCACAUGGAAUACACCUUAACAAGACUCAGUGUCCUUCGAUUACUGAUGAGUGGGAUCGCACGAGUAGAGUGUCAUAUGCUUCGGCUAUCGGAUCUAUCAUGUAUGCAAUGAUAAGUACUCGCCCAGAUAUUUUAUAUGCGCUAAGUAUGACAAGCAGACCCCAGUCUGAUCCAGGUGAGAGUCACUGGACGGUGGUGAAAAACAUUCUUAUGUACUUUAGAAGGACUAAAGAUAUGUUCCUUGUCUAUGGAGGUAAGGAGGAGCUCAUUGUAACAGGUUACACCAAUGCUAGUUUCCAAACAGACAGAGACGAUUCAAAAUCAUAAUCAGGAUAUGUGUUUACGCUAAACGGUGGUGCUGUUAGCUGGAAAAGUUCCAAGCAGGAGACGGUGGCUGAUUUUAUGACAGAAGUCGAGUACAUCGUGGCUUCAGAAGCCGCGAAGGAGAGUGUUUGGAUAAGGAAUUUCCUUAUUAAACUUGGUGUGUUCCCGAAUGCGUCUAGUCCAUUGAAUCUCUAUUGUGAUAACAAUGGGGCUAUUGCGCAAGCAAAGGAGCCAAGGAAUCACCAGAAGAACAAACACGUAAUGCGGCGAUUUCAUCUCAUUCGAGACUUUGUUAAUCGGGGUGAGAUCAUGAUAUGCAAAAUAUAGACGGAUUUGAAUAUUUCUGAUCCGUUAACAAAGCCUCUCCCGCAGUCUUAGAUUGAUGCACACAUAAGAGCUAUGGGUAUUAGAUAUCUUCUAGAUUGACUCUAGUGCAAGUGGGAGACUGUUGGAUGUAUGCCCUAGAGGCAAUCAUAGAGAUGAUGAUAUUUCUUUGUAUCCAAGUUUUAUAUUGUGUUCCUUGAAUAUCCAUUAAAGGCUACUUGAAUUGAUUUGCAAUUAUGUGAAUUGUAUGUGAAACUCUUUACUUGUAUAGUUAUUCUAAAAGUUGUCCCUAGUCGAAGUUUAUCAACUAUGUUUCACAAGUCAUGGACAUGGAGAUGUCAAACUAAUAAUGUAGGCAUAUGUGUGGAGACAUGUGCUAGGACUGACCCAACACGAGUUACGUAGUUCUCUCUUUACACAAUGUGUAUACUUUGUCCUUAGACCUGAGACUAUCCCAUGUACUCAAGAUGUGGAUCGACUUACUUAGGAGCUAUCAAACACUACACCAUAACUGGGUAGUCAUAAAGGUAGCUUACAGGUUUAUCAACAAGCAUGCUAUGAGGCAUGGUUAGUCAAGAUGGAAUUUGCCCCUCUCUAUUUGAGAGAGAUAUCUCUGGGGCCCUCGAGUGAUCGAAUCCGAAAAUGCAUGGCCAUGCUACGUGAGGUUAAGAGUUAACCGAGAAAGGGAUUCCGAAUCACAGCAUCGAGAAAGAAUGGUCGGCUUGAAGCUAGACCAAAUAUCGUGAGGCAAAGGGAAUAGCAUGUACGUGAUGUUGUGAUGGUUUGUCUGAUAUGAUCUUCGUGUGCGUAUAGGAGUUAGCACGUCUUGCUAGAGGCCGCUACAAACUAUUGGCCGAGUAAGAGUACCCAGGCCAUGUCUAUACACAUAUGAACCUAUAGGGUCACACACUUAAAGAGCUGGAAGCCCAAUUCGGAUAUGAUUUGAAUUCGACUAGGUUUAGGAGUACUAAUGGGCCUUGGACCUAGAGGCCUGUUAGGAACCCCUAUAAAUAGAGGGGUGGGGGCGCCCUAGGGUUUAUCCCUUUUGGCAAAACCACAGCUGCCGCGCCUCCCACACCCUCAUCUCAUUGCAACUUGCAGACCUAGUGGUCUGGCUUGCGACACUUCCUCCCUUCAUGUGUGGAUACCUUGGAGGUGUUGCACCUGCAGCACUUUGACGAGCCACGAUGAGCCGACGACGAGCCGCGGCACGAGGAGGACCUCGCUGUAUGUGAACGAGCUGCUGAAGAGCUGCUCGAUGUCGAUGUGUUCGACUAUGCUGAUCGACUUCGCUGCCCUGAUGUGAUUCUACAACUUCCGCACCUAUGCAUCGAGUCGUAAUCCCGUGAUCCAUAUACAGCAGUUUUUCUAGUUUACGCGGUAGAAAAUUUUUAUUUGGCGCUAGCGUAGCCUGCCUCGUAUCCCAACACUAACACCCUUCGUUUUCAUUCUGCGACUCGUGGCAUGCGGCACAUAGAAAGGAUAGCCUCGGAUCCCUUUAGCACUGUUAAUGUUGAUCUGCUGGAUCCGAAACCUGAACCCUUGGACGAGGGGGUCAUAGGCCACCUAGAGUAUAUUUAUAAAAAGCUCUGUCUCCCAACGAUGUAGACAACAUACAAGUGGAGAAUUCAGCAAAUGCUUCAUUCGAAUAGAACUCUGACGCUCCUUUUUUCCCCUUCGGGUGCAGGGCACAUGCCUUCCGAUGAAGAGUUACGAGCUAUGGCUGAAGGUAUUGUUGAUAUUGCUGUGCUUCAUGUGUUGGCCGAGACCUGUGAACUUGUAAUGAAUAAGGAUUGAGGUGAUGUAAUAAAAAUGAUGUAUCUAUUUGUGAGUGAUGUCGUUUGUCCAUGCUGUACAUACAUUGCCGAUCUAUCUACAAAGUAUUACCGAACCAAAGAUAUUUUGAUCAUUUAUAGAAUUAUACAUGAAACAUAACAAAUAUGAUACAAAUACCAUUAAACUCAAAUGUUGCUGAAAGUUUAGAUAGAAAUACACAAAUUUAAAUUUCAGACCCAAACAACAUGAUACACUACGACAAACUCAAAUGUUGCUGAACGUUUAAAUAGAAAUACACAAAUUUAAAUUUCAGACCUAAACAACAUGAUACACUACAACGAACCAUCCACUGAGUACUAUCUAGGAGGACUUUAAGUAUCCUUUGGCAGCAAAGAUGAAGGUUUGACCCAACCUCAUCAUGUGAUUUAUUUGUGCCUCCUGCGACGGUAGUACUCAGUGGACCUAAAACCCCCGGGACCUGCCGCAAUAGCAUCUUCAUGAUAUCUCUGCAAAUAACGAAGCAUUGCUCUCUCCCACAUGCUCAUUUUCUUCGGCUUAUCAUAAGGACCAACUAUGGUUUUCCCCUUGCCGUGAGAGAAACGACGAUCGCCCCCACCAUUGCCACUACCUCCAAUAGCAGUAGCCAUCUUUAUGUACCAUAAUUUAUUUAGAUCAUAUUUACAAAUGACUAAACUAUGAACAAACUAUAUUUUUCCCCACAAUUUAUUUAGCUCAAAUAUAACAUAUAAAUGAAAAUUUUCUCCAUUGUAGCUUAUUCUAGAAAUGACUAAUUAUAUACCUCUAUUUCAUCUUAUUAUGUUUAUGAACCAUAAUUUAUCUUAUGACUAAAAUAUGAACAAAUUAUAUUUUUUCCCAUAAUUUAUUUAACUCAUAUUUGUAAAGGACUAAACUAUGAAUUAUCCUCUAACCUCAUAUCAAUUUCUUUGACUAAUACGAAACAUAGCAUCCAAAAAAUUGUAGCUUAUUAUAAAAAUCACAAAUAUGAGCUCCAAAUAACACAUGCGUAUAAAUAAAAAAUUUCUCCAUUGUACCUUAUUCUAAAAAACACAAAUUACUCUAACUUUAAAGCAUGUACUCAGGGAGGAUGAAGUUUCUAACCUUUAAAACACUUGAAUGAGUGAAAAUCCCCAUGAAAUGGUCAAAAAUCCAGCAGCACCUCCCCUAUUUCACCAUGAUUGGAUGAAGGCCGAGCUGGAGGAAAUAGCUCGUGCAGGAAGAAGAAGACACUUGAUUUAUAGGAGGGAAGUUAGUACCCGGUUGGGGGCUCCAACCGAUACUAAUGGGUGACCUUUAGUAUCGGUUGGAUGGCCCAACCACUACUAAAGGAGAUCAUGAGGGCCUAACGGGGAACUAGCCGUUAGACUUGGUACUAAUGCUCAUAUUAGUACCGGGUCAAAAAUCAACCGGUACUAAGGGUUAGGAUCAAAGCUCAGUUUUCCAGUAGUGGUUUGACCAUUCGUCUUAUUCGAAGAAUAAUGUAAGUAUCAUUUGUUUGGUUUGUAUAAUUUACUUUGCCAUCAAAGGAAUUUAAUCUUGACUUAUCUUUUUCAUGUAUUUGCAAUAAAUUUUUGAAUAAAUGAUUGGUCAAACGUGGCAAGGAAAUGCCAAUCUUACUAUAAAAUAAUGAUGAAUAUAAUCGCUGAUGUUCGAAUCUUCUAAGAACAUGAAAAUAUAAUAGACAUUUCUACCUACAAAUAAAAAGCACAGUAUUUUAUUCACGCAUUACGACUGUAAUGUUUAUAUUUCGAUUGAUUAUUUGCAUGCUUACAUCAUGCUGCAAUCAUGCACAAAAACAUGUAAUAAAAUCGAAGUACUAGAGUGAUGGUUACGUUUACUCACUUCACGCCCGUUACGUCGUCACACACAAGCGAACUCACAAACACGAGAGAGUUGGUCAACAUGCUAUCUCCCUGCAACGACAAAUAUCUCGUUCGUAUACAUGAUGCAUUGGCGCGCUGAUCAGCAAGCUCCAGCCCGGAACCCAAUGGUGCCCCGGCCGACGUCGUGCAGCACCUCGAACGUCCGCUGCUGCACGUUGCCGAUGAUGCUGGGGACGGAGCUGGCUCCGCCGUCGUCGCUGGGGGCGAACGCGAGGCAGUCGAAGAUCAUGAUCCCGUGAACGUCGAGGUCGACGACGGCGCCGCCGUCGAACACGAGCUCGACGGCCGGCACGGUGACCCUGGUCAGGUUGCCGAAGUCGUAGCACGUGUCGAGGAUCUCCAGCGGCUUCGCCCGCGGGUACUGGAGCAUCCCGGCCCUGAACGCCGACCGCAUCGCCGAGUACGCCCUCGGCGGCAGCCUCGUGAUGAUCGUGCCGGAGUCCAUCACCGACCCGGCGGAGAACACCGUCGGCGCCACGUUGACCCGCGUCCCUCCGACCCUGAUCUCCUCAAGGAACACGAUGUAGAACGUCGGGACCUCCCUGCUCCGGAACAUCCUCGUCGUCGUGAAGUUGCCGCCGCCGCCGCUCGGCGCGCCGAGCGUGAGGAAUCCGGAGGAGGCCUGCGGGGUCGGGAGGCAGUACGAGAAGGCCGGGCCGAAUGUCGCCGCCGUCUGCGCCACGAGCGACUGCGCGCCGCCGCCGAGGCCCAUGAGCCCGGCGGUCUUCUCGACCUCGAAGCCCGAUCCGGCGCGGCUGCAGCCGAACUGGAAGCCCGGGACAACGUUGGGUCCCAGCGUGAGCGUGUCGGAGCUGUAGGUUCCGGUCGUGUUGGAACCGUCGAGGUACCUGACGAUGUACUGGCACUGGGAGCCCGAGCAGCCGGCGGCGCCGCCGUCGACGCCGAGCUGCGCGCAGGCGGCCGAGCCGCAUGAGAAGGGGGAGUACGUGGUCGACUCGCUGGGGUCGAAGACCGGGUCCACCUGGGCGUGGCACGGUGAGCACGGCUUGCAGUGCACCCAUGAGAUGUCGCUGCCCGUGUCGAUCAUGACGGUCUGCGUCACCGCCGGCGUGCCGAUGCUGACGUUGAUCACGUACUGCAGCGUGUCCAGGGCGGCUCCCAGGGUGGUCGGCAGGGUGGCUUCCAAUUUCUGGGCGUCGCCGGUGGCGUUCGCGGCGGCGGAGAGCAACCGCUGGAUGUUGCUAGCCCGGAGCUGGUCGCUGAGGAGGAUCUUCUCUACGUUUAGCGUCUGAUUCGUGGGCGUAAGCGAGCAUGGGCCGUGCCGAUGGUGCAGCGUUACCGUGGCGCCGGCAGAACUCGACGGAGCGGCUGAAGCAAUUGUAGCAGGGAAACAGUUACGAUUAAACGGCAAACAACGGUGGAAUUUCAAUUCUUUAAGCGUGUGUGCAGUGUAUGCUUCGACAAUAUAUAUACUGAACCUUUCGGCUCGGAACAGACGGCUUCAGUCUUGAUAGAACCAGUGAUGUAGCUUGGACUGUCUCCUGCAUGAGCAACAAGGGAACAGUAACUGUAAAACAGGAGAAGCAGAAGCUUGGAAACAGUAGCCAUGGCUAUCCCUUGCUUCUAGCUAGGGCAAUGUCGCAGCACCAAGAAGCUGAUAUGUUGUUGAUCUGCAUCCAUGGAGUGGCUUUUGGUUGCUUAUAUAGAGUAGAGCUCCGGGGCACAAGCGCGCAACUCCACGUCCAUGGUCUUAUCCAUCUCAUCGUUGCCUGGCUCCUUUGUCAGCACAUAAAUUAAUGGGGAAUAUUGAAUUGCUCGCUGAUAAGUACUAGAGUUGAACAUCCUAUUACAUGUCUUUCUUUAUCAGGUUAGGCAGUAAAUGGAUUGCAGAGAUUCGAGUCACGAAAUUUCUAACAAAUACUUCUUCAAUCAACCUCUUCAGCGUUUCCAUAAAGAAGAACUCGAUUACACCGUAUGAUCCAGUCAAAGUCUGGAAUUUCACGGCAAGUACAGCAAUCUAAAUCCGUACUUGCCCAGUUACAAAGAUCCGUAAGUCAUUGUCACCUAAGUCUUGCAAAGCCUAUAGCAUCAAGCGAUUUGGACACUUGGGCACAAAGUCAAAUUUCCUUCUUGUGCGAGAAAGCAAAAAGUCAAAUUGUGUUGUAUCCUUAUGUGUCGAAAACCAUGAAUCGUUAUGCUACCUUAAUUAUCGUCUCUAUUGGCAAAAAAUAACUGGAUGCACGAACUGCCAGCCCUCUGCACUGGCAGAUGAAGCCGUCCACUACAAAAUCAUUUAGUUUGUUUACACCGCUGAAUAGUUCAUUUUGAACUUUAAAUUGGUAAUCUUUAUUGUUAAUUCUCUGUAUAUACAUGCAGUAUAUAUGACCUAACCUGCUUACCUGGAAAUAUUACUACCAAAAACACGGUCACCUCUAUACAAUAUUUGUGGCGAGAAAGGUAACAAAAUAUUAUGUUACAUCAGCUUAGAAGUUUCCUUUCAAAUACCUUGAUCAUAUCUAACAUUCUCGGAGUUGAUGCAUUCAUCAAGAAAGGAUGAGUUUUUAACGCUCUGUUUUUUUUAGUUAUUGUAACCUGUAACUGAAAGCUCUUUUUAACUACUCCCUCUUUCUUCUCAAGAGGGUUAUAGUUCUGAGAAAUCUAAAUUUAAAAAAGAGUUUUACUCGGUGGCGGCCCGCGAGUGCGGGGUGUAUGAUGACGACAUGCAUGCGGUACAGGGUGAGUGUGGGAGGGGCGGAGUGGGGAUGUGGCAUGGAAGUGGGGGUGAUUGCGCAUGCAUGACGUGCGGGUGCGGGUGCCAGCAUCUGGGGUGCUGACAAGGGGGUGGGGUGCACUAGAUGUUUCGUGCAGGGCCAAGUACAUGUGUUGGUGGCACGAUGGCCAUGGUCAUGGCAUCGCGGUCCGACGUGUGCAUGCUGUGAACGCAGCAAGCGCAUUGCUUGGUUGGCUGGCAGGGAACUGUGGCGGUUUGCCUGCUAGAAUUGUGCUUGAGUGCAGACUGGGGGAGUUGUAUGGGCAGUGGGUUGCUCCCGGGAUAAGACGGGUGAUUGUAGCAUGCUUGUGUGCGGGAGGACAACACAGGGAGAUGGUUUUGAGGAAGCAGAUACUAUGGAGAGUUGGGCUAGUGGUGGGGUGGGUCGGAGUGGGAUGUGCUGGAUAGGCCGAGCUGGCGGAGUGGAUCCGAUUGGAGUAGGAUGUGUCCCAAACGAGUCGGUCAGCCGGAGUGUGGAGGAGAUGGACUGGUCUAGGGAGGUUGCUAGCCCAUGAUGUUGGAAGAGAAGGGGAGAGAGGAAAAGGGCUUGGGCUGAAAGGAGAAAAGGACUUGGGCUGAAAGGAGAAAAGGACGGGAGAGAAAUGGCCGGCUAGAUUGAAAGAAGAGGGAAUUUAAAGAAGAGGGAGUUUCAAUAAGAAAACUAAGUAUUAGAGUUUUGUUUAAGAAGGUAUUUAAGAGUUUUAUGUUUGGUAGGCUGAAUACUUCUAGCUUUUGGUAGGAAGCAACAAAAUACAUCAUAUAUGAGUCAUAUUUUAAGCAAAACUAGUUUAUAAAAUAACUUUAAAUAUUUGUUAGUUAAUAAAAUAAAAAGUAUAUACCGUAGUUGUUGGGAAAUUUAAAAAAGGCAGUGGAAAGGGAUCAAGAGCAGAAAGGGAGCGCAUGGGUAGAGAAGAGAUGAAUGGAGGCCCAAAAAAGAGCGAGAUCGCUGUGAAGUCAACGUCAACACGGACUGGCAUGAAGCAUGAAGUCGGAAGACCAGCCGAUAUAAUGCGCGGUUUCUCAUCCAUAAGGUGCUGUUUGGUUCGUGUUAUUGUAACGUAGUCUAAUUUCAGCCGUAUGUGUUUACGUUAGAUAUGGUUUGGUACCGGCCGUCUAUAAUCAGAUACGGGGCGUACGAUUUUGUUACCGCUCCUCCGGCUCCAUAAUCGGAUCGCGCUGCUGCGUCUUAUCGAGCAGGAACUGGGAAGGUGAUGUGCGAUUCCCAUGUGACGCGUGCCGUGGGCACUGGCCUCAUUCUUUCAGUGUCGGCGGCAAGAACUCACCGUGUUGUGGACUGCCGGGCAGUGUCCUGAGCGCUAUUCGAUUUCGUUACCGACAUGAACCAAACAAAGUAUGUUUUCGCUUACACUGUAUCAAAUCACGGUGUCAUCUGAUUCCAUUAACGUUAUCAAGAUACUAUGAUAGCAUCAUUGUUCUGAGAAAAAAAUAAAUGUUCAGAAUAAAGGUCAGACCAACUACUCCCACGAAUAAUGAUUGUUAUUCUUUGAGCAAAAGCAAACGUUCUGAAUCAUGUAUGAUUAAUUGCAUAUUAUUCAGAAUUUUUAUAGAGCAUUUACCAAGAGAUAAUUUGAGAUGUUCUAGAAAUAUCUUUAAUGUCAUGGUCGAACAACUAUGAAUGUUUCUGAAAAAUAAAAAAUUAAAAAAGAAAAAGAAAAAGAAAAGUCCCUCGUUGUGGAAGAGCUCUACCAGCCUGGCAAGCGGGCGUCAGCACGCGGAGGGGAAUGGGUCAUGGUCGAUGAUUCCGGCGCACACAAAUCUGCUGACACAGGCCAAAAUUUGGAUGGCGUAAUAUCGAAAAGAGCAAUCCAAAAUAUUCACACGGGCUGGAAGGAAUCUGCUGCGCAGAGGCCCAACCCAAGAAAGGUCGACCUUAACAUCCUUCCAACCAUCACCAAGAGAACGAAUUCAUGCAUUUAAAUGCAUGCAUAGACUGCUUCCAUACAAUUCCGAUCCCUUCGAUCUACUAUUGAAUCAGUACUCGCAACAUGUACAACUUGACAUGACGAUCCCAUCUUCUGGGACGCCUCCCCAUUCUUUCUCAUCUCAUUGUCACCGCCACGCGCCGCCGCGGAUGCAUCGGCCCCACGGUCACCCCUAGCAUCGCCGCCAUGGCAAAUCGAUCCAUGCCGCAGGGCUUCUGCACGUAUAUGAUCGAUCCAGAGUUCUACGACGAUUCCCCCGCGGUACCCGUGGCAAUCAUCGAUGAUGCCUGCGGGAAGAAGCGCCCAACCUUCCACCACUACGGCUGCGACUAGUGCGGCCACCCGAACCGCCUGACGCUGCUGCCACCGCAGCCGCACCUGUUGUUCGUGAUGUACCUAGGAGGCAAUCAUAACAAUUUGAACUAAAGGUCCACGGGAUAAUUGAUCCAUAAAAAAGUAGGGUGACUAAUGGGCCUUCAGCCUGGAAGCCCAUUAGUGUAGUCUAUAAAUAUGAGGGGAAAGGCUAGGGGCGCCACAUCCCACCACGCUGCAACCCUAGCCACCAUCUCCUCUCGGCCUGACCUUGAGACCCCUGCCGAGCGCAUGGUGCUAGCACACCGGCGCACGAUGUUCCUUUCCUAUAUGUAUGGACUCCAUGGAGGCGCUGCUGUUGUUGCUACUGUGCUGAUCGGCUACGGGGCGCGAGGCGGCUGCUGGUGCGAGGUCGAGAAAGAGACGAUUGUGAUUGACUACUUUCUCUGCACCGACACGCAUCUACGUUGGACUGGCUGCUGCAACUCUUCGUUACGCUGCGCGUCUAGUGGUAAUGACCUAUGACUCCUUUACUCGCAAGUUUCCUGGGUGAUGCGAUAGAUGUAUGUUAGAGUAGCCUACUCAUUUCCCUUUAAUGGUAUCAAAGCUAUUUUGCGUAGUUUUUGUUUGGACCUUGCACAUAUAGGUGAUAUGUGAUAGUAGUAGAUAUGAUCUAUAAUGGUUAGUAGUAGAUGUGAUCUAUUAUGGUUAGGUUCAUGUGAUGGAUAUUUUGUUGCACGGUUUGGUCAUAAGGGGAUGGAACGGAUUCGAGUAGAUUGUAUUUUGUGAACAAAAAGAUUAGUUUGUGCUCCUUCUUUGUUGUGCGCAUGACUUGUCCCCACCGGCUCGAAUCACCAUCGGGGAUAGUCAUGUGUAUAGUAAAUAGAUUGAGGCAACAGCUCAAGGUCAUGUGUUCUGGUCUUCUCAUGUACACCUGUCGCAAUGAUCAAUGGGAUUGAUCUAGUGAAAAUUGAGGCAUUCUGAAUGACUCGGAUUUGGGUUGAUUUGAUCAAUCCGAUGAAAUUUUCAUAGCGAUUUCAUAUAUGUGAACUAUGUAAUUCCGUGAGACCUGUUGUUGCUAUCUACUAUAAUUAUAUCUUAGUCUCGUUUCGGUAGAAGACGUUCUACGCUUAACUUGUUUUUAUAGUGUAUGAUGUGAAUGGUAUGGCUUCAAUAUCAUGUGAUGAUCUAUGUGCAACAUUUGGUAGCCUAUGUUGCUGCAAAUUAACACAACCGGGUUGAGGUUGUCCCAUUAUUGUAUAACGACCUGCGUGUCGACUUGUGAUCCUUGAUCCCUCAUGUAAUUUAUUUAUAAGCUAUUAGAUGUAGUAGCUUUACAUAUAUUCAUGCAGGCCUUUCAAGCAUGGUGGUGAUGGUGAUCACCACAAGGCAGGGUGGAUGGCGAUGGAGAUCACGGUGGAGCCAUCGCUAUGGAGACCACUAUGAUUUCAAAGGCCAUACUAUUCAUAAUAUAAUAUGAUUAUAUGUCUGUGAUGUUUACUUUCCCGCCUUACUAUUCUAUUCAUGCUUUACAUGUGGUGGAUGUUUUUUUCAUGAUAGAAUAGCUUCCCUCAGAAAAGUUGAGUUUUUUAUGCCUUUUACCAAUAGUUGCACCUAUAAAAUUUUGAUCGUUGUAUGGUAGGUUUGCCAAAACAAAGUACCAUAAUAUAUCACUAUGAAUAGUGUAACGACCUAGGUUUAAAUCCACCGAGCUUAAUCUUAAAACAAGUUCCCUAAUCCGGUUGACUCAGCUUUUCUUGAGCUAUACCGACUUAGUCUGGUUUUCAGCCCAACCUAGCGCCUUAGGGAGAGUUUAUCCUUGGAAUGACGAGCUGAACACCUAGAAUCCUUUGGUAGAAGUUGGAGAACGAAGCCCCUGCUACAACUUUGUUCAGUGGGACCCUUGCUGGUGUCCUACAACUCUUUUUAAGGGAGUCAAAGUGGUGUAGUUUAGAAAUCGGGAGAUCAAGAGACUGGAAGAUGGACCCCGAAAAGGAUCUUGCGGAUCUCUCGGGCCAAGCGUGCCAGAGAGCACGUGCGCCCUGUUUUAGAGCACCGCCGCCGCGUGGCGUAACCUCAUCGACGAGCGCCACCUCACCCAGUCACCGGUCAUGACAAGAUGGAUGAGCACGCCUCCAUCCCAAUCGUGCGCAGAAGCAUCCUGCAGACUCUUCGCCUCGUCUCGUCUUGCCCGAGGCCUUGCCAGCCGCGCCAGACGCCCUGCCACCGAUGCGAACGAAGAUUGGCUGCUGCCGCGCCAGUUCACCUCGCCUCCCACGCGCAUCUCCUCACCAGGAUCCCCGGCCGCGCCCCAACACCUUUCAGCUUUUCUGUCGUACCUCAAUCGCGCUGCCCACGCGCGCGCCCCGCGACGAUACCGCCAUCGCCAACCACCACGCAGGCAGUGACAACUCCUUUUCCCCUGCCUCGCCAGUAGCAUGCCCCGACAAAGCCGCUAGCCUCGCUCUUGCUAGAGUCGCAUCGCUCGCCUUGUCGCCUCGCCUGCAGUGCCUCUCUCUCUCCCUCCUGUCCGCCGAUAUCGAGUCACGGCAACCAAUCCGGCCCUUGACGCGACUAGACGCGUGCUCGACCUCGCUAAUCCUUUCGUCCGACAAAACCGUGCCUGCGUAGCACUGUCUUCAGUGCCCAGUGCCAUAAGGCCCUGUCCCCAGAGCUCCACUUCGCCGGCCAAUAGAGACGCCCACCAAUCGCCGCUAAGGUAGAGCACUCCUUCUCCCUCGAUCUUAUCCUCGCGCCGCUCGAACUCCCUUGAUCGCUCGAACUAUAAAAAGGCUACCGAAGCCUCUUACCGGAGUUCUCUUUGCCACCACCGCCCUUGCCUCCCUUGAUCGCUCGUUCUUCUCCAGCGCACUCGCUGCCGCACACUCCUCUGCUUCACGCGCAAGUUUUGUCGCCUAUGCUCUCUGUGGAGCUCCCCUUCCGCCCAACGCCCCGCCAGCCACUUCGCCUUCCUUCGUGCUGUGCUAGAGCUUACUUGUUGUCCACAAAAAGUACUACUGCAGCCAGAAAACCGCCACACCUCACCGCCGCCAGAAACUUAGCGCCUUUGGUCGUUCCGCCUGAGCUUGCUUCUUCGUGACCCCAAGUUUCCGUUGGUAGGACCAAAGGUUUUGCCCGACCCCUUUCCGUUUCGCCCGACCCUUGUCCGCAUCGCCCGAGGGCUCGGCUGUAUCGUUUUGUUUUGACCAAGGGUAUCUGUGUAAAAUUUCGGGGACUUCUCGGUGAUCAACAGAAGCUUGAGAAAUUUAUCUGAAAUCGAGGAAAAAUUAGAAAAGUGUGAAAUCACUUGGGUUGGAAUCCUCUUUCUGAGUAGAAUCCAAUAAAAUGGGUCUCACACCUUUCCUGUAGUUUUGCUAUAGUUUUGGACUAAUCUUGCAAGUGUUUUUGAAAGAACCGUCUAAGUGCUUGGCCCUUGCAUUUGCAUUUCUUGUAGAGCUAAACCUCGCUGACGGCACGUAUGAGCUGCACCCGGUGCUAGAAGACGGAGUUGUAGCUGAGCUACCGCCUGCAGGAACUAAAGCUUAGAGUGCCGAAGAUCAGUUCGCUUCCACCCCGCUCGAAGGCAAGCCCCGGAGCAUAACCCAAUCUUUCUAAACUUGCGCAUGCCUUCAUUUGUAUGUAUGUGCAUUUAUGUUAUAGGAAUUGUUUGAAACCAUAGAUGCAUGACUUAGUUCCCUUGAUCUGAACACUAGUAUGAUAGGCCGAGUAGUUGUAGUGCUUAACAGGACUCGGUAAAAAUCGAGUGAUUCCCUAUCACUCGCGAGUUAUAGGAGUUGCUAGUUCUCCUUUUUGUUAUAACUAUAAGGACGAUGAACGGGCCAGGGCUCUGUGACCUGUUUCGGUGGUCGGUGGAUUGCCUCAUCUGUCAACAUGAAAUUGGUUAAGGUGUUGGAGGUAUGCCCUAGAGGCAAUCAUAGAGAUGAUGAUAUUCCAUUUGUAUCCAUGAUUUCUAUAUUGUGUUCAUUGAAUAUCCAUUAAAGGCUACUUGAAUUGAUUUGCAAUUAUGUGAAUUGUAUGUGAAACUCUUUACUUGUAUGGUUAUUCUAAAGUUGUCCCUAGUCAGAGUUCAUGUGAGGACACACAUGAAUAUUAGACUAACACAUGCAUUAGUUGAUGACUAUGUUUCACAAGUCAUGGACAUGGAGAUGUUGAACUAAUAAUGUGGACACAUGUGGAGACAUGUGCUAGGACUGACCCAACACGAGAAGUAGUUCUCUCUUUAAACAACAUAUACGCUUUGUCCUUAGACCUGAGAUUGUCGCAUGUAUUCUAGAUGUGGAUCGACCUACUUAGGGGCUAUCAAACGCUACGCCGUAACAGGGUAGUUAUAAAGGUAGCUUUCGGGUUUGUCAAGAAGCAUGCUAUGAGACAUGGUCAAUCAAGAUGGGAUUUGCCCCUCUCUGAUUGAGAGUGAUAUCUCUGGGCCCCUCGAGUGAUCGGAUCCGAAAAUGCAUGGCCAUGCUACGUACGGUUAAGAGUUAACCUACAAAGGGAUUCCGGAUCACAGGAUCGAGAAAGAGCGGUCAGCUUGAAGCUAGACCAAAUAUCGUGAGGCAAAGGGAAUAGCACGUAUAUUAUGUUAUGAUGGUUCGUCUGAAAUGAUCUUCGUGUGCGUAUAGGAGUUGGCACGUCUUGCUAGAGGCCGCUACCGACUAUUGGGCCGAGUAGGAGUACUCGGGCCAUGUCUAUACGUAUCCGAACCCAUAGGGUUACACACUUAAGGCGCUGGAAGCCCAAUUCAGAUCUAAUCCGAGUUGGAUUAGGUUUAGAAGUACUAAUGGGCCUAGGAUCCAGAGGCCCGUCAGGAACCUCUAUAAAUAGAGGGGUGGGGGCGCCCUAGGGUUGACACCUUUUUGGCGAAACACAUCUGCCGCGCCUACCACGCCCUCGCCUGUUGCAACUCGCGGAUCUAGCAGUCUGGCUUGCGACGCUUCCUCCCUGCACGUGUGGAUAACUUGGAGGUGUUGCGCCUGCAGCACUUGGACGAGCCGCCGACGAGCCACGAUGAGCCGACGACGAGCCGCGGCACAGGAGGCGAUCUUGCUACACGUGGACGAGCUACUGAGGAGCUGCUGGACGUUGACGUGAUCGACUACGUACGACUACGUUGAUCGACUACGUACGACUACGUGAUCGUCUUCCCUGCAUCGACGCAUAUCUACAUCUUCCGCACCAGUAGUGCGUCGAGUGGUAAUCCCGUGAUCCUCAUACGACAGUUCUUCCUGGUUUUACGCGGUAGAUAUUUUGAUUUGCGCUAGUGUAGCCUACCUCGUAUCCCAACAGUGGUAUCAGAGCCGUAGCUGCUUAGUUUUGGAUUCGGGAUGUGUGCAUAUGGAGAUAUGCGAGUUUUCAGUUUGAUCUAUGUCCUGGUUUCGUGCUCUUGCUGCAAUGGUAGUGUAACGACAUACUCCUACCGGUCGGUUUCCGCCAUCGGAGUUAAGUGAUACACGUAAAUCCAGUUGCAGUGAGCGAAGAUCAAUAUGAUUGGUCGAAUUGAAAUCCAGGGUCAUACGCCAGGCGCAUUAGAUGUGCAAUAGUAGAUGGGAUCUACUACCGGGGUCGGGAUUUUUGCCGUAUGCGUAUGCUUCGGUAAAUCAGCCGUAACUUUUCGGUACGAUCUCGGAUCGGGGUGAAUUUUAUAUGAAAAUUGAUCUAUAGAAAAAGUUACACAUGAAAUUCAAUGGCUUUGCCAUUUUCGGCGAAAUUAGAUUUCUCAAAUUCGGCUUGGAAGAUGGAGUUUCGGGCAUCCGAAGUUUGGAACGUUAGGAUGCCUAACUCUGUUUUGCAGGAUGUAUGUUUGUAUCUUGUGAUCAGUAUGGCCCCUUGUGUAUGUGAUGCAUGUGUGUAACUCAUUCGUGACCUGCGUGUCGCGCGUACGGCAACACGGCAGGAGCCAUAUGUGUUGUCACUUUAUUGUAUUUAAUGGUCUGCGUACCAAUUUGUGAUGAUCCAAGCAACUAUGUAAUCUUCAUUACUAGCUUCUUUACUAGCUAUUAGGCGUAAUAGCAUGUUCUAGUUCUUGGAGGACUCAUCACCAGGAGGAUGGCGCACAUGGAACAUGGAGAUGGAGAUCACCAUGGUGAACAGGUUCUAUGGAGAUGGAGAUCACCAUAUGAAAAUGGGUCAUACUGUGUCACAACUGUGUGAAUGCUAUUCUAUUUAUGUUUUACUUUCUGCAUGCUGUGAUGUUAGAAGUAGAACGAUCCCUCACAAAGUUUAAGUUAGUAUGCCCUCCCAACUGAAACUUGCACCAUCCCAUGUCUUGUACAAUUAGUGGUGGGUCUAUGAAAUUAGGGUGCCCCUAGUUUUCAUUGACUAGACGGGUUUGUGUCGGACACUUACACGCAUAAGGGUUGGUUUGCUUGACAAGGUCAUCUUAACGGUUAAGAACCUUGGGGCAUAAAGGUUGGGCGCCGAGACAUAGAGAUGUCACCCAACAACAGGAGUCAUAUGUGAUAUGAUUAGCAAAAGUUGCUUACCGAUCUACCUUGUUUGCUAGCGGUGAUGCUAAAGCUCACUAGUGGACUUGUUAGUUGUGGAUCCUGAAUCACUAAGUUUCAAUAGAGGGAUAUUGAUUUUAGUGGGAGUAGAUUCUGUUAAAAUAGUUUAAUAUGAUUUGCUCUAUCAUGGAUACGUUUGUCUUAGUGUAUUUUGCAUUACUUUGUUGUAGAUUAAAUGGCACCUAGCAGCACUACACCGUUUGCUUUGCGUUCGGUCCUUGAGAAGGACAAGUUGAAUGGAACAAAUUACUCGGAUUGAAUCCGUAACCUGAGAAUUGUUCUCAGGGCUGAGAAAAAGGAAGAUGUUCUAGACAACCCACUACCAGAAGACCCUGCUGAUGAUGCACUCGCUGCUGCUAAGAAUGCUUACAAGAAAGCAUGUGAUGCUAACCUCGAAGUAAGCUGCCUUAUGCUUGCUUGCAUGGAACCCGAGCUGCAGAUGCAGUUCGAAACAAACCAUGAGGCGCACGAUAUGAUCGUGGCGCUUAGAGACAUGUUCCAAACACAGGCCAGGACUGAAAGGUUCAAUGUGUCUAAGGCCUUUGUUGAGAGCAAGCUAGCAGAAGGCGCAGCAGUAGGACCACAGGUAAUCAAGAUGGUUGGUUACACUCAACGGUUGGAGAAGCUGGGCUUCCCACUGGUCCAAUAGUUGGCCGCUGAUUUUAUCCUUUCGUCUCUUCCGCCUAGCUAUGGGAACUUCAUCUCGAACUACCAUAUGCAUGGGACGGAGAAGGGUCUGAAUGAGCUGUGUGGCAUGCUUAAAACAGCAGAGGCUGACAUCAAGAAAAGCGCUAGUACCAGCCAUGUGAUGGCUAUAUAGAACAAGCCUAGCUUUAAGAAGAAGGGCAAUUCUUGGAAGAAGAAGGGCAAGGCUGGAACGUCCAAGCCAAACCCAGCGCCCAAGGUUAAAGCUGGACUUGGACCUGCUCCAGACAAAGAGUGCUUUUACUGUCAUGAACUUGGUCAUUGGAAGUGAAACUGCAAGCACUACCUAGCUUCCUUGAAGAAUGGCGGAAGUAAGAGUACUUCUACCUCAGGUACGCUUGUUGUUAAUGUUAUAGACAACAUAUUUCUCGCUGAUACAAUUAUUAAUUCUUGGGUAUUUGAUACCGGAUCGGUUGCUCAUAUUUGCAAUUCGAUGCAGGGAAUGAUAAGAAGUAGAAGCGUGGAAAGAGGAGAAGUUGAUUUCCGCGUGGGCAAUAAUGCAAGAGUUGCUGCGUUGACCGUCGGGACGAUGCAACUCCACCUCCCGUCAGGAUUUAUUAUGGAGUUGAAUAAUUGUUAUUUUGUUCCUAGUUUAAGUCGAAACAUUUUGUCUCCUUCAUGCUUGAUGAAGGAUGGUUAUACAUUUGCGAGUGAAAACAAUGGUUGUGUGAUCUCUAAGAAUAAUAUGUUUAUGGCUUUUGCACCCAUUGUGAAUGGAUUAUUUGUUUUAAAUCUUGAUGGUUCACCUGUCUGUAAUGUAAGUGCUAAAAGGCCUCGGCCUAAUGAUUUGAGUCCUACCUACUUGUGGCAUUGUCGUUUGGGUCAUAUAAGUGAAAAGCGCAUGAAGAAGCUCCAUUCUGAUGGACUUCUAACUUCGUUUGAUUUUGAAUCAUACGAGACAUGUGAGGCUUGCUUGCUAGGCAAGAUGACCAAGACGCCUUUCACAGGAUUUCCAGAGAGAGCAGUAGACUUGUUGGAACUCGUACAUAGUGAUGUAUGCGGACCAAUGAGCACGACGGCUAGAGGAGGAUUCCAAUACUUCAUAACUUUCACUGAUGAUUUUAGUAGAUAUGGCUAUGUCUACUUGAUGAGGCACAAGUCUGAAACCUUUGAAAAGUUCAAGGAAUUUCAGAAUGAAGUUGAAAAUCAGCGUGGCAAGAAAAUUAAGGCCUUACGAUCUGAUCGUGGAGGCGAGUAUUUGAGCCACGAGUUUAGCAAUCAUCUAAAGAGUUGCGGAAUUGUUCCACAACUUACGCCACCUGGACCACCUCAGAGAAACGAUGUGUCCGAGCAACGUAAUCGAACUUUGUUAGACAUGGUUCGAUCAAUGAUGAGCCAGUCGGACCUACCGUUGUCAUUUUGGGGAUACGCUCUAGAAACAGCAGCUUUCACACUUAAUAGGGUACCAUCUAAAUCUGUAGUUAAGACACCAUAUGAGAUAUGGACUGGAAAGGUUCCUAGUUUGUCUUUUCUAAAGAUUUGGGGAUGUGAAGUGUUUGUCAAGCGACUUCAGUCGGACAAGAUCACACCCAAGUCGGAUAAGUGCAUUUUCGUGGGAUAUCCAAAGGAAACUUUGGGAUAUUAUUUCUACAACCAAUCAGAAGGCAAAGUGUUUGUCGCUCGGAACGGGGUUUUCCUAGAGAAAGAGUUUCUCAAAGGAGAAAAGAGUGGAAAGACAGUGCAUCUUGAAGAAGUUCAAGAUGAGCCGAUCGGGCAAAAAUCAAUGAGUGAUGCUAACGUAGUAGAACAAGUUGAGAUACCCAUGGCAAGAGAAGCACUGCCACAACCACGAAGGUCAGCAAGGCUCCGCGAAAUGCGGGAAUUAUUAUUGUUGGACAAUGAUGAGCCUGCGACCUAUGCAGAAGCAAUGAUGGACCCAGACUCCGAAAAAUGGCAGAGUGCCAUGCAAUCUGAAAUAGAGUCCAUGGGAGACAAUCAAGUUUGGAACUUGGUUGACCCGCCUGAUGGUGUUAAAGCCAUAGAGUGCAAGUGGAUCUAUAAGAAGAAAAAGGACAUGGAUGGAAAUGUUCACAUCUAUAAAGCACGACUUGUCGCAAAAGGUUUUCGACAAGUUCAAGGAGUUGACUACGACAAGACCUUCUCGCCCAUAGUGAUGCUUAAGUCCAUUCGGAUUAUUCUAGCUAUAGCUGCAUAUUUCGAUUAUGAGAUAUGGCAGAUGGAUGUCAAGACAGCUUUUCUGAAUGGAAACCUAGCCGAGGACGUGUAUAUGAUACAGCCCGAGGGUUUUGUCAAUCCGAAAAAUGCUGGAAAGGUAUGCAAGCUUCAGAGAUCCAUUUAUGGAUUGAAGCAAGCAUCUAGGAGUUGGAACAUUCGUUUUGAUGAAGUGGUCAAAGGGUUUGACUUCACCAAGAACGAAGAAGAGUCUUGUGUUUACAAGAAGGUUAGUGGGAGCUCUGUAGUAUUUCUAAUCUUAUAUGUGGAUGACAUAUUACUGAUUGGAAAUAACAUUCCUAUGCUUGAGUCCGUAAAGACUUCACUGAAAAAUAGUUUUUCGAUGAAGGAUUUAGGGGAAGCGGCAUAUAUUCUGGGCAUUAAGAUCUAUAGAGAUAGAUCGAGAUGGCUUAUAGGUUUAAGCCAAGAUACUUACAUUGACAAAGUGUUGAAGCGGUUCAGCAUGGAAGAGGCAAAGAAAGGGUUCUUGCCUAUGUCACAUGGCAUACAUCUCAGCAAGACUCAGUGUCCUUCGACUGCUGAUGAGUGGGAUCGCAUGAGUAUAGUGCCAUAUGCCUCGGCUAUUGGAUCUAUCAUGUAUGCAAUGAUAAGUACUCGCCCAGAUGUUUCAUAUGCGCUAAGUAUGACAAGCAGACACCAAUCUGAUCCAGGUGAGAGUCACUGGACAACGGUGAAAAAUAUUCUUAAGUACUUGAGAAGGACUAAAGAUAUGUUCCUCGUCUAUGGAGGUGAGGAGGAGCUCGUUGUAACAGGUUACACCGAUGCUAGUUUCCAAACCGACAGAGAUGAUUCAAAGUUACAAUCAGGAUUUGUGUUCACGCUAAAUGGUGGUGCUGUUAGUUGGAAGAGUUCCAAGCAGGAGACGGUGGCCGAUUCUACGACAGAAGCCGAGUACAUCACGGCUUCGGAAGCCGCGAAGGAAGGUGUUUGGAUAAGGAAUUUCCUCAUUGAGCUUGGUGUUUUCCCGAAUGCGUCCAGCCCAUUGAAUCUCUACUGUGAUAAUAAUAGGGCAAUUGCGCAAGCAAAGGAGCCAAGGAACCACCAGAAGAACAAACACGUAAUGCGGCGAUUUCAUCUCAUUUGAGACUUCGUUAACCGGGGUGAGAUCAAGAUAUGCAAAAUACACACGGAUCUGAACAUUUCUGAUCCGUUGACAAAACCACUCCCGCAGGCUAAGCAUGAUGCGCAUGUAAGAGCUAUGGGUAUUUGGUACCUUCUAGAUUGACUCUAGUGCAAGUGGGAGACUGUUGGAGGUAUGCCCUAGAGGCAAUCAUAGAGAUGAUGAUAUUCCAUUUGUAUCCAUGAUUUGUAUAUUGUGUUCAUUGAAUAUCCAUUAAAGGCUACUUGAAUUGAUUUGCAAUUAUGUGAAUUGUAUGUGAAACUCUUUACUUGUAUGGUUAUUCUAAAGUUGUCCCUAGUCGGAGUUCAUGUGAGGACACACAUGAAUAUUAGACUAGCACAUGCAUUAGUUUAUGACUAUGUUUCACAAGUUAUGGACAUGGAGAUGUUGAACUAAUAAUGUGGACAUAUGUGGAGACAUGUGCUAGGACUGACCCAACACGAGACGUAGUUCUCUCUUUAAACAACAUAUACGCUUUGUCCUUAGACCUGAGAUUGUCGCAUGUAUUCUAGAUGUGGAUCGAUCUACUUAGGAGCUAUCAAACGCUACGCCGUAACAGGGUAGUUAUAAAGGUAGCUUUCGGGUUUGUCAUGAAGCAUGCUAUGAGACAUGGUCAAUCAAGAUGGGAUUUGCCCCUCUCUGAUUGAGAGUGAUAUCUCUGGGCCCCUCGAGUGAUCGGAUCCAAAAAUGCAUGGCCAUGCUACGUACGGUUAAGAGUUAACCUACAAAGGGAUUCCGGAUCACAGGAUCGAGAAAGAGCGGUCGGCUUGAAGCUAGACCAAAUAUCGUGAGGCAAAGGGAAUAGCACGUAUAUUAUGUUGUGAUGGUUCGUCUGAUAUGAUCUUCGUGUGCGUAUAGGAGUUGGCACGUCUUGCUAGAGGCCGCUACCGACUAUUGGGCCGAGUAGGAGUACUCGGGCCAUGUCUAUACGUAUCCGUAACCCAUAGGGUCACACACUUAAGGGGCUGGAAGCCCAAUUCGGAUCUGAUCCGAGUUGGAUUAGGUUUAGAAGUAAUAAUGAGCCUCGGAUCCAGAGGCCCGUCAGGAACCUCUAUAAAUAGAGGGGUGGGGGCGCCCUAGGGUUGACACCUUUUUGGCGAAACACAUCUGUCGCGCCUCCCACGCCCUCGCCUGUUGCAACUCGCGGAUCUAGCAGUCCGGCUUGUGACGCUUCCUCCCUGCAUGUGUGGAUACCUUGGAGGUGUUGCGCCUGCAGCACUUGGACGAGCCGCCGACGAGCCACGACGAGCCGACGACGAGCCGCGGCACGGGAAGCGAUCUUGCUGCACGUGGACGAGCUGCUGAGGAGCUGCUGGACGUUGACGUGAUCGACUACAUACGACUACGUUGAUCGACUACGUACGACUACGUGAUCGUCUUCGCUGCAUCGACGCAUAUCUACAUCUUCCGCACCAGUAGUGCGUCGAGUGGUAAUCCCGUGAUCCUCAUACGGCAGUUCUUCCUGGUUUUACGCGGUAGAAAUUUUGAUUUGCGCUAGUGUAGCCUACCUCGUAUCCCAACAUAAGGUCAGAAAGUGUUGGUGUUCAUGAUCAAGUGUUUGAAGGUACUAAUCUCAUAACUAGUAUGGGAUGGGGAAGCCUAGUACCUGACUGAAUCAGGACGUGUGCGGUUCAAUCCACUGUCUCUGGAACAGAGCUUUCCCUUGCGGCCGCAUGUGGUGACAAGUGUGGUCACAGAACGGCAUAGGCCGGUUCUGUGGAGCCUUGUACCAAGAGAAGUGUGCCCGACACGGGUCAGGGGAUUGAUGGGGACGGCUGACAAGUGAAGCGACCCUCUGUGGUGCGCGGAUGUCAUGAGAUUAGGUUCACCAUGCAUGGUUAAGAAAAAUUCGAAUUGAUUCGUCUGCCUCUCACAGUUUGGAACUGCUUGAUCGCUAUGCUACACUGAGUAAAGAUGGAACAUGAUGAUGAUGUGAACCUUGAUGCUUGUUCUUUAAAUUGUUUGCAAACUAUGUUGCUUAGCAUAAGUUGCGAAUGUAGACUGGAUAAUGAACUUAGAACUUAAGCUAAAAUAUUGAAAGUAAGGACUUACUGUAGUCGCUUUUGGCAAAACAAACCCUUCAGCCAAAGAGCCUGGCAUGUCUAGAAGUUGGUGGAGUAGUUUCCCCCGGUCAGUUAAGUCUUGAUGAGCGUAGUCACUCAGCCAUGCUGUGGCAUUUCUUUCAGGUGAUGUUGAAGCUCCUGAGUCUGCUGCUUGUGGCACUUGGCCUUCCCAGCUUCCUCCUGGGUGGACGGUCGAGUGGGAUCCCUCCUCGAACGGCGAGGAUAGGAACCAGUGAUGUCCUGAUCGAUCUCAUCAGUGACCUCCGACCCCGGCGCUAGCUUCCGCUCGUUUAUCUUUUUCCACUGCUUAAGAACUCUGUAAAACUCUAAUUUUCGAAAUAGUGUUGUAAUAAAUUAUUGAACUUGUUUAAGUUUGGAUGGUCUGUUGUAUUCUCUGGAACCACUCAUCUUUGUGUGAGCUCUGCUACUUCGGUCCUGUAUAGUGAUUUUAUCGGAUAAAAUCCGACGGACUGCCAAGUUAACUUGAUUAAAGCAUAUGAUCGCGUGUCAGGCGACUUAAUUGUGCUUUAGCUAAGUUAAUCCGAGCGGUUCCGCCACAAAUAGGAUGGAUGUUGGACAUCCACAAGCAUAGUAUUGGUUUACUCAACAAAGCUAUCAAAACAGUUUUGGGCUUUAUGGCAUGGAGUUAGGAGUAGAGGCAUUGGAUGACACUCAACAAACAAGAGUCAUAUAGAGAUAUGAUUAACAAAUUGUUGUUUACCUAUGUCACUAAGUUUCUAGUAGCGAAGCCAAAGCUCACUAGGAUUUUAGUGAAUAUGGAACUUGGACCACUAUAUGUCGUUAGAGGGAAAACGAUGUUGAUAUAGUGGAAGCGUCUUUUAUUAAAUUGGUUAAAAGAAGAUUGUACAUAACUUAGUGCUAAAACUUUGCAUUUUUAUCCUAUGUUCUAGAUCAUGUCUGCUAGUAACAAUUUCGGUUUUAAUUUGCGAUCUGUGCUUGAGAAGGAAAAGCUUAAUGGAGCUAACUUCAUUGAUUAGUACAGCAACCAUACCCAGAAUUGUUCUUAGGCAAGAGAAAAAUUGAGUAUGUUCUUGAGCAACCAUACCUAGAUGAUGUCCCUAAUGAUGCCAAUGCUGCAGCCUGUAGAGCUUAUUAGAAGCACUGUGGUGAUGCACUCAAUGUCGACUAUCUCAUGCUUGCCACCAUGUCCCCUGAUCCGCAAAAGCAAUAUGAGCAUGUGGAUGCUCACACUAUGAUUGAGGGGCUGUGUGGAAUGUUUGAGACCCAAGCUAGGGCUGAGAGGUACAACAUCUCAAAGUACUUGUUUGCGUGCAAGUUGGCAGAGGGUAGCCCGGUUAGGCCCCAUGUGAUCAAGAUGAUUGGUUACAUUGAGACUCUGGAAAAAUUUGGUUCUGUACUCAAAGAUGACCUAACUAUAGACGUCAUUGUCCAGUCGCUCCAGGUGAGCUAUGAGUCAUUCAUUCUGAACUAUCAGAUGAAUGGCAUGGAGAAAACAUUGGCUGAGUUGCAUGGCAUGCUGAAGACAACAGAGGAAAGCAUUAAGAAAAACCCCACCCAUGUGAUGAUGGUUCAAAAGGAGAACAAAAAGAGGAAUUGUUGGAUGCCUCCCAAACGCAAAGGCAAAGGAAAGGUCGUUCCCAAUGAGCCCCCAAGCUCUAAGCCUAAGCCAAAGGGAAAAUCUAACCCUUCUCCUGGUGAUGAAUGCUUCCACUAUCAUCUCAAGGGACAUUGGUCUAGGAACUGCAAGAAGUAUUUGGAGGAUAAGAAGAAGAAUGGAAGUGAGACUUCCACUUUAGGUAUAAAUGUUAUAGAAAUUAAUAUUGCUGCAUCUUCUAGUGAAUCUUGGGUAUUUGAUACUGGAUCGAUGAUUCACACUUGCAAAUCGUUGCAGGGACUAAGUAAGACUAGAAGUUUGGCAAGAGGUAAAUUGGAUAUUCAUGUCGGCAAUGGAGCAAAAGUUGCUAUCAUAGCGGUCGGCACUUACCACUUGUGGUUACCCUCAGGAUUAGUUUUGGAAUUGAAUAAUUGUUAUUGCAUUCCUUCUUUGAGUAAGAACAUUAUCUCUUCUUCGUGCUUGGUAGAAGUUGAUGGUUACGAGAUUGUAAUGAAGAACAAACUUUGUUCAAUUUAUUAUAAUGAUAUUUUCUAUACUCAUUGUCCAUUGGUGAAUGGAUUAUAUGUUCUUGAUCUAAAGGAUAAAUCUAUCUAUAACAUUAAUACAAAAAGGGCUCGACCGAAUGAUUUGAAUCCCACUUUUAUUUGGCAUUAUCGCUUAGGUCAUAUAAAUGAAAAAUGCAUUGAAAAACUCCAUAAAGAUGGUUUGUUGAGCUCAUUUAAUUUUGAAUCAUUUGACAUGUGCGAGUCUUGUUUGCUUGGGAAGAUGACUAAAGCUCCUUUCACUGGUCAAAGUGAGAGGGCAAGUGACUUAUUGGAACUUGUACGUACUGAUGUAUGCGGACCAGUGAGUUUUGUAGCUAGAGGUCGUAUUCAGUACUUCAUCACUCUCAUUGAUGAUUUUAGUAGAUAUGGAUAUAUCUACCUAAUGAGGCACAAGUCUGAAUCAUUUGAAAAGUUCAAAACAUUUUAGAAUGAAGUAUAGAAUCAAUUGGGUAAGACAAUUAAAUUUCUGCGAUCUAAUCAUGGAGAUGAUUAUUUGAGUCAUGAAUUCGGUGAUCAUCUAAAAUAAUGUGGAAAUGUUCCAUAGUUGACUCCGCCUGGAAUGCCUCAAUGGAAUGGGGUCUCCGAGCGGAGGAACCAAACCUUGUUAGACAUGGUUAGGUCGAUGAUGAUCCAGACUGAUCUUCCACUGUCUUUUUGGGGUUAUACUUUAGAAACUGCUGCAUUUACACUCAACAGGUUCCAACUAAGUCUGUUGAGAAGACACCAUAUAAGAUGUGGAUCAGAAAGCAUCCCGAAUUGUCUUUUCUCAAAGUUUGGGGAUGUGAGGCUUGUGUCAAACGUUUGAUGUCAGACAAACUCACUCCAAAAUCAGACAAAUACUUUGUGGGGUAUCCAAGGGAAACUAAAGGAUAUUAUUUUUAUAAUAGAGUGGAAGGCAAAGUGUUUAUCGCUCGCAAUAAUGUCUUCUUGGAAAAAGAAUUUCUCUCAAAUAGAGCUAGUGGGAGCAAGCUGCAACUUGAAGAAAUUCAAGAAACAUCUGAAAAUGUUUCAGCGCCCACUAAACCUACACAGGAUGUAUAAGAUGUUGUGCAACCUGAACGUGUUGUUGAGGCACUAGCACCACGAAGGUCUAUGAGGGCAUGUCGCGCAACUCAAAAGUUGAAACUCCUAACUACGGAGCAGCGUGACAUAUUAUUGUUGGACAAUGAUGAGCCCAUGACCUAUAAGGAAGCAAUGAUGGGAUUCGACUCUGAGAAAUGGCUUGGAGUCAUGGAAUCCGAAAUAAAAUCCAUGCAGGACAAUCAAGUUUGGAACUUGGUUGAUCCGAUCAACGGUGUGAGGCUUAUCGAUUGCAAAUGGGUUUUUAACAAAAGACAGACAUGGAUGGAAAUGUUCACGUCUAUAAGGCGCGAUUGGUGGUCAAAGGUUUGAAGCAAUUUUAAGGUGUUGACUAUGAUCAAAUGUUUUCGCCCGUUGCAAUGCUAAAGUAUGUUCAGACUUUCCUAGCAAUUGCUGUAUAUUUUGAUUAUGAGAUAUGGCUAAUGGAUGUUAAAACAACCUUCCUUAAUAGAAACCUAAGUGAGGAUGUGUACAUAACACAACCUGAGGUUUUGUCGAUCCUAAAAUUGCUGGGAAGAUAUGUAAACUUCAAAAGUCCAUUUAUGGAUUGAAUCAAGCAUCUUGGAGUUGGAAUCUUCAUUUUGAUGAAGUGGUCAAAGGGUUUGGUUUCAUCAAAAACUUAGAAGAACCUUGUAUUUACAAGAUGGUCAAUGGGAGCACACUAGUUUUUCUGGUCCUAUAUGUAGAUGACAUAUUACUGAUUGGAAAUGAUAUUCUAAUGCUUGAUGAUGUUAAAUAUUCAUUAAGAAAGAGUUUCUCAAUGAAAGAUUUAGGAGAUGCGGCAUAUAUUUUGCGCAUAAAGAUCUAUAGGGUUAGAUCAAAAAGGGUAUUUGUAUUAAGCCAAGACACGUACAUUGACAAGAUAUUGAAUUGGUUCAAUAUGCAAUAUUCUAAAAAAGGUUUCUUUCCAAUGUCACAUGGCAUUACUCUUAGCCAGAUCAGUGGCCUUCAACACCUGAUGAGCAAGAGAGGAUGAGAGCGAUUCCUUAUGCUUCGGCUAUUGGAUCCAUCAUGUAUGCCAUGCUAUGCACGCGCCCAGAUGUCUCCUAUGCUCUAAGUGUUAUGAGCAGUUACCAAUUAGAUUAUGGUGAGGCUCAUUUGACAGUUGUGAAGAGCAUCCUUAAGUACUUUAGAAGAACUAAGGAUGUGUUCCUAGUGUUUGGAGGUGAAGAAAAGCUCGUUGUAAUAGAUUACAUCGAUACUAGCUUCCAAACAGACAAGGAUUAUUCCAAAUCGCAGUCUGGUUUUGCGUUCUGCCUCAAUGGAGGGGCAGUGAGCUGAAAAAGUUCCAAGCAAGAGAUGGUAGCUGAUUCAACGAAGGAGGCUGAGUAUAUUGUAGCUUCUGAAGCUGCAAAGGAAGCUGUUUGGAUCAGAAAGUUUGUUUCUGAGUUAAGUGUUGUUACUAGUGCGUCCAAUCCAGUGGAUCUCUAUUGUGAUAAUAGCGGAGCCAUUGCACAAGCAAAGGAGCCUAGGUCACACCAAAAGUUCAAACAUAUAUUGUGGUGCUAUCACCUCAUCCGCGAGAUCAUUGAUCGAGGUGAAGUGAGGAUUUGUAAGGUGCAUGGAUUUGAAUGUUGGUGAUCUGUGACAAAGCCUCUUCCAUAGCCAAACCAUGAGGCGCACAUCAGAUCUAUGGGUAUUAGAUACUUACAACGGUGAUUCUAGUGUGAGUGGGAGACUUGUGUCAUGAAUAUGUUUAUGUACUAUUGAAUAAAGUGUUAUUCGUUCCUUGAGUAACUAUCAUUUACAUUGAUUAACAAGUAUGUGACUUGGUUCGUGGAACUCUUUGUUGAUUAUGAUGUUAUUCUAAAUGAUCCCUAGUCUAUAUCAUUAUGUGGGAUAAUAAUGACACAGACUAGCACAUGUAUUAAUUGAUGAUCACAUUGUUGACACCAAAACUUGGUGCGGCAACCACACAUUUCACGGAUCAUAGAUAUGGAGAUAUCAGAUUAAUAAUGUGAACACAUGUUAGUGAACAUGGUGUUGGAUUGACCCACCCCGAGAUAUUGUUGGGAUUGUUAUUUUGUAUGUGCCAUCAGUUGAUCUCGAGUGGUACACCUACUAGAUCGUUAGACCUAAGAUCACCAUUGUUUCUCACAAUGUGUAGUGAUGCACUUUGGGACUUCCAAACGCUAGUCCGUAUCUGGGUAGUCAUAAAAUUAGUCCACGAGUGUGUCAUGAAACAUGUAAUGGGAUGUGAGCGGAUCAAGAUGGAAUUUGACCCUCCUAAAUAACAGGAGAGAUAUCUCUAGGCCCCUUGAGAUAGUUAGAUUGGAAAGUGCAUGGCCAUGCCAAUAUGAUUAAGGAAUUAAUCAUGAUGACUAAAGGUUAGUCAUGAAUUGAAUCCACCAUUUGAUCAAGUCAAUGGUCGAGCUAUCAUAAGGGUGGCACGUAUCUCGCCUUGAGCUUAACUGGUAUCGUAUGGCAAAGGAAUUAGUAUAUGAAUGAAUGUACCUAGGUUCGAUCGAUAAACAUCUUUAUGUACAUUCGGGAGUCAGUAUGUCCUGCUAGGUACCGCUGCUGACUUGUGGUUCAGAAAUGGUUUUCGUUCACGACUAUUUGCAUAUAAACCUAAUGGCUCACACACUUAAGGGGUUUGCAUAUUGGAACCUUGCCUAUAUGAUUGUCUCUAGUGCAAGUGGGAGAUUGUUGGUGAUGUGGACAAGAGGCAAUCAUAACAAUUUGGACUAAAGGCCCACCGGAUAAUUGAUCCAUGUGGGAUUAGGGUAACUAAUAGGCCUUCAGCCUGGAAGCAUAUUAGUGUACUCUAUAAAUAUAAGGGAGGGGCUAGGGGCGCCACAUCCCACCAUGCCACAACCUUAGCUGCCAUCUCCUCUCGACCUGACCCGAGACCCUGACUAGCCCGCGGUGCUAGCAGACCAGCGCACGACGUUCCUUCCCUAUACGUGUGGACUCCAUGGAGGCGCUGCUGCUAUUGCUGCUGUGCUGAUCGGCUACGGGGCGCGAGGCGGCUGCUAGUGCGAGGGCGAGGAGGAGAUGAUCGUGAUCGACUACUUCCCACUAGUAGAAAAAUGACCUUCCACCCUCAACAAAAAUCUCGGUUAUUUUUGGACCCGGGCUUUAGUCCCAAGCUCGUUCAUGGAGACACCUUUAGUCCCGGUUGGUAACACCAAUCCGGACUAAAGGUGAUCCUUUAAUCCCGAUUGGUGUUACAAACCCGGACUAAAGCCUCCGAGGGCUUUAGUCCUGGUUGGUAAUACCAACCGAGACUAAAGAGUCCGCCACAAGUUACUAAAAAAGAAUUGCAUCCCCUACUCAGUUAGAUGUGCUGUGUAGGUGAGAUGGUAAGGAAGUUAUGCGCGAGGCUUGAGGUCGUGAGUUUGAAUCCCAUGCACCGGGCACAAGCAUAUUUUGCGUGAAAAAUUGCGUGACUUGUGGCUUGCGAUGUGCGCGUGUGGGACUAAUGCUCGUUUCUCUACCAGUGUCCUCUACACUAACGCGCAUCUACGUUGGACUGGCUGCUCCAACUCUUCGCUGCGCUGUGCGUCUAGUGGUAACGAUCUUUGACUCCUUUACUCGCAAGUUUCCUGCGUGAUGCAGUAGAUGUAUGGUAGAGUAGCCUACCCAUUUUCCCUUUACCUGUAUGUGGUCAUCGACGACUGGAGGGAAGGGUUCAGCAGGCACAAGAUCGAUUUCGACGACGAUGAUGAGCUCUGGGCAGGGUCACAGGCCAACCAGUACUAGCGCCUCCCGUCGCCGGCCGCCAUCCGCAUGGAGUUCUCCAACGUGUGCGCCGGCGCGCAGUUCAUGGCCCUGGGGCGCAGGAUCGUCGGCUGCACGGAUGACAGAGGUGGCCUCAUUGUCGUCUAUGAUACCGGCACGGUGGCGAGCGCCAUUGUUUGCCUGUCUCCGUGCAUGGUGCAUCUUCGUGAAUGGCGCGCCGCCGUGCACCCUGGAGGGAAAUUAAGAAAUAUUUGUUUCAGUAAAAAUCAUGAUGUGCAACACGGAUAAGGCCGGUACUCAUUCAUAUGAUACGGAGAGCCACGAGGUGGACAUACCACGGCACUGGAUGCUACCGUUCACCGCCGAGGCUGUCUACGACGCCGAGCUGGACGCAUGGGUUGGUCAUCACCAAGUUAGCAAAUACUUCCCCGGCAGCAUAGUGUGCUGCGACAUCCCGACUCCAGGAGCAGAAGAAGGGACCCCUGUCGCGCAGCUGAGCUGGAAGCAGUGCGAGGUGUUGCUGUGCUCGUCUCCAUGGGCAGCGCACUGGUACAGAAUUGGCCUUUAGUCCCGGUUGGUAGGGUGCAUAUCUCCUGAAAAUCCAUCCGGGAUAAACUAACCGGGACAAAAGUGGGGGGGAGGGGGUCAUUAGUCCCGGGUCUUUUAACCGGGAGUAAAGGUCCCCCUUUAGUCCCGGUUGGUGUCAGGGCCUGCCACGCCAGGCGCGGGACAGGCCCUUUAGUCCCGGUUGGUAAAAGCAACCGGGACUAAAGGGUGCCCUUUUAGUCCCGGCUGGAUUCCAACCGGGACUAAAUGGCGCCCUGCAUGGCACUGCCUGGCGCCUGAAUUUUUCAUGCAUGCAUCACAUACGUAGUACCGCGGCCCUUUUGUUAACCUUUAGUAGUUGAGAUUUUUUUAGAACGAAAUCAACUAGUAUUUAAAUGAAUGGGAUUUGUAAUUAUAUAAUUACUAUAUAUAUACACAAUUCUUAUACACAAUUCAUAUACACAAUUCAACUAGUACAAAUCGAUCAUAAUUAGCGCGUAUUAUAUAUACAAAUAAAUCAAAGUAUCUAUCUACAAUCUUCCCGUCGUGGUGUUGCUGAUCGGAGUGUCUAGUUGUCGUUCAUCGUAAUAAAAUUCUCCUUUUAGAUCUACCACCUCGUCCAUUAGGAAUCCAAUGAGACCUUCACAUAUUGCCGCUACUCUUUCUUCCUUCAAGAGUCCUUGUUCAAUAUUUAACAUCUAUAAUUUGGAAAUUUGUGAAUGUUACACGAACAAAUACAUAUAAGGAGCUAGAAAAUAAUUAACUAGUAAUAGUUUUAUUUUACGUACUUUAAAGUUGUGCGGCGUCAUCUUCAGUCCCUUGGGUCCCAUAAAACUGUGCAUGUGCUCACAGAUGUAGUAGCCACAUACAUUAUUCCCGGGUUCCUGUCUUAAGCACUUCAGUGCGGAAAAAAAUAAGUUAUGAAAUAUUCUUGUUAUACAAUGUAAUAAAUGUGCAGACUUCAUACGUACCGGGAAGUCUGUGUUCCAUGUAAGUUUUUCUUUGAAUGGACCUUUGUGUGUCCUUAUGAAUUGUUUCCAUGCGCUGCGGAUUAGAAUAAUGAAUGAUACGAUGUAACAGGGAUAAAAUUUAGGAAACAAACUUUUGCAUAGAGAUAAAGGUCCAGAAUUAUUACAAGCCUAGCAUGUCUUGCACUUCUUGGUACUCCACCGGAUCUUUCCUCAACGAAUCGAAGACAGUGACGUGGCUUCUUUCAGGCUCAAUUAUAAUAAGGAUCCAGUGGAAGCUGCGUGCGUAAAAUGUUCAUGCAUAUUAGAGCUAACUAACAUGUAGAGAUAAGGAAAAAGGCAUCGAAAGUAGACAGUAUACACACACUUACUUGAAGUUGUAUGGAAGUAGUAUGAAAUCCUUGAAUGUUUGUUUGUCUAGGAAAUUGUAUACCUCCACCAAGGUUUUUUUCGGCGCUAAUUGUAUCUGUGGUUGGUUAACUACAGAUGGAUCCAUGAAGCCUAUAUGUAGGUACGCCUCUCGGCGGCAUGUCUGAAUUAGCAUCCUACAUUAAAUGGAAGACGAAGUUAGUACGGUGACGCAUGCCAAAAUUUACAUGUAGAGAUAAACGGACACUUACAGAACCUAAGCGCUGAUCAGAGAGACGUCCAGGGCAUCAUGAUGGUACACUUCGUAUAUAUCCUUGAAGUCUAGCCACAGCACUUUCUCCCCUUCGCCGUGAAAAUCUAUCGGUUUUACCUUCAGGCCGAGCAUCUCCCUCGAGUCGGCGGAUGCCAUCAUGUACCAUUGAUGGAAGGCGUACAUCUUUGUUGAUAGCUUCCGUACCAAUGAAGGCUUUACUAGAGGUUUGCCUAGCUCAUUAGGCCAUCUCGGCUCAGGGGGCGGUGCAGUUGGCGUCUCAACUUGCCCUAUGCAUUCAUCAAGUCCCAGACCUGUUUCUUCCAUGAACUUCAAUACAUUUGCUUGUUGAUCCAAGGGCAUUGCUUUUAACCGUUGAGCAUCUUUUUUUGAUAAAUGGCUGAGGUCGGGGACAGGACCGCUGGAAGAUGACUUUCCUUUCCUUUUAUCCUUUUCAUCAGCCUUUACUAAAGCCCAUUCAUAGUUUGAUAAGAGUGGUAUCCUUUUCUUGGCUCCUUCUUCCAUCCUGAUAAAAAAGUUUAAAUCUCUUCGACUUACUGGCGGUGGCUCCAUCUCCCUUGCUUUUUUUUUUCUUCGGCUUGUUUCUUGAACCACUCACUGGCCUCUCGUUGGAUUUCUGCCCACUGUUCCGCAUGAGACAUUGCCUCCUAGCGUUCCUUACGAGUCACUUCAGGCUCCUUUGUUUUCUUCUUUCUCUGUCUUUGCUUGGGAGGCGAAGCUCGUGACUUCUUUAGUGGUGGUGCAGGUUCCUUCAAGGGGGCCACUCUUGGUGCCGGCGACGGUGAUCGGGGAGGGGUGUUGUUAUUGUCGUCAUCGCUCCCAGCACCAGGAUGUGGUGGAGAUCGAGACCUUGAUAUAGAUGGAAGGGAUGGUCCUAGAGCAGGAGAUGACGGUCUUGAGGUAUGAGGAGAAGGUCGCUACUGGGGAUCUACGGGGAGCGGUCUUGAGCUCUGAGGAGAUGGCUCCGUGCCGAGAAUAAUGAUGUAGCAUUUUCACCAUAGAAUGAUCCCAUGAAGUGCAUCUGCCAAUGUCUGUUUCCCAUCGCCUCCCGGGAGGUCGAGCUCUAGACCUUCAUAUUGGCUAUCAACUAUUUGAUCUACGCGAACGCUGGCGUAGCUAGGUGGAAUCUCCAUGCCAUGACUGCUCUGCCCCGCCAGGGUUGCUAACGCACUCCCGUACGCUACAUGUACAUAUAGCAGAAGUAAACAAGUUGAACUCUGAUCUCGAGGCCUGGAUCAAUUGACAAUAUUGCAUAAAUAUUAUGUAUAAGUAUACCUUAAUAGUGAGGUUGCCGACCGAUGCAUGCAGCUCACAUGAGGUCCGUUGCGUGAUGGCAUCCACGGGGAACCGUUGCUCCUCCAUGGGUAACCUGGACGUCUGCGCAUCAGGGACCCCUGUAGAAGCACAACUGCUCAAGAGGCGUUGAGAAGGGCUGGCGGUGUUAGGAUUCGGCAAUGCUCCAGAUUAGGCCAACUCCGCAACUGCGUGGGCCACUCGACGAUUGAUUUCCUCCAUCAUUCUUUGUUCUUGUGCCUGCACUUUAGAUUCUAGCAUCUGCCACCAGCUCUCCUCGAUCUGUUCCUUUCUUCGCUUCCGGCUUCUGUACGAGGCGCUAUCACCUCGGAAAGCAAACUUCCACGGAACCACCCCGAACCCUCGGCAACGUCCUGGGUGCUCCGGAUUACCGAGGGCCAAUGUGAGCUCAUCAUUUUCUCGGUCCACCUUCAACCUCCCAGCCUUAGAAUCUUCAAUGUUCUUCACAAGAUGUUCGGCCUUCUCACGUAUUGUGUCAUUAAAAAUCAACGUCCCAUCCUCUUGGCUCAGGGAGUCUCCAUGAGCGUAGUACCAAUUUUUUGAUCGUUCGGGCCAUUCAAUAGUUGCAGGUACGAUUCCCCGUUCGAUCAGAUCUUGUUCCAUCUUCCUCCACUUGGAAAUUGCUGAGCCAUACCCACCUCGCCCCAGAUGAUGAAGGUAGCCCUUCUGACUAGCAUUUGUUGUGUUGGUCAUGAUCUUUUUCACACCGUCUUCACUCAUCUUAUAUUCAACAAAUGCAUCCCAGUGGUCCCUCAACUUUGGCAACGCAUUGAAGUCUGGAGUUCGGCCCUUCUUAAUGUAGUGGGUAUCCAGCAUCUUCUUGAAUGUCUGGAAUUGUGUAGCCAUCUUCUUAAGCGUCCACGCUUUCACAUCCUUCUCAAUAUAUCCUUCGGGGAAUGUGAAAUGUCUCUUGACGUCUUCCCACAGCAUAUUCUUUUCUGUCUCCGGGAGGGCGUACGGAUUAGUGCUUCUACCCUUCAAUUCUCUGAUGCUGAUAGGCAUGUUGUCCCGGACGAUUGCCCCAAUCUGACUCACGUACUUCUUUGCUAAUUUCUCCGGAGCAACCGGCCUUCCCUCUUCUGUCACUUCCGUGAUGACAAGCCUCCCUUCCAUCACCUUUGUACGACCUCGGGUCUUCUGCCCUUGCGUCGAUCCGGAGGGCUAACAGUUCAAGAUUCGUUAAUUAGUACGUAGUAGUAACGGUGGCGUGGAACAAUACAAGAAUCAUGAUAUAUACCUUGCCGGAACCUUCCGCCACGGCAAGGUGUUGCUGGGGCUGUUGCUCUUCAUUCCCAUCGGCGGACAUGUUGAGGAACAUGUCCGCCUAGGUGCCCUCUUCAUCCGUGUACGAUAGUGGAAGGUUGUCGCCACUACCAUCACCAGCGAUUAUCUGCUCCAUGAUAUACCUUGCGGUCUCAUCGUCUGCCAUUUCAACUAUUGAUUGAAACAUACAUGGAAUCAUACAUGACAGUCAUAGAAAUCUCCUUACUUAUAUGUCUAUAAUGAAAUCAUAAUUUAUACAAAUUUCUACAAAUUAGUAGUACUUUGUGACGAAUUUCUAGCAAUAACAUGAAUUUUUACGAAUUCUAGCAAUAACAUGAAUUUUUACGAAUUCUAGCAAUAACAUGAAUUUUUACGAAUUUCUAGCAAUAACAUGAAUUUUUACGAAUUUCUAGCAAUAACAUGAAUUUUUACGAAUUUCUAGCAAUAACAUGAAUUUUGUACGAAUUUCUAGCAAUAACAUGAAUUUUUAUGAAUUUCUAGCAAUAACAUGAAUUUAUACGAAUUUCUAGCAAUAACAUGAAAUUUUACGAAUUUCUAGCAAUAACAUGAAUUUGCGGAGGUUGGGGCGGCGGGCGGAGGCAGGGACGGAACCACAGGCGGUGCCUAGGUUGUGACGGCGGCGGGCGGAGGUGGGAACGGAACCACGGGCGGUGCCUACUAGGUUGUGACAGCGGCGGUCAGGGCGGCGGGACGGCGGAGGCAGGGGAAACGAAACACGAUUCAUUUCUAACCUAGGCGGAGCAACGAACCUAAUUACUACUAAUUACUACUAAUUUACACUAAUUUGAUUUUUAAACUUAUAUACAAAAAAUCUAACUUAAAAAAAAUCUAACUUAAAAAUCUAACUUAAACACAUAUACAAAAAUCUAACUUCAAAAAAUCUAACUUAAAAAAAAUCUAACUUAAAAAUCUAACUUAAACACAUAUACAAAAAUCUAACUUAAAAAUCUAACUUAAUUUUCUAACUUAAGAAAAAGGCCCUUGCUGACGCAAGCCGGUGGGCUUGCGUCAGCAAGGCGGUAGACCCCGACACCAGUGCCGGCCGACGCAGCGGACCUAUCGCGCGCGGUUGUUGACGGUGGCCGGGGCAACGAGGUGGCCGGGUCGGCGGCGGCCGGGGCGGCGGGACGGCGCAGCGGCCAGGGUGGCAAGGACGGCGGCCGAGGCGACGAUGGAGCCAAGGCGCGCGGGAUGGCGGGACGGCGGAGGCGGGACGGCGACGAGGGGCGACGAGGCGGCGACGAGGCCCGCAAUGGAGCUCCGGUGGCCGGCGACGACGAGGUAAGGGCCAGGCACGACGGACGAGGAGGAUCGAGGCGGGCCGGCUGGGGCGAUAGAGGAGGAGGAUGCCUUGGCGCGAUUGGCGGCGGGACGACGACAGCCGGGGCAAUGGGGGACGAUGAUAGCGGCGGCCGGCGAGGGAGGCGGACAGGCGGCGACGGAGCAGAACGCGCGGGACUUGACGAAAAUUUUGCUAAGUGUAACUGGCGUGGGGGUAGAAGGGAGUACAGUGCCUUUUAACCCCCCCCCCUUUUAUCCCGGUUCGUAAUGGCACCCAGGACUAAAGAGCCUUUAUUACGAACCGGGACUAAAGGGCCUUUAUUCCCGGGUCCCAUCACCAACCGGGAUAAAAGGCCCCCUUUUAUCCUGGUUGGUGAUGGGACCCGGGAAUAAAGGCCCUUUAGUCCCGGUUCGUAAUAAAGGCUCUUUAGUCCUGGGUGCCAUUACGAACCGGGAUAAAAGGGGGGGGGGUUAAAAGGCACUGUACUCCCUUCUACCCCCACGCCAGUUACACUUAGCAAAAUUUUCGUCAAGUCCCGCGCGUUCUGCUCCGUCGCCGCCUNNNNNNNNNNNNNNNNNNNNNNNNNNNNNNNNNNNNNNNNNNNNNNNNNNNNNNNNNNNNNNNNNNNNNNNNNNNNNNNNNNNNNNNNNNNNNNNNNNNNCCCCCCUUUUAUCCCAGUUGCCGUUAGCAACCGGGAUAAAAGGGGGGCCUUUUGUCCCGGUUGCUGUUAGCACCUGAGACAAAAGGUCUUUUUUCCUAUUUUUCUUCUCCCGCCUGUUUUUUGGAAAUGGAUUUUAUUUUACCUUUUCACUGCAUUUCAGGAUGAAAAACAAAACCUUCACAGAUUUUGUACAUGCAAAAAUAUAUUUAAUUAACGAGUAAAUUGACAAUAAGUAUGAAGUAAUCAUUAAUUCUAUACCAACUCAUUUAGCCUGUAAAAUAUUUAUUUUACUGCAUUGCUGUGAUCAAGAAAUUAUUCAAUUAAAUUAUUUGAAUGCGCAGAAAAAUCCAUGUUAGUAUGUGGUUAACAAUGUUCAUGUUUAUCUAAAAAAUCUUCACCUAACAAAUUUAAUAACACAUGAAAUCAUACAUAGGGUAAAUUACAAAUUGUAUCAAUUAAUACACAAAGGUCAUGUACAUUUAACGCAUUACAAUACAACGUUGUAAAAUUUCUUCUUCACGAAAGUUCCUUGAUCAUGAUCGCGGCGUAAGUACGGAGCCUCUUCUUUGGAUAGCAGGAUGCUUGGAUCAACUUCAACGGCGAAUGGAGGCAUGCCAUCAAACUGAUCAUAAUCAUCUGAUUGGUCUUUUUUAUCCUCGACUCCCACGAUUUUUCUUUUACCUGGAAGAACUAUGUGGCACUUUGGCUCCCAUGUCUCUUCUGGAUUCCUCUUGGGUUUGCUGCACAUGUCCUUCACAUAGAACACCUGAUGCACAUCAUUGGCAAGUACGAAUGGGUCAUCACUGUAUCCAGUCUUGCUCAGAUCUACUAUUGUCAUUCCGUACUGAUCUUUGGUGACGGCAGUUAGCUUCACCCAAUUGCAAAGAAAUAGAGGGAUGUACAGUGGUCCGUAUUCGAGUUCCCAUAUCUCCUGUAUGAAACCAUAAUACAACUCCUUGCUAUUAUUUCUGUCCAUGGCAUCUAUGCGGACACCACUAUUCUGGUUCGUGCUUUUCUGGUCCUAGGCUCUCGUGUAAAAUGUGUAACCAUUUAUCUCAUAGCCUUGGAAUUUGACGAUUGUGGUAGCAGGUCCCCUGGCUAACCAGGCAAGCUGUGGGUGAAUCUCAGAGUUACCCAUAAGUUGUUGGCGCAACCAGGAGGGAAAAGUUUCCAUGUGAUGACGGGUAAGCCAAGCAUCGGAUUUGGUCGGGUUUUUGGAAGCUACCAUCUGCCUGUGCUGCUCGAUAUACGGAGACACAAAGGAUGACUGUUGUAGAACAGUGUAGUGUGCCUUGUCGAACAAAUCAGUAUCAUUGCUCAAACUUGAUUUCCUUCCAAGGGUGCCCAUUCCUCGGAGCCUCCCCUCGUGGCGUGAAGUUGGAACCCCAAUCGAGUCAAUUGAAUCAAUAAAAUCAACACAAAACUCGAUCACCUCCUCUGUUCCAUAUCCCUUGGCGAUGCUUCCUUCUGGACGGGCAUGAUUAAGAACAUAGUUUUUUAGGACUGCCAUGAACCUCUCGAAAGGCCACAUAUUGUGCAGGUAUACAGGUCCGAGAAUACCAAUCUCUUUUACUAGGUGAACCAGUAAGUGCAUCAUAAUAUUGAAGAAGGAUGGUAGAAAUAACAACUCAAAACUGACAAGACAUUGCACCACAUCGUUCUGUAGCUUUGAUAGCUUGGAUGGAUCGAUUGCCUUCUACGAAAUUACAUUGAGAAACGCGCAUAGCUUUACGAGCGGCAACCGGACAUUUUCUGGUAGAACACCCCUCAGUGCAACCGGAAGCAACUGGGUCAUCAACAUGUGGCAGUCAUGAGCCUUGAGAUUUGUAAACUUCUUUUGUUUCAUAUUUAUUAUUCCCUUUAUAUUUGAGGAGUACCCAGACGAGACCUUCAUACUAUUCAAGCAUUCAAACAUGCUAUCCUUCUCUUCCUUGCUGAGAGUGUAACUGGCAUGACGUAAGUAGUGCUGUCCAUUAUCUCUCUUUUCCGGAUGUAGGUCAUCUCGUUGCCCCAUGGCUUUCAGGUCCUGUCGUGCUUCCAAUGUAUCUUUUGAGGUUCCAUAAACACCCAUGAAGCCUAGCACGUUCACGCAAAGAUUCUUCACCAGGUGCAUCACGUCUAUUGCGUUGCGAACCUUUAGAAUUUCCCAAUAAGGUAGCUCCCAAAAUAUUGACUUUUUCUUCCACAUGGGUGCAUGUCCGUUAUCGUCGUUCGGAACAGGUUCGCUACCAAUUCCUUUUCCAAAGACUACAUUUACAUCCUUCAUCAUCUCGAAGACACGCAUUCCAUUACGGUGUGCAAGUUUUUUUCGAUGGUCUGGCGCCCCUUUGAAAUGCAUCCCGCUCUUUCUCAGCUGGUGGUGAGCAGGGAGAAAUCGACGAUGACCCAUAUAGACGACCUUCUUACAAUGCUUCAAGUACAUACUGUCUGUGUCGUCUAAACAGCGGGUGCAUGCCCGAUAUCCCUUAUUUGUUUGUCCUGAAAGGUUACUCAAUGCAGGCCAAUCAUUGAUGGUUACGAACAACAAUGCUCGUAGAUUAAAGAUCUCUUGUCUAUCCUCAUCCCACGCACGUACACCUUCUUCCUUCCAGAGUUGUAAAAGGUCAUCAACAAACGGCCUUAGGUACACGUCAAUGUCAUUGCCGGGUUGUUUUGGGCCUUGGAUAAGCGCCGGCAUCAUAAUGAACUUCCGCUUCAUGCACAGCCAAGGAGGAAGGUUGAACAUACAAAGGGUCACAGGCCAAGUACUAUGGCCACUACUCAACUCAUCGAAUGGAUUGAAUCCAUCAGUACUUAAACCAAACCUUAUAUUCCUUGCUUUACUUUCAAAGUCCGGGAAUGUUCUAUCAAUUGAUCUCCACUGUGCCCUAUCUGCGGGGUGUCUCAGCAUCUCAUCUUCCUUAUGGUCUUCUUUGUGCCAUCGCAUCAACUUAGCAUUCACCUUGUUCCUGAAUAAGCGCUUCAAGCGUGGUAUUAUAGGGAAAUACCACAUCACCUUCGAUGGAACUCUCUUCUUGGGAGACUGCCCCUCGACAUCACCAGGAUCAUCUCGCCUGAUCUUAUACCGCAGGGCUUCGCAGACGGGACAAACAUCCAAUUUCUCGUAUUCAUCACCACGAUAGAGGAUACAGUCAUUAGGGCAUGCGUGUAUCUUUUGAACAUCCAAUCCGAGAGGGCAAAUAAUCUGUUUAGCUUCAUAUGUUGUGGACGGUAAUUAAUUAUUCUCGGGGAGAAUCUUCUUGACAAUGUUCAACAUCCCCUGAAAUGCCUUAUUGGACACACCAUUUUUUACCUUCCAUUGCACAAAUUCUAGUGUCGUACCUAGUUUUUUAUGGCCCUGCUGGCAAUCUUGGUACAACAAUUUUUGGUGAUCAUCUAUCAUGUGCUGCAACUUUGCUGCUUCCUUCUCAGUUUCGCAAUCUCUGUAUGCAUCUCGUAACACCUGACCAAAGUCAUCAGUAGGGCCAUUUUCUGCAAACUCAUCUUCAUUAGCCUCGCCCAUUGUACUACCUGCAAAAGCUUGGCCUGCAACCCAGUCCGGAAUGGUGUCAUCUUCCUCCUCCUCCUUGCCAUCUUCCAUUACGACCCCUAGUUCACCGUGCUUGGUCCAAAUCAAAUAGUUAGGCAUGAAACCGUAUUUAAACAAGUGGCUGUGAAUAGUUCCCAAGGAAUCCUUUGAAUACUCCUUCUUGAUAUUGCAUUGGAAGCAUGGACAACAUACGAACCCAUUCUCUAGCUUGUUCGCUUUGGCCACUUCAAGAAAAUAAUGCAAGCCAUCAAUAAACGCCUUGCUCCACCUGUCUGCAUUAUACAUCUAUUGCCGGUCCAUCUGCAUCGUAUUACGCAUGAAAAUGGAUUACACUUGACAAUGGAUUACGCGUGAAAAUCGAUUAAAAAUCCAAACAACAUGGUACAAUACAACAACAUGAAGAUCCAAAUACACAUAUUUAAAUUAAAGUUCCAAAUAACAUGAUACAAUACAACAAGCCAUCCACUGGUUAUUAUCUAGGAGGAAUUUAAGCAUCCUUGGAUGGUGAAGACGAAGGUUCCGCUGACCCAAUCUCAUCCUUAGGUUUAUUUGUGCCGCCUGAAACGGUAGUACUAAGUGGACGUGAAACACCCGGGACUGAGGGUGGAGCAUAACGACCACCAAAAGGAGGUUCCUGACCCGCGGCAACAACUUCUUCAUGACGUUGCUGCAAAUAACGAAGCAUUGUUUUUUCCAGCGCGUUGUUUUUCUUCGGCUUAUGCGGAGGGCCAACUAUGAUUUUCCCCUUGCCGAAAUAGGAACCACGAUCGCCCCCACCAUCGCCACUUCCUCCAGUAGCAGAAGCCAUCUAUGUACAAAAAUUAUUACCUUAACACUGCCUAAGUUGUUGAACUUUUAGACCGUGAUCAUCUCGCGAGCAUGUCCUCAACUGGGCGGCACUGCACUUCAUCAUGAAAGAGGUUAGAUGCUACGGAAAAGGGGACACGGUCACGAUGUCCGUAUCCACUCUUUCUCAUAGAAUCGAACCUCCUUCUUGACAUACAUUUCUGCUCGGCAGAGAACAUUCUCGCCGAUAUGAACACGGUAUGCAAGUUCAACAAGUAUGGAUUUGAAAAACCUUAUUGAAUUUGAUAAGUUCAACAAGUAGGAGAAGUCAUCUAUGUACAAAAAUUCUUUCCUUACCACUGCAAAAGUUGUUGAACUUGAAGACCGUGAUCAUCUCGUGAGCAUGUCCUCAACUGGGCGGCACCGCACUUCGUCAUGAAAGAGGUUAGAUGCUACGGAAAAGGGGACACGGUCACGAUGUCCGUAUCCACUCUUUCUCGUAGAAUCGAACCUACUUCUUGACAUACGUUGCUACUCGGCGGAGAACAUCAUCGCAGAGAUGAACACGGUAUGCAAGUUCAACAAGUAUGGAUUUGAAAAACCAUAUUGAAUUUGAUAACAUAAACCGUCUAGAAAAGGUAGCAUCAUUCUUAAACCACUGCAAUAAUGCAUACUAUAUAUAUGACACAUCAAUCUCACUCACAUUCUAGCUCAAAAUACCUCUCCAUUUUCUACUUGAUCAUCACAUUCUAGUAAAUAAUCUUUCCAUCUCCAAAGCAUAAAUCAAAGCAUAACACCAGGAUGAAGUAGCAAACCUUCACAACACUUGUGUUGGCCGAGUGAAAUUCCCACGAAAAUGAGGGAAAAAACUUCGGGCAGCACCUCCCUUGCUUCGGCACCACUGGAGAGUAGGUGAAGCUCAGCUCUCUCUGUCAAUGUGCUGGACUGGCUCGGGCUGGAGGAGGAAGAAAGUGCUCUGUCUUGGCCGUAUAUAAUGGGGAUGAGUUUUUAUCCCGGUUAAAAACUCCAACCGAGACAAAAAGAACACCUUUUGUCCCGGUUGAAGGUUUAGAAGGGACACCCUUUUAUCCCGGUUGGAAGCUCCAACUGGGACUAAACUUUUUAUCCCGGUUGGAACCUCCAACCGGGAUAAAAUGGUGCCGCCACCGACGGCCCCCAGCUAGCCGUUGCAACCGGGACUAAAGGGGGGUUUAGUCCCGGUUGCAAUUACCAACCGGGACUAACUCUCCCCUCCAUUUUUGCCUACCGUGGCGCACCCCCUUUUGUCCCGGGCUAACUUUAAACCGGGACAAAAGGGGGCGCAUCGAAAGCUAAUUCUCUACUAGUGGCGGCAGGCUAUGCCUGGUGGAGAGACCAUGCUCCGCGCACGAUAAGAAAGGUGAGCUAACCACCACCGACCGCCGGCUUGCGCGCUCUUAUGUGCAUUCCAGACACGCUAGAUACAAAUUCAAUCUGCAUGCUUUCUGGAUGUAGCUAAUAUUGGAGGACAUUAGCUGCAAACUCGGUGUUUUGAUCCUGAAUAUUGUUGGGCGAUUCAGAGGAAAUAUUGGCCUCCCCUCUCUCCCUCUCAUACACAAUUUUUUGUCUGCAACAAAUUGGGCUUUGUUUAGACUUAUAGUGCGUUUGCAAGUUGCAACCCUUUCGGCGUGUUUGAGUGUCGUAUUUAGCACUAGUUUCACACUGAAAGCAGUGGCACGGAGAUUCUGGCUGCGUUUGCUAACUGGCUCGCGAGACAGCCGCACCGGCGGUUGCUGUAAUGCCACGCAACAGUGUUUUACUGAUCACUCAUGUUUACUCUAUCUAAACCAAAUAAAAAUAGAGCGACACUGUUAAUUUUGUUGCAGUUGAACUUUGUAUGAAUCUAAAAUAUAGGGCAAAUUAUCACUGUAUACGUGGCCUGUUUACUAUCGCAAGGACAGCACCACCACCCACCAGGACUGCCUCGACGAGCCAGGACGACAACGUAGAAUUGAACAUGGCGUCACAGUGAGCAUUGACUCCAUUCGCGCACCAAACUGGCACCUUCGUGUUCAAACAUUGCAUUAAGUGUUAAUGCAUAAUUGAUAGACCUCGCAAAUAAUCAUGUAAUUUUUUUAUUCUGCUUUGUUGGUGGCUAUUCCCCGAUGCCUCAACCUGAGCAGGCUUAUGUCUAAUCAGAUACAAAACCUAGCGCCUCUAACGCCAGUAUCGGCUAUUCCUCUUACAUUAAAUAAUGUCGUGAAUCAUUUUGGGUCGGAAAAAUAAGCAAAAUAUCUUCUAAUUAGAACUAACAUCCAUGCUACACGCAAGAUGCAUGGAUCCAAAAUGUGUAACAACUUUUUCACUAUACCACAGCCCCUCAAGGCCGACUACGUUGUAGUUGGUAUAUAUUGUUGCAUGGACGAAUCAUCGGUCGGUAUAAAGUUGUGCCGACCCCAGUUAUAAGUCAUUAUAAGUGGUGUCGGUAUAAAUCUAUACCGACCAACAGGGGCGGAUCCGGGGGGCUAGGGGGGCUGCAACCCCCCUCCCCCGAGAGCCCGAUUUUACCUGUAAAAUACUGUAGACAAAGUCUCAAAUUACCAUUAAUUUCUAGCUCUAGCCCUUAAUCUCUACUAUUUAGCCCCCCCCCCCCCCCAUCGAGGUGUUCAUCCUAGUUCCGCCCCUGCCAACCAACGUAUUUAUACUGACCAAUAGUCUGAUGCACGAUAUAGAAAUAACGACCAACAGAACACAACAUAUAAUUACAUGUUUCUAUAUGAAAUUGCCUGCAAAUUGUUCUAUCACCAGUGCUUACAUAGGCAUCACAAUAGGCAUCACAAGAUCAUCAGAGUGGGAACAUAUUGCAUCGAUUCAUUGAAAAGCAUGUACCAUUGGUAUAAAGUCAUCCAUACAUGAUAUUAAGUCAUCUAUAAUAAUCUAGUAGUCCGGCCAACAAUAUUACAUUGUGCAUCAAACUAACUGAGCAACAAAGCUAGCUCGCAGCCAAGAAUAGGACUACAAACUAAUCAACAAAGCUCACAGCCAACAUGAAGACUGCAUCUAUGAGCAAAAUAGCCAUACAACCAAGCUCGCAGCCAUUUAGGUCCACAUCAGCCAGCAUGAAGUCUACAUCUACCAUUUGAGAUCUACCAAAAUACCACAAUUCACUACAACCAGCAAGCUUGCAGCGAUACAACCAAGCUCGCAGCCAUUUAGGUUGAGUGCAAAAUAUUUCAUUUCCACGGACUCCAAAAUAACACAAAAAUCAUGAACACUUGCAACCGGCUUCAAGGGACCCUCCUAGCAUUUCUUCUAGAACUACCUGAUAGUCAAUAUGGAUGGAACCAGUGACAAUUUUCAGCAAAAUAACAGAAAGAGGAAAUGUCAUACAAUCACUCAAAAUGCUACCAAUGUCAUAAUUAUCUUAAUUAGCACAGUACAAGACCUUGGCCAAACAAAAAGCUGCUAUUCUGUUCAGAUCGAUGCUCAUCACAGGUGAUCUUGAUUGUUUAUUCAUUAGAGCAGCACCUAACUAAGCAUAAUAGUGUAGUUUUUCACUUAUGUUCUGUAGAGCAUCACCUAUCGUAAUUAGCAUAGGACAAGACCUUGGGCAAACAAAAAGUUGCUAUUCUGUUCAGAUGUUCGUAUUUAGUUUAUAUACCAGCCAACAUAUUUUGUUAAUAAGUUAUGGAAAACAUUGAUCUCAUCUAUAGAAGCUGGACAGAUUAUAUAUGGAUUUUUGAAAGCAGAAUUCAGAAUAAAUACCUGCAGUACCCUGGAAGGAUUUUGAUGCCUUGCUAACCUUCAACUAGAACACAUAUCAUUAGUUAGAAACAUGGUCAAUCAUCACAGAUGAAAAAAAAUAAAAAAAAGAUAAGUUUAGGUUUUUACUUUCUAUAUGGCCAUGCAAUUGACAUCAUUUGAGCAUCAGCCAUAUUGUUCAUUUCAGCAUAAGGUCAAGGCAGAAUUGCAUCCCUUUUCAGCACUAAAUUCACAAGAACUUCACAAAAUUGCAUUCCAAGUACCUAACCUCCUACCAUGGUGUUUGAAUUAGUUGAAAUAAUCGUUCCCUUAGCCACAGGUAGAUUAGAUCUCAACAUGGCAUAUAAUAUCACCUCCUUUCCAACCUGAAGCAAAAAAUAACACUUAUGAAAUGAAUCAACAUGUAGAACCACUAUAAAAUCAGAAGUAGAAACUUCAUAUGAUUGAUGAGAAGAUUACAAGUUCAUCAUGUGGCGAGCGACUGACAUCAUUCCUUGCAAGGGCUGCUGGGGUAGCAUUGGUGGGGCUACAUUGUUGGGACUGAGGAGGAGGCUGCACUGAUGGGGCUAUAGAAUGCCUAUUGGCAAGAAAGAAUUCAUCCUCAUCGGAAUGAUCAUUGUUAUCUGAACCAUCGUCUUUAGAUUGAGCAUCAUGAUUUGCCUCAUCAACAUGUCCUUCAGAGCUUGGGCUCUACAUCAAGUAUUAGAAUUGUAAGCAAUAAAUCUGCACAAAAUAAAUCAAACAUCAGAAUUGAACUGUAGAAUGGGGUCUUGAAUUAGAACCAUUCUGUGAAAGGAGUUCCGCAUUAUGCCUUGCCAUCCUUUCCUUUUCAUGGGCUUCCUCCAUUUUUGCUAUGCAUCGUUCUAAAGUAGCUUUCUCACUUUCAAGCUUCUUACGAGCCAAAACUUCUAUUUGAAGCCUUGUUGGUGUGUAAGCCCUCAACCUAGGGAUACCAACCUCUUGGGGAGUUGGUCCUAGACCCAAACCACGAACACGCCCUCUUGGCUCCUUUUCUCCACAAGCAGCAGCAAAUGCGUCGCCUUAUUGAAUUGUUCUUUCUUUAAGCUCUGGAUGGACUUCAACGAUUUCUUUAAGUUUGUUCUGCACAAACGAAAUAUUGAUGUUUAUAUAGCAGAAAGUAAUAUUGCAUACUGCCUGAAAGGGGAAACAAAUGAAAUAUGGAUGAAUAUACAUGUUUACAGCAACAAAUGAAAUAAGCUUACUAUUAUGGGUUCAGCUUGACUUGAAGGAACUCCAUUCUUUCUUGUAUGUGUUUUGAUGCAGAGUUCAUCUCUUCUCGCAGGGCGCCCUAGUUUCUCAGCCUGCAUGUGUUUUAACUUUCAGUGCUGAAAAUAAAAGACAAUAAUGUGCUUAAAAUUCAAGAAAAUAUGUAUGUUUUCUGUACUAAUUCAUGCCUAGAACAAGCAAAACUGUUGCUGCCCGAUGUAUGAUGUAGCCUCAACUUUCCAUGGUUUGCUUUGCAUACUUCGGUGUGAUUCGAUGAUAAAAAGUAUUUGGUUAUGCAUAUAUAUGUAAAAAUAUAUUGAAGAACACAAAGCCAUAUUAACUGGUACUUACUUGACACUCUGGCAUCAUCCAAUAGUCAAUGAGAAAAUUCCAAUCAGCAGCAUUAACUCUAUUAGCAUGUUUUUCUUUCAGUUCCUCAUCACUUCAUUUUCCACUAAAAUAUAACUCCUUCAAGGUAGACUUAAAUCCCUUCCAUUUCCUUCCCGCAGUAUCCAUAAACCAGUUAUAGGCAGCAUCACCAAUGUCAUAGAUUGCCUGAUUAGUCAUAGAAAAGUAGUAUGCAUGAACCAGCUACUAUUUAAGAAUACACAUACAGAUGUAGAAAACAACACAGAACUAGCAGGAGAAACUACAAUACAAAUUCAGCCGUUGAAUGUCCCUCAAUGGUUUGUUUUAAGAAUAAACAGAGAUGUAGUAGCAGAGAUAGUAUGUAUGAAGUAUAUAUUAUCAAGAAAUGGAGCCAACAGUAAAAUAUGUUUAACAUAUACAGCUCAAUAAUAUUUACUUUUCAUUUGGCCAUGCAACUGAACUACAUGUGCACUUGCUCUAAUAUUUUCAUAUCAGACUAUCCAACUGACAUCAAUUUUACUAUUGAUACAAGAUACAAUAAUGGAUGUGCAAGUAUUAAAUCAAUUUUUGAAGCUACAAGUUCUGCUCCUACAAAGAUUUAAAAUGCCUAUGUUGCUCCAUUUUUCACCCGAAGAAAAUUUACCACAAGAAGCUAAUGGAUUAAACCUUAGCUGUCAUACAUACAGAUUGAGGAACUAUAUGAAAGGAAGAAAUACCUCGUGUCUGAGCUAUCAAGAUACUUCACUUUUACCAUCAAGUGAAAACCUAAGCAACCAAUAUCCUUUAUUAAGAAUAACAUCCCCACUAAACCAAACUUGGCAAUAGGAGACUCAUUAUCGGAAUGCACAAACGAGCAUCCAAUAGUUAUAUAUCAUUCUCAGUGAAAUAUCAGUGAACACAUAGCAACCAAGAGGAAUGCUAGGAUUGAACCUUCAGUUGGACAAGUGUUGGCCGGAUCAGGGUGGUGGCUUGCAAGUCAGGGAAGAGGCAGACUCUUCGUCGUGGCCGGUUCGGGGUAGUGCUACUUGGGGUCAGCGUAAUUGGUGCAUUGGCGGCAUCCUCCUCAGGGCUGGUGCGGUCGGAGCCGGGACGACAUCUGGCUGUAGAUCCAGGCGGUGCGGGAUGGUGUUGGGGCGGCACUAGGAUGUAGGUGCAGAGCACCGCCGGGCUACAGGUGUGGGGUCGUGCCGGGAUGGAGGUGUAGGGCGGCACCAGGCUGUGUCGUACAUACAUAUAUGGGCCCACCAGAAGGUUUGGAUAGUCUGAAAUAUAGGACUGGACACCAAGACGCAUCUGAUAUGGAGACUAUGGCGUAGGACGGCGUAGUCUACGUGGAAAAAUAGGAACUAGUCGAGGAUUAGAAAAGUACUCAUAGUAAUAAGAGUAGAACUCUUCUAGUCAUAUCCGACUAGUAUUCUUGUAACCAACUGACCUGUAACAUGCCCUGGGCAAUAUAAGGUGAGGCAGGGACCCCUCCAAAGAAUUCAAUCCAACCAACACACAUGAUGUAGGGUAUUACGCAAUCUAGGAGUCCGAACCUAUCUAAAUUGUGUGUCUGUGUUUACCUUCAAGUUCCUAAUCUUGACAAGCCCCACUAACCAAAACAUUACUUCGGGCACCGCCCAUGGUAGGUUGCUGGGUUUAAACACCGACAGGUUGGAGGGGUGGAGUGGCUUGGGGCUGCAAGUGAGAGUGGCGCUGGGCUGCAGGUCGAGGCCGCAUCGUGAUGUGCUGGAGCUGCGAGCCGCGUCGUGCUUGUAGGUCGAGGAUUUGUGUGGUGGAGGCAAGCUGGUGGCAACGGCGGGCGCAGGAAAAAUCGGUGGUGGAGGGGGGCGGGUGGUGGUGGCGGGAUUUUGAGUCUGUGGUGGAGGCACAAUGUGGGAUUUUGGGGGAGAUGGAGUGCGUGGAGGAGGGUAUUGGGAGAGGUGCGAGCGCGUGAGGGGAUUUUUGGGACAGCAACGAGCACGGGUGGGGAUUUGGCAGCGCGCUAGGCGGAGAUUUAGGGGAGAGGAGCACGCGAGGGAGAUGGAGAUCCAUGGGAGUGGCAGCGGGUGACCAGGAGCGAGAAAGAGAUGAACCUAUGGUUGGAGUUCAUACUGACUUGGUGGACCUAUAGGGCAAAUUUUGCGCGCGAGAAUGGGCUGGAAGCAUGCGCGGAUGUGAAUGGGCAUUUGUAAUGUAUAUCGACGGAUGGUUCGAUGUAUAAAUUAGGCUGUGCCGACCAAUGCUUCAAUGUAAAAUACAAAUGUUUAUACCGACGAAUGAUUGCUCGGUACAACUUGAAGUACCGACUAACAGUUCCUGACAAAUCUAUACCGAUGAACGGUUCUUCGGCACUUUUAUAUUUUUACCGACGCAUGUGCGAUGGGAUUUUGCGGUUGUGGUACAGUGUUUAGUGCUGAGACGUGCAAAAUGGAUCUCAACAUGUAUGGUUUAUUUUUUGUGGAAAUGUAUGGAACGUGCAGGUAUGAUCUAACUGUGUAACAAACUUUUUUGAAUGGACCGUGCAACAUGGAUCUCAAUAUGUAUGGUAUUUUUUUGGGUUGUGAAAAAGGUGACUCUUAUGUGCCACUUCUUUUUCCCUCGUUUUGUGCCUUUUCUUUUUCCCUAACAUGAACGUGCCAUGGAUUUGUUAAAGAAAACGCGAGAUGGGCUGCAUUUUGGUAAAACAAAUGUGAUACAGAUGACACGUGAUAUUCCCCCCUCACGUUACGUCAUGUUAGAUCUAAUAGGCUCUUCUAGUGACACAUAAUUUUAAAGUUCUAAUGAGAUAUCGGUGAAUUGUAACAUUUUUUUCUACGUGAGUUAAGCGAGUUGUAACAUUUUUAUGCAAAUUAUAUUAGGGAAACUGAAUGAGUUUAACUUGAUAAAUAUGAAAAUUAAACUUGUGCGGAAGCCAGAAAGAUGUGAUAAAAUUUUGCUUUUCAAAGAAAAACUCAUCACUUUUUUUAAAAAAAAAAACCUUUAUGACGGUACACGCAUGCGUAUAACCGGAUUUCUGGAGAUAAUGACGGCAUGGAAGGAUGCACACAUGCAUGCGUGACCGGUAAUUGAAGAGAAUUUCGUUGAUAGCUUUUUUAUUUUCCACAAUUAAUUUUUUUCUCUUUAUAAUCAAGAUUUGAUUCACAUCUUACCUAGCAAGGCACUUUUUAGGUGAGCAUUUUGGUUUUUAUAAUUUUUAUUAGCAAUUUAUUACCUGUAAUUAUUGAUUUAUCAGUUAAAUGUAAUUUAUUAAUAUUCUCUAUUAAAUAAAAAUAAAAAGUAUAAAUCUAAAAAAUAUAAAAAUUAUUCUCAAAUAUUGUUUGCAAUGUCACAUGAAUCAUUUGUGACUCAUGAAUGUUUGAUUACUCAAUUAAAAUUCAUAUUCUAAGUUUAAACAUGUGUUGCUUAAAAAAUCUAGGUGUUGUGUUAUUCUCAUUUACAAAUGUUUAGCUGCUUAUUCAAAUAAUUAUCUAUUAAACACUUCACUUUUAUCCACCGUACAAAUUGGAGUACAAUCUAUGAUCUUUAAUCUAUAUAUGUUAUGGAUAUGAGAAAUUAACGGUUGAUUGCUCAAAAAUGUAGUCAAACCUUUUGUCAAAUAGCUGUUAUAAUGCUCACCAUGAAAAUUACUGAGUCCUCGAAUUGCAUGGCUGAAACCCUUAGUUUAGGACAUGGCAUCAUAUAUUUUUGUCUAAACACAUCACUUAAACCAUAGUUUUGUAGCACUAUAGAUGAGCUUUACCUGCAUGGGGUUCUUGUCAUUUUGGACCAAGUUUAGACUCUUAAAAAUCAUGCAAAUGUCGACCAAAUGCAACAAAUAUGCAGGAACUACUGCUGCUGAACUUUUGUUCAGAGAGCACGUUCUUCCUCAAAGCUUUGGAGCUGUUGAUCUCUGAAACUAGUGAUCUAAACACCUAUGGUCUUUCCAAAAGUUGGACAUCACUAUACUAUCUACAAGUUUUAUUUGAAGUCCUUGGGCCUUUUACAUUUGAAAUUCGAUUCGAUAUUGUUGACUUCAUCCACCAUUCAAGCACUGAAUUGGUUGACUCAGUUUCAACGUGUUCUGCGUUCGCCGCAUGUGGCUUGACGGAGCAUACGUAUACAUAUGUCAUGUAGUCAGAUUUUUCUUGCAAAGAUUAAUCGUGUCGGUUUGCUAUAUCUCUAAGAUAUCAGAACCUUGAUAACUGAGUCAUAUCGUAGAAAGGAAGUGAAAUUUAAUGACAAUAAUUAUUAUUGUAUUCUAACCAAUUGUUUUUGCAUGGUAAAAUAUUUUUUAUCUUGCAAUCAUGGCAACUAGCUGCUCUUAUUUUAAUCCUGAUGCUAAAAUAUUGAAAGUAAGGAUCCACAUUUGGUGCUCGUAACCACGUAGUGCGAAAAAUUAUUUUAUGCUAAUAACCAUGUUACUAGAAAAUGGAAGUCCUCACAUUUUCUUGGUUUCUUACCUUGUUUUACAUCCAAGCACCGAUGUGCCAAUGUGUAGUCCCUUGUUUGUAUGUUUUAUAUAGUAGUUGUCUUUGGUUCACCAGUUCUCUAUACUUGGCAACGAUGAGUACCAAGGUAAAUGACACGAAAAGGGUACUGUGCAAUGUACCUAGGCAAGGGGGUGGUUGUUGUGAGAUAAGCUAGAAAAAGGAUCGUCUCAUUUAAGAAGGGCGCUUUUUGCCUAGGUACAUUACAUUAAUACACCUUGAUAAACUGAUUUAAUUGAUGAUUAGUAGCUGAUUUGUUUUUGGAGUGGCAAUAUAAUGGUGCCAAGCCUGUAAUAAGCACCGACUGGUUACGCUAAUACCCCUACCAUACCAUAAUUAGCACCGGUAGGGAACACUACGGGAAACACUCAAGUCGCCGAGUGUAAUUUUUUCGUCGAGUGCAAUACUGCGGGCACUCGGCGAAGGCCCCGUGUGCUGACACUCGGCAUACGGGUCGUGCUUGCCGAGUGUUGGUACUCGGCAAAGCCCUAGUGUUUGCCGAGUGCCUACUGUCUGGCACUCGGCAAACCUGCCGUUACCCCCGACGCCGUCAAUGCCCAUUUCGCCGAGUAUAUCUUUUCGCCGAGUGUUUUUUGGCCGUCGGCAAAAUGUUUGCCGAGUGCUCAAGUUUUGACACUCGGCAAAGUAGUGUUUGCCAACACAAAAUUUGCCGUGUGCUAUUUGCCGAGUGUAACACUCGGCAAGCCUUUGCCGAGUAUUUUUGGGUCUUCGCUAAGUGCCUGUGGCACUCGGCAAAUUGUGUGUUUCCCAUAGUGGAAACCUAAAAAUCAUCCAUGUUGUCACCUCCAUUAUGCCGACCAGUAAUCGGUAUGGAUGAGGAUUAAUAACAGCUCUUUUACGAUACACAAUACUACUACUUAGUUGUAUGUAGUGUAUAUAAGAUCUAACCGUUCUUUUCUAUGAAUAAUUUAGUAAUCAUUACAUUAUAAAAAGUGAUAUUUCAAAUGGACUAGUCUUUUAGACUUUAUGCUAUUGUCAAAAAUAUUAUAGUGAUGUUAUUUGUGUUCUUUUACCAUGAUACCCUUUACUAUCUAUACUAUUCAUGUAUACUACCCUACCACAUAUGAAGUUUUCAGUACUAUGCAAUUAAUCUUGAUCGUUGGAUGUUAUACUAGUCCUUUUCGAACAUUAGUAUAGCCUAAUUUUAUGUAUAGUAAAGAGCUCAUCGAUACUGUGCUCUCUGUAGAAGUGAUAUCACAGUUAGAUUGUGCUAAUAUUUGUUUGGUUAUUCAUGGGAACCAUAUAUAAGGAAAAGUUCUCGAAAUGAUCUGUACCAAUUUUAUUUUGCCACAAAUUUUCUUUCUCAACGUCUAAAAAUGAAACCAAAUUCUAAACGAAAUUCCAAAUUACAGUCCCAUAUAAGAAAGCUGGAAUGAUGUGAUUUUUUUUAAAUACACAAUCAGGAUUUUAUAUGUAUUUAGAAAAUUAUAACUAGCUAAAAUACACGUGCCAGCUAUCAUGCAUGUUGUGCUCAUAGCAUGGCACAAACUAGAAAUGUGCAACAGACAGUCAUAUAAGAAGAGUACGCCAGUGUGCGCGGCACAACACAAUUAAGGUAGGCUGUAGCAAACACUCCAACUCUGAUCAUCUGGCGAGUUCUGUGCUUAAAGCAGCUCUUCCAAUGCCAUAAAACCCCGUCGUUUCGGUCUCACCAGCAGUACUGAUAUACCCGUGACCCUCGAGAGCGUGUAGCGCCUCUGAGUCUUCCGGCAUUAUGUCUGACAGCCGCCGGAGCUCCUCCGCGACCUCUCCCAAGGCAGGCCUUUCCUUACCCGGAACAGCUGUGCAUCGGCUCGCAAGCUCCGAAGCUUGAUGGAUCACCCCCAUGGUAAUACUGGAGCCUUCUUUGACAAUGUCAGCGUCCAGGAGAUCAACAAGUGUCCCAUUCCCCAUGCAUUCCUGAAACAUUAUCGCCAGGUUCUUCUGUUCUUUUGCCCGUGGCUUCUUACGGGUCAGCAGCUCCAUCAGCACUACCCCAAAGCUGUAGACGUCGGUCUUGGCCGCGAGCUGGAAGUCCUGCAGAAACUCCGGGUCAAGGUAUGCAAGCGUGCCCUUGGGCACGACCUGGAUGUUGUCGUCGAUGGUUGAGCAGCCGAAGUCGGACACCUUGGCGACCCAGCCGUCGUCGAGGAGGAUGUUCUCCGGCUUCACGUCGCCGUGAAGCGUUGUGUGCGGCGGCGAGUGUAGGUGCGCGAGGGCCUCCGCGGUCUCCGCGGCGAUCCGCAGGCGGGUCGCCAGCAUCACCACCCGGCGCUUCGGCCACCCGUGAAGAAGUUUAUCCAGGGUCCCGUUCUGCACGAAUUCGUACACGAGCAUGGGAGCCUGAAAAUGCAGGCAGCAGCCGACAAGCCUGACGAUGUUGGGGUGAUUGACGCGGCAGAGUAUGACCAGCUCCCGUACGAACUCCUCCGUCCUGCUCGGGUCGAUCUGCUUGCAUCGCUUCACCGCGACAGUGGCCGCCGGCGUGGUGUCGUCGCCGCCGCUAAGGAUCGCCUUGUAGACGGUCCCAUGUGCUCCUUCCCCGAUGCUGUUGUUCUUGUGGAAGUUUCGCGUGGCCUUGACGAGUUCUCCUCUGUCGUAGAAGGUGAAGGAGAUGUUGCCGUCUGAUUUCAGAAUGCUCGAGAGCAUCUGGCCUCCGUGCUGCUCAAAGUAGCCCUGUCUUUUGUUGCUCCGCUUGUGGAGGAACACUUCGGUUGCAAGAAAAGCAAUCAGGAAAAGCAAAAGACCUGCCACAAUUCCUGGAGACGUGGUAUUUGAAAAAAAAACAAUGCAUUAGAAGUUCAGAAAUCCUGGGCAAUUCCUGGAGAGUAUGCCUCAGAAACUGAUACACUGUUUUAUGGAUCAAAUUUUAUUGCUGCAACUUAUAUUUAAUAAACUAGGCACGUGCGCGUACCGACACCCAGCCGUGCUCCCAUGGGAAAAGGAUCUCUGUGGCAUUGAUUCGGAAUAGACGCAUUCCCUGUGGUACCAGCAGGACAACUACAGGUGAAACUGCCGUCUGUAUUGUUGCAGUCUCCGAAGCAAGGGUACAUAAUACGCUUACUGCACUCAUCGAUAUCUGCAGUCAAAGAAUACCAAGUUUAACAAUUAAUAAUGAUUGGAUUUUUAGAGCUUUGCAAACAUAUAGCAUAUGCUAUUAGAGUAUAAGUUCAUAUGGUUUCACCACAAAGUUGUUCACAACCAGCACGGCAACAAACAUCGCUCAGCAUCAACAUGGCUUAGAGAUAUAUGCAUGAACCAUCUUAUCUUAGUGAUGUUUCCUUUGAAUCUAGUUAAGUAGUCAGAGAUAAUAAUAAUACUCUCGCAUCAGUUAGGGAGGUAGGUUGUUAGGCCUCCUCUAAUAAUACCACAUCAGCUAGCUCAUAGAAGUACAACUCAUCAUUUUGCUUACACUGAGGAGAGAGAAGGCAAGGAGAGAGAGUGUACCAUCUCUUCUUCGAAAGAUAGCUCAUAGAAACAAAAGUGGACCCUAAACUUUAUGCAUGUAAUAGAGGAUGUAUGACUCAAGAUACUUUGAGCAAUGUGCUACUGAGACAAACUAUUGGAGAAGAUCUCUUUGCUAUCAUUUUUAUGAGAUGGACAAGCUAAGAGCAAGUGUGCUAGGUCAACUAUUGAAGGAGGCCUUAGAUUUAGACUAGGCGAGUAGCUAUAAGGUUAAUCCCAGUGGGAGUUUCAUAGAGGUUUCAUGCAUAUUAAAUACGGUGACACAUCAGCAUAUGUGAUGACAUGGCAUGGUAGUUAUGAAGUGAGAGAGGGAAGGAGUUUCAUCAGGAUGAAACUGUGUAUACACUGUUUCCAAGACUAUGAAACCUAUUGAAACUUGCAUUGGGGGCUAUAGAGUUUCAUUUCAUCUAACCAUAUCCAAUCACAUGCCUCACAAUUAAAUGUCAUGGGCAUUCUAUGAAAUCGUGAAAUGAAACUGUGCACUGGGACUCCCUGUUUCAUUCAUGAGAAUACACCUUAUGGGAUGAGAUGGCAUCCUUAGAAACAGUGCAAUGAAAACUGCACUGGGCCUAGCCUAAAAGCCUAGUUGACCGGACACUAUAAUCAAGCAAAAAAUACUAAAAGCACAUAUAUUAAUUCGAUAGUGAUUGCGACUACCCAACUUCUUCCGGUUAUCCAACCAAAUUCAGAUCCAUAACAUAUACAAAGCACCCAAAUGAACUAAGCAUCUGUGUUUUAUAAUAAUGGAAAUUUGUAAAUGACUCUUCAACUAUUCAUAGAGGCUAAAAAAACAUAGAAUGUCUAGAGAAAUCAAAACAUCUGGUCCAUAACCACGCCGUUACAUAUCUUCCUCCGCCAUCCCCGCAAAAAAAAACACGUCACUCUAGGAAAUUAAAACAGACUAAUGAUCAAGAUAAUUUACCAAGACACCUCUCAUCGUUGGUGUGACUCGGUUUUGUAUACGAGUUGUGAUGCAACCCUUCCUCAGCUAAGGUUUUUAUCUAAGGCCAUGCGUGCCACGGAUGGAAUAUUAAAUGAUAGGGUUCCACACUUCCAAUUGCUGUUUUAAAUCUAUAAUUAUUACAAGUUUGGUAACACAAAUUUUGAAUGAUUUAGUGACUUUUUUUAGGACAGAGAAAAUUAAUUCAUAAUGGCCAUUAUGGGCUACAUGGCAGCACAAAAAAGUUUGUUCUCUCUUGCUCUAGAAGUUUUUAGAGUUGGAGCUGUGGAAAAGUGUCCGGUAAAAGUAAUAUUUAUACAGUAAAAGAAUAAGACAAUAUCAACCCACCCCGAGGCGGACCCGCGCCCAAGAACCUCCUGUACCUCUUCUCAAUUUUCGCCCAAGAAAAACAAGUCCAGUCCACCGAGUAAUAAGGCACAGGUGCACAACCAACAACCUCUGCGCUAGUGUGCAAGCGUGCCGUGCAGGCGCCUCCGCCACUACGGGACACAGGCAAAUUGCCGAGUGCCAGGGGCACUCGGCGAAGGGCAGAAUACCCUCGGCGAACCGUUUGCCGAGUGUAACACUCGGCAAACGGCACACGACAAAUGUUUAGUCGGCAAACACUAGUUCGCCGAGUGUUUUGUGUUGGGCACUCGGCAAAGACUUUGCCGAGUGCCCAGAAAACACUCGGCGAACAAUUAUUGAAAAUAAUAAAAAAAAUCAUGUUCCACCUGCUCCUGCUCCGCCGCCGCCACCUGCUCCGCCGCCGCCGCCACCUGCUCUGCCGCCGCCGCCGCCGCCACCAUCCACACCGCCGCCAGCCACCGCCACUGCUUCCCGCCGCCACGCCAUGAAGCAGAUCCGGUGGAGGGGCGUCGGGCGGCGGCGGAUCCGGGGCCGGGGGCGGCGGAUCCGGGGCCGGCGGCGUCGGGCGGCGGCGGAUUCGGGGGCGGCGGGCGGCAGCGGAUCUGGGGGCGGCGGGGCCGGCGGCGGCGAGCGGCGGCGCAUCCGGGGCCGGGGGCGCCGGGCGGCGGCGGCGGCGGCCGGAGGCGUGCGGCGGCGGCAGCGACAGGAGGCAUGCAGGAGGCAGGAGGCAUGAGGCAGGAGGGGAAGAGGCAGGGGAAGAGAGGAGAGUGGGGGGAGGGGGCCGGGCCGGAGGGGUGUUUUAUUUUGUUGUGGCCGUAUGUUUGCCGAGUGUCCUACGUGUACACUCGGUAAACGGUUGAUUUGCCGAGUGUCCACCAUAGGACACUCGGCAAAUGUUUUUUGAAAAAAAUUUAAAAAAUAUCUAACAGUUUUAAAAAAAUACCAAAUUUUCACACGAACCAAUAUAGGUUCUCUACUGACUAUACAAAAAGUUUUGUAGUCAAACCGAACUCGACCGUCACUUCAACUCUAAAUUUUAUCGAAUCCUUCUCAAAGUUACUAUUCUUCUUCUGAGAUGCUUCGGUUUGUAAUCAUCGUACAUGAUGAAAUGUGCAAAACCUUCUCAAUUUUUUUCCACAGCCUCCACGUAUUAUAUCAUCACAUCAUGGCAAAUCUCAUAAUUUUCAGACUUUGAUUGUUUUUUUUACAAUUUAAAAAUACUACUGCCACACGUUCAUGGUCGUGUUUCCUGAACAAGAUGUUCGAAAUUUCUUUUCAUUUCAUGGGUCAGGUCUCAAAUUGGUCCAAAUAACAUGAAUAUUAUUUUUCUACUCAUUUUAUUCCAUAAUUUGAAUCACUUGCAGUUCAAAUUUGACUUAUACUAAAAAUUCCCUUGAAAUGCAAUUAAUUAAAUAAAUAUAGCAAAUAAAUUCAAAAAUAUACCAAAUUUUAACAUGGAGUACCACAUGUUGUAUGUGGGGAGUAGAAAAAAUUUCAUGGUGAAAAGAGGAAAAAAAAUUAUUUUUUUGCCGAGUGUAAAAAAAAUACUAGGCAAACCCCCCUCUAAAAAACACUCGGCAAACCCCCCUCUUUGCCGAGUGUUUUUUUUGACACUCGGCAAAGAGGGGGCUUUGCCGAGUGUUUUUUAUUUGACACUCGGCAAAGCCCCGAUUUGCCGAGUGUUUUUGGCUUGGCACUCGGCAAAGAGCUUGUUUGCCGAGUGUCCGAGAAAAAACACUCGGCAAAUUUAAGGUUUUUUUUAACCUUAACCCGUAGUGCGCCUGUUGGAGCCUCCUUGCAGCUGCAUACCUCCACUCCACCACUCUCCAGAAUUUUGAGGUGUUUCACUUCCGGUCUUCCCCUAAUUGUCCAGCUUUCUAAUUUCUAUUCAAUUCAUUGGUUGGAAUAUUGAUUGAAAAUUGAAUCUCUUGCAGUCCUAUUUUGUACGAAAAUUUCAGACCUACACUUGCAAUUACGACUGUAAAAUAAAGAGGACUAGUACUAGGACUAGGAUGGACCAAAGUUAUUUGAUGAUCCAUGCUAAUUCUAUUGCUGACAAUGAGGCACAAAAGGAUUGUGAGUGCUACAAAAAUCAGAGACAAAAGUGUGACACACGUAAUAUCCGAUGAUUGCUAACGAGGAGAUGGAUGAAUUAAUGCACCAAAAUUUCACUAUGCAUUUGCUUGUUCCAUACUAUUCUUAACUAUUGUAUUGUAGCGUCUUGAAAUUUUGAACUUUUUUCUGUGCUUUGCUAUUUCUCUGUAUAUGAUAUACGUUUUGCCAGUGAACUUUGACCCUAGUCUUGGCCAAUUCCUGGGUCCGCCACUGAACCCACCCAUGUUUGCAAAAAGUCGAACUUUUUAGUGAAAAAAAUUGGUUAGGAGCAAACACUUGAUGAAGAAAACGAUUCAUGUCGAUGGUAUGCAUUUUCUACCAGUAUGCUCUACUGUAACCUUAUGCAUAGUUAUUAAAAUCUCAACAUUUAAAAAGGACACACAGAGGCAAUAUUGUAGGGUGGGAUAUGCUGAUUCACCUUUACAGCCGUUGGUAACGUAAGGGUUGCCCUCGAAACCUUCUGUGCAGUUACAGAUGUAGCCUAGCCCUCGCGCUGCUUUCAAGCACCGGCUGUUGCUGCUAAUACACGCGUACCCAGGCUUUCUUUGUGCGACCUUACAGCCAUCAACACCGAUGCCCCAGUCCAGCACCAACGGCGCCUUUCCACUAUGGGAGUUGUCGAAGUCCAACGAGGUCACGUAACUUGAAGAGAAGUUGAACUUGGACGACUCCAUGAGCACCGCGAAGCUGCAGGGGCUGACGCGAUUGAUAUCCGAUGUGUUGAUGCGGCUGUCAAACCACACCUGGUAAUUCUGCAGGCCCGACGGGAUGGCCGUCUGGCAGCAGCCCAUUCCGGAGCAGGAUCCGUCGACAAGGGCCGCCCUCUGGUCAUCACACAUGGCCACGCAACCGGUCCUGUACGUGGCUGCGUUGUCCUCGCUGCUGUCGCCGAUGUACGCCAACGUUCGGCACCCCACAACCGUGAACUUGUUGGCGGUGUCGGAGAAGGUGAACGGCGAGCCCGUCACAUUCCACAUCCACUGCUUGCCAGAUGGCCGGCCGGCGUUGCCGUCGUUGCAGUAGUAAGAGAUGUGGAUGAGCACCCGGGCUUCGCCUCGCUGCAGGGAGAUGUCGAGGAGCUCGACGCUGUUGCGCACCAACGCCAUUUGGGUGCCGUUGCCGGUGUCAGUGCAGUUGAUUCGGAACCCCGGCAACAUACAGUGGUCAGGCCCGGUGCCGAACGGGAAAGGGAUGUCCACGUCACCGCAUCUUCUCUCGCAUCCGUCGCUAGGUGACGACGCUAGGCCCGAGGGGAGGAGCCAUGGCACCGCGCAGAGCCACAUCAGUAGCGCCGCUAGUGAUGCAUGGGAUGCCAUGGAUGGAUGGACACGGAUAUUGUCUUCUGUACGUUUUUGAUGGGUUGGGCACUUGUCUGGGAGUUCUCUACUGCCUGCCCAUUGAGAUUUCGUAGGGGCGUUUGGUUACUUUGCUUAUUUUUAGCACAUGUCACAUCAAAUGUUUAGAUACUAAUUAGGAGUAUUAAACGUAGACUAUUUACAAAAGUCAUUAUAUAAGUGGAGGCUAAACGGUAAGACGAAUCUAUUAAGUCUAAUUAAUCCAUCGUUAGCAAAUGUUUACUAUAGUAACACAUUGUCAAAUCAUGAACUAAUUAGGUUUAAUAGAUUCGUCUCGACGUUUAGCCUCCACUUAUGUAAUAGGUUUUGUAAAUAGUCUAUGUUUAAUACUCCUAAUUAGGGUCUGUUUUCUUCCACCUUGCUAAACUUUAGUUGCUAAAAGUUGCUAAACUUUAGUUGCUAAACUUUAGCAAAACUGUUUGGAUACUCUUGCUAAAAGGUAUUUAAUGAGCUGUAAAAGGACCUAUCUACCCUUAUUAAAGGUGCGUAGGAGGGGGGAGACAAGCAAUAAAUGAGGGGUAUAUGUUGUCCAGCCCACCUUUUAGCAAGUUUUAGCAACCAAAAACUUGCUAAAGUGCUAAACUUUAGCAACUCAACUUUAGCAAGUUUUAGCAAGAGUGUUUUGCAGUUUAGCAGUUCAAAGUUGCUAAACUUUAGCAUCUAAAGUUUAGCAAGGUGGAAGAAAACAGGCUCUUAGUAUCUAAACAUUCGAUGUGACGGAUGCUAAAAAUAAACAAAUGUAACCAGACGGAGACGAUAUCAUAUGGAUACUGAAGAUUCUUCUUUUUUAGACAACAGCAAGUUUUUGCUAUUGUGUCCCGUCAUGUGGCCUACUUUCAGUCCAAAUGCAUGCACCUUCUCGGAUUUUUCUUCUGUCGUCCUUCCGGCGGCUCAAUUAUUGCCGCGUGCCUGCGCGGCUCCUUUUUGGUCAAGUCUACUCUUAUUUCUUAGCUACUCCUUCAGGUUCCAAAAUUCCUGACGUUUUAGACAUGAUAAUCUCGCAUGCAAGAAGUGAUUUAUUAGUGUGUCUAUUUCCUGUUUUACCUGUAUGAAACACGGUUGCGUGCCGAUCAUCUCGCAUACAAGGCAUAUAGUUGAUCAACAUGGAGACAUUCACUAUGACUAGUAACUGGAAUCCAUCUUCUUGGCAUAAGGACAAUUUUGUAGGUAACCUACCACUAGUAGAGAAUUGGCUUUCGAUCCGACCCCUUUUGUCCCGGUUUAAAGUUGGCCCGGGACAAAAGGGGGUGCGCCGGGUGGGGAAAAUUGGAGGGGAGCAUUACUCCCGGUUGGUAAUUGCAACCGGGACUAAAGGCCCCCCUUUAGUCCCGGUUGCAACGGCUAGCUGGGGGGCGUCGGUGGCGGGACCCUUUUAUCCCGGUUGGAGGAUCCAACCGGGACUAAACUUCCAACCGGGACAAAAGGUGUUUCCUUUUGUCUCGGUUGGAGUUUUUAACCGGGAUAAAAACUCAUCCCCCACUAUAUCCCGAGACAGAGACUUUCUUCUUCCUCCAGCCCGAGCCAGUCCAGCACAUUGAUAGAGAGCUGAGCUUCACCUACUCUCCGGUGGUGCCAAAGCAAGGGAGGUGCUGCCCGAAGUUUUUUCCCUCAUUUUCGUGGGAAUUUGACUCAGCCAACACAAGUGCUGCGAAUGUUUGCUACUUCAUCCUCGUGUUAUGCUUUGAUUUAUGCUUUGGAGAUGGAAAGAUUAUUUGCUACAAUGUGAUGAUGAAGUAGAAAAAUGGAGACGUAUUUUGAGCUAGAAUGUGAGGGAGAUUGAUGUGUCAUAUAUAGUAUGCAUUAUUUCAGUGGUUUAAAAAUGAUGCUACCUUGUCUAGACGGUUUAUCUUAUCAAAUUCAAUAUGGUUUUUUAAAUCCAUAUACUUGUUGAACUUGCAUACCGUGUUCAUUUCUGCGACGAUGUUCUCCGCCGAGUAGCAACGUAUGUCAAGAAGGAGGUUCGAUUCUACGAGAAAGAGUGGAUACGGACAUCGUGACCGUGUCCCCUUUUCCGUAGCAUCUAACCUCUUUCAUGACGAAGUGCGGUGCCGCCCAGCUGAGGACAUCCUCGCGAAAUGAACACGGUCUUCAAGUUCAACAACUUCUGUAGUGGUAAGGAAAGAAUUUUUGUACAUAGAUGACUUCUGCUACUUGUUGAACUUGCAUACCGUGUUCAUCUCGCCGAGGAUGUUCUCCGCCGAGCAGCAACGUAUGUCAAGAAGGAGGUUCGAUUCUACGAGAAAGAGUGGAUACGGACAUCGUGACCGUGUCCCCUUUUCCGUAGCAUCUAACCUCUUUAAUGACGAAGUGCGGUGCCGCCCAGUUGAGGACAUCCUCGCGAGAUGAUCACGGUCUUCAAGUUGAACAACUUAUGCAGUGUUAAGAUAAUAAUUUUUGUACAUAGAUGGCUUCUGCUACUGGAGGAAGUGGCGAUGGUGGGGGCGAUCGUGGUUCCUAUUAUGGCAAGGUUCCAAUCAUAGUUGGCCCUCAGCAUAAGCCGAAGAAAAAGAGCGCGCUGGAAAAAGCAAUGCUUCGUUAUUUGCAGCAACGUCAUGAAGAAGUCCUCCGUGAUAAUAACUAGUGGAUGGCUUGUUGUAUUGUAUCAUGUUGUUUGGGACUUUAAUUUAAAUAUGUGUAUUUGGAUCUUCAUGUUGUUGUAUUGUACCAUGUUGUUUGGAUCUUUAAUCGAUUUUCACGCGUAAUCCAUUGUCAAGUGUAAUCCAUUUUCAUGCGUAAUACGAUGCAGAUGGACCGGCAAUGGAUGUAUAAUGCAGACAGGCGGAGCAAGGCGUUUAUUGAUGGCUUGCAUUAUUUUCUCGAAGUGGCAAAAGCAAACAAGCCAGAGAAUGGGUUCGUAUGUUGUCCAUGCUUCCAAUGCAAUAACAGGAAGGAGUAUUCAAAGGAUUCCUGGGGGACUAUUCACAGCCACUUGUUUAAAUACGGUUUCAUGCCUAACUAUUUGGUUUGGACCAAGCAUGGUGAACUAGGGGUUGUAAUGGAAGAUGGCGAGGAGGAGGAGGAAGAUGACACCAUUCCGGACUGGGUUGCAGGCCAAGCUUUUGCAGGUACUACAAUGGGCGAGGCUGAUGAAGAUGAGUUUGCAGAAAAUGACCCUACUGAUGACCUUGGUCAGGUGAUACGAGAUGCAUACAGAGAUUGCGAAACUGAGAAGGAAGCAGCAAAGUUGCAGCGCAUGAUAGAUUAUCACCAAAAAUUAUUGUACCCAGGUUGCCAGCAGGGCCAUAAAAAACUAGGUACGACACUAGAAUUUGUGCAAUGGAAGGCAAAAAUGGUGUGUCCGAUAAGGCAUUUCAGGGGAUGUUGAACAUUGUCAAGAAGAUUCUCCCCGAGAAUAAUGAAUUACCGUCCACAACAUAUGAAGCUAAACAGAUUAUUUGCCCUCUCGGAUUGGAUGUUCAGAAGAUACACGCAUGCCCUAAUGACUGUAUCCUCUAUCGUGGUGAUGAAUACGAGAAAUUGGAUGCUUGUCCCGUCUGCGAAGCCCUGCGGUAUAAGAUCAGGCGAGAUGAUCCUGGUGAUGUCGAGGGGCAGUCUCCCAAGAAGAGAGUUCCCGCGAAGGUGAUGUGGUAUUUCCCUAUAAUACCACGCUUGAAGCGCUUGUUCAGGAACAAGGCGAAUGCUAAGUUGAUGCGAUGGCACAAAGAAGACCGUAAGGAAGAUGAGAUGCUGAGACACCCCGCAGAUGGGGCACAGUGGAGAUCAAUUGAUAGAACAUUCCCAGACUUUGAAAGUGAAGCAAGGAACAUAAGGUUUGGUUUAAGCACUGAUGGAUUCAAUCCAUUCGGUGAGUUGAGUAGUGGUCAUAGUACUUGGCCUGUGACUCUUUGUAUGUUCAACCUUCCUCCUUGGCUGUGCAUGAAGCGGAAGUUCAUUAUGAUGCCGGCGCUUAUCUAAGGCCCAAAACAACCCGGCAACGACAUUGACGUGUACCUAAGGCCGUUGGUUGAUGACCUUUUACAGCUCUGGAAGGAAGAAGGUGUACGUGUGUGGGAUGAGGAUAGACAAGAGAUCUUUAAUCUACGAGCACUGUUGUUCGUAACCAUCAACGAUUGGCCUGCAUUGAGUAACCUUUCAGGACAGACAAAUAAGGGAUAUCGGGCAUGCACCCACUGUUUAGACGACACAGACAGCAUGUACUUGAAGCACUGUAAGAAGGUCGUCUAUAUGGGUCAUCAUCGAUUUCUCCCUGCUCACCACCAGCUGAGAAAGAGCGGGAUGCAUUUCAAAGGGACGCCAGACCAUCGUAAAAAACCUGCACACCGUAAUGGAAAGCGUGUGUUCGAGAUGAUGAAGGAUGUAUAUGUAGUCUUCGGAAAGGGACUUGGUAGCCAACCUGUUCCGAACGACGAUAACGGACAUGCACCCAUGUGGAAGAAAAAGUCAAUAUUUUGGGAGCUACCUUAUUGGGAAAUCCUAGAGGUUCGCAACGCAAUAGACGUGAUGCACCUGACGAAGAAUCUUUGCGUGAACGUGCUAGGCUUCAUGGGUGUUUAUGGAACCUCAAAAGAUACAUUGGAAGCACGACAGGACCUGAAAGCCAUGGGGCAACGAGAUGACCUACAUCCGGAAAAGAGAGAUAAUGGACAUCACUACUUACGUCCUGCCAGUUACACUCUCAGCAAGGAAGAGAAGGAUAGCAUGUUUGAAUGCUUGAAUAGUAUGAAGGUCCCAUCUGGGUACUCCUCGAAUAUAAAGGGAAUAAUAAAUAUGAAACAAAAGAAGUUUACAAAUCUCAAGGCUCAUGACUGUGGCGGAACCGCCCAACUUAAGCUGGUUUAAGUGCGCCUAAUCGCUGUCGGAACAUCAAUUAUUCGAAACGCACCUAAAACAGCAUAAGUCCGGUAGUCCGUCAAGUGUCCCUAGGACUCCUCGAAGGAUCCACGAUGUGUCUCAUAGCCAUACAUCAGGAUAAUAUCCGCGAUGGGAUAACAUCAACAAAUAUUACAUUUUUAAAGACAUAACCAAGGUACGAUAUAUUACAACCAUAGAUUGAAGAAAACUAAACAGUGCAGGUUAGCGUGUUUCUAAGAAUUUAAAACAUGAACCAGUCCGAAAGAAAAACAAACAUUUAAGUUUUAUUCUAGAGUAUCAUGAGACUCAUAAGAUACCCUAGGUCUUCGGGGCUUCCUCUUCGGUGAGUCCCUGCUGGUUUUCUGAAAACAACAACAAGGGAUCCCCUAAGUACAAAGUACUCAGCAAGUCUUACCCGACUAACCAAUGUAAUAGUUUUCUUUAGAAGUGGAUGCUUAGCUUUUUGGUGUACUUGGCUAAUGCAAUUUUUGCCGAAAAGCUUACUACAAGUAAGGCCUUAGUUUUAUCUUUUAUUUGGGUUAAGUUAUUACCUAACCAUUCUAGAUGAUAGCAGAAGCAAAAGCAACCAUAGCUGUUAAAUCAUACAUUACUUGACAACAGGAGAUUUUAUAUUGCAUGAAGUAAUACUACGAUGCUCAACAGCGAUCAAGUGCAUUCAUAACCGAGAAUUGCGGCGAUCCGGAUCUAAUUACAUCCUGCAGGAGAGUACCCUGAUCACCAGCUAUAUACGACUGUACAGGUCGUACUAACAACCUCUCGACUAGCAAAGUCAAUGAUUAGGAAUACGACUACCCGGACCCAGGGAUGCACCCCCACAUGGGACCCCACGUCUGGUCUGAUCUCCAUGUGAGUUUCAGGCUACACCCCUGCUGUAACGCCCGUAAAAUACACCCGGUUAAAUCACCCGUUAAAAACACUUUCCAAAAUUUUUCUGACCGCCGAGCUCCGUCAAAUCCUUUCCCUUCCGUCAGACCCGCCGUCCUGGCCCCGACCCGUCAAAUUCUCCAUUUUUCCACUCCCCGUAAUUUUCGCCGCGUGCCCGUCAAUCCGUCACCGCGCGCAGUCGAAUCCCGAAAUUUCCGCCAUCUUUUUCCCCUCCCUUCCCUCUCUUUCUCUUCCUUCUUUCUUUUUCUUCCUCCUUCUUUUCCUUCUCCUUUUUCCUUCUCCUUCUUCCUCCCCUUUCUUUUUCCUUUCUUCUCUCUCUUCUUUACUCCCUGGCAGCCCCCCCUCCACUUGCAUGCGCCGGCCCCCCCCUGCCUGGCACGCGCGCCGAGGCGCUGAGCCGCGCGCCGCGUCGGGCCGCGCGCCCGCGCGCGCCGCCCACGCCCGCGCGCCACCCGCCGCGCCGCGCCGUCGCGCCGCCGCGCCCGCGCCGCGCCAUGCCCGCACCGCGCCGUGCCCGCUCGCGCCUUGGCAUCUAACGCUUGGCUCGGUGCGUCGCGUCGCGACGCCGGUCACCGGUCGCCGCCCCUGUGGCCUCGUCAACCACGCCGUCACGCCAUCCACGAGCUCCACCACUCCGGCACGCCACAGGUCAAAAGUUCCUGCCGCCAUCAUUACCUCGGCCCUCGCCCGACCGCGCGCCGCCUCUAAAAAGGGGGAGCCGAGACUUCACCUCCACACCCUCACCACGAGCACCUUGCCUUCCUCACUCCCACCACCAGAACGCCGACGGCCAUUUCUCCUCUCAAGCUCCUGGUUGUCUCCAGGAAGAAGAAGGGGUAAAUCCCUCUCCUCGCGACCCAACCCACAAAUUUCCCUGAUUCGCGAACUAGUCCUUCCACCAUUCCAAAAAUAAUUACAGAUAGGCCCUUACUCUCGCGGUUCAGUCCUAAACCCCGUUUUAAAGCCCCUAAUACUCCUUUAACCCGUCAUUUCAUGCGCCAAACCUCCUCCGUUUAACCCCAAACUCGACCACGGCCUCCUCUCAUAUAUUUCCGCCGAGGCAUAUCAAAAUCCCACGAAAAUACCCUUCCUACCUAUUUUCCGUUCAUGUUUCCGGUUCGGAGCUCAUCGGGUAAAACCCUUUUUCCUUUUAUUUAUUGUGUGCUCGUUUGUGUGUGCCGUAGAUCGCGGAGUACCCGAGGAGGAGCGCGAGGAGGAGUUCGAUCGCGAGCCCGAGCCCGAGGACCAGUACCGCGAGCAGGAGCUCCCGGAAGGCUUUGAGAACGGCAAGUCCAAUCUCACCCUUUGAUGCAUAUUUUAAUACCCAGUUUUUCAGACACGACCUAUUGGCCUGUUUUAUAAAAUGCAUAUUGUUUUACCGCAAGACAUGGUUGGAUAGCCACCCCUUGAUUGUUAUGACUAUUCCUUGUUGUCCCAUAUUUAUCUCUAAAUAUGAGUUGCUCUGUUUAGAUGGUAAAUACUGCUAGAAUGCUUAGGAAUUCAUUAUCCAAAUCCAAACAUGACUACACCUGUUUACUCGGAAAAUAAAUGUGUGAGUAUGUUUAACUGAGGAGUUGGGUUUUCGGGUGUUGAGAGAGGUGGUGGAUGAGAUGGAUGGGUGUUUCCUGUGUGGGACUCCGGAUUGACAGGCUCGUACCUCAGUGGUUGAGCAGUGUGGGAGAUAUCCAUCUCGUCAUGACUAAGGACCGAGUUGAUGUGUCAUCCUGCCUAAUUCCAUCAACGUACAACCACUCGACCGUUGUAUGGGCAACGGCUUAGCAUAAAUCCCACUAGCUAAACUGCUAGGCUUCAGGUGUGCUGGUGAGCAACGGGAGGCCUUGGAAAAGGACUAAGCUCUUGGUGACUUAGGUCCCGGUUACGGCCCCGUGGAUGGGUUGCUAACCCCUUGAGCACUCUCGCGUCGAAUAGUCAGUGUUGGCUAAGGUGGGUAAUGGCUUUGUUAGGAUCCGUACCGACACUAAGGUGUUCGCGAUACGGUACCCUACUUGUGGGAAAAGUGUACAAUCUCUGCAGAGUUAAAACCUAUCCGGGUAGCCGUGUCCACGGCAUUGGACGAGUUACGGCUCGGUCACACAACUAGCUUUUGAGGAUGACAAGUAUUUUACUGCGUGUGUGGGUGCGUGGAAUUUUGGAAGUGUCCGGCAGGUGUGCCGUGUGCUACGGCGGACGGGGAGUCCGGUAGCGAUAAAAUUUGGAUCCUUUGUGUAGGAUCAACCCCACUUGAUUUAUAUUGUUUACUAAAAUGUGUUUAUGAAACUUCUUUGAAAUGGAACCCUGCAUGUGUCUAAAAUCUAGCUUUACUGCAAAUAAACCAUAGCCUAUUCCUUGUUUAUUCUUGUGCAUGCUCUGUUGUAUCCCCCUCCGUGGAUGGGGUUGGACUUGCUGAGUACUUUUGUACUCACCCUUGUGUUGUUACUUCAGAGGAGGAUCCGGAUUUGGCCCUUUUGCAGGAUGCUUCCGCUGACGCUUAGCUCCGAUUGCAGCCCGGAGUCCGACUGGACUGCAACUUGGAUUUGUGUUGUUAUCGCUUUAGUCUUGCUUUGGGUGUGGCUUGCCCGCCCGCUCCUUCGGGAGUUGUACGGUUUCUGAACUAUCUGUUGAAUAAAUGUGUUAUCAGCCUCCUGGGAUUGAUAAUUUGGAUCACAUUUAGUCUCUACUUAUGUGGGGACGCUUCACCUGCCAAUCUCCAGCACGUCAAGCGCGGGUACGAAGCAUUCCUGAUCAUAGAAUUUACUAAUCUACUGGGCUUUACUGGUCCCAUACCCAGUAAGUGAUCAGAUGCUUAUCACUUGAUCAACAGUUAAGACACGAAUCGGGCCUUAAUCAGAUUAAUCUAGCAGACAGAACUACAUCUCUAGCUUCCAUCCGUUUUCAUAUUCCAAACUAUCCUUCAUAAGCAACAUGUAUGAUUUAAGAGUUUUCCUUAAGGUUGGUAAACCAAGCAUGUAAGCAAGUAAGCAAUUCUAGACUUGGGUAGUUUCUAAGGUUUGAACAAGUGGCAAAGAUGUCCUUAAAUCAAGGCAUGAUUAUACACAAGAAUAGGUUUCAAUCAACUCCUAGACUUAGUGCAUACAUAUAGCAGUUAACCUACAACUAGUCACAUGAAAUAACGACUCCAAAAUAGAUAGGUAUAAAUGCACCGGGGCUUGCCUGGGAUCAACAAAGGUUAGUUCUUCGGAAAACUUCUUUAUUAAAAGAGGCACUCCACAUUUCGCGAAUGCUGUCCAUCUUCAGCUGAAAUCCAUGAAUUCCACUUCAGGAGUUGUGACGUCUACGAUUUAGCAUAUGCAAGAGUUAGAGAUGCAAACUUUUGAAUACAAGACUAUACAACUUUCCUUCAUGAUAAAGUUGCAAGCCAACAAGGACUAUACAAUUUAUCAUGAUAAAGUUGCAAGCCAACACACAAAAACCCUAAAGAUUAACCCACCAUUUUUAUGUCCUUUACUAAUCCUACCUUAGACCUUUUCUUUUAUUUUUAAAAGCAUUAUAAUUAUUUUCUAAUCUCAAAAACUUAUUUCCUAUGACUUAAUAAGGAUUUGUGGAUAAUAAAGCAUUUUUCAAGUUUUAUACAUUUAAUAAUGUUUAAGUAUUUAUUUAAAUACCUUAAACAAAAAGGCAUUAAAUAAAUACCUAAAUUUUUAUUAUUUUUCCUAGGGUUUAAGAAUUUUAAUGCAUAAAGGAAAAUAAAACAAUCCUAAUAAAAUUGGUUUCACUAAUUUUGGACACUUCUAGAAUUUCCUGUAAAUUAAAUGGUGAAAACAGCAUUUAAUCUAUUUAUCUAAUAAAGAAAACCUAAGGUUUAAUUAAAACCCCCGGCCCAAACUUUUCUCACCCAACUUGCUUCUACCCACUAUCACUUCCACCUAGGGCCCAUCCGGCCUCCUAUUCUCCUCCCUUUCUUCUUUACUGACAAGUGGGGCCCACGGCCGGUACUUUUCCUCGGGCCGAAAAGAAAUAAAAUGGACUGCCAGCCUUUAACCCGUGGCGCGUGGGCUUCCCUACGACAUUUCCUCUUUGGGCCGGCUUCCCCCUUUUCUUCUCUUUCUCAACCCCGGCCGGCCCACCUUCUUUCUCCUUUACUUCUACCUGGGCUGCACGGCCCAAGCAACACGACCGGCCUGCUCUUUCUUACAGGCCGACGGCCUAACUCCCUCCUUUUCAACCACCCGCCGGCCCUCUCUGUUCUUCUUUAUUUCCACCUGGGCCGCACGGUUCACUUCUUUCCCAAGCGACAAAACGGCCCAUUGGCUUUCCCCUUCUUCUUUUGCACCGCGCGGCUAGCUGGGCCGGCGCCUUCCCUUGGCCCACGACGGGCGGCUGGCCUCUUUUCUUUUUCUCCCGCUCCCACCUUGGCCUCCCCCACCAGGACUUGGCCUCCCGGCCCAAGUUCACCGACCGGCCUGUUUCCUCCUCCCCUUUUUCCUCACAACCCCCUGGCGCAUCUUCUUCCUCCCUGCGCCAAAACAGGGGCGCACGCCGGCGGGCAAAACGGGACGGGGUCCCGGCCAACGGCGGCUCGCAGGCGGCCGAGCCGACCGGGGCGGCGGCGCCCCAGGCCAGGCGCACCUGCGCCUACCGCCAGCUCGCCAGGAGGCGGCCCGAGCCGGCCCCUCCACGGGCGGCCGCAGCUUGGCCAGCUGCCGGCCGUGGCUCCACAAGAUGACGACGCGACAGGGUCCCCGGCCUCCCCCUACGGCUUCUACACUCUUGUAGGACGCCCCUAGGCCCGCCAAUCGAGAAGGAAAAGCCGAUUUAGAAACUCACCUCGUGGAUUGGGUGACGGCGGCCGGCGGAUUGAAAUAGCGGCACACCGGAGCUUGACGGCAGGGAGAUGGAAAAUGGAGGAGCGUGGGACGUUGAGGAGGAGUUGGCGGAACUUUGGGCGGAUGGAAUUGCAACGAGGGGCGGCGUCGCGGUGAAUUUGGCCGGCGGCGGUACUGCAUGACCGAGCUGUGGCUCGCAGGGCAGAAGAACAAGAACGGCAGAAGGUUAACUGGAUGAGGGUGAAGUAAUAGCGAUGCAAUUCACCGUGCAUGACACCCAGCUUAACUCGUGGUAGGCGGCGGGAUGCAAACGUGGCUGUCGCGCUGGCCGGCAUGCGCGAGAGCCGGCGGCGGCACGGCUCUGCCUGUCGCCUCUGUUCUUAUUUCUUCCUUUCAAGACAUUGUGUUCAUCCCUCCAUUGCUCAAGAUAUUCCACCUCAACUCGUAGAACUCCUUUAAGCAAACUCGUAGAGUAAUCCAAGUACUCCAUUUGAUAGAUUGGCUUCCAACCGAAUUAAGCACCCUAAGGUCGAAAUUUUGGAGCUCCCAGUUUCUGUUAGUUUGUACUGAACUUCAGCGAUUCAGUUCGACAGUCCUAAGCAUGGUCGUUUACCCUACUUUGGCACCAAUUUCAGUAGCCCAAUUGUAUUCCAUAUAGGCCAACCACUCCCUAUUUGUGUUCUACAACUAAUAAGGAUUCCAUUUUGCACCAGAAACUAUAUAACCUUUGCACUGGAUUUUCCUGAAAUUUGCUCCAAACGUUGCUAGUUAACACUGUUUUCAGACUUAGAAUUUAUGCAGCUCGAGAGUUGGCCGAAAUAGUUAGAAUACUGACUUGAGCUUUGAUUUAAAUUUGAUUCUUUCGCUAUCUCUGAGCAACAACACCUUAUUAAACAUGUCCAAGGAUCAUACUUCACCGCUGUCUAGUUGACUUUGCUCUCUUACUUGAAAAACGGGCAGAAUUCGGUUUCAAAAAUAGAUACUCAUCAUGUUUUCCAGACUUAGAGUUAUUUCAGCAAGGAGCUCGAAAUAUGCUCAUUUGCUGAUUUUUGGCUCCAAUUUGAAUUCAAACCUUCCACUUUCUCUGGACAACAACUAUUCAUUUACCUUCUCCACAGUCCAUAUUUCACUAAUAUCCAAAAACAUCUGCUCACUUUUAAUGAAAUUUUUCCAGAAACUGGUUCUAAAGUCAGGUACUCAAUACCAUUUUCAGACUUAACCAAAUUCCAGCAAAGCUGUCUAUUGUGACAAAGUGCCAACUUUAGGCUUCCAUUUGAAAUAGUUCCCUCUGCUAUUCCUGAUCAACAACACCCAAAUUUAGGAGUCCAAUGUUCAUACUUCAACAUGGUAUAGUUAUCCUGAUUUACUUAUUUGAGAAAUUUGUCAGAAUUCACUUUCCAAAAUGGACUCUGAGCUGUUUUUCUGAUUUCUUGUUUUCGGACGGUGAACAGUAAACGUAGCUUUUCGAUUGCUUCUCUGAUUUCUUUUGAGUCUUUAGGAUCAAAUAUUACUCCAAAUUUUUGACCCUUAAGUUCUAAUCAUCUUUACACUUCCACUCUAUAUUUUCGCCGAAUUUUUCUGAAUUCCAAAUUCAAAAUUCAAAUUUCGACCAAAUUUGACCCGAAUUUGAUUUUCGGUCAAUUCCUUUUUCUUUUCUUCUCGAAUUGCUUUCAAUUCUUCAAAGUCACUUUGAUGACUAAAAAUGGCGGGUGUUACAAUGACUGCCACAUGUUGAUGACCCAGUUGCUUCCGGUUGCACUGAGGGGUGUUCUACCAGAAAAUGUCCGGUUGCCGCUCGUAAAGCUAUGCACGUUUCUCAAUGCGAUUUCGCAGAAGGCAAUCGAUCCAUCCAAGCUAUCAAAGCUACAGAACGAUGUGGUGCAAUGUCUUGUCAGUUUUGAGUUGUUAUUUCCACCAUCCUUCUUCAAUAUUAUGACGCACUUACUGGUUCACCUAGUAAAAGAGAUUGGUAUUCUCGGACCUGUAUACCUGCACAAUAUGUGGCCUUUCGAGAGGUUCAUGGCAGUCCUAAAAAACUAUGUUUUUAAUCGUGCCCGUCCAGAAGGAAGCAUCGCCAAGGGAUAUGGAACAGAGGAGGUGAUCGAGUUUUGUGUUGAUUUUAUUGAUUCAAUUGACUCGAUUGGGGUUCCAACUUCUCGCCACGAGGGGAGGCUCCGAGGAAUGGGCACCCUUGGAAGGAAAUCAAGUUUGAGCAAUGAUACUGAUUUGUUCGACAAGGCACACUAUACUGUUCUACAACAGUCAUCCUUUGUGUCUCCGUAUAUCAAGCAGCACAGGCAGAUGGUAGCUUCCAAAAACCCGACCAAAUCCGAUGCUUGGCUUACUCGUCAUCACAUGGAAACUUUUCCCUCCUGGUUGCGCCAACAACUUAUGGGUAACUCUGAGAUUCACCCACAGCUUGCCUGGUUAGCCAGGGGACCUGCUACCACAAUCGUCAAAUUCCAAGGCUAUGAGAUAAAUGGUUAAACAUUUUACACGAGAGCCCAGGACCAGAAAAGCACGAACCAGAAUAGUGGUGUCCGCAUAGAUGUCAUGGACAGAAAUAAUAGCAAGGAGUCGUAUUAUGGUUUCAUACAGGAGAUAUGGGAACUCGAAUACGGACCGCUGUACAUCCCUCUAUUUCUUUGCAAUUGGGUGAAGCUAACUGCCGUCACCAAAGAUCAGUACGGAAUGACAAUAGUAGAUCUGAGCAAGACUGGAUACAGUGAUGACCCAUUCGUACUUGCCAAUGAUGUGCAUCAGGUGUUCUAUGUGAAGGACAUGUGCAGCAAACCCAAGAGGAAUCCAGAAGAGACAUGGGAGCCAAAGUGCCACAUAGUUCUUCCAGGUAAAAGAAAAAUCGUGGAAGUCGAGGAUAAAACAGACCAAUCAGAUGAUUAUGAUCAGUUUGAUGGCAUGCCUCCAUUCGCCGUUGAAGUUGAUCCAAGCAUCCUGCUAUCCAAAGAAGAGGCUCCGUACUUACGCCGCGAUCAUGAUCAAGGAACUUUCGUGAAGAAGAAAUUUUACAACGUUGUAUUGUAAUGCGUUAAAUAUACAUGACCUUUGUGUAUUAAUUGAUACAAUUUGUAAUUUACCCUAUGUAUGAUUUCAUGUGUUAUUAAAUUUGUUAGGUGAAGAUUUUUUAGAUAAACAUGAACAUUGUUAACCACAUACUAACAUGGAUUUUUCUGCGCAUUCAAAUAAUUUAAUUGAAUAAUUUCUUGAUCACAGCAAUAAAUAUUUUACAGGCUAAAUGAGUUGGUAUAGAAUUAAUGAUUACUUCAUACUUAUUGUCAAUUUACUCGUUAAUUAAAUAUAUUUUUGCAUGUACAAAAUCUGUGAAGGUUUUGUUUUUCAUCCUGAAAUGCAGUGAAAAGGUAAAAUAAAAUCCAUUUCCAAAAAACAGGCGGGAGAAGAAAAAUAGGAAAAAAGACCUUUUGUCUCCGGUGCUAACAGCAACCGGGACAAAAGGCCCCCCUUUUAUCCCGGUUGCUCACGGCAACUGGGAUAAAAGGGUACGUUUCGUCUCCCGCCCGAACGUACCCUUUUAUCCCGGUUGCCAACUGCAACCGGGAUAAAAGGGGGGGGGGGGGUUAAAAGGCACUGUACUCCCUUCUACCCCCCGCCAGUUACACACUUAGCCAAAAUUUCGCAAGUCCCGCGCGUUCUCCGCCGUCGCUGCCCGUCCGCCUCCCUCGCCAACCGCCGCCGUCGUCGUCCCCCAUUGCGUCGUCGACGUCCCCCAUUGCGCCGUCGUCGUCCCCCGGCCGGCCCGCCUCGAUCCCCUCCUCGUCCGUCGACGCGCCCGGCCCCCGGCCACCUCGUCGCCUCCGGCCACCGGCUCCACAUCCUCGUCGCCGGCUCCAUCCUCGUCGCCCCUCGUCGCCAUCUCGUCGCCGUCUCGUCGCCGUCCCGCCUACGCCGCCGUCGUCGUCUUCGCCUCGGCCGCCGUCGUCCCGCCGUCGUCGUCUUCGUCCUCGUCGCUGCCCCGGCCGCCGCCGUCCCGCGCGCCGCCCGGCUGCCGCCGUCCCGCCGUCCCGCCGACCCGGCCGCUGCCGUCCCGCCGACCCGGCCGCCGCCCCGCGCGCGAGAGGUCCGCUGCCGCGCCGGCCGGCAGCGCCGGCCGGCAGCGCCGGGAGGGUUUUCUUUUUAAGUUAAUUAGAAAAUUAAGUUUUAUUUUUAGAUAGAUUUGUAAUUUUGUUAAGAUAGAUUUUUAGAUUUCUAAUUUUGUUAAGUUAGAUUUUUAGAUUUCUAGUUAGUUUGUUAAGUUAGAUUUCUAGUUAGUUUGUUAAGUUAGAGUUGGUACAGAGAUCGCCGAGUCGCCGCCGUGAUCGCCGCCGUCCCGCCGAGUAGCCGCCGUGAUCGCCGCCUUGUAGCCACCGUGAUCGCCGCCGUCCCGCCACCCAUUACAACCUAGUAGGCACUGCACGUGGUUCCGGUGAACCGUCCCCGCCUCCGCCGUACCGCCGCCCUGACCGCCGCCGUCCCGCCUCCGCCGCCCUGAUUGCCGCCGUCACAACCUAGGCACCGCACGUGGAUAUUGUUACAAAUUCGUAGAAAUUCGUCAAAAUUCGUAGAAAUUCAUCAAAAUUCGUAGAAAUUCGUAGAAAUUUGUAGAAAUUCAUAGAAAUUCGUACAAAUUUGUAAAAAUUCAUAGAAAUUCGUAGAAAUUUGUAGAAAUUCGUAGAAAUUCAUACAAAUUCGUAGAAAUUCGUAGAAAUUCGUAGAAAUUCAUAAAAAUUCGUAGAAAUUCAUACAAAUUCGUAGAAAUUCUCAAAAUUCGUAGAAAUUUGUAGAAAUUUGUAGAAAUUUGUAGAAAUUCGUAGAAAUUUGUAGAAAUUCGUAGAAAUUUGUAGAAAUUCAUAGAAAUUCGUAGAAAUUCAUAGAAAUUUGUAGAAAUUCGUCAAAAUUCAUAGAAAUUUGUAUAAAUAUUCCGGACUUUGUACGAUUCAUGUUAUUUUAUGAUUUCAUUAUAUACAUGUAUGAUUCCGGACUUUGUAGGACUUUGUACAAAUUUGUAUUAAGACGAUUUCUAUGACUGUCUUGUAUGAUUCCAUGUAUGUUUCCAUCAAUAGUUGAAAUGGCAGACGAUGAGACCGCAAGGUAUAUCAUGGAGCAGAUAAUCGCUGGUGAUGGUAGUGGCGACAACGUUCCACUAUCAUACACGGAUGAAGAGGGCACCCAGGCGGACAUGUUCCUCAACAUGUCCGCCGAUGAGAAUGAAGAGCAAUAGCCGCAGCAACAACUUGCCAUGGCGGAAGGUUCCGGCGAGGUAUAUACAACCAUUCUUGUAUUGUUUCACGCCACCGCUACUACUACGUACUAAUUAACAAAUCUUGAACUGUUAGCCCUCCGGAUCGACACAAGGGCAGAAGACCCGAGGUCGUACAAAGGUGAUGGAAGGGAGGCUUGUCAUCACCGAAGUUACAGAAGAGGGCAGGCCGGUUGCUCCCGAGAAAGUAGCAAAGAAGUACGUGAGUCAAAUCGGGGCAAUCGUCCGGGACAACGUGCCUAUCAGCAUCAGAGAAUGGAAGGGCAGAAGCGAUAAUCCGUACGCCCUUCCAGAGACAGAAAAGAAUAUGCUGUGGGAAGACGUGAAGAGACAUUUCACAUUCCCCGAAGGAUAUAGCGAGAAGGAUGUCAAAGCGUGGACGCUUAAGAAGAUGGCUACUCAAUUCCAGACUUUCAAGAAGAUGCUGGACACCCACUACAUCAAGAAGGGCAAAACUCCAGACUUCAACGCGUGGCCAAAGUUGAGGGACCACUGGGAUGCAUUUGUUGAAUACAAGAGGAGUGAAGAAGGUGUGAAAAAGAUCACGACCAACACAGCAAAUGCUAGUCAGAAGGGCUACCACCAUCAUUUGGGGCGAGGUGGGUAUGGCUCAGCAAUUCCCAAGUGGAGGAAGAUGGAACAAGAUCUGAUCGAACGGGGAAUCGUACCUGCAACUAUUGAAUGGCCCGAACGAUCAAAGAAUUAGUACUACGCUCAUGGAGGCUCCCUAAGCCAAGAGGAUGGGACGCUGAUUUUCAAUGACACAAUACGUGAGAAGGCCGAACAUCUCAUGAAGAACAUUGAAGAUUCCAAGGCUGGGAGGUUGAGGGUGGACCGAGAAAAUGAUGAGCUCACAUUGGCCCUCGGUAAUCCAGAGCACCCAGGACGUUGCCGGGGGUUCGGGGUGGUUCCGUGGAAGUUCGCUUUCCGAGGCGACAGCGCCUCUUACAGAAGCCGGAAGCGAAGAAAGGAACAGAUCGAGGAGAGCUGGCGGCAGAUGCUAGAACAAAGAAUGAUGGAUGAAAUCAAUCGGCGGGUGGCCGACGCAGUUGCGGAGUUGGCCCAAUCUGGAGCAAUGCCGAAUCCUAACACCGCCAGCCCUUCUCAACGCCUCGGGAGCAGUUGUGCUUCUACAGGGGUCCCCGAUGCGCAGACGCCCAGGUUACCCGUGGAGGAGCAACGGUUCCCCGUGGAUGCCAUCACGCAACGGACCUCAUGUGAGCUGCAUGCACCGGUCGGCAACCUCACUAUUAAGGUAUACUUAUACAUAAUAUUUAUGCAAUCUUGUCUAUUGAUCCAGGCCUCGAGAUCGGAGUUCAACUUGUUUACUUCUGCUAAUGUACAGGUAGCGUACGGGAGUGCGUUACCAACCCUGGCAGGGCAGAGCAGUCAUGGUAUGGACAUUCCAACAGGCUACGCCAGCGUCUGCGUCGAGCAAAUAGUUGAUCCCCAGUAUGAAGGUCUAGAGCUCGACUUCCCGGGAGGCGACGGGGAAAAGACAUUAGCAGAUGCGCUUCAUGGGAUCAUUCUAUGGAAGAAACGCUACAUCAUUAUUCCCCGCACGGAGCCAUCUCCUCAGACCUCAAGACCGCUCCCCGUAGAUCCCCAGCAGCGACCUUCUCCUCAUACCUCGAGACCGGCAUCUCCUGCUCCAGGACCGUCUCUUCCAUCUAUAUCAAGGUCUCCAUCUCCACCACAUCCUGGUGCUGGGAGCGACGACGACAAUAACAACACCCCUCCCCGAUCACCGUCGCCGGCACCAAGAGCGGCCCCCUCGAAGGAACCUGCAGCACCACUAAAGAAGUCACGAGCACCGCCUCCCAAGCAAAGACAGAGAAAGAAGAAAACAAAGCUCGACCCUGAAGUGGCUCGUAAGGAACGCUUUGAGGCAAUGUCUCCUGAAGAACAAUGGGCAGAAAUCCAACGAGAGGCCAGUGAGUGGUUCAAGAAACAAGCCGAAUUAAAAAAGGCAAGGGAGAUGGAGCCACCGCCAGUAAGUCGGCGAGAUUUAAACUUUUUUAUCAGGAUGGAGGAAGGAGCCAAGAAAAGGAUACCACUCUUGUCAAACUAUGAACGGGCUCUAGUAAAGGCUGAUGAAAAGGAUAAAAGGAAAGGAAAAUCAUCCUCCAGCGGUCCAGUCCCCGACCUCAGCCAUUUAUCAAAAAAAGAUGCUCAACGGGUAAAAGCAAUGCCCUUGGAUCAACAAGCAAAUAUAUUGAAGUUCAUGGAAGAAACAGGUCUGGGACUUGAUGAAUGCAUAGGGCAAGUCGAGACGCCAACUGCACCGCCCCCUGAGCCGAAGUGGACUUAUGAGCUAGGCAAACCUCUAGUAAAGCCUUCAAUGGUACGGAAGCUAUCGACAAAGAUGUACGAAUUCCAUCAAUGGUACAUGAUGGCAUCCGCCAACUCGAGGGAGAUGAUCGGCAUGAAGGUAAAACCGAUAGAUUUUCACGGUGAAGGGGAGAAAGUGCUGUGGCUAGACUUCAAGGAUAUAUACGACGUGUACCAUCAUGAUGCCCUGAACGUCUCUCUGAUCAGCGCUUGGAUUCUGUAAGUGUCCGUUUAUUAUCUCUACAUGUAAAUUUUGGCGUGCGUCACCGUACUAACUUCAUCUUCCAUUUCAUGUAGGAUGCUAAUUCAGACAUGCCGCCGAGAGGCGUACCUACAUGUAGGCUUCAUGGAUCCCUCUGUAGUUAACCAACAACAGAUACAAUUGGCGCCGGAAAAAACCUUUGCGGAAAUAUACAAUUUCCUACACAAACAAACAUUCAAGGAUUUCAUACUACUUCCAUACAACUUCAAGUAAGUGUGUGUAUACCGUCUACUUUCGAUGUCUUUUUCCUUAUCUCUACAUGUUAGUUAGCUCUAAUAUGCAUGAACAUUUUACGCACGCAGCUUCCACUGGAUCCUUAUUAUAAUUGAGCCUGAAAGAAGCCACGUCACUGUCUUUGAUUUGUUAAGGAAAGAUCCGUUGGACUACCAAGAAUUGCAAGACAUGCUAGGCUUGUAAUAAUUCUGGACCUUUAUCUCUAUGCAAAAAUUUAUUUCCUAAAUUUUAUCCCUGUUACACUAUGUCAUUCAUUAUUCUAAUCCGCAGCGCAUGGAAACAAUUCAUAAGGACACACAAAGGUCCAUUCAAAGAAAAUCUUACAUGGAACACAGACUUCCCGGUACGUAUGCAGUCUGCACAUUUAUUACAUUGUAUAACACGAAUAUUUCAUAACUUAUUUUUUUCCGCACUGAAGUGCUUAAGACAGGAACCCGGGAAUAAUCUAUGUGGCUACUACAUCUGUGAGCACAUGCACAGUUUUUUGGGACCCAAGGGACCGAAGAUGACGCCGCACAACAUUAAAGUACGUAAAAUAAAUAUAUUACUAGUUAAUUAUUUUCUAGCUCCUUAUAUGUAUUUGUUCAUGUAACAUUCACAAAUUUCCAAAUUAUAGAUGUUAAAUAUUCAACAAGGACUCUUGAAGGAAGAAAGAGUAGCGGCAAUAUGUGAAGGUCUCAUUGGAUUCAUAAUGGACGAGGUGGUAAAUCCAAGAGGAGAAUUUUAUUAUGAUGGACGACAAUUAGACACUCCGAUCAGCAACACCACGACGGGAAGAUCGUAGGAAGAUACUUUGAUUUAUUUGUAUAUAUAAUACGCGCUAAUUAUGAUCGAUUUGUACUAAGCUAGUUGAAUUGUGUAUAUGAAUUGUGUAUAAGGAUUGUGUAUAUAUAUAGUAAUUGUAUAAUUACAAAUCCCAUUCGUUUAAAUACUAGUUGAUUUCGUUCUAAAAAAAUCUCAACUACAAGGUUAACAAAUUAAAAGGGCCGCGGUACUACUAUACAUAUACGUGAUGCAUGCAUGAAAAAUUUAGACGUCACGGCAGUGCCAUGCAAGCGCUAUUUAGUCCCGGUUGGAAUCGAGCCGGGACUAAAGGGGGUCCUUUAAAGGGACCUCCUUUUGUCCCGGUUGGUUUAUCCCGGAUGGAUAUCCGAGAGAUAUGCACCCUACCAACCGGGACUAAAGGCCAAUUCUCUACUAGUGUACAAAAUAAUGGCCACUUAAAAGUGUAUGGGGGGAAUCUAGAUCUCAAACUAAUGGGAGCUUCAACACAAAUUCCAUAACCAUGUCCUAGACAUUCUUCUGCAGCAGCUUGUCCAGAGGUUGUUGAUGCCUCAUCAACGUUUGAGAUUCAGAAUUAUGAAUAAUCAACUUCAAUAAUUUGCCUACCGCAUUACGGAAAGAAGAUCCUAAUGAUUUGCGAGACAUGACCGGUGACCAAGGUACAGAUUUUAACAUGACAUUAGUAAACAUGCAUCUUAAUUAUGCCGUCUUAUCUCUAGCAUAAAGAGCAUUUGUUGCAUCAUUAGGAUUUAUGACAUGUUUGGUUAGUAAAUUUUGUAAAUAUAAAUAAUCCAAAUUUGAAUACAAAAUUUGGACCAAGUAACACUGUUGGUUUGUCGAUUAAGCACCAUUAGGGAUACGCUGAAGUACUUUGGGUUAAAAAAUUUAGGCAGAGCUAUUUUUAUUUAUAGUUAAGAGUAAAGUGCAUGGCCGGUCCUUAAACUUGUCCAGCUGCAUCACUUAGGUGUCCAUAUUGUCAAAAUGCAUAUCUGGAUCCCUAAAUUUGGGCUCGGGUGUCAUUUAAGUCCCCAUGCUCUCAGAAUGCAGAUAUAGCCCCCUAAACUUAGCUUCAGGUGUCAUGUAGGUCCAUAUACUUUUUAAAAGUAUUGUCAUCUCAAUUAAAUUGAUAAAAACUUAUUUUUAUAUAAUUUAACUAUAGUCAAAUAAAGUGAAUUUUAGCUCAAUGUGUGUGGAGAAUAUUGAUAUGAUGAAUCCAGAAAGAUUGAUGAUCUUUUACUUUGGAGGCAAUAUCUUAACUUGCUAGGUUCUCAUGACAAGUGUGCUCAAUUAUUCUUGGAAGAUUGUUCAAAUUUGAAUAACUCAUAGUUGCACUCUCUAAACUGAAAUCAAGGAUUUAUAAGUUAAAUUAUUGGACAAAAAUUGGGAGAAACGGAAGGGCCAAUAAAACAAGUCAGGAAAUGUGUCAAAUGAAAGUGAUGGCUUGCUUUAAAGUAUAAAAUUUGAUCUUAUCAUAUUCAAUUAGUGGGAUGACACUGCAUUUCAAGAGUUUAGGGAUCUAUAUGACACCCGAAACUAAGUUUAGGGAGUGAGAUCUGGAUUUUGAGAGUAUAGAGAUCUGGAUUUUGAGAGUAUAGGGAUCUAAAUGACACCCGAGCCCAAAUUUAGGGAGCCAGAUAUGCAUUUUGAGAGUACGGGGACCUAAGUGACACAGCCAAACAAGUUUGAGGACCGGCCAUGAACUUUACUCUAUAGUUAAUAACCAUGAAAACGCCAUUUAAUUGGCUUUAGUGUACUGGUAAUGAUUUAAUCUUGUGCCCAGAUGGUUAAUUUUUGGACUUUUUCUCGAAAUAAUUUCGAUUUCUGCUCUCUCCUCUCCUGUUUUUGGACAUUUUUCUCGAAAUAACAGGUGGGUCUUAGAGGAAAAGAAACAAAUGGAGCCAGCUAGGGUUCGAAACAGCAACCAAACCUUCACCAAACACUAUUGCAGAGAACAUCACACGUCAUUGGAGACGCGUUUUGGCAAAUCCGAAAUCUGCGUCUCCUGUGACAGAGUCAUUCAAUGACAAACUAAAAAAACAAAAAAAGGGACAUAAUAUACGCAGCCAGGCCUCUGCAGCGCGUCAGGCCAGGCCAGCAGGCUGACCAGGCGACGCGGCCCGCGUGGGAGCACAGCAGCCCAGCGAGGCGAUCAGCCCCGGCGACAGGAGCAGGCGGCCCAGCUCCAGGCGAGGCAGGCCAGCUGCUCUGCCUCGCGGGCCAGGGCGAGCCAGCGGCCCAGCUGCUGAGUCGAGCACGCCGGUUCGGACCAGGCACGCGCGGCUCAGGCAGGCAGCCAUCCUGGCGCAGCAGCACAAGACAUUGCAAGGCCUGGAGCAGCAGGAGGUAAGCAUCGGCAGGUGUCUUGAGCGGCCACGACAGGUAAGCAGCAAGGUAACAGCUCAGUGAUCUCAGCUCUGCUUGUUUGUUUCCGUUAUGUAUGGUCGAUGGCAGCAGUAGCACAUAAUUGAGCAGCACCUAAUGUUGGUUGUUUAUUUAUCCUGAGAAACAGUGAAGGUUAUCAUUGCUAGUUCCUUUAGCUUGUUUAGCUAGCUGGUGGUAUUCGUAGUUUGUUUUAGCUCUACUGUGUAUGACUGGCCUGCUUAUUUAUCUAUAGCUCACAGGUCUAGUUCUGUUCCGAUUUUUAACAGCUUAAAUAAAUCAGUGUGCAGGCAAGCUUAUAGCUGACCUUUUCCUUUUCAGCUGUGAUCAAUCUCUCGUGCAAGUUUUUUAAGUGCCUCGCUUUGAUUUGCUUCCGUUACAUUUUGAAUUUUUCUAAUUGUUCCUAGGAUGAGCUUGUCACGAGUUGACUUGUGUCAUCUCAGCGAUUAGAAGCGAGGUGUGUUUGGGAUGCUAAUCGGAAUAUAGACCUUACUCUCAACUAGUGAUUGGCUAGACAACCUCUUUGUAUAUAGUAUGUUUUAUGCCAUUUUUUCUUUUACCCUUGUAAAAAACUCUUUUAUUUAAUUUAUUACUAGUAGGGCGUGCCUCUUGUUUCUUCAAAAGAAAAAAAUUAUUAUGGAGAUAUCAGUAUAAUAAGAAUGGUAGAAAAAUGUAUAUAUGCAUAAUACAUGAAUUGAUUAGUGCCAAGAGCAAAAGGAACAUGGGGCGUCCCGAUAGAGAUGAGUCCUUCCAUGUGAACUUCCCUGCCUCAGGUUUUAAACUUAUAGACUAAAGAUACACUAAUAGUCUACUAAAACUACAAAAUGCAUGCCUUAAAUAUUAACUUCAUUGUUGUUAAUGAAAAGAAUACAUUAGUGCGCCUACCACUCUCCAUUUCCCAUCUUAUAUCUGCCUAUACGAGCAGCACACCUAUUACAAGUCCGGCCUAGGAAGAGAUGAAUGAUUCCGAUGUCCAUGCAGAGCGUCUCAAAUCAUAGGAAUGUGGGGAAUCUGGAUAUGGAUGAGUUCGUCAGUGGUGCUGAUAUAGAACUUGUAGGUUCAUUUUCUCUAGUUCCACAGACACAAUUAUAGCUGUCCUGAUUGAUCCUUUGGAGUAUGUUAGCACAACAAGGGCAACGCAUCCAUCUACCAGUGAAACAGUGGGUACGAGGGGUCAGUAGUGGUGCCUCCAUAGAUUUCCAACCGAACCUAAUAGUUUACUACAAAACUUUAGCAGAACAUUAGGCAUCUACUAUUUCGAUGUAUCCAGUUCAGAGUACCGUAAAAAAAAAUGCAACAUCAUCAUGGCCGCAGUUUUGGAUCAUGGCCCAUGCCCAGCUGAUUGAAGUCAACUAGGUCACAUAUUCGGUAGGAACAUUGCAAGUUAGGAACGAGUGGAAUUUGAUAUAUACAGGAAGAUAGGUCACAUAUUAGCCUACUAGGAUUUACAUGUUUCAUUAUGGUUAAAAGUACAUAUUGUUAUUGUUCUUUUUUUAAGGUAUGCUCCUACCAUCAUCCAUCUCCAACUUAUAUAUGCCCUAUACGAGCAGCAACCUACUAGUAGAUUCAUUCUACAGCUACGACGUUCCUACUACACUACUGCUAGCACUUGCUGUCAACACCAGUCGGCUGGCAAGCCAAGGCCAAAAGAAGAGGAGAGCACUCUACGUAUGCACUCUCAUUAUGUAGGCAAAGAGCAAGAGCUAGCUAUCCUGAUUACCCAUCAAGCGCGUGGGAGAGAAGAAUGAUUAUUCCAAAAUCCUAGCAGUGCGUUGUUAAAUCAUAAGAAUGAGGGGCGUCGGGAUAGGGAUCAGACGUUUGAGAAGGUAUCCUUGAACUCGCCGGCCGGAUCGCAGGCACUGGUUCCACACUCACGAUUAUAGCGCCGUCUUGAUUGCCAGCUGAACAAGAAGAGCAUGGCCGUCAGCCAGUUAUGGGCGACGGCCGCCUAGCAACAAAUGCUCGAGAUGUCAGAGGUGCCUCUAUAGAUAACCUAGCUAAGUGAAUAGUUUAUGCCGCACAAUAUUAUUCCUGGGAGUGUGUAUAUUUAGCUAGUGAGCUCUAGGCGAGGGGUCACUUAGCUUGUAUCCUUUCAUUUCUUCACCUUCAGAAUAAAAAUCGUGAAUUGGGCAUCUACUGUUUAGAUGUUACAGUUCAGAGUGACUCCAACGAAGCAAGCAUACUACUCGAGAACCCCAUUUCAGCACCGGUUCCAAAACUCCCUAUAGUAUACAUUUUUUAACCGGUAUCAACAAACAGAGACUAAAUGUUGCUACCAACCGGUUCAAAGGGGAAAAACGUGUGUUAUCAGUUGGAUUCCUUUUGAAUUGCCCCUUAAGACUCGUUUAGUACCAGUUGGUACUAAUGUGUUAUCAACCGGUACUAAAUGGCCUCUAGGGCGACCAAAUUGGAUGGUAUAUGUGUGUGGGGAUGGAAGAUAUCGUUUCUCCAGUAGUGAAGAUUAGUCCCAAUUUUGCAAUUAGCAAUGAUCAGCAGUUAUCAAUAUUCUGGGUAGAGUGGGUUGAGCACUGAUUGACCCAACUGCGUCUCAGUUGCUUGCCUAACGAUACAGGAGCUGAAGAAGGUAUAUGGGGGCGUGAGUUCUGCCAUGAGAACUUGUACCGCUUAUAGAAUCGAAAGAGGCUUUCAUUUUCUUUUAGAAACACCACUAAACCAAAUGAAGGGAAGCCGCUGCCGCAGGUAUUUCAUCUAGACGUUAUAAACAGAAGACAAUUAAUAGGCUAUUUCAUCUAGACGUUAAUAGGCUACUAGAUUUAUGUAUUCCCAACUAGACAUAUAAAUUAUUUAAGCAUGAACAUUUCCCAACUUAUAUAUGCUUAUUCGAGGAGGACACCUUCUAGCACACUUUUACAUAAUCACUGUCUUCAGAGCUCCAACAAGCAUGGUAUAGGAAGAGAUGAAUGAUUCCAAAGUCCACGCAUUGCGUGGUGAAAUCAUAGGAAUUUGGGCUGGCACUGUCAUGAUAACGAUGAGCUGUUAGAACUUGAUUGUGUGCUUGAUCGUAGUCGUUGGCCAAGACUAAGUGUAGCUACGGUAGUAUUGGCUGAUAAAGAAAGGGGAGGAAACACCGAGGAUGUCGUUUUGGCGGUACAUGAUUGAGUACUGAUUCCUCAGCUCUGGGAUAAAUUGUAAAGUCUGACCCUAGCUGGUUGUACCCGGCAAUGGUCCAGUUGAAUGCAUUGUUUGGAAUUCGAUGAAUUACUCUCUAGGGUAAAAACUGACGGUCUAACCUUGACUAAUUUGACCACGGCAACGAUGAUGCAUGGCCGAUCGGUUUUCUUGUUGGGGGUGUUGUUUCUAGAGAGCUCUUCUCGUAAUCCAGGUGCGGCCUGUUAGAUUGAUCUCCUUCCCAAUGGGCCCAAAGGUCCAUCGGGACCCUGAUCCGCGCCCUGAUCGGGGGCGCUCACCCUAGCAAUGGGUGGUGGGCUCCUGUCGUGCUGCGCUAUAUAAACAGGGUAGGGGACCCGGCUCGGCUCACGAGGUUCGCCGCAGCCAGCCGCCCCACCGACACACCUACCGAUCUAGGUUUGCGCAGUAGCGGCGGGAAGCACCACCGCCACCUCGCCGGCGACCGGACUCGGCACUGCGCGUCGCUGCCUUGCGCAGACUCCACCGACCGAACCCGCGAUGGCCAGCAGCUCUGCUGCUCCCACCUCUAGGGGUGAAGGUAACCCCAUUUCUCUCUCACUCUCACUCGGCACCCACCAGGAACACCAUGACCCGUAUGUCAUUCAUGAUCCCGACUAGAUGUGCAUCUAGAGAUCCUAGGCACGGCCCUAACAAUGGUAUCAGACACCUCCUAGAAGCUCUUCUAGAUCGGGAAAAAGAAGUAGAUCGGGAAAAAGACAUAGAUCGAAAAGAAACAGCAAGAGUCAAACCCUAACCCUAACCCUAGAUCUAAAGAAAAGAGGGACGCGGGAAGAAUUACCUGCUGUCCUCCUCACCGCUGCAUGUCCACUGACGGCGAGCGGCAAAGGCCGGCUGAGCCUCGGGCUCGCCGGGGAAAAUGUCCACCCGAACCGCCGGCGCAUCCGCUCGGGGCUCGGGGGGGGGGGGGGGGGGGGCAACAGCACCACCAAAGGACCCGCUCGACGGCGGCGCGCCCAACCUCGCGGUGGACGCGCGCGCCAGCGAGGGGACCCGCGGUGGCGCCCGGCCCUCCUCCAUGGUCGCCAUGGCCCUCUGGAUCUCGUUUUUUCGGGAGGAUCGGAGGGAGAAAGGGGGGAGGCAAGAAAGAAAAGGGGAGGGGGCUGCCGCGGCCGUGCACCGGCGGGGCCAUCCCUCCACCGCCGCCGCCGGCCAUCGCCGGGUGCGGGAGAGACAGCCCCGCCGCCGCCGCCUCGGCGAGAGCUCGCGGGGAGAAAGAAAGGAAAGUGGCUAGGGUUCUGGGGGAGCCGGCCGUUCCGCCGGAUUUUGUUCCGCGUCGAUCAAACCGUGGCCGUUCGAUUAAGAUCGACGGCUCACAGCAGCCGGCGGGGAUCCGCGAACGACCGGGUCGGAAAUGGCCCAGGCGGGACGCGGCAGCAGGCCGUUUUCGCGGCCCAGGCCCAAGUUGCGGCCUGCUAACCGCAGCCGCGCGGGAGGCCAGCGCCGAGUUGUUUUGGCGGGCCGUUUUCGUGGGCCGCGUUAGCGGGCCGACGGCGUCGCGUAUACGGGCCGCGCGUGGGAAUGGACUGUGGGCCAUUUUCGCGGCUGGGCCGAAAUUCGUGUUCUGCACAGUAACGUCUGAUAUUUAGUUUUUUCUAUUUCCAGAAGCAUUUAAUUGAUGUUUUUUGCAUAGUUUUAGUCUCUAAUCUAAUUUGAACCAAUGGGAUAAUUUGUAUUAGAGAUUAAUAAAGUUUGUAUAGUGUUUUGCUUCUGAAAAUAGAUUUAUUUCACAGUUUCCGCUGCAAAAGUCAUUAUUAUUGCUCCAUUUAAAUUUAAUUUGAACCAACGAGACAAUUAAAUUUUGUGAGAGCAUGAUAAAGUUAAUUAGAUCAUGGUGCUGUUAUUUUCUGACCAACGUUGUUAAUAACUGUAUCAUGAUUUAAAAAGUUCUUUUGAUGCUUUUAUUUCUAUUUUUGCCCAACGGUGAUAUAGUUUUAAAUUGCAUCAACAAUUGUAUGUUUUAUUUUUUUGACCAACGUUGGAAAUAAAUCAUGCAAUUGUUGUUAUGAUCUCACUUAUGGAUUGUAAAUUUCAGGAUCAUUCAACUUAAUGGCUUGUCUCAAAGAGAUACCCAUUCUGAAAGGCAACAACUAUACAGAAUGGAGGAAGAAGAUUGAGUUCUCCUUCGUUUGUGGAGAAGUUGACUGGGUGUUGACCACACCGCGGCCACAAGCUCCACAGAAGCCAGUGAGGGCUGAAGGUGAUGAUGAUGCUGCAUGGCAGCAAAAGGAAAGGGACUAUGCUCCACUGGAGUUGGCAUACACCCUUGAAAACAAACAGUGGACCACUGCCAACAAGAAAUGUAUGGCUUUGGUAAAGAAUACGAUUGAGCCUGCCAUUUUGGGCUCGAUCGCAGAGUGUGACUCCGUAUCAGAGUACCUCGACAAGAUAAGGAAUCAGUUCACUGGUUCCUCAAAGAUAUACGCUACCCAGCUGUUCAAGCAGCUGGCCACAGAGAGGUACAAUGGAGGAGGGACUGGCAUAAGAGAUCACAUCAUGAGGAUGUACAACUUGGCAGCACAGUUGAAGCUAAUGGAUCUUGAGCUCAAGCCUGGGCACAUUAUUCAUUUGGUUUUCGCUUCUCUGCCAAAAGAGUUUGACACUUUUGUUGUCAAUUAUAACAUGCAGCCAGAACAGUGGGACAUGGAAAAAAUGAUAGCCAUGUGCGUGCAGGAAGAGGACAGACUUAGAUCCUCAUAUGGUGGUUCAUUGCACUAUGUGAAGGAUAACAGAAAAAAGAUUGCUAACUCCUCUUUCAAGGCACGAGGAAAAGCUCCUAUGCAGCAGAAUCACCAAAAGCCUCUCACAGUAGACAAAGAUCAAUGUCUACACUGCAAGAAAAAGGGGCACUUCAAGAAAGACUGCCCCGACUGGUUAAAGUCAAUAAUGGCAAAAAGAGGUGAGAAUACUAUUUCUUUUGUAAAUGAAUCCUUGUAUACACAGUAUUCGAAAUCUACUUGGUGGAUUGACUCAGGUGCAACUAUUCAUGUUGCAAAUUCUUUACAGGGAUUCCGUUCGAUGAGGACUACGCAAAGAAGCGAAAGAUGCGUUGAAGUCGCAAAUGGAGUCCAAGCAGAAGUUGAAGCUGUUGGCGAUGUCUCUCUAGAGCUAGUUGAUGGUUUCAUGCUUGUACUUAGAGAUGUGCUUUAUGUUCCUUCAUUACACAGAAACUUGAUUAGUAUUUCACGUAUGGACCAUGAUGGUUAUGAAUGUCAUUUUGGAAAUGGAAAGUGUGCCAUUUGGUUCGAUAAUGCAUGUGUUGGUGUUGCCAUCCUUCACAAUGAGUUGUAUUUAUUAUCACUGCGUGAAAAAGUAAAUUCUGUGUGUGAUGUGAAUAUGAAUUUAUCCUCGUCAGAGAAAGAAACAAAGAAAAGAAAGAGAACUCAUGAAAUAUCGUCGAAAUUAUGGCACUGUCGUUCAGGCCAUAUUUCGAGGGGGAGAAUAGAAAGACUAGUCAAGAAUGAAAUUCUUUCUCAAUUAGAGUUCUCAGACUUAGAACAAUGCGUUGAUUGCAUUAAAGGAAAAUUUGUAAAGCAAAUUAAAAAAGGCGCUAAACGUAGCACAGGAGUUUUAGAGAUAAUCCACACUGAUAUUUGUGGACCAUUUCCUGUGAAAAGCGUGGAUGGCUAUGACUUGUUCAUAACAUUCACAGAUGAUUACUCCCGUUAUGGUUACAUUUAUCCAAUCAAAGAAAGAUCAGAAGCGCUGGAUAAAUUUAAGAUAUUUAAAGCUGAAGUUGAAAAUCAGCAUAACAAAAGAAUCAAAAUAGUAAGAUCCGACCGUGGGGGGGAGUACUAUGGUCGACAUACCCCAUUUGGCCAAGUUCCUGGACCUUUUGCAAGGUUUUUGCAAGAAAAUGGUAUAGUAGCCCAGUAUUCGAUGCCGGGCGAGCCUCAGCAAAAUGGAGUAGCUGAAAGGCGUAACCGUACACUGAUGGAUAUGGUGCGCAGCAUGAUGAGUUAUUCCACCUUACCAUUGGGACUGUGGAUGGAGGCGUUAAAGACCGCCAUUCACAUUCUAAAUAGAGUGCCAAGUAAGUCGGUGCCCAAAACACCGUACGAACUAUGGACAGGAAGAGUACCCUCACUAAACCACCUGCGUGUGUGGGGGAGCCCAGCUGAGGCCAAAGUAUUUAACCCAAACAUCGGGAAGCUAGAUCCCAAAACAGUAAGUUGCCACUUCAUUGGCUAUCCGGAAAAAUCAAAAGGUUUUCGUUUCUACUGUCCAGACAGAUAUACAAAGUUUGUAGAAACAAGAUAAGCGAUUUUCUUAGAGGAUGAGAUGGUGAGGGGGAGCAUGGUAGCUCGAGAGAUUGAUCUUGAGGAGAAGCGGGUGUGUGCACCCAAUCCGAUGAUUCAGGAACCAUACUUCUCACUACCUAUUAUUCCCGCACCGAUAGUUCCUGAGGUCGUGGUGCAAGCACCCGCUACUGUCCCUGACAUUGUGGUGCAGGCACCUGCUGUGAUUCCACCCGUGGAAACGAUGUGUGAAGUUUUGGAACCUGUCCUUCACGAGCCAACUGAACCCAUCAUUGCACACGAGGAAGAGUUGCAGCAGCCACCUCUGAAUAGUGUGCCACAAGCAGAGGCACAGAAUGUGCCCGAAAGUGAGGGGCCUAGAAGGUCUCAAAGGGUCAGAAAAUUAGUUAUCCCUGAUUGUUAUAAAGUUUAUAAUACAGAAGAAGUUCAUAUAGAAGGUGAUCCCACUUCAUAUGAGGAAGCCAUGAAAAGUGUUCACUCAUCGAAGUGGCUAGAGGCCAUGGAAGAUGAGAUGAAAUCGAUGAGUUCCAACAAUGUUUGGGAACUUGAAGAGAUUCCUAAAGGAGCCAAAACAGUAGGCUGUAAAUGGGUCUACAAGACUAAAUGUGACUCCAAAGGGAAUAUAGAAAGGUAUAAGGCGAGACUUGUGGCAAAAGGCUUUACACAAAAAGAAGGAAUAGAUUACAAUGAAACGUUUUCCCCUGUCUCAUGUAAAGACUCCUUCAGAAUCAUAAUGGCACUGGUUGCACAUUUUGACUUAGAGUUACAUCAGAUGGAUGUAAAGACGGCAUUUCUAAAUGGGGAUUUAGAAGAAAAUGUCUACAUGAAACAACCAAAGGGUUUUAUCAUGGAAGACAAAGAGAAUAUGGGAUGUCGUCUAAAGAAAUCCAUUUACGGAUUAAAACAAGCCUCUAGACAGUGGUAUCUAAAGUUUAAUGAUAUAAUAAAGAAAUUUGGGUUUCAAGAGAAUAUAGAGGACAACUGUGUCUAUGCAAAGUUCAAAAAUGGGAAAUACAAUUUCCUAAUUCUGUAUGUGGAUGAUAUCUUACUUGCAAGCAGUGAUAUCAGUCUACUACAAGAGACAAAGAAGUUCUUGUCCUCAAACUUCGAUAUGAAGGAUCUUGGUGAAGCAUCAUAUGUUUUGGGCAUAGAAAUUCACCGAGAUAGAUUGAAUGGGGUCCUAGGAUUAUUGCAAAAGGCAUAUUUAGAAAAGGUUCUAAAGAAGUAUAAUAUGCAUGCGAGCAAGGCCACACCUGCUCCCAUAGUCAAGGGCGACAGUUUUGGGAAUUUUCAAUGUCCCAGGAACCAGUACGAGAUCGAUCAAAUGAAAGCGGUUCCAUAUGCUUCAGCUGUCGGAAGCUUACAGUAUGCUCAAGUGUGCACUCGCCCUGACUUAGCUUUUGUCACCGGGGUUCUUGGUAGAUAUCAAAGUAAUCUAGGUAUAGAACACUGGAAGAUGGUAAAGAAAGCGUUGCGCUACGCGCAAGGCACAAAAGAAUUCAUGCUUACAUAUAAGAGAUCUGAUUCCCUAGAGAUAAAAGGGUAUUCAGAUGCAGACUUUGCGGGAGACAAAGAUGAUAGAAAAUCCACGUCUGGAUACGUAUUCACUCUUGCAGGAGGAGCUAUCUCAUGGAGAAGCUCAAAACAGAAAGUAACUGCGUCAUCAACGAUGCAUGCAGAAUUCAUAGCAUGUCAUGAGGCCACGGAGCAGGCAAUGUGGCUAAAGAAAUUUAUACCUGGAUUGAGAGUGGUUGACUGUAUUUACAGACCACUAAAGAUGUACUGCGACAAUGAGCCAGCAGUAUUCUAUGCUCACAACAACAAAUCAAGCAAUGCUUCCAAAGCCAUUGAGAUAAAGUUUUAUGUUGUGAAAGAUAGAAUCCAGGAUCACACUAUAAGUCUCGAGCAUAUAAGAACAAAAGAUAUGCUUGCGGAUCCGCUCACGAAAGGCUUACCACCCAAUGUGUUCAGAGAACACUUAGCCGGCAUGGGUUUAAGGGAAAGCCUAUGAUUCCUGGAUUGGAAAAGGCCCAAAAGAAACAGAAUUGUUUCAAAAUAGAGAGGUGUGUUGUAGCUGUUGAUUCUAUCGGCAAUUAAGCUGUGACGAUGAGGCAUGCUCUACAUAUUAAUCUACGAUGAAACGAAUAAAAGUGAAAAGUGUAAAGUUAAAAGUAAAUGAUGAGAUCAAGGGGGAGAAUGUUAGAUUGAUCUCCUUCCCAAUGGGCCCAAAGGCCCAUCGGGACCCUGAUCCGCGCCCUGAUCGGGGGCGCUCACCCUAGCAAUGGGUGGUGGGCCCCUGUCGCGCUGCGCUAUAUAAACAGGGUGGGGGACCCGGCUCGGCUCACGAGGUUCGCCUCAGCCAGCCGCCCCACCGACACACCUACCGAUCUAGGUUUGCGCAGUAGCGGCGGGAAGCACCACCGCCACCUCGCCGGCAACCAAACUCGGCACUGCGCAUCGCUGCCUUGCGCAGACUCCACCGACCGAACCCGCGAUGGCCAGCAGCUCUGCUGCUCCCACCUCUAGGGGUGAAGGUAACCCCAUUUCUCUCUCACUCUCACUCGGCACCCACCAGGAACACCAUGACCCGUAUGUCAUUCACGAUCCCGACUAGAUGUGCAUCUAGAGAUCCUAGGCACGGCCCUAACACGGCCAUGAUGCUGCAUGGAACUGACGAUUAAGUUGUGUGUUGUAGCUUGCUAGGACAUUAUAUAUGGGUUCACAUGGCUAUUCUUUUUCCUUUUCUUUUAUAGGCUUUGUGCAUCCUAGCUAUGCAAAGGCCGGGAAUGGUCUUAGUACAAUAUUGUAUCACCUUGAUGUAACUGUCUAAGAUUAAUAAAGUUUUCCUUAUUGAAAAACUUACUAGCUAGUAUACAGCUUCUUUGAACAGUAGAACUUUUAAUUUGUGCUAGUGUUUUUUUUUCAUAGUAAAAACCCUUCUAUUUAAUAUAUACCAGUAGGGGGCGUGCCUCCCCUGUUUCUUUCAAAAAACUAUUCAAGAGAAAUCAGUUCAAUAACAAUAUAAUGGUGAAAAGGUAUGCAUGAUUCUGGAGCAGAAGAGUCCUCAGAAGUCAGAACAGCAUUAACAUGGGGCGUCACGAUAGAGAUGAGUCCUACUAUAUGAGAACUUGUAACGUUUAUGAAGGGAAGGUGAGUGGCAUUCAUUUUGUUUUUGAGGGAAACCAUUAAGGGAAGCACCUACCUCAAGUUUUCAUCUAAACUUAUAGACAAAUAAAGAGGCAUUACAAGUCUACGAGGAUUAUACGUAUUUCAUAAUUGUUUAAACGUACAUAUUGUUAUUGUUCCAUUCUAGAAGAAAAAUGAUCCUACCACCAUUCAUCUCCAACUUACAUACGAGCUGCACACCUACCACUAAUACACCACCGCUAGCACUUUCUGUCAACACCAGUCGACAUGGCAAGCAAGGGCCAAAAGAGAGCAGAGCACUAGCCUCUCAUGAUUUGGGCAAAGACUAAGAGCUAUUCUGAUUAUCUAUCCAGCGCAUGCGAAGAGAAGAACGCCUAGCAGUUCGUUGUCAAAUCGUAGGAACGUGGGACGUCAGGACAGGGAUGAGCCGUUUGGGAAGGUAUCAUACAACUCGGAGGUUCGCCGCAGGCUUUGGUUCAACAUUCGCGAUUCUAGCCGUCUUGAUUAUUAUUGCCCGCUCAACAAAAACAGCAGCGCGGACUGCCAGUGAUGGGCGAUGAUCGCCUAUCAAGAAACGGUGGCUGCGAGAGGCCAAGAUUCCUCUUCAUAGAUCUGUUUUUUUCGUAAUAUGCAGGAGAGCUACGUAUCUUUGUAUUAAGAAAAAAAUUUAACGUACAACACGGACCAGCCAGGUACAUGCACACAGGUUGUUACAUAAGCUAGAUUACAUGAACUUCAAAACAACCAGAAAGAUGAUGAUGAUUCAUGUGUGUUGAUGACAACUAAUGCUGGCCCAGCGCACCCCUCGGUGCCGGCCAUCCUAUAGAGGCAAGGUGCUUUGCUCCUGAAGCACACCAAAGUUAUCCUUCCUUCCUCCGAAAUUUCAGUUACCAACUGGGUGACAUUCUUGGCCGGUGAUAUGUUGAAAACCCGAUCGAUGCACUCCUUCCAAAGUUUCCACGAGACCAGGGGCGGGCCCACAUAGAUUCAAUGGUAUUCAAUUGAAUACCCAUUAUUUUUGCAAAAUAAUUUCAUAUAUAUAGUGUAUUUUAGGUAUAUGUAUGAAAAAAAUAAAAAUACACAAACCAUCCGGAUCCGGCCUGCGCAUGCCCACUUAUCCCUCGACUGGCCCAACUGGCCCAUCUGGCCAUCCGGCCCAUCCGGCCUGCGCAUGCUCACUCGACUGCCCCCAGUCCCCCACCGGCCCACCCCACGCGUGAGCACAUCCACACGCACGGACGCACCACGGUCCAGGUCUGCGCGCGGCGCGAACCUUAGGGCACAGGUCCGGCAGCGGCGGCGUCCGGCGGCGGCGGUGGACCGGCGGGAGGCCGCGGCUGGCGGGAUAGGAGGCGGCGGGCGGGCUGUGGCCUGCAUGCGCCGCGCGGCCGCGCGCACGGUUGGCGCCUGGCCGCCUGCGCCUGGAGCCGAGCGGCGGCGGCGGCGGCCGGCGGCGGCGUCGGACCGGCAGUAGCGGCGCUCGGCGGACGGGCGGCGGAAGUCUGCGGCCAGGCUGGCGCUUGGCGAGUUGGCGGGCUACUGGGCUAGGAAGGCCGAGCUGCCGAGCGGCUGAGGGCGGCCGGCGGCCUGCGCAGUGCGCACCCCGGCACACGGCCUGGAGCCGAGCGCCCGAGCGGCGGCCGACGGAAACGGGCCGGCGGCCGGGCGGCGGCGGGCGCGCAGGUGCAGCGCGCUACAGUGGGCGGCUGCCGGCUGGGGAUUUGAGCUACUGUCUACUGAUUUGAGGAUUUUGUGAACUGCUAUUCCUGAUUGUUUGUGAAAUUGAGGUGAGCAUUUUCAAUUGUUUGUCAAAUUAAGAUAGCAAAUCAACUUGCAAAAUGUGGAUGCUCAUGAAUUUAGUUCAAUGUGAAAUUGUUUAACUUUUAGGUUUGAACCAUGAAGAGGAAGGGUAGUGCCGCUACUGAUUUGAGGAUUUUCAUGGCAAGGGCUGCUGCAAAGAAGAGACAACCUGAACCGGAGAAUGUUAAUCAAUCUUGCAAUGAAAGCCAAAUGCAACUAGUGUUAUUCCAAGGGCAGAGUGGUAGUGAAACAAGCACGGUACCAUAUGAACCAAUGAGAUCCAACCAGCCUCCAGAGAAUGGUACAACAGAAGAUGGUGAAUCCAUACCUGUGGAAGAAAAUGAUUCUAGUGAUGAAGACAAGAAUGAUUAUGGCAUUGAGCAUGAUCCUGGAUCGAGGGCUCCAAUCUCAAGCUAUGAUGUCAAUGACCAAGAUUUAGUUAGAAGGGCAUACAUUGCAUUGGGGCCAUUUCAACCAAAGAUGAAGAGGGAUGCUUUUCCGCAACAUGAUUGUGGAGGUAUGCGUCGCUUCCAACAUAAGUGGUUUGCUGAAUUUAAGUGGAUUGAGUACAGUGUGGAUAAAGAUGCUGCAUUUUGCUUUGUUUGCUAUUUGUUCAAAGAUAACUGCAAAUUUCCUGGUGGAGAUGCUUUUGUUGUUGAAGAGUUUAGAAAUUGGAAUAUGAAAAAGAGAAUUCAUAGGCAUGUUGGUGCUAUCGAUAGUGCUCAUAGUGAAGCUGAAGAGAAAUAUAGAUUGUUCACAAGACCUAAGGCAUCAAUCCGUGAAUCUGUUGCAUCAAACACUGCACAAUUCAAGGCUAAGUAUCUAGCUCGCUUGACAUGGUCACUUAAGUGCAUAAGAUUUCUGUUGCGUCAAGGGUUGGCUUUUAGGGGUCAUGAUGAAACAAAGG
rnacentral:lncRNA from 1 species